AUCAUCGACGGUGAUCGGCGGUAACCAUAAUUUUCCGACGAAGAAGAUACGGUUGAAACUGAUGUCGGUUAAACAACUUGUUUCGCUUGCUUUUAACCAUAUCCCGGCAUUUUUAAGCUCUUUUACGUUGCGAAAGGUGUGUGAAUGGUGCCGUUUUGCUCUUGUUCGGUUGCUGCGAUUUAUCAAGUACCUGAAAAGUCGAGUGCAAAACCUACAAUGCCGCCAUGGUUUUCGUUUUUCUUCUGUUUUGAAAAGGAGUCUUUGUCGUAGUAGAUUCAAUAGGUGAAUUGGCUCUUCUUCUUGCUGCUGCCACCGUUCACUGGAGCAAAAUCUGUGUUAGUCGGGAGCCAACCUAAAAUUUUCUUUUUCGUUGGAUUUAGAACUGUAAAUUUUUGUAGCUAAAAUUACUGUUUACAAAAUCGGAUAGAUGGUGAAACUGAUUAAGUAAUUAAUUUAUAAGUUCAAUAAAACGGGUCGAUUCAUUCCGUUUAAUUAAAUAAAUUAUUAAAAUGUUCAGUUCAAUUUAAUCUAAUAACUUUCUCUAAAUCGAUGUGUUGAUUUUCGAUUUAAUUAUUCAAUCUGAUUAAAAUAAUAUUAGCUAAAAUAUAAUUUUUAUUAUUAUAUUAAUGCAAAAAAAGUACUAUUUUUAAAAAGAUUAAACUAUAAAUUUUCUUAUCCCUCAAAAUGAAAAAAAAAAUAUUAACCCUUUAUAAAAAUAUAAAUACAUAAAAAGAAAUUUAAGAAUCAAAUCAAAUUUAUUGAUCGGAUUGGUUGGAUAAAAAAUCAAACAAAGUAUUAAUUUAGAAUAAAAUAUUAAAUCAAUUGAAUAAGGUGAUUGAAUCGGAUUUUUUAUAUAAUUUUUUAAAAAUUAUAUAAUUUAACCGAAUCAACUAAUCCGACAGAAAAUAAGAAUAGUAUUCCAUCACUAAUUUAAUUAUAAAAAACUUUAACAUUUACAAACUCCACAAAUUUUUUUAUUAUAUUUAAAUCCCUUAAAUUACCUGUCCUGCUGAUGCGAUUGUGGCUCUUUCAUCUCGGCUGGGGUGAUAACAUUGUCGUCGAUGAACCUUUUGAUUGCCUUCAUGAACUUUUCGCCAUUUUCGCUCCAGCUUGUAAGCAAUUUAAGAACACGAAAAGGUAAUUGGUUUUCCAACAAGAACAGGUCCAAGUACACAUAUGUCAGCAAAUCGUUUUUUAUCGACAAUUCGUUCGACAUUUGAUCAUUAUCUUGGCCAUCAACAUCAUCAUUACCGUAACGCAUGUAAAUUGCUUGUAAAAUUGCGCAGCCAUCAACGAAGAACAUCCAAGCCAGUUUCUCGUCAUCGUUGCUAUACUUCUCCAAUUCCUUUGGAUCAUAGCAUUUCUUCAACUCAUUGAUCUCUGUCUUCAUGUUGUUGUACAAGGUUUCCUUAUUGACGCCAAUGUUUUUGACGAAAUGUGCUGCUAAUUUGAGCUUGAGCUUCUCGGAUCCAUGGAGGGUGGGAUCAUCGUGGUGAAGUGGGCCGAUUGAGAUCACUUUCGGCUUGAAAUACUUCCUGAAAUCUUUGUGACGGCCAAGGGUUGAUGGGACUCUUUGUAUCAAUGGAUUGGACGUGGGUUCGACUUGGCUGCCGUUGAAAGCUUCGUCUAAUAACCGAAGAUUCUCUAAUUCGCCAUUGCUGAGAAGGAAGUUCGUACACUGUAUUGGAAUGAUCGUCUCUAGGGGAUUGUUGUUGAUGAUUGUCUGAUCAGUGGAAACUGCUCUGCCGGGAGCUCCGACGGUGCCGCCUCCUUCCUCCGUGGACGACAUUUUCAGGCUGAGCGGUUCGAAGUAAUUAACAAGGUGAUUUUGUAGAUUGUUUUUGGCUGAGUGAGUGAUGUUGGAAAGAUGGUGGUAAAAUGGACAGAAUGGAUAAACAUAUGGAAAUUUUUUUUUGGUGUAAUAUCAAUUUUAGCCCUUAAUAUUUAUAUUCUUGUUAAUUUGAUUCUUAUUCUUUUAGUUAAUUAACUCUUUAUCCUUUGAGAGAGUCAAAACUGACUACCAACCUUUUAAAAAAGAUUUAAAUUAAUGUUUUCUCAAAAAUAAUGAUUAAAAUGUUAAAAUUUUAAAUAUCAUAACUCUCGUGGCAAUUCACCCGUGCAUUUUUUUAAUAUUUUAAAAUUAUUUAUUGACAUAAGAAAAGUGGUAUUAUGUUAGCAUAAAAUGCACAUGAUUUGUCACACAAGUAUCAUUAAAAAAUUAAUAUUUUAUUCAACAUUUUUAUUAAAAAAAUAAUUUCACUCGUUUUGAAAAAUUAUUAAACUAUAAUUUGGCUCGGACCAAGCUAAUCUCAACUUAAAAUUAGGUUAAAAUACGUGGAACUUGGAAGGUUCUUGUAUUAUGAGUACAGGAUCAAAUUAAUCUCUCUAUUUUUUAAAUAGAUCAAUAUAGUCCUUAUACUAUUAAAAAAAUCACAUAAGUCUAAAUUGAAACAGAGCUAAUAAUUUCUGUAUAAAAAAUGUCUUGAUUCCUUUUUCUUUUUUUUUUGCAAUUGCAAUUGCAAUCUAAUUCUAAAUAAAAUGUUUCAUUUACAGAAUCAUAAAAAUUUUAACAAUAUUAAUUCUGUUAAAUAGUAUAUGUUAUAUUUAUUCUAAAUUGAUCUUAUUUUAUUCUUUUUAAUAAUAUAAAAAUUAAAUCAAUCCAUUUAAUAAUAAAUGGACUAAUUUAAUUAGAUCUCUAUAACAUAAGGACCUCUCAAAUAUAUUUCCCUUAAAAUUACUUUUUUGGAAAUACAGACAUAAUAAUAAUGAUGAUGAUAAUUGUACUUUGCCAAGUUACCAAGUUUGGAGUUUGAUCUUACUUUUCUUUUUCUCUAGUAGGAGCCACUCUCACCACUUUAUCAAAGGAGUAGUGCCAUCGAUUAACACACUAAUUUAACACACUAAUUUUUUUUAAUGAGAUAGAUUAAUUUAGUUGGUUUUGUAUCGAUUUUAAUCAUAUCAGUCUGUAGAUAUUAUUUUAAUAAAAAAUUAAAACACUCAAUUUUAUUUUUCUUAUAAGGGCAACGGAAGCGAAGGCAGACAGCUGCCAUAGUCCCCCUACAGUUGGAAAACUAUAUUUUUAGUCUUGAAGAUGUAUAAAUUAUAAACUAUAAUGAUAAAAUUGUACUUUGCCCCCUAAAAAUUAUAAAAUUUUAAUUUAGUGCUUUAAAAAAUUAUAAAGAUGUUAACUAAUACAAUGAUGAAAUUACGUUUUAAUACUCAUUUCAAAAUUUACAACUUAAUUUCGGCCCUUCAAAUUUCUUUUUCGACUUCGCUCUUAUUUCUACACUAAUAAAAAUUCUAAUCUGUGUCAAUAGCACUGAACUAAAUAUUAUGCAUUGUGUAUAUAUAUAUAUAUAUAUAUAUAUAAAACUAUUUCUUUUACCAACUUUAAACUUUAAAUAAAUUAAAGUAGAAAAUAAAAAAAUUAUUUAACAAAUAAGCCGAAAAAAAGGGAAAUAUAAAACAUCUAAAAGCUUAAUGAACCCAUUUUCUUUGUUUAUUAUAGAUUUGUUGAAUAAUAAGUAUUUUAUUUAUGAAGUUUAUUGAUAAGUAUUUAUGUAAUUGAUUAAUAUUUUUAUUUUUAAAAUUUAUUGAUAACUUAUUGAUGAUUGUUUGAUCAGUGGAAACUGCUCUGCCGGGAGCUCCGACGGUGCCGUCUCCUUCCUCCGUGGACGACAUUUUCAGGCUGAGCGGUUCGAGGUGAUUUUGUAGAUUGUUUCUGGCUGAGUGAGUGACGUUGGAUAGAAGGUGGCAAAAUGGACAGAAUGUAUAAACAUAUGGAAAUUUUUUUGGUGUAAUAUCAAUUUUAGCCCUUGUUAAUUUUAUUCUUAUUCUUUUAGUUAAUUAACUCUUUAUCCUUUACAAGAGUCAAAAUUGACUACCAAUCUUUUAAAAAAUAUUUAAUUAAUGGUUUUUCAAAAAUAAUGACUAAAAUAUUAAAAUUUUAAAUAUUAUAACUCUUGUGGCAAUAUACCGGUACAAUUUUUUAAAUAUUUUAAAAUUAUUUAUUGACAUAAGAAAAGUGGUGUUAUGUUAGCAUAAAAUGCACAUAGAUUGUCACACAAAUAUCAUUAAAAAUUAAUAUUUUAGUCAACAUUUCUAUUAAGAAAACAAUUUCACUCGUUUUGAAAAAUUAUUGAACUAGAAUUUGGUUCGGACCAAGCUAAUCUUAACAUAAAAUUAGGUUAAAAUACUUGGAACUUGGAAGGUUCUUGUAUUAUGAGGAUUGGAUCAAAUUAAUCUCUCUAUUUUUUAAAUAGAUCAAUUUAGUCCUUAUACUAUUAAAAAAAAUCAAAUAAGUCUAAAUUGAAAUAGAGCUAACAAUUAGUGUAUAAAAAAUGUCUUGAUUCUUUUUUUUUUUUGCAAUUCAAUUCCAAACAAAAAGUUUCAUUUACAGAAUCAUAAAAAUUUUAACAAUAUUAAUUCUGUUAGAUAGUAUAUGUUAUAUUUAUUCCAAAUUGAUCUUAUUUUAUUCUUUUUAAUAAUAUAAAAAUUAAAUUGAUCCAUUUAAUAGUAAAUGGACUAAUUUAAUUAGAUCUCUAUAAUAUAAGGACCUCUCAAAUAUAUUUCCCUUAAAAUUACUUUUUUUUGGAAAUACAGACGUAAUAAUAAUAUGAUGAUAAUUGUACUUUGCCAAGUUACCAAGUUUGGAAUUUGAUCUUACUUUUCUUUUUCUCUAGUAGGAACCACUCUCACGACUUUAUCAAAGGAUUACUUCCAUUGGCACUACUUAUUUUCAAUGAGAUAGAUUAAUUUAGUUGGUUUUGUAUCGAUUUUAAUCAUAUCGGUCGGUACAUACUGUUUUAAUAAAAAAUUAAAACGCUUAAUUUUUUUUUCGUAUAAGGGCAACGGAAGAGGAGGCAGGCAGCGGCUUUAGUCCCCCUAUGGUUGGAAAAUUGUUUUUUUUUACCCUUUAAGAUGUAUAAAUUAUAAAUUAUAAUGGUAAAAUUAUACUUUAUCCUCGAAAAUAACAAAAUUUUAAUUUAAUCUUUUAAAAAUUAUAAAAAUAUUAGUUAAUACAAUAGUAAAAUUAAGUUUUAACUCAAUAUCAAAAUUUACAACUUAAUUUUGACCCUUUAAACUUCUUUUUCGACUCGCUCUUAUUUCUACACUAAUAAAAAUUCUAAUCCGUGUCAAUUGUACCGACCUAAAUAUUAUGCAUUGUGGUAUUAAAAAAAUAUAGAAAAAUACUAUUUAUUUUACCAACUUUAAACAUUAACUAAAUUAAAGUAGAAAAUAAAAAAAAUUAUUUAACAAAUCAGCCGAUAAAAAAGGGAAAUAUAAAAUAUCUAAAAGCUUAAUGAACACAGUUGCGCGUAUGCUUUUUUUUUCUUUUAAUUAACUUUAAUUUUAUUAGUAUAUGAUGAUUUUGUUGGUUUUUUUUACUUGUUUGUUUUAGAUUUAUUUAUUUUAGAUUCGGAUGAAUUUUAUUUGUGGAGUUUAUUGAUGAGUAUUUUUGUAAUUGAUUAAUAUUUUUAUUUUUAAAAUUUAUAGAUAAUUAAUUUGAAAGGAGAUACAAAAACAGAUUAAUACUGAUAUGUAUCAGUUUCAGUAGAAAGCAAUGCAUUCAUCAGUAUAGUACUAACUACCUUGGAUAAAAAAAUUUAUUUAGUCCUUGAAUUUGAUAAUUUUUCUCAACUUAACCCUUAAACUUUUUUUCUUAUCUACAUUAGUCCUUUAGCUUGACAACCUUUCUCAAUUUCAAUGCAUGUAAUGAUACGAGACUAUAAUAUUGUGUCAUGGGAAAUCAUACUUCAAUAAUUGUAAUUAUUACUUGAAAACAGUACAAGAUUUUCGUUACAAUAUCUACAUCUACUUAUAACUCUCAACCAUUACUUAUUCUUUUUUAAAAUUAUCAUUAAACACUAAAAAUUAAAUUAAAUAGAUGAAUAGAAAAUCCAGGAAUUACAAAAUUCUCAUAGAGUUUACAAAAAGAAUAGUAAACAACACUUACUUUGGAUGAUUUAUGGUAUAAUCAGUCUGCAAAGAAGCAAGAAGAAGUGCAGCAAUGACACCCACAAAUGCGAAAAACGUCCAACGUGUCCUAAAACAAUUAUGAUAAACUUUAGCUGGAUAUUUAGUCCACAUAUUCUCACGAUGAUUAUGUAUUUGCUGUUUAACAUAACUGUAAAUCAUCGGACUAGGAGCCAAAUCAGUGUUCAUCUUAUUGUAAAGCUUAACCACUUCUUCAUCACUCAAUCUAUUGUAUAGUAUACCCGCGUCUCUCAGUUCCUUAACAUUUUCGGCUUCACCGAUCAAUGAAACAAGGAAACCCAUAUAUGAAGUGACGGUGAAAUUGUUGUAGAAAUCCGGACUGAAUUCGUAAACUAUUAAGUUCAUGGUUGAACCAUCGAUGGUGAUCGGCGGUAACCAUAAUUUUCCGAAGAAGAAUAUACUGUUGAANNNNNNNNNNNNNNNNNNNNNNNNNNNNNNNNNNNNNNNNNNNNNNNNNNNNNNNNNNNNNNNNNNNNNNNNNNNNNNNNNNNNNNNNNNNNNNNNNNNNNNNNNNNNNNNNNNNNNNNNNNNNNNNNNNNNNNNNNNNNNNNNNNNNNNNNNNNNNNNNNNNNNNNNNNNNNNNNNNNNNNNNNNNNNNNNNNNNNNNNNNNNNNNNNNNNNNNNNNNNNNNNNNNNNNNNNNNNNNNNNNNNNNNNNNNNNNNNNNNNNNNNNNNNNNNNNNNNNNNNNNNNNNNNNNNNNNNNNNNNNNNNNNNNNNNNNNNNNNNNNNNNNNNNNNNNNNNNNNNNNNNNNNNNNNNNNNNNNNNNNNNNNNNNNNNNNNNNNNNNNNNNNNNNNNNNNNNNNNNNNNNNNNNNNNNNNNNNNNNNNNNNNNNNNNNNNNNNNNNNNNNNNNNNNNNNNNNNNNNNNNNNNNNNNNNNNNNNNNNNNNNNNNNNNNNNNNNNNNNNUCUAUUAAGGGCCAAUCCCACUAUUGCACAAUUUAGACAACAUAGUGAAGAGUGUGCUAAGAAGCAUAAAGCUACUAAGAAGCACAAAGUUGUGUCAUGCUUACAGAAUAGAGUGUCUAAUGUGAUCUUCACUCGAAUAAUGGCUUGUAACACUCUAAAGCAAGCCUAGGAGAAGCUGAAGGAAGAGUUUUUAGGGUCAAACAAGACUAGGCAACAGCAGUUGAUCAACCUCGAGAAGGACUUUGAGAACUUGAAGAUGAGAGAGUCUGAAACAAUCAUGCAAUACUCUAAUAUGAUAAUGGCCAUAGUCAACAACAUUAGGCUCCUUGGAGAUGAAUUCAAUGAGAGCAGAAUUGUUGAGAAGGUCAUUACAACCCUUCCUGAAAAAUUUGAAACAAAAAUCUCCUCAUUAGAGGACUUGAGAGAUUUAUCAACCAUCUCACUAUUUGAGUUGAUAAAUGCUUUAUAUGCAUUAGGGCAAAGAAGGGCCAAUAGGCUGGAGGAGCAUAUUGAAGGAGCUUUCCAAGCAAAAACCAAGGAAAGUUUAGGUUCGAGCUACAAAGGAAAGAAACCAUGGCUUGACAAAAGGGAGAAACCAAAUAGAGAUGUAGGGAAGAAAAGGUUCCCACCAUGCAUUCACUACAAAAGGUCCACACACUUGGAGAGGUACUGCUAGUACAGGUCUGACAUUCAGUAUAGGAGCUGCAAGAAGUUUGGUCACAUUAAAAAGGUUUGCAAGAACAAAGGAAGGGCACAAUCUCAGCAGCAAAAUCAAGGUCAGGCUGCUGAGGAUAUUCAAGCUCAGGAGGAGCAUGUUUUCAUUGCAUCCUGUUUUGCAACCCCAAGAAACGUCAAAAGAGACUGGCUAGUAGACAGUGGCUGUACUCAUCAUAUGGCAUCUGAUGAAGGGUUAUUCAGAGAUCUUGACAGAAGCUUUGUUUCCAAAGUCAAGAUUGGAAAUGGAAACCUCAUUGAGGCCAGAGACAGAGGCAAUGGUGUGAUCAACACACAUUCAGGUAACAAAACAAUUUCAGAUGUUCUUUUUGUACCUGACAUAGACCAAAAUCUGCAUAGUGUUGAUCAAUUAAUAGAAAAGGGUUAUUCACUCAAUUUUAAGAACAACUCCUGUGUUAUUGAGGAUUCACUUGGUCAAUACUUAGUUACAGUUGCUAUGACUGAAAGAUGCUUUAUGCUGGAUGUGAAUCAGUUGGAAAUGAAGGCCUAUGAUAAAGCUAGUUUAUGACAUAAAAGGUUAGGCCAUGUCAAUUAUAGAUCACUCGGUUUGCUGCACAAACUCAUUUUGGUUGAAGACAUGUCCAAGGUUGUAACGCAUAUAAACUGCUUGAAAAAUUGCGCAGCCGUCAACGAAGAACAUCCAAGCCAGUUUCUCGUUAUGGUUACUAUACUUCUCUAAUUCCUUUGGAUCAAAGCAUUUUUCAAGCCAUUCUGUCUUCAUGUUGUUGUACAAGGUAUGCUUAUCGACGCCAAUUUUUUUGACAAAAUGUGCUGCUAAUUUGAGGGGAAAUAGAGAUAUUGUAUUACGAAUAGCAGAACUGGAUAUUGUCGUAUUUGAUUAUAAAAAGGUAUCAGCUGGAAUUUAUUUCUCACUGAGCGGUUUUUUUAUAAAAUAACUUGAAAAUUUGUAUUAAUUAUAAAAAUGAUAUUCUUUAUUAGGUAAUAAAUAAUAAAAGUGAGUGAAAUUAAAGAGAUUAGCGCCACGUCAACCAAUCAUUAAGUGUUAAAUUUAAAAAUAUUAUUUUUUGAACGAAGCCAAACUAUUUCGCAUCAGUGCAGCAGAAAAUAAUUAAGUGUGCACUAAUCAAUUAUUUUUAAUUGCUAAUGUUUAGGGAUAAAAUAAUAUUUAAUCAUCUAAAUUUGGUAAUAGUAACAAAGUUGAAAAGGGUUUUUUAAUUUAAUUAUCUCAAUAGUUUUCUUUUGCAACAUUAAAUCAUAUAAUAUAUUUAGAAUAUUAAAAAUAUAUUAAAUUUUUAUCAAUAUAUACAUACAAUAAAAUUGUGCAUAGCAUGAGUAAACAAAUUAAUUAUUAAACUAUAAUUUGGCUCAAACCAAGUUAACCUUAACUUAAAAUUAGGUUAAAGUAGUUGGGAUUUGGGACUUGGAAGGUACUUAUAUUAUGAGGACUGGAUUAAAUUAAUCAUUCUAUUGUUAAAUGAAUUGAUUUAGUUCAUAUAUUAUUAAAAAGAAUCAAAUAAAUUCAAACUGAAAUAGAGGUAACAUUUACUGUAUAAAAAAUAUCUUGGCAACUGCAAUUCAAUUCCAAAAAGAAUUUUUCAUUUAUAUAACCAUAAGAACCUUUUAAAUAUUCACUCUGUUAAACAGUAAUAGUAUAGGACUAAAUUGAUCCCUAUAUAUAUUUUAUUAAUAGAAAUGACAAUUGUACUUCGCCUAGAGUCAGUUGCUCUUAGUCGCGAAAAGAAUUUACCUAGACUUCAUCUAUCAUUAUGAAUCUGAAUCAAAAGAUUUAUUCACUUAGUAUCUUGAUCCGUAGAAAUCCAAAUUCCUAGAGGAGAUGAACCCUAUGAUGAAUUCUAUUAUUUGAUUUUUGUUUUACACGAUAAAUACCUAAUUUUUUACUCUAUUCAUAUAAAUUUUUAAAUCAGUUGGUCUAAUAAUUUUUUCAAAAUUAAUGUCUCAAUUAAUUUUCAAUCCAAUCAACUAAAAUACAAUUUUUAUUAUUAUAUUAAUACAAAAAUCUUACCAUUUUUAAGAUAUUAAACUUUUUCCAUUUUGAAAAGUUUGGAUUUGAAAUCAUAAUUUCUCAUUUCUAAAAAAUGUACACUCAACACGAUAAAUGCAAACCGACAGGCAGGGAUCGUUCCCAAGAAAUGAAAAUUUAUAUUUUAAUCCCCUUAAAAAUUAUUAAAUUAUAAUAAGCUCUUAAAUUAAAAAUAUAAUUAUUCAAUUAAAAAAAAUCAUAAAUUACUACAUGAAAAAAAAUUAAAGAUCAGACUAUACUUGUUAAUCAGGUUGGUUAAAUAAAAAAUCGAAUAAAGUUGAAUUUAGACCAAUUGAAUCAAAGAAUCAAAUCUUUUUUUUUAUAUUUUUAAUAUUUUCAAAAUUUUAUAUAAUUAAACUGAAAGAACUAAUCAACCAGUCUAAUAGAUUCCAUCACCCAUCUAGUUAUAAAAAGCUUUUAACAUUUAUAAACUCCACAUUAUUUAAUUCCCUAAAUUACCUGCCCAAGCCUGGGUUGAUAACAGUUUCGUCGAUGAACCUUUGGAUUGCACUCAUGAACUUUUCGCCAUUUUUUCUCGGGCUUGUAAGCAACUCAAGAACACGAAAAGGUAAUUGGUUUUCCAACAAGAACAGAUCCGAGUACACAAAUGUCAGCAAAUCGUUUUUAAUAAACAAUUUACCAUCAUCAUCAUCAUCAUCAUCAUCAUCAUCAUCAUCAUCAUCAUCGUAACGCAUGUAAACUGCUUGUAAAAUUGCGCAGCCGUCAACGAAGAACAUCCAAGCCAGUUCCCUGUUAUCGUAGCCAGUCUUCUCUAAUUCCUGUGGAUCAUAGCAUUUCCUCAAGCCAUCGAUCUCUUUCUUCAUGUUUCUGUACAAGGAAUCCUUAUCGACUCCAAUGUUUUUGACGAAAUGUGCUGCUAAUUUGAGCUUGAUCUCUUUGGAUUGAUAGAGGGAGGGAUCACCGUAGUGGAAUGGGCCGAUUGAGAUCACUUUCGGCGUGAAAUACUUCUUGAAAUCUUCGUUACGGCGAAGGGCUGGUGGGACUUUUCGUAUUAAUGGUUUGGCAGCGAGUUUGCGUAGGCCGCCGUCCAAAGCUUUGUCUAAUGACCGGAGAUUCGCUUCUUCGAGAGAGCUGAGACGGACGUCCAUAUCAAUUCCCACGUAAUCGUUGUUGGUGUUGUUGUCGAUGAUUGUUUGAUCAGUGGAAACUGCUCCGACGGCUCCGCCUCCUUCCUCCGUGGACGACAUUUUCAGGCUGACCGGCUUGAAGUAAUUAACACGGUGAUUUUGAAAACUGGUUUUGGCUGAUUGAGUGAUGUUGGAAAAAAGGUGGCAAAAUAACUUUUUGAAUAUUCACUCUGUUAAACAGGAAUAGUGUAGGACUAAAUUGAUCCAUAUAUAUAUAUUUUAUUAAUAGAAAUGAGAAUUGUACUUUGCCAAGUUUCUAAGUUUGGUAUUUGUUCUUACUUUCCUUUUUCAACCCUAGGAACCACUCUCAUCACUUUUAUUUACUUUGCCAAGUUACUAAGUUUGGUAUUUUGUCACUCCAACAUAACUUUUUUUUUUAAUGAAGAUUCCAGUAUACAUUGUUUCAAUAAUAAAUCGAAACAAACAAAUUUAUUUUUUGCACAACGGUGGCGGGAGGUGGCAAGCAAGGGCCUUGGUCCCCCUAAAUGUAUAAAAUUAUAAAUUACAAAGGUAAGAUUGUAUUUUGGCCCUUAAAAAUUAUAAGGCUUUAAUUUAGUCCUUUAAAAAAACUAUAAUGAUAUUAGCUAAUACAAUGAUGAAAUUGUGUUUUUACUCUUAUCGAAAUUUAUAACUUAAUUUAGGUCCCUCAAUUUUUUUUGGCUUCGUCCUUAUCUCUACACUAGUAAAAAUUCUAAUCUAUAUCAACCACAAUGGCGAGAACUAUAACAGUCUGAUUUCAGUGGUAUCGAAAAAGAUAGUUUUGAAACCCCAUUUUCGUUGUCUGGGUUCAUAAAUAUUAAUAUUUAAUACUUACAAGGCUAGUAUAAAAGUUUAUUGAAGUUUGGUCCUGUAAUUUUGUCGAAUUUAUAGUUAAAUAAGGUAUAUGAACUAAGUUAUAAAAGUCCAAUCACUAUAGAUUUUUAAUUAGCAAAGGACCAAAAGGGCUAUUAAACUAUCUUUUAUUAUAUCAUAGUGGAUAUAAAAAAUAUUAAAUUUAGUUAAUUAAACUUGAUUAUGAUUAAUCAAUCUAGUUUAAUUAAAUUCUAAUUAGACUAUAUAUACAAAUUAAGUGGAAAAAAUGAAAACAUUGUCAUCUUCAUCAUCUUUGCUGAAUUUGAGAGACAGAAAAACCUAGAAAGCUUUCAUACAUUCGCUCCUCAAUUUCUAAGGCGAUUUAAGUUUUUUGUCUUGUAAUAUUUAUAUAUUUGAGGUUAUGGACUCUUGAUUUAUUUAGCUCAUUUAAUAAUUUGCAAAAUUGUUAAAGUUUUUGAAAGUUGCCGUUUUUAGUUUCUUGAAUAAAUAGAUGUUAAAUGGAUAGAUUUUAAGGUUAGAUGUGAAAAAGAAUUAAAUUAUAAAAUUUAAAUUGAUAGUUUUAUGCAAAAGGAUAAAAUUGUAUAAAUUGAAAAUUUGACGCUAGUUUUUUUUAUAGUUUUAGAUAACAGAGAGUUCUAGAAAAAUGUGACUGAAAUUGAUUUCGAAAUCAAAACUUCAUUUUGAAAGUUAUGACUAUUUCGGAUUUAGAGAUUAAAUUAAAUAAAAUAUGAAAUUUUAAAAAUAUGAGAAAAAUAAAAUUUAACUGACUCAUGAAUGCAUAUAACAAAAACUAAAAUUUUAAGGACACACCUUCAGCAUUUCACUUCAUUAAUAACGAAAGAAGCUUGGCUCCCUAGCUUUCCACUUCAUCCAAAAUUGUUGAACUUUUGGCCUACAACGCAACAGCAGAGAAGCAUUGAAGCUCAACCAGUAUAGCAACAACAAUUUGUUCACAUGCAACUAGCUUUAGUUUUUUUGUAAUUUGUAUUUAAAGUUAGUAAGAUUAGUUGAUGAUUUGAAUAAUGUCCAAUGUGAUGUAAUAGCUGAUCUGUCAACUACAUUUUCUGUGUAUAAUUUAAGCUUUGUUUUAGUCAAGUUAUUAGUGGGAGAAGUUGUGUAUUAGGAAACUGUAAUGUAACUUAUAUGUUUAUCUUAAUGAAAAAUGUAUAUGAAAUCAGUUUUCAGGUUUCAUUUUUGUUCAAUUCUCUUUGCAUCCUUUUCUUGCUUCUUUUCUCCUUUGUUUUCUGUCAAAACACCAACAAAUGGUACACAAAGCCUGUCAUCUUUGAGCGCCUUUGUUGUUGGUAGUUGUUUUUGUGAGAAACCUUGAAGAAAAAGAAACUGAGGCUGUUGUUUUUAUUUUGCUGCAAAAUGAAUUUUACACCACCACCUGUUUUUGCUGGUGAAAACUACCACAUUUGUGUAGUAAAGAUGAAAACUUACCUGCAAGCACAUGACUUGAGUAAAUUGGCUAAAUUUAUUCAUAUCCACAAAAUUAUUAGAAUUUUCAAAUAUAUUGGAGAGACAUUGGAUGAAACCACAAGGGAACUCACAAAUUGGAAGAAAAGCAAAAUGACAUGGAAGGAGUAAAAGAAGAGAUGGCUAAAUUGCCUGAAAAUUUAGCACCUAUGUUAAGCAACAUUGAUGAUAAAACACAUAGGAUGGAACCUAACUCAUGAAAAAUCUCAAAUUUGCAACCCCAUAUUAUUCACAUGCCAACCAACCAAAUUUUUUUGUCCUUUUUAGGGUCUACAAGACAGGUAGCAACCAUUAUUGAAGAAUUAGUCACGUUUUAAAUAUUUUCUUCUAAGUAAGCACAACGACAUUAAUAAAUUUACUUUUUAGAGUCUAUAUAAGGAAAAGGGCCUUAGGAUUUGCUACUGCCACACUCACUUCAGCAACAAUCACUUCAAAUUUUCAAGCAUACAACAGCAGCAGCCAGCGAAAUCUAAGAAAGGUAUGCACUAAUCAAUUGUUUUUAAGUACUAAUAUUUAGGGAUAAAGUAAUAUUUAAUUAUCUGAAUAUUUUAUACUAGGGACCAAGUUAUAAAAAGUUUAGAAGUUGGAGUUGAAUUCUAUAUCUUUAUACAAGUUAAAAUACAAUUUAAUCAUAUUGGUUUGUAAUUUUACAUAUUUAGUUUAAAGAGAUUAGAUCAAAAUUUUAUCAUUUUAGAGGUUGAGAUGCAAUUUUACCGUGUAUUAACACCCAAAACAUAAAUUUCCAUUUUAGGUGGCCGAAGCCUUGGUUAUUUAUCUACUUUGAUCUUUGAACUUCUUUUUUGUCUAAAUUAAUUCGAAAAUUUAAUAGUUUUUCCUAGUUUAGUCCUUCAACCUUGGUCUAUGCUACAUCAUCGCUUUCAUUCUUUUUUUAUUAUUUAAGUUUUUUAAAAUUUUCAAAUGAUGACGUGAUAUAAUCUUAAAGUGUCAUGCUAUCUCUCUUUAACGGAAUUCAAGUUCAUGGACUAAAUUAAAAGAAUUGUUAAGUUCAAAGACUAAAUAUUAUUUUAUCCCUAAUAUUAGUUACCCUGUUUUAGAAGUUGAUUGAAUUUAUUGCUUGCUUACUUUUGUUAUUAACCAUUGCUUUGUUCUUCUUCUUCUUCUUCUUUUUAAUUUUAGGUCCCGUAAUAGAAAAAAGAUGGAUGAGAAAUUUCUAAAAUCAUUAGAAACUAGAAAAUAUGAUCUCAAAUCCAGUGAUUUACCCAUAUCAAGUUACAGAGACUUGGGCCCUGGCUGUGGUGAAUUCAUCCCCUACAAUGUUUAGAGCUAUUUACAACUCCCCAACAUUUAAUAGAAGAAUAAAAGCACUUGAGCACGCUUCAACCCACAGCCUUCUAUACUAACAAUAAUGUUGAUACUAACUAAAUUAAAACUCAAUUUAACAACUGUAUAGAUUUUUAGGUUAAAUAAAUUUUAAGUACACAUAUUACUGUUGUGAUGUAAGUAUUUAGGAUAAAUCACCCUGCAUUGUCAGACAAAUUGACCCACACUAUAAAUUGUAUAUACAAACAAAAUUAAAGAGCAUUGGUAAAAUGUAUAAAAAUUUUAUUAACAUUCAAUAUUUAUAAUAAAUUAAACACAAAUAGAAUAUACAAAACUUUGAUGCCUAGAAUCCUUUAGGGCACUUCAAGCAGCCUUUAAUUUUUGUGAUUGGAUGAGUCUUGGCUGCCACAAAUUGAAGAAGAAAAAUAUAUAAAAGCAUUUCAGAACAAAUACACACAAAUUAAGCAUCUGCAUGUAAGAAACUUACAUAAUUAGUUCGUUUUCGGUUUCACAAGUUUAAUCGUUUUAAGUUUGGGAUUUUAAUUUUUGGAUUAUUUUAAAUUCGAAUGAAUGUUUUGUUUGAAUCAAUUUAUAUUUGAGUGAAUAAUAAAUGGGUUUAAAUUGCUAAUUUUUUAUGGUCAAACUUAAUUAAUUAGUUAAAUUUUCGGAUUCAUGUUAGAAUUGACACAUUUAAUUAAAAAUAUUUAAACAUUAAAAUAAUCAAAAAGUCCCUAAGUUCAACUUCCGGACGAAAAUUUAUAUUUUUACUUAGGCUUCCCCAUUUUUUCAAAUUCUUAAUUAAGCCUCACAAAAAGUAUUGAAAUUUUCAAAAUUUUCAAAACUUGCCUUUAAUUUUCUCAAAAUUUUUGAUUAAAUCUCUUAAAUUUUAUUUUCAAAAAAAAAUUUCAUUAAACACAAAAAAUUAAAUAGAUUGAAUCCAACAUCUAGGAGUUACAAAAUUCUCAUAAAUAACAAGAGUUUACAAAAAGACUAGUAAACAACACUUACUUUUGUUGAUGUAUGGUAUAAUAAGUCUGCAAAGCACCAAGCAAAAGUGCUGUAAUGGCACCCAUAAAUGCCAAAAACGUCCAAGGACUCCUAAAAUAAGUAUGAUAACCUUGAGCUGCAUGCUUAAUCCACGUAGUCUUACAAUGAUCAUGUAUUUUCCGUUUAACCCCACUGUAAAUCAUCGGACUAGGAACCAAACCAGUGUUCAUCUUAUUGAAAAGCUUAGCCACUUCUUCAUCACUCCCCAAUCUGUUGUAUAGUAUGCCGGCGUCUCUCAGGUCUUUAACAUCUUCGGCUUCAUCAAUCAAUAAAUCAAGGAAACACAUAUAUGAAGUGACGGCGAAAUCGUUGUGGAAAUCCGGACACAUUUCGUAAGCUAUUAAGUUCAUGGUUGAAUCAUCGACGGAGAUCGGCGGUAAACAUAAUUUUCCGACGAAUAAGAUACGGUUGAAACUGAUGUCGGUUAAACAACUUGUUUCGCUGGCUUUUAACGAUAUCCCGAGUUUUUUAAGCUCUUUUACGUUAUGAAUGGUGUGUGAAUGGCACCGUUUUGUUCUUUCUUCUGUUCUAUCUUCGUGUUCAAUGCAAAACGGAAAACACCACCGCCGUAGUUUUUCUAUUUUGAAAAGGAGUCUUUUAUGAAUUCCCCACCCCCGUGGUUUUUCUUUUUUGAAAAGGAGUCUUACUCGUAGUAGAUGCAAUAAGUGAAUUGGCGUUCCUUCUUGCUGCGGCCACCAGUCACUAGAGCCAAAUCUGUGUUAGUCAGGAGCCAGCUAAAAUCAAGGUUUUCAAUGGUUGAAUCAAAUCAUUAUUAUUUUAAUAAAAAAUUAUUUAAAUUAUUAAAUUACAUUUUAAACCUUUUAAAAAUUAUUAAAUUAUAAAUUUAUAUACAAUAAAAUUAUACUUUGACUCCUCAAAAUGAAUAAAAAAUUGUUCAAACACUUUUGAAAAAUGAUGAAAUUAUAAAUUAAUACAUAAAAAAAAUCUAAGAAUCAAACCAAACUUGUGGAUCGGCCUAAUUAGAUAGAGAAUCGAGCAAGGUACUGAUCCAGAAUAAUAAGUUAAAUCCAUUGAAUCCAAUCAUAGAAUCGAUUUUUUAUAUAUUUUUAAUAUUUUUAAAAAUUUAUAUAUAUAAUUAAACUGAAUGAACUUAUCAACUAGAAAUGAGAGUAAUAGAUUCCAUCACCCAUCUAGUUAUAAAAACCUUUUAACAUUUAUAAACUCCACAAAAAUGGUUAAAAAAACUGUUUUGCCAGCUACCCCAAAGUUGAGUGAUUGUUGCUGUAAUUUACCCCAUUUCUUAUUUGAAAUUGUAAAUUUUUAACAAGCUAAAUUUAAGGUUUUCAAAAUUCAACUCUUUAAGUUAUCGAUUUAUAAGUCUAAUUGGUUUGACGAAUUCAUCCGAUUAAUUAAAUCAAUUAUUAAAAAUUUUCGAUUUGAUUGCCCAAUCCAAUUAGUUUUUUUUUGGUUCAACCUGUUCAUAUAGAUUCCCAAGUUGAUUGGUCCAAUGAUUUCCUUCGGACUAAUACCUUAAUUAAUUUCCAAUCCAAAUCGAUUCAAAUAAUAUUAACUAAAAUACAAUUUUUAUUAUUUUAUUAAUGCAAAAAUUUUACCAUUUUAAAGAUAUUAAAUUAUAAAAUUUCUAUUUUAAAAAAUUGGAUUUGAAAUCAUAAUUUUUUUCCUAAAGAAAUGUACACUCAACAGGACCAAAGGAAAUCACAGGGAAAUUUUGUUUUAUGGACAGUCUUCAUCACAAAUAAAAACUGAUGUGUCUUUUUUUAAUUGAGUGGGACCAUAGAUGAUGUGGUGAAAAUGGUCCAUUAAAUAAUUUAUCACAAGCAAGAGUAAUUCCAAAAAUAGAAAAUUACAUUUUAAUUCUUUAAAAAUUAUUAAAUUAUAAAUUUAUAUAUUAUAAAAUUACACUUUGAUCCUCAAAAUGGAAAAAAUAUUUUGUUCAGUCUUUUUUUUUUAAAAAAAUAUGAACUUAUAAAUCAAUACAUGAAAAAAUUUAAGCGUCAGGCUAGUUGGAAAGAAAAGAUGAUUGGUUAAGGGUAAAAAGGAAAAUAAGAGAAAUGGAAAAGAAGAAGAAAAGAAGAACAGGGGAGGAAGAAGGGAAAAUGGAAGGAGCUUCCAAGCUUCAUACCAACGAUUCCCAAGGGUCAAAAUCUGGGAAUUUGGAUUUUGAUCCUUGGGAAUUACUGUUACGAAGUCCUUCCAUUUUCUCCUCUUCUUCUUUUCUUCUUUUUCUCCAUUUCUUCUCUUAUUCUUCUUCUUUUUUUUUGUUCUUCUACUGCCCAAACUUCUUAAAUGGGUUUGUUUAAAUGACAGCUAGCCUACCCUUAAAUGUCAUGUCACUUUUUCGUUACGUCUGUAACGAAAAAUGGUUAAAAAGACUGUUUUGUCAGCUACCCCAAAGUUGAGUGAUUAUUGCUAUAAUUUACCCUAUUUCUUAUUUGAAAUUGUAAAUUUUUAACCAGCUAAAUUUAAGGUUUUCAAAACCCAACUCGUUAAGUUAUCGAUUUAUAAUUCUAAUUGGUCUAAUGAAUUCAUCCGAUUAAUUAAAUUAAUUAUUAAAAAUUUUCCAUUUGAUUGCCCAAUUCAAUUAAUUUUUUUUGGUUCAACCUGUUCAUAUAGAUUCCCAAAUCAAUUGGUCCAAUGACUUCCUUCAGACUAAUACCUUAAUUAAUUUCCAAUCCAAAUCGAUUCAAAUAAUAUUGGCUAAAAUACAAUUUUUAUUAUUUUAUUAAUGCAAAAAUUUUACCAUUUUAAAGAUAUUAAAAUAUAAAAUUUCUAUUUUAAAAAGUUGGAUUUGAAAUCAUAAUUUUUUUUCUAAAGAAAUGUACACUCAACAGGACCAAAGGAAUUGGCAGGGAAAUUUUGUUUUAUGGACCGUUUUCAUCACAAAUGAUCUUAUCAAAUUAAAAGAGGAUAGAUCAUCUUUUUUUUCAUAUCAUAUAUACAUUGGGACUAAACUUCCAAAUAAAAAAUAAUGUGUCUUUUUUUAAUUGAGUGGGACCAUAGAUGAUGUGGUGAAAAUGGUCCAUUAAAUAAUUUAUCACAAGCAAGAGUAAUUCCAAAAAUAGAAAAUUACAUUUUAAUUCUUUAAAAAUUAUUAAAUUAUAAAUUUAUAUAUAAUAAAAUUACACUUUGACCCUCAAAAUGGAAAAAAUAUUUUGUUCAAUCUUUUUAAAAAAAUAUGAACUUAUAAAUCAAUACAUGAAAAAAUUUAAGGAUUCGACAAAACUUAUCGGUCAGGCUAGUUGUUGAGAAAAUUGAACAAGAUAUUGAUCCAGAAUAAGAGAUUAGAUUAGAUGAAUUGAGUCAUCGAAUGGAUUUUCUUUAUAUGUUUAAUAUAUCUUUAAUAUUUUCAAAAACUUAUAUAACUGAAUCGAAUAAACUAAUCAAUCAAAAUUAAGAGUAAUCAAUGUAAAAACCUUUUAACAUUUAUAACCUCGACAAAAUGAUUUUUUUAUUUAUUUUUAAAUUCCUUAAAUUACCUGUCCUCGGCUGGGGUGAUAACAGUGUCGUCGAUGAACCUUUUGACUGCAUUCAUGAACUUUUCGCCAUCACUCGAGCUUGUAAGCAAUUCAAGAACACGAAAAGGUAUUUGGUUCUCCAACAAUAACAGAUCCGAGUACACAAAUGUCAGCAAAUCGUUUUUAAUAAACAACCGGUCAUAUUCAGAAGAAAUAUCAUCACCGUAACGCAUAUAAACUGCUUGUAAAAUUGCGCAGCCGUCAACGAAGAACAUCCAAGCCAGUUCCUCGUCAUCGUCGCUAUAGUUCGCUAAUUCCUGUGGAUCAUAGCAUUUCUUUAAGUCAUCGAUCUCUGCCUUCAUGUUGCUGUACUCCUCAUUGUCGUCAAUGUUUCUGACGAAAUGUGCUGCUAAUUUGAGCUUGAGAUCAUUGGAUUCUUGGAGGGUGCCAUCAUCGUGGUGGAGUGGGCCGAUUGAGAUCACUUUCGGCUUGAAAUACUUCUUGAAAUCUUCGUUACGGCUAAGGGUUGAUGGGACUUUUCGGAUCAAUGGAUUGCAUGUGCCGUUGGAAGCUUUGACUAAUGACGCGAGAUUCGCUAAUUCGCCCUUCCAGCGUAGCAAGUCAAUACGAAUGCUCACGAAAUCGUUGUUGUUGGUGAUUGUUUGAUCAGUGGAAACUGCUCCGACGGCGCCGCCUCCUUCCUCCGUGGACGGCAUUUUCAGGCUGAGCGGUUGGAAGUAAUAAAGAAGGUGAUUUUGUAAACUGUUUUUGGCUGAGUGAGUGAUGUUGGAGAAAAGGUGGCAAAAUGGCUACGAUGAUGACAAAUAUUUUAUAGCCUACAUGAUAAACAUAUAUGGGAAAUACUUAAGGUGUAAUUCAAAUUUACCCCUUAGUGUUUAUAUUUUUAUUAAUAUAAUUUUAAUUUUUUAAUUAAAUUUAAUUCUCUUUUGAAAGAGUCAAUGAUAAAAAAGAAAAGUUAAAUUAAUAUUUUUUAACAAAAAUAGUAAUAAAUAUUAAAAUUAAGAAUAAUAUUAUAGAACCUAAAUACUCAACACAACCCAAAACCUUCGCCUUAACCAAGAAACUAAUACUUCCUAAAUUUCAUUAGCUUAAUAAUAGCUAUUCAAAUAUAUUUUUUCAUUGUAUUACUUAAAUUAUUAUUACUUACUUUAACAUUUAAAUUAUCAUUAUAUUACAUGAUUAGUUCCAAAUAUUUAACAUUGUAACUAUGCUUCUUUAAAUAUAGUAAUUGCAUUUGUUAUUCACAUGUUAUUCACAUGCCAACCAACCAAUUUAUUAUUCACAUUCCUAACUUUCUAAAUGCAUCAAAUAUUUCAUAUUCAUGUACUAACAAAGAUCAUGCCAAGAACCCACAUGCAGAGUCAUUAUAUACCACAUUUAACUCAACAAGACUUUUACAUAACCAAAGAUUACUCCAAACGUUUAUACGCAUGUCGCAAUCCUUGACUCAAAUGAUAAAAAAAAAAACACCAAAUUGACAAUAAAAUAAUGUAAGCUUCGAACGAUCCAAUCGACAUGUUCCACAAUGUAACACCUAAAAGGAAAAAGAAAACAAUGGGGUAAGCAUAUAAGAUGCUUAGUAAACUCAUAUGUAAUCUAAAACUUACCUAGAUUAAUUGAACAUAAAAAUUACUGAAUAAUCUAUCAAAUUUAUUUUUCCAUGGCACGUAGAUAUCGUAUAUGUAACAACAUUUCAAGUCGAAAAUGUUAAAUACAAUGUUGAAUCAUUAUGUCUUCUUUUCUUAAGUUUCACUUAUAGAAAUAUAAUAUAGGUUCAAGUACAAAUAUAUGUCUCGAUUAAUCUAGAAAGAAUUAGACAAAAUUCACAUAUGAUAUACGCAUAUAAUGAGUGUGAGACUCACACAUCACAAUUGAGAAUAAUGUUAUAGAACCUAAAUACUCAACAACCCAAAACCUUUGCGUUAAGCAAGAAGCUAAGACCCUAUCGGAGGGAGAAUUUUAUAUCUACAACACUUCUUAAAUUUCAUUAGCUUAACAAUAGCUAUUCAAAUAUUUAACAUUGUAACCAUGCUUCUUUACAUAUAGUAAUUGCAUUUGUUAUUCUACCCAACUUAUGAAAAAUCUCAAAUUUGCAAUUUAUUAUUCACAUGCCAACCAACCAAUUUAUUAUUCACGUGCCAACCAAUUUGUUUUAUCGAAGUUAUUAUACUUAUAAGCUUUCACAUAUAACCAUGCUUCUUUACAUAUAUUAAUUGCAUUUAUUGUUGUACCUCAUGAAAAUUUUCAAAUUUGCAACAACAUAUUAUUCGCAUGCCAACCAACCACUUUUUUUUAUUGAAGUUAUUAUACUUAUAAGCAUUCACAUUUAACCAUGCUUCUUGUAACACUUUUCAUUGGAUCCAAUCGUUCGGUCCGAUCUACAGGACGCUACAGUCAUUGUCAAAGCAACUACAGUCGAAAUUACGAUAAGAUAAUUUUCAUUUAAACAUCAAGCAAGAUUCAACUACAGUAAUACAUUAAUUAUGAGUUUUAAUCGAGCUUACAAAAGCUUUUUUGGUAGUCCGAACAAGAAUUAGGACCAAACUAUAAAGAUUUGAAAAGUUUGGAGCGACGUCGCAACUUCAGCUUUUCCUCAUCGCAACAUGACCAUCUCAGUAUGUCACAUCAUAUCGAAAAGCCUAUGCUCAUCGCAGCGAGACUCUCUGACUUGGCAAUGUCGCAAUGUCAAGAUUCGUAGCCAUGAUGUGAACUCUAUAUUUGACAAAAAUAUACAAUUUGGUACCUAAUUCAAAGCUCCAACUAAAAUCAUGCAAGAAAAAUACAUUACAUGCCAUUUCUAAAUGACUUAAAACUUACGUAAAACAUGCUAAAUAAGUUCAAACAUAUCAAUUCAAUUCCAUAGCAAUUCAUAUUACCAUUUCAUCAAUUGUAUUCAACUUUUCAAUAACUUAAACUAAAUAUCAACAAGUUAUACAAACAUCUACCAUUACCUUUAUCAUGCCAUAAUGAAUCAUUCCAUUUCAACCAAACAUCACAUUAGUUCUUUCAUUUUUCCUUUGUAGUCAACAUAUGCAAACCAACUUAAAUAGAUCACAUUCCAACUUUCUAAAUACCAAGCUAAGACCCUAUCAGAGGGAGAAUUUUAUAGCUACAACACUUCUUAAAUUUCAUUAGCUUAAUAAUAGCUAUUCAAAUAUUUAACAUUGUAACCAUGCUUCUUUACAUAUAGUAAUUGCAUUUGUUAUUCUACCUAACUUAUGAAAAAUCUCAAAUUUGCAAUUUAUUAUUCACAAGCCAAACAACCAAAUUAUUAUUCCAACCAACCAAAUUAUUAUGCACAUGCCAAACAGCCAAUUUAUUAUUCACAUGCCAACCAAUUUGUUUUGUUGAAGUGAUUAUACGUAUAAGUUUUCACAUAUAACCAUGCUUCUUUACAUAUAUUAAUUGCAUUUAUUGUUGUACCUCAUGAAAAUUUUCAAAUUUACAACAACAUAUUAUUCGCAUGCCAACCAACCACUUUUUUUUAUUGAAGUUAUUAUACUUAUAAGCUUUCACAUGUAACCAUGCUUCUUGUAACACGUUUCAUUGGAUCCGAUUGUUGGGUCCGAUCUACAGGACGCUACAGUCACUGUCAAAGCAAUUACAGUUAGAAUUAUGAUAAGAUAAUUUUCAUUUAAACAUCAAUCACGAUUCAAUUACAGCAAUACAUUAAUUAUGAGCUUUAAUCGAGCUUAUGAAAGGUUUUUUGGUAGUCCGAACAAGAAUUAGGCCAAACUGUAAAGAUUUGAAAAGUUUGGAGCAAUGCCGCGACUUCAGCUUUUCCUCAUCGCAACAUGACCAUCUCAUUAUGUCACAUCAUAUCGAAAAGUCUAUGCUCGUUGUGGCGAGACUCUCUAACUUGGCAAUGUCGCAAUGUCAAGAUUCGUAGCCGUGAUGUGAACCCUAUAUUUGACAAAAAUAUACAAUUUGGUACCUAAAUCAAAGCUCCAACUAAAAUCAUGCAAGAAAAAUACAUUACAUGCCAUUUCUAAAUGACUUAAAACUUACCUAAACAUGCUAAGUAAGUUCAAACAUAUCAUUUCAAUUCCAUAGCAAUUCAUAUUACCAUUUCAUCCAUUGUAUUCAACUUUUCAACAACUUAAACUAAAUAUCAACAAGUUAUUCAAACAUCUACCAUUACCUUUAUCAUGCCAUAAUGAAUCAUUCCAUUUCAAACAAUCAUCACAUUAGUUCUUUUACUUUUCUUUUUUAGUCAUCAUAUGCAAACCAACUUAAAUAGAUCACAUUCCAACUUUCUAAAUGCAUCAAAUAUUUCAUAUUCAUGUACUAACAAAGAUCAUGCCAAGAACCCACAUGCAAAGUCAUUAUAUACCACAUUUAACUCAACAAGACUUUUACACAACCAAAGGUUACUACAAACGUUUAUAUACAUGUCGCAAUCCUUGACUCAAAGUGAUAAAAAAAACUACCAAAUUGACGAUAAAAUAGUUUAAGCUUCGAACGAUCCAACCGACGUGUUCUACAAGGUAACAACCUAAAAGAAAAAAAGAAACAAUGGGAUAAGCAUAUGAUACGCUUAGUAAGCUCAUAUGGAAACUAAAACUUACCUAGACCAAUUGAACAUACAAAAUUACUCAAUAAGCUAUAGAAUUAAUUUUUCCCUGGCACUUACAUACAUAUAGUACAUCUAAUAAAAUUUCUGUUAAAGAAAAACAAUUUGACUCUUUUUCUGAAAAGUUAAUAACUAAAUUUAGCUCAAAUAAAAAAGAAAGAAUAAAAGUCAAUUUGAUAAAAAAUAUAAAUAUUGAAGAUUAAAUUUAUCAUUAUAUCUUUUUUAAGUAAUUAUUUGUGGUGGGCCAUUGUUGACACUAUUUUUUUGAUCGAAAACGGGGUCGGCUUGGGUUUUGAAAAUGAAAACGAAAGCGGGAGUCGCCACCAAUCCUUUUUGAUAAGGUGUGAUUGGGUCACCUUGAAAAGUGGUUGUUUUUAAUAAACGGUUUGAUUUUUAUUAAAACAACAAGUUUGGUCCACGAAAUUCAGAAAAACGGGUUAGGGAGUCGGUUACGCACGAGGAAGGAUUAGCACCCUCGAUACGCCCAAAAUUGGUACCUAGUUGAUUACUUAAUGCCUUAAUAUCGAAAAUUGAGAACUUUGAAGAAUUUUAAAAAUACGAUCCUUGUAUUAAAACGUUGAAAAUUUUCAAAAAAAAGGGGGCAUAUUUCACGUUAUUCGAGAAAGAGAAUCAUAUCAAGUAACUUAGGACACAAUGUCUCGAAUUCCCGAUACGCGAAUGAAAAAUGCUUAUUUAAAAGAUAUUUUAACUAUCUUGGAUUAAAAAAGGGAUCACGACCAGUAAGUUAGGACACGAUCCUUUUUUAAUUCUCGAUAUCGUUUAAAACUUGAGUUUGAUAAGAUUCGUGUAAUAAAGUCUAAAAGAAUAUUCAAUUGUUUAAAUCAAAUGAAGAAAUCGCAACCCAAUACGUUAGGGCACAAUUUCUCAAAAUAUUAAACACUGAAUAUUGCAUUUAUUUCGAAAAAUCCUCGUCUCGAGAAAAUAACGUGUCACAUCCAAUGCGUUAGGAUACAACGUAUUGAAUUCUCGAUAACGAGCUUUUUAUCAUUUUUAAAAGAGUAAUCUCGAUUAUUUAAAUUCAACGAAAAAAAUCAGAACCCAAUACGUUAGGGCUCGAUUCUCUCGAAGGUCUUAAAUAUCGAGUAUUAUUUAUUUUGAAAUUUCUAUUUUUGACGAAUCCGAGUAAAAAGUGAAUGUAAAAUAAUGAUAAUGAUGAUAAUGCAAAUAAAAUAAUGCAUGCAAAUAAAAAGGAUAAAUAAAUAAGAUGAUAAAUGUAUAAUAAAAAGAAAUCAACAAUGUAUACACAAAAUAAAGUAAAUAUGCAAACACAAACUAAUGCACUUAAAUAAAUAAUAAUAAUAACAAUGAGCAUGUAAAUAAAUAAGUAAAUGAACACCAAAUGAAAUAAUAGUAAUAAAAAAUAAAAAAACAAAAUAUAUAUAUAUGUACGUAAGUUAAAAUUUUAAAGUAUAAAAAAUGUAUGUAUGUGUACGUAAGAAUAUGUAUGUAUAUAAAACUAUAUGAAAAUGUAAAAACAUAUAAGUAUGUGUAUAUAUUUAUAAAAAAUAUGUAUAUAGAUAUAUAGAUACAAAUUAUAAAAUAUAAAAAAUACAAAAAUAAGUAUAUACAUAUAUAUAUGAUAAAUUUUGAGAUUUUAAAGAUAUAAAUAAACAAAUAGCAGCAAUAAUAAUUAAUGGUAAAAGUAUAACAUCAAAUUUAUUAUUUAACAAGAAAACAAACAAAAUACAAAAGGACUAAAUUAAAACUUUAAACGAACUUCGGGGCUUAAAUAUGAAACAAACAAAAGGAAUAAUACAGGACCAAAGUGAAACACGCUUAAAGCGUGAGGGACUUGUGGGGAAAUAUUUCCCCGUCCUGAAACGCUGCGUUUCAACCAUGGGCAGCAAUUGGUCUAAGGACCAAAUCGGAAUAGAAGCAAAAUCCACAGGCCGAAAUAAAAAAAUACUACAUUGAAGCAAAUUGUGAAAGCGGAGGGACCUAUUGCAUAAAUAGCCCAUUUCAUGAAAACACGCAGAUCCCCCUGGAGCGGGUCGGAUCACACGCGGGUCAUGGGGCUUAAACGGUGCCGUUUCAAGCUUAUUAUAAAUAUAAAAAAAACCUCAAAAAAUUUUAGUUUCACCUUUCUUUAGAAAAAACAGAGAGCAAAGCUCUCUCUCUCAGGCCUCUAACCGGCCAUGGCUGUCGGCUUUAGCGCCACCGUGGACGGUGGCCGACGUUGCGCAAAAGAAGCCUUUCAUCCCCGAUUCACAACUCACACGAAAACCAGGCCUUCCUAGCCCGAAAGAUAUGAAAAAGGAGGGGUCUUUUGUACCCCUUUCAGUCCGAUUCCAACGUCGAAAAUGGUCUCCGGCGACGGGCUUUCGAGACAGGUAAGUAUCCCUUUUCUUUUCUUUUUCGUUUUGUUUAAAAAGUUAUAGAAAAUAAACAAAAAGGGAAGAAAAUAAACAAAAAAGAAACGCAAGAACCGAAAAAAAAAUAGACUGAGAUCAACCUUUUUUUUUGCUUUUUGAUUUUCUUAUUAAUUCGUUGUAUUUUUGUGAAAAUGUUACAAAAGAAAAGGAAGCCCCCCCAUUUUCGGUUUUUUAAUGGCUUUUAUAUAGCCUUUUACAAGCUUUUUUCUUUUUAUUUUUACUCUAUUUUUGCUUCUUAAUGUUGCGUGUUGCAGGUGAGCAGUUGGGAGCAGGUGAGCGGCGAUGGGACGUGCGCGGCGGCCAACAGAACGGCAGUGGCAGGGCAAGUGGGGUGCGGCAGCACUAGGGUUUCAGAAAAGCUGAAACCCUAGUUUGACCCUUAGUAUUUGGGCUUGGGUCUUGGUUUGGGCUGAAGGGUAUUGGGUUAGUUGGGCUGGUGGGUUAGUUUAAUUGGUUUAGUUUUUUUUGUUUUUGUAAUUGGGCCCGGGCAAAUGGGCUUGUACUGCUGCCCCUCUUUGCUCAUUGUCGUGUAACGAGAAUAGAGCAAAGACUAAGAAAAGCCCAUUUUGCCCAGUUUCGCCAAAUCUUGACUUCUUCUUGCGCUUCUCUUCCUUAAGUAGUUUCACUCCAGUCUACCGUGUUGUGUUGCUCCAACCCACUCCACUGCAACUUCAGAGAGAUACGACUUGUAGUUUCAAUCCACUCUGCUGUAACUUUAGGAGGCGAGUUUUGUGGUUUAAAUUUGCUUCCCUACUACCUUAGGAAGAUAAAAUUCACUGUCUUCGAUCUGCUCCACUACUGCUUAGGGUGACAGAAUCCGCAAUCUUCAACCUACUCCAUUAUUGCUUAGGGAGAUAAGACUAAUGGUUUAAAUCUGCUUCUCCACUAUCUUGGGAAGAUAAGAUUCACCAUCUUCGAUCUGCUCCACUACUGCUUAGGGUGACAGAAUCUGCGAUCUUCAACCUACUCCACUACUGCUUAGGGAGAUAGGACUAAUGGUUUAAAUCUACUUCUCCACUAUCUUGGGAAGAUAAGAUUCACCAUCUUCGAUCUGCUCUACUGCAACUUCAGAGAGAUAAGAUUAGUGGUUUAUAGCUUUAAUCUGCUCUAUAGCAACUUCAGAGAGAUAAGAUUUGCUAUUUUCAAUAUGUUCGUCGAGGAAGUAAGAUUCGCCGUUGCGGCCUCAAUCUUUUAAUUACAAUGUCGAAAAAGCAAGAUUCACCGUUGUGGCUUCAAUCUUUUCCGCUGCACUGCCUGGAAAGUAAGAUUCGCCGUUGUGGCUUCAAUCUUUUAAAUUACAAUGUCAGGGAAGUGAGAUUUGCCGUCGUAGCUUCAAUCUUUUGAAUUGCAAUGUGAAGUGAGAUUCGCCGUCGUAGCUUCAAUCUAUUCUGCUGCACUGCUUGGAAAGUAAGAUUCGCCAUUGUAGCUUCAAUCUUUUUAAUUGCAAUGUCGGGGAAGCAAGAUUCGCCGUUGUGACUUCAAUCUGUUCCGUUGCAUCGACUGAGAAAUAAGAUUCGCUGUUGUGACUUCAAUCUUUUAAAUUACAAUGUCGAGGAAGCAAGAUUCGUUGUUGUGACUUCAAUCUGUUCCGCUGCAUCGCCUGGGAAGUAAGAUUCAUUGUUGUGGCUUCAAUCUUUUAAAUUUCAAUGUCGGGGAAGUGAGACUCGCCAUCGUAGCUUCAAUCUAUUCCACUGCACUGCUUGGAAAGUAAGAUUCGCCAUUGUAGCUUCAAUCUUUCUAAUUGCAAUGUCGGGGAAGCAAGAUUCGCCAUUGUGACUUCAAUCUACUCCACUGCAACGCUAGGAAAGUAAGAUCCGUUGUUGUAGCUUCAAUCUUUUUAAUUGUAAUGUCAGGGAAGUAAGAUCCGCUGUUGUAGCUUCAAUCUGUUCCACUGCAACGCUAGGAAAGUAAGAUCCGCUGUUGUAGCUUCAAUCUUCUUAAUUGCAAUGUCAGGGAAGUAAGAUCCGCUGUUGUAGCUUCAAUCUUCUUAAUUGCAAUGUCAGGGAAGUAAGAUCCACUGUUGUAGCUUCAAUCUGUUCCACAGCAACGCUAGGAAAGUAAGAUCCGCUGUUAUAGCUUCAAUCUUUUAAAUUACAAUGUCAGGGAAUUAAGAUUCGCUAUUGUAGCUUCAAUCUGUUCCACUACAACGCUAGGAAAGUAAGAUCUGCUAUUGUAGCUUCAAUCUUCUUAAUUGCAAUGUCAGGGAAGUAAGAUCCGCUGUUGUAGCUUCAAUCUGUUCCACUGUAACGCUAGGAAAGUAAGAUCUGCUAUUGUAGCUUCAAUCUUCUUAAUUGCAAUGUCAGGGAAGUAAGAUCCGCUGUUGUAGCUUCAAUCUGUUCCACUGCAACGCUAUGAAAGUAAGAUCCGCUGUUGUAGCUUCAAUCUUUUUAAUUGCAAACUAUGGUUUCUUCGAUUUGCUUCGCUGUUAGUACAGGAAGGCAAGAUCUGCUAUCUUCAUUGAACUGUUCUCUAGUGAACAUGACAUUUAUGUUCUAUUUUAUGAACCUAAUUGUGCCUAGUGAUUAGGAUGGCAUGAUCAGAAUGAAUCAACUGCUCCUAACUAGAUGUGUAUGAAUGGCAUUUGCAUGAUGUCAUGAAGAUGAUUCCUUAAUGUUUAAGUUGUUAUUGCUCAUUGCUUUAUCACUGACGUGUUACAACGCCUUCUUGUUUAGCUGGCAUAUCCAAAGAAACACUUAAUCUGAUUGCUCCCCCAUUGUGAACGUCAAAGUUCAAUCCACUGGAUGCAAAAUUUGAACCAUCUUUCUCCCGCUGUAACCCAAGGGUAAAAAUAUAUGACUUUUCCCAAUCUUCUCCUAUCGUAAUUCAAGGAUACAAAAUGUGAAGCUCUUUGGUCCUUUACCCCAUUCCCAAGGUGUCAUACCAAAUGCUUAUGCACAAUUACAAAAUUUUCCUCUCUGAGAAAACCUUUUCUUAUCACUUGGUGAUCAUUGCUUGUUUGUUUAUUGAAGCUUUGUCACCAACACGACAUCUCGUCAUUUUGUCAAUGUUUGGACAACAAAAUCCAGAAGGAUAGUCUUUAACUUAGGCUCUUCCUUCUUAGAUACUUCACCCUUUAAACUUGAUGUUUUCUAAACAAUAGUCCUGUUUCAGGUUCCUAUAUUAUUUAGAAACUUCUAGAGUAAUAUGCAAACUUCCCUUGUGAAAGUAAUAUUUGUCCAUUAAUCAUUAUUCCAAUGCAACAUGCUUGCAAAAAGGGUUAUAACAAUGGAUAAGAAUAAAGAUGGUUCUGAGCAUAGCUCAAAAUGAAUAAAUUAUCAAAAAUAGUAAAGAAUAAUAAAAAAUUUGAUUGGGAAUGUAUAUCUUAGAAAAGAAAAAGUAUUCCAAGAACAACAAAUUUAAUAUAUAAAUAAUAUGAAGGUUGGGUGCCCCAGAUAUCGCAGCUUGAAUUUCUCUGUACAAACUUUUUGAAUACAUGUGUUUAGGAGAUCAACAGGACUUUGUCGAUGCCCCAAGAUGUCGCCUACCCUUUCCUACUGAUUCAGGUAUAGCAAUAUCACCAUAUGCCCCGUUCUGAUCAAAAUUUGAGCUGCUUUGAUCGCCUCAUCCCCCAAUUUGAUCCAAAAUUUGAGUCGCUCUGAUCACUUAAUGUCCCAUUAUGAUCAAAAGUUUGAGCCGCCCUUUUCGGGUUUUCAACUCAAAUCCCCUUUGGUCUCAAGGUGCCCUUUGCGGGUUUUCACCCUGGCCUCUUUUUUUUUUCAACUCAUUGGAUUAGACAUGUCCUCGUUAUCCUUUCCGAUCAAGAUUGACGCUUUUCCAGAUAAGGCCUUCCACAUAAGGUUCUUCCCAUCUUGACAUGAAGUUCUUUUUGUGUGGGAAGGAUCUUCUUCGAUACUAGGUCCUCUCAUGGAAUUCUCUUCUUCUUCUCCCUCUUUUUUUUGAGCUCACAUCAUUUGCUUUUGGCGCAUUUGACCAUGAUGGAUAACUUUGAACAUUCCUCCUCAAUCGAGAUUGGGUCCAAAAACUUAGAAAGAAUCUCGUCUUCAAUAGGCAAAAUCGCAAUAGGCCCAAGAGAACGGCAUUGCCCCAAUAGAGUUUUUUUUUCAAAGUGCCCUUUGCGGAUUUUUACCUUGGUCUUUUUUUCUUCUUUAAACGAAGUGUUUCUUGACUGGAUCCGAGUUUAUAGGAUUAUCAAUCUCACUCAAGAUCAGUGCUCCUCUGAAAAUGGUCUUCUUUAUAACACAAUGACAUCCCCGGCUUGGCAUUCAUUUCCUUCUAGAAUCCUUUCGUUAAGGAAGAAUCUUUUUUAACAUCCAGCCCUCUCGUGGAAUUCUCUGAGACGAGCCUAUUUAUUAUGGGCUCAUAUUAUUUAUUUAUGGUACAUCCGACUCUAAUAAAUAGCUUUUAAUCCCUUUUCCUAGGGUCAACUGAUCACAUCGCGAUUUGAUCCCUCCAACAAGCAAUGAGGGGAUUUUAAUAGGUAAAACUACCUCAAUCCUGUAAACCAAAAAGAGAGGUGUUGCCUCAGUACACAUGUUCGAAAAACGAUGAGGGCAAAUAGUAAUUUCUCAUGCCAGUCCUUGUUCACCUCUAGGUAAUUUGGUGACAAAACGUGGUGUCUGCUUCUGAAUUGAUUUCAGACCUCAGUUAUCAUGCUAUCAUUUAAGUUCAAUGCAUUUUCCAAUACCAUUCUCUCUGAAAAUCUGUAUCGGUAUAGGAUGACCUUGAUUCAUGAAGUAGCCUCUCAAAAAUGAAGCAACGCCCAUUAGAAGUCUUCGAUAAUGGUGCUGUCCAUGCCCCAUUUUGCUCAAAAUUUGAGUCGCCCUUUUUCGGGUUUUCAACUCAGAUCCACUUUUGGUCAAAGCACCCUUUUGCGGAUUUUCGCCUUGACCUCUCCUUUUUCUUUUUCUUUUUUUUCUUUUUUCUUUUUCUCUUUUUUUCUAUUUUGACUUUGAUUUUUUUUUAUUUUUUUUUAUUUUUUUAUUUUUUUUUGAGUCUGAACUCAUGAGAUUAGGCAAGUCCUGGUCAUGCUUUUCGACCAAAAUCAAUGUUAUUCUAAAGUCUUCCACAUAAGAUCUUCCACUUUUAUCUUGUAUGUGAAAAACCUUCUUUGGUACUAGAUUUCUUUCAUAGAGCCCUUUUGGGAGGCAACUACGACAGAAAACUUUGGAUCUUUCUCUUUAAUCAGGAUAAAAUCCAACAACAUCUUGAAGGGAUGGAAACCCGACUUCAAAUGGGCAAAGCUAUGCUGACUCAACGAGAGAGGCAUUGCCCCGGCAAAGAAUUACAUCGUUCGCACUGUAAAUUUCUAACAUCGUGCUGUUGUGCAGGUUUUAUUAUAAGAAUCGAGGCAUACCCCGGUAUGAUCAUAUAAAGACAUCUUUGAACUCUAGAGGUAACUCAAUAAUGUCUUGCUUCGUCUCUGUGGUCAGGUCAAUUCUAGUCUUCAUGAAGCUCACAAUUUCUAAUGAUUCCUUGAGAGGUAGGAUCUGUUUAUCUUCUUGUUCUACCAUCCUCAACGAGUCCGAAGAUAGGCUACAAUCUGUGUCAUCUUCAAAGUCGUGAGAUCCCUCUAAACACAUGUCUCGCUCAAAAUGAGAUUCUGAGUCUGUAGCAGUGUCAUUCAUGUCAUUGAUAUUCAGGGACCUAUUGUAGGUACAAGAGAAUAUACAAAGAAUGUAUGAAUUUAAGAAUAAUUAUCUGCACAGUAUGAUUAUGAAUGAAAGAAUGAUUUGGAUGAAAGAAUAAAAGAAUAAUCAUUCAAGAAAUGAAAGAAUAUUGGUUCAAAAGAUCGCAAAGAUGCAUUCCAUUAAAAUAAUGACGUUCAGACAUGAGCCUAUUUCACAAAAGACUUCUUGUUGCCUCUAGGCUAAAAGCAACAAGUGUGUUUUGAAUAUUACUCUGAGUAAGCUCUAAAUACUACAGAGGUUUCUUUAGAACACUCCCAAGUUUAUAAGGGCGAACAUCUAACAAGAUCUCUUCUCCAGUUGUUUCUUCAUAUUCAGCACUAAUGUGAACAUUUCCCAACAUUUCUUCAUUCAUCGCAUUCCCUUCAUUAUCCGUAUGAUUGAGUAGCGGGUUUUCUGUACUGAGUGAAUCCUCAAAUUUGACAAUGCCCAUAUUGAUGAACCUUUCGACUAGCUUUUUAAAGGCCGUGCAGUUUUCUAUAGAAUGCCCCGUAAUUCCCGCAUGGUAGUCGCAUUGUGCGUUCGUGUCAUACCAUUUGGGAUACGGAGACUGUAUGGGUUUUAAGUAAUGAGGAGCAACAACAUGUGCAUCGAACAAGCUUUGAUACAGCUCCUUAUAUGACAUCGGAAUUGGUGUGAACUGUAGCUUCUCGGUGCCUGGUUUCACUCCAAAUCCUUGCUUUAAAGGAUUCUAAUGUCUGGUGGUUUCUAUUUUUAGCCUGCCCACAGUGAUUGGUUUUGAGUGACCCUUGUUAUAUCUGUUUGUAUUAUCCCCCCUAUUCCCCUUCUUCCUUGGGGCCUUUAUAGUAUCUAGGUACUCUGCCCUCACCUGCUUCAUUUUUACUGGAUCAUCACGAGCAACAGGAAAAUGGUUCCUCAAAUUGGAUCUUGGGCCCGUUAGGCCACUCACUGGUGCUGUUGUACCAGUCUGAUAUUGUUGAGAUCUUAUGGUAAAUGGUGCCCUUUGUGGGUGCCUACCUGGCUGGACCUAGACACUUGUCGGAGUACAAUCUAGAAAAUAAGCAAAAUCCUCAUUAUCAAUCCCAGAGUGGUCUAUCAGGUCCUUCAUUUUUUCUGACCCUCCAGCUAGCAAUCGGUUGAACUGGCUCAUCAUGGUUCUCUGUAAUUCUAGCAUCUGAUCUCUCAUCUCCUGUUGAAAUUCGGUCAAUUGCUCCUGCAUCUGUGUCUGCAUUCGCUCUAAUAUCUCCAACCUUUGGUCCAUUCUUUUAGUUUCUAUUCGGGUACCGCAAGAAUGUUGGUUUUUCAGAUUUUCUGAAAUAAUUUUACCUAAUUAAGGUCACUUCAUGAAAAUCUAAUACAUAUGAUGUAAUGUAAUGCAAAUGCAUGAAAUGAAUGCAAAAAGAGACGUUGAUUCUUGGUUCAAUUCUUAUUAUGACAACUUUACUAGAAAACAAAUCUCUUUACAUAAAGCGGAUAUAUAUAUACGGCUUUGCCCUUAUAUUCCAAGUCAACGAUCAUUUUCUUCAUUCGAGCGUUAAGAUAAAUCUCACGAACUCUUCAAAAGGAACGUCUCUUCUAUCACCCUUUUGCUUGACCCGGGCCGUUACUCACUCAUCCUCGUGAUGCUCGUUGGCUUCUCUUUAAGAAAGUUCAGCGGCUCUCGAAUAAUCCUUGUCAUCUUUAGUCCUCGGGCAUCAGAGCAAUAGUUGUGUUGUCCUCUAUCAUCUUUCUCUUGAUGUGUUUUCUCGGAACAUAUUCGGGCAACCGUAUUAUUUUCCACUUUAUCAAAAGACCCAUUUCCUUAUGACAAGCUCUCUAUUUAACAACUGAAUAUGAAUCAACACCUCUUUUAAUGAUGAAAAUUCAAUGCAAUCAAAACAGAAAAGAAAACAGGUUAGUAUAAAGCAAAAGCAGGCAAGAAUAAUUAGAACACCUAUUUGGGUAAAUACUAGGGGUUCAAAGUGGUUCUACCUAGGGUGGGCUCCUAAGGUUCACUACAUGAGGUUUGGUUCUAAAAUAAAGGUACCCGAACCAGCAGAUUCCUCGAUCUUCACCCAUUAUAGGCUUAUACGGACCGAGUUCAGUUCAGGGGAAUACAUUUCCCUAUGGCUGCACGGAGAUGAAAAUUUCAUGAAGACAUAGGUACGGAUGUAUCCUAAAAGUGAUCCACUAUCCUACACGGAGGUGAAAACCUCAAGAAGGACUAGCUUCUCACUCCCACUUAAAUAGGUGUGACUAACGGUCAUACAAUGCAAUGCAGAAAGGCAUAAAAAAAUUUAAAAUAUAAAACAUGAUGAAAACUCAAAACAAUUGAAAUGCAAUGGGAGGAUCGUCUAUUUAAAUCACAUUUUCAACUUUCGACAAAAAGACAAGAAAUAAUCAACUCGUGGCUUGACUCUCUUAUUUAAAGUCCCCAGUGGAGUCGCCAAGCUGUUGACACCAUUUUUUUGAUCGAAAACGGGGUCGACUUGGGUUUUGAAAAUGAAAACGAAAACGAGAGUCGCCACCAAUCCUUUUUAAUAAGGUGUGAUUGGGUCACCUUGAAAAGUGGUUAUUUUUAAUAAACGGUUUGAUUUUAUUAAAACAACAAGUUUGGUCCACGAAAUUCAGAAAAACGGGUUCGGGAGUCGGUUACGCACGAGGAAGGAUUAGCACCCUCGAUACGCCCAAAAUUGGUACCUAGUUGAUUACUUAAUGCCUUAAUAUCGAAAAUUGAGAAAUUUUAAAAAUUUUAAAAAUACGAUCCUUGUAUUAAAACGUUGAAAAUUUUCAAAAAAAGGGGCAUAUUUCACAUUAUUCGAGAAAGAGAAUCAUAUCCAGUAAGUUAGGACACAAUGUCUCGAAUUCCCGAUACGCGAAUGAAAAAUGCUUAUUUAAAAGAUAUUUUAACUAUCUUGGAUUAAAAAAGGGAUCAUGACCAGUAAGUUAGGACACGAUCCUUUUUUAAUUCUCGAUAUCGUUUAAAACUUGAGUUUGAUAAGAUUCGUGUAAUAAAGUUUAAAAGAAUAUUCAAUUGUUUAAAUCAAAUGAAGAAAUCGCAACCCAAUACGUUAUGGCACAAUUUCUCAAAAUAUUAAACAUUGAAUAUUGCAUUUAUUUCGAAAAAUCCUCGUCUCGAGAAAAUAACGUGUCACAUCCAAUGCGUUAGGAUACAACGUAUUGAAUUCUCGAUAACGAGCUUUUUAUCAUUUUUAAAAGAGUAAUCUCGAUUAUUUAAAUUCAACGAAAAAAAUCAGAACCCAGUACGUUAGGGCUCGAUUCUCUCGAAGGUCCUAAAUAUCGAGUAUUAUUUAUUUUGAAAUUUCUAUUUUUGACGAAUCCGAGUAAAAAGUGAAUGUAAAAUAAUGAUAAUGAUGAUAAUACAAAUAAAAUAAUGCAUGCAAAUAAAAAGGAUAAAUAAAUAAGAUGAUAAAUGUAUAAUAAAAAGAAAUCAACAAUGUAUACACAAAAUAAAGUAAAUAUGCAAACACAAACUAAUGCACUUAAAUAAAUAAUAAUAAUAACAAUGAGCAUGUAAAUAAAUAAGUAAAUGAACACCAAAUGAAAUAAUAGUAAUAAAAAAUAAAAAAACAAAAUAUAUAUAUAUAUAUGUACGUAAGUUAAAAUUUUAAAGUAUAAAAAAUGUAUGUAUGUGUACGUAAGAAUAUGUAUGUAUAUAAAACUAUAUGAAAAUGUAAAAACAUAUAAGUAUGUGUAUAUAUUUUUAAAAAAUAUGUAUAUAGAUAUUUAGAUACAAAUUAUAAAAUAUAAAAAAUACAAAAAUAAGUAUAUACAUAUAUAUAUAUGAUAAAUUUUGAGAUUUUAAAGAUAUAAAUAAACAAAUAACAGCAAUAAUAAUUAAUGGUAAAAGUAUAACAUCAAAUUUAUUAUUUAAUAAGAAAACAAACAAAAUACAAAAGGACUAAAUUAAAACUUUAAACGAACUUCGGGGCUUAAAUAUGAAACAAACAAAAGGAAUAAUACAGGACCAAAGUGAAACACGCUUAAAGCGUGAGGGACUUGUGGGGAAAUAUUUCCCCGUCCUGAAACGCUGCGUUUCAACCAUGGGCAGCAAUUGGUCUAAGGACCAAAUCGGAAUAGAAGUAAAAUCCACAGGCCGAAAUAAAAAAAAUACUACAUUGAAGCAAAUUGUGAAAGCGGAGGGACCUAUUGCAUAAAUAGCCCAUUUCAUGAAAACACGCGGAUCCCCCUGGAGCGGGUCGGAUCACACGCGGGUCAUGGGGCUUAAACGGCGCCGUUUCAAGCUUAUUAUAAAUAUAAAAAAAAACCUCAAAAAAUUUCAGUUUCACCUUUCUUUAGAAAAAACAGAGAGCAAAGCUCUCUCUCUCAAGCCUCUAACCGGCCAUGGCUGUCGGCUUUAGCGCUACCGCCGUAGCGCCACCGCCGUAGCGCCACCGUAGACGGUGGCCGACGUUGCGCAAAAGAAGCCUUUCAGCCCCGAUUCACAACACACACGAAAACCAGGCCUUCCUAGCCCGAAAGAUAUGAAAAAGGAGGGGUCUUUCGUACCCCUUUCAGUCUGAUUCCAACGCCAAAAAUGGUCUCCGACGACGGGCUUUCGAGACAGGUAAGUAUCCCUUUUCUUUUCUUUUUCGUUUUGUUUAAAAAGUUAUAGAAAAUAAACAAAAAAGGAAGAAAAUAAACAAAAAAGAAACGCAAGAAUCGAAAAGAAAAUAGACUGAGAUCAACCUUUUUUUUUGCUUUUUGAUUUUCUUAUUAAUUCGUUGUAUUUUUGUGAAAAUGUUACAAAAGAAAAGGAAGCCCCCCCCCCCAAUUUUCGGUUUUUUAAUGGCUUUUAUAUAGCCAUGGUGAAUUCAUCCCCAACAUUUUAGCAGGCCCAGGUGGAUUCCAAGAACACAAACAAUUAAAUUGGCUAAAUUUAUUCAUAUCAACCAAAUUAUUAAAAUUUUCAAAUAUAUUCAAAAAAAUAGGAGAGACAUUGGAUGAAACCACAAGGUAAAUCACAAACAGGAUCAAAUUGAAAGAAAAGCAAAAUGACAUAGAAGGAACAAAAGAAGGGAGGGCUAAAUCGCCUGAAAAAUUAGCACGUGUGUUAAGCAACAUUGAUGAUAAAACACAUAGGAUAGAGCAUAUGGAAUGUCGCAUGGAAGAGAACAUGUAGAAGAUCAAUAAGGGGCAAAUUAACAAUAUUAUAGAAGAAUUGAGGGGCUUGAAAAGGGAAAUAAAAGAGUUAAAGCGGGAUGUGAAAGAAAUUAAAAUAAAAAUUUGUAUGAAAGAAAGAUAAGGGUAUUCUUUUGCUAGUCAUGGAUGUAAUAACGAAGUUCAAUUUUCGUCGGCAUUGUACGGAAGAAUCGAAGAUGAAGUGAACGAGUUUUUAAGAUUUUUGAAGUUUAAUAUCGAAGGAUUGUCGUAUGUGGGUAUGUGAGUGUGUUUCUAUUGUAAGGAAUGGUGUAAAAAAUUUAUGAUUUAAGGUUUUGUUAUAUAAGGAAGGAAAGCACCUUUUAAGAUUAUUAGAGGCACUUAUUCACGUGUUGUGUUUUGAAUUGAGUUGUACUUUUUUUUAGUGUAUGUAUUAUGGACCUGUUGAUGUGGUACAAGUUUAGUUCUUUUGAGUGCAUCUUGUGAUGUUAAGUAUGUUUUGUUGGGCCUCUUGGCUCCUAUAUUUCAAUGAUAAUAAAAUAUAUUUCAAGCAUAGUACUUUUUGUAUAUUUAGAUUUAAUAUUAUACUUUUAUUUUAAGAUAAUCUUUCUACUACAACAAUGUUUAAUGCAAAUAUGAACUCAUGUUGCAAUUUACUAUUAUCAUCUGAUUGGAAUGCAACAUCUAUUUAAACUUCGACACGAAACUAAAUUCCUCCAUAAACUAGAAAAAUAUCAUUAGUUCUUCGUAAGUUAUUUCACCUCAAUCUAAUGACCAUUGUAGAGGCCCAAUUUUAUUCGGACCAAACAAAUAAAACAAAAAUAAAAACGAAAACAAAUAAAAGUCCAUUAAUAGUCCAAAUUACAAGCCUAAUGACCAAAUCCAUCUGCUAACCCUAAUACCCAAUAACCCAAAGCCCAAUAGCCCAACUAUCCUAAACAACCAUAAACUCUAAUUUCCCCCUAAGCCUCCAGCCGCCGCUCCUUGCCACAUGAGUGAGCACUUCUCCUAAAGACACCCACGCCUUAGGUCUGCCCCCUGCCAUCGUUUCACCAAAAUGGCUAAGGGGCACACCUUCCCUUGUCGUUGACCACUACCAUGGCAUCUGCAAAAGAAGACACAGAGAGUAGAAAUAGAGAAAAACAAAAAGAAAAGAACAAAAUAUUAUAUUUGGUUCGGCUAUAAAGGUUGAACCCUCUGUAAUUUUUAAGUGGGGGAGACCGAAUACAAAAAAGAAAAAAAGAACAACAAAGUUUAAAAAAAGAGGUAGCUUAUCGAUUGUUCUUUUUAUUUUGAAAAAUAUAAAAAACAAAAGGCUCGAUUUUUACCUGUGGCGCUUUGUCCCCUGCCGUCGUGGGAGCCCUUCGUCAGACGAAUAUGUGCAGGGGUGUUUUCUUUUCUUUUCUUUUUCUUUAAAAAAAACACAUUUUUUUGAACUUUCGUUUUUUGGGCCUUUAUGACUGGACAAGAGGGGGUCUUAAAGAGAAAAGAAAGGAAAAAGAUUUUUUUUUUUAAAGCUGACCCCAAAUGUUUUUAUUUUUAUUUUUACUUAUAUAGGACGUACUAUAUGACGUUGUUUUGGCUUAACUUUCAUGUAAUAGCCAGAUGUUAGGCCUAGUCAGAACAGUGGUUUCGGGACCACAAAUUCGACGAGAAAAAAUUUAUUUUAAUUAUAUUUUUAUGGUCUACAAUUUCACGAAAAUAUUUCGUGAAAAUUUCGUUCGAAAAUUUCGACGUUUGGGCACUCAAUUUAGCCAAAACUAAAUUGUAAAAAGUGCAAAAGUUGAGUUCUAUAUGUUAGGAGUGUCUAAUUGUUAUGAAAUUUUAAAUUGGAGGUCCUUAAAUGGAAAUUAGACCAUUGUUUAUGUUAUGGACAAAAAUGAACAUGAAAUAGAUGAAAUAGGAUAUUUUUAAGUUAAGGUUAUUUUGGUAAUUUGGAAAUUAAAACAAAUUAAAAAGACAAAAUAAGCCAAAAUUUCAUCAUCUUCUCAAGGGGGGUGGACGAAUAUCAGGUUACUCCAUGGCUAGGGUUUGUUCAUUCUUUCAAGCUUCAUGGUAAGUCUGUUUUAGCCCUGUUUUUCUUGUUCUUUAUAUUUUUAGAAUUCUGGUAACUUGCUUAAGCUAUUUCUACCAUUAAUUCGAGCUAGAAUUUAUGUUUAAAAAAUUACCCAUAGAUGAAAAGUGUGAAUUUUGAUGUUUCAUGAUAGAAUAUGAAGCUUAGAAUUAUGUUAAACGAUUUUUGCCAAGUGAUUUUCAGUGAAAACAAGUGAAACAAUAUAAUCGAUAAAAAUUAUUAUUGUUCAUAAGUGAAUGUUAGAGUAAGAAUUUGAUGUUUCCAUAGAAGCGAAAAAUGUUUAGUAUGUCAUAAAACAUAAGAAUAAGAGAUGAAGUUUAAUUUCCGAGCUUUGGGGCAAAACUGUAAAUAUGCAAAAGUUUAGGGGCAAAAUUAUAAUUUUUCCAAAGUUUGAGUCAAGGACUGUUUUGGUGAAUGUGAGUGUUAAAUAAUUCAAAUGUGUUAUUAUGGAUCAAGAAAGAAGUGGAAUCGACCUUGAUCGGAGAAAAGAAAAGAUUAAAGACUAAAUUGCUAAAUUUCUAUAUUGUUGCACCAAAAUAAGUUAUGUGUAAAUAAUAGCAAUAUAUUGUUAUAAAUUGUAAAUUAUUGGGAAGUAAGAAUCUUUGUGGAAUUGUCGGAAUAGUAAAGAAUUGAAUAAGGUAUCGAUGAACACGUGUGUAGUACUGUGUGAAGGCUACUACGUGUAUCGAUAAAUAAUGGUCACAUGUGUAGUACUAAGUGAAGGCUACUAUGUGUACCGAGAAGCUUUGGUUACGUGUGUAGUACUUUGUGAAGGCUACUACGUGUACCAGACUGAUAGGUCGCAUAUGUGGCACGGACUGUGUGCAGGCCACCGAUAUUCUGUUAUGAUACAAGAGUGGCACGGACUGUGUGCAGGCCACCGAUAACCUGUUAUGAUACAAGGGUGGCACGGACUAUGUGCAGGCCACCGAGAAUCUAUUAUUACACAAAGGUGGUACGCAUUGUGUGCAGGCCACCGAAAAAUCUAUUUUUAUUUCGACAAGUUCAACGGGAAAUUUAUUAAGUGAAAAUACAUGAUAUGACGGAAUGACUAUGUGAUUUAUAAGUGCAUAUAUAUUGGGAAAAUUAUGAACAAUGUACUCGUUAUUUGAUAGAACUAUUGAUAAAAUGAAAAUGAAAUGAAGUAAGAGAAAUUCAUGAAGGAGUGAAACUUAAAAUAAAAUAGUUUGGACAGUAACAGUGGUGUGACUUUGAAAAAUCACUAAAAAUAGUGUAAAUUGAAUUAGAGAGUGAUUGAGAUGUGAAAUGAAAGCUUAUUGAGUCUAUUUUUAUAUGGAAGAAAUAGAGUAAGUAAAAGAGUUAUAUAUUUUGAGAUAUUUUAAUUUUAGUGAGACAGGGUCGGAUUGAUUUCGGAAUCCCCUGUUCUGAAUUUUGAAAAUCAUUAAAAAUUGUAAAAAAAUAAUUAUGAGUUAUAUUUUAUAUUCUUGGAGUCCUUAAUGAGUAUAUUUUCAAAGAAAACAAACGGAAAUAUCAUCCGAAACCUAUAUACUGAGAUAAUUUAGUUUUACCAAAGAGAGGUCAGAGAUGUUUAGCAGUGAAAUAGGGGUGACUUUAAAGAAUAAACUGUACUAAUUGGCCAAGCCAAAAAUUCUGAAAAUUUUAUGGUUAGAAGAUAUGUGAGGAUAGUUUCGGAGAAAAUUAAUGGAUCUUAAUUUGGAUCUCUGUAACUCUGGAUAAAAAUGAUUUAGUGACUCUGACUCAAAUAGACAGUUUUGAAUUUAAAUAUAAGUGAAUAGUGAAAUUAUGUAUAAUGCUAUUUAAGCAUGUUUUAUACAUAAAGGAUGUGGAAUGGAGAGGAGGAGGACAAUAAAAUAUACGAAUGAUUCGUGUAUAAUUGGCUAUAUGUUCGUUUAUAAUCGAUAGACGCCGAAUUGAAUAGUAGAUUCGUAUCAGUAUUGAAUUUAUUAAUAGAAAUUGUUGAUAUUUGAAUAAUAUGUUUAGUAAUAAACAUAAGGUAAAUAUCGAUGUUGAAUUGUUUGUGAGUUGAAUGAGAACUAUUAUGGAUAUGAUUUGAAUUAAAAGAAUUAUUGUAGUAUUGAAAUGCAAAUUGGAUUGAGAAAUUAAUUUGAAUUGUGAACACGAAGAGUUAUGAAUUGAAUAGAACUGAAAUAAAACAUUGAAUUGUUAUUACUUGUGAAUUAGUCAUUUUGGUACAUAGAUAAUACUGAGUGAUAAUCAUGCUUUGUGAAAUAUCUGUAGUCAUAAGGAUGAUUAUAAAAUAUCUUGUUAUAAGAAUCAUUUGGUUAUGAGAUGUUAUAAAAUGGUGAGAUUUAAUGGUUGAUAUGAAUAUUAAGGCUAAUUUACUAGUCGACUAAUGGAGAAAUGAGUUUGUUGAUGGUUGUAUAUACGAAUUUUUGACAUAUGCUCGAGAUAUGUAAUGUAGUAAUAUGUGAAAUUAAUAUGAAGAGAUUUGUGACUAUUAUUAGUGUUGAUUUUAGCAUAAUGUAAAUUAUUCAAGGUCGAAAUAAUUUAAUGGAUAAAUUGAGUAUAUGAAUGAGUUUGUAUCGAGUCUUAUAGGCUCUAUUAUUUAUGAAUAUAAUAUUUUGAGGAUAGGUUGUAAAGAAUUAUAAAAGCAUGUUAAUAGCUUAAAAAGUUUUAAUUCGGAUGAAAUUUUGUAAAUGGGUUUAAUACGUAUACAAGUGUAUGUGUUUUAGUAAUGCCUCGUACCCUAUUCCGACAUCGAAUACGGGUAAGGGGUGUUACAUUUCAUACGCCUAAAACAACGCCAUUUUGAAGGCCAACCAGAUGACCCGAUCCAGAUCCCCUAAGAUCCACGUGUUUUUGUGGAAGGGGUCUAAUUGCUGCCUUAGUCCUUCUUCCUUUAAGCGCUUUUGAAUAUGGUGCUAAUUUUGUUAUUUUUUCCUUUUUUUAAAUUACACCACUUAAUUUUGAAUUGUUUCAUUUUAGUCCCCAAACUAUCGACCCUUUGGGGAAUGACGUGUACUGGGUUUGGGUUAUUUUCCCUUUUGGUCCUUGCACUUUAUUGCAUUUUUAAUCUGACCCUUUAUUUAUUUAUGCCCUAAAAUUUUGUUAUAGUUUCGAUUUAAUCCCCUGUUUAUUUAAUCCCACCCCUUUACUUUCUGUUAUUUAAUUUCUAGCAUUUAUAAUUUAUGCUAUUUACAUUUUUUCCUACGAAUUUCCCGAUUGUUUUAUUUUGGACUUUUAUUUUUAAUUAUUGAUACUAUUAAUAUUAUUAAGUGAUUAUCGUUGCUAAUUAAUAUUAUUUUUGUUGAAAUUUACUCACAUAUCAAUAUUUUAUCUAAUUAUAUUAUUAUCAUACAUUUUUAUACUAUUUCACUAUUAUUAUCACUAUUAUCAUAUAGUAUUAUUAAUUUAAUAUUACUAACUAAUGUAAUUUUGCCAUCAUUGUACAUUGUAAAUGUUGCCACAUACAUUUAUUUGACGCAAACACAUAAGAAAUAAUUAAAACCGAAGCAAUGUUCAUUAUUUUUGGGAUUCAAGGAGUUGUGCUCCUAACUUACGGAUUAUGAUCUCUCCCUAGAACCAAAAUAACCAAAUAUCUUAUUUAAAACUCAAGACACUUAGGUAAUAAUCAAAUGACGAAUAUUCUUAUUUUCCAGGAUUUGAGAUAUCGUGCCCUAACUUACGAGACAUGGUCCUUUUUCUCGAUUGACUCAAAAUAAAAAAGUUCUUUCCAUAAAAUUUAAUUUAGUUGGCGAUAUUUUAAUAAAAUCAUGCAAGAAGGGAAUUGUGCUUUAAAUUUUCUUUGAAUUCUCAAUUCUCGACACCAAGACAUCAAGUAAUAAACUAGGUACCAAUUUUGGACGUUAUGAGGGUGCUAAUCCUCGUCAUGUGUAAUUGACUCCUGAACUCAUUUACUGGAUUUUGUAGACUAAAAAUCAUCAUUUUAGUAAAUUUAACAUUUUUAUUAAAAUGAUUACAUUUCAAGAUGAUCUGAUCACACCUAAUAAAAAGGAUUGGCGGUGACUCCAUUUUCGUUUUCUAAAAUAAAAAGUCGAUUCCCCCAAAAAAAUAUUUCAACAACCGUCACUUGGAUAACUUUGGUUAUCAGCUCGUGACACUUAGAGCUAUACAAUAUAUUUGGUGUUUUGCACAAUAUGGCAUACAUAAUAGUUUUCACUACCAAAAGUAAUGUUGCCUUACUCAUUCUUCUCUUAUCUUCCAAAGUUUUAGGAUUCAUAUCAUUCAAGUGAUGUAAAACAUGCACCAUUAGCAAUUUUCCAAAAAAAUUAAAACAUUUUCAACAAAUCAAUUUUCAAAAUAUCCCAUUCUGGUGUAAUUAUGUUUAACACUUGUAUUUAUAUAAAUUAUGAUAAAUUAUGAUAAUAUAUGUAUUGAUGUCAUUUUCACAUGUAAAAGUAUCAUAAAAGUCUGUGUGCCAAAUGUUAGAUUGCAUUUUAUCUUGUUUACUCAAAAAAUAAGUAAGUUAGUUUCUAUACAUCAGAUCAAAGAGUAAAUUGAUCAUUUUAUUAAAAUUUUAAUCCUUUUCUGUUAUUAAAAAUUGAUUCAUAUACAUCAAUUUGAGGUACAGUGGCACGUCAUAUGUCAUUAUUUGAUUAUUCAGUUAGUCACACCAGUUUUUAACAUUACAAAUAGAAAAAAAUUUUAACAGAAAUGACCAAGUUACUUUUUGAUCUAACAUAUAGGGACUAAUUUACUCAUUUUUCAAUAUAAGGAGCAAAUGUAAUCCAACUCAAUGUACAAGGACUUCCAUGUUAUUUUCUUUCCAAUUUCACAUUAUUUUAUCAUAUUAUAUUUUAAUUUUUUUAGCAUACACAUAUCAUGUAAAUGGUAUAAUGUCCAAAUUGUCUGGUGUUACUUCACAUGGUUGAUUUCAUUUGUCAAUUACUGAUUGUGGAUUGACAACAUUGACCAUUCUACGUAUGGGGAGCGUAACACCUCAAACCCAACUUAGACGUUAUGGUCGAAUUUAGGAGUGUUACAAAGAAGGGUUUUGAAAUCAGUGUUACUUCGAUAAAACUUUGUAUAGUCGUUCAAUUAAUUAUCCAAGUUUUAUAAUCCAUAUUCGUUUAUAUAGCUAUUACUGAAAGUGUUAUACAAUUAAUUCAUUUGCCAAAACAUAAUUUACAGCGAAAGUCUCAGAAACUAAUAUAUUUUAGGAAUCCAGUUUGUAUUUUCAAAAAAAAUAUUUGUUUGCGUAAAAUUAUCAUUUUCAUAAAUCAUUUUGACAAACCACGCAGGAUAGAAAACAAUCGGAACCAAAACCAAUAGUUAAAACCAUACAAUCCAGAGAGCCCCAAAAAUUACAAAUUCUCAAAUAAAUCCAAAAUUUUAAUUAAAACCGUUAAUUACUAAGUAAAAAUAGUUCUCGGUCAGUGGUCAUUGCUGAGCUCCGUUGCACUAACCCGCCUAAGUCUGUGGAUUACCUGAACAGAACAAACAAACAGAUAUGAGUUUUAAUAAACUCAGUGUGUAACCUAACAGAAAAAGUCAUGCAACAUAUACAUAAUCUCAUAUACAGUCAAAUACAGAUUGGGACAUAAGUCCAAGACAGAAUCAGAUAAGCAGAAUCAGAUAAGUAGACUCCUACCCUCAUCCUCUACACACAAUCUCUGACCAUCCUAUUACACCAUGUGUGGUUAAAAACACCUACCCAUCCUUACACACCAUAUAGUGUCGAUGCGAUACAUAACAGAUAAUAUGCAAUCAACUGCCAAGAAAAGGCGAAGAGUCGCCAUACAGACCACUUCCUCCACAUAUACAAUUCUCACCCCAAACACAAAUACAAAAUACAUAUCCAGAUAUACCAGAGUAAACAUGCUUAACAUGCUCGUAUAUAGAUGGAUACAUACUUAAACAGUACAGUCAGAAAUACACAUAGUAUCCUAAUCAGAUCAGUCUAUCAGAAUAUCAUAACACAUAAUAUAGGGUUUUGGUUAGCCUUUAUCGACCUUACAGCAGGUCCAUAGUCGAUCGGAACGACCCCUGCGACCCUAGAGAACAUUUCAGAAUUAUGAGUCCACAUGCCCAUGUGAGCCCACAUGCUCGUAUGGCCCAUAUGACUUGGCCCAAAACCCACACACCCAACUUCGCCUAGCCCGUGUGACCUACAGGGCCACACUCACACCAUCACACGAUCGUGUCUUAUGCACGACCACAUUCGUCAGUCACAAGGCCGUGUAUCGUACACAGCCAAUCACACGGCCUGGCUCACACCAGAUUGGCAUCGACAGUGCCCUUUUUUAGCUUUCGUCAAACCUCAAUUUUUCGUGUUUAGGGUACACAUCUGGUUUGUUUUAGAUGCUAAGCAAUCCCGAGCCUUCUGAAACCUAAGAAAUAGUGUCCCAUUGACCAAUUAGCAAUCAAUUUACAAAUCGACACUUAACCCGAAAUAACGCACAUAACUUACCAAAGACACGAACUGGCACUAGCGCGAUCUAGGCUAUCGAAGUAAAACUUCACUGCUCACAACCUUCUCCUACAUCACAAAUUUGCAGAAAUCAAACCCCCUAUCUACACUACUACACUACCAUGAAAAGAAAAUAAACUGAUAGCUUACCCAAAUCACAUAAAAAUGUCAAGUCUAGAGUGCAACGUGAAGAACAAAAGAUGAAAAAUAGGUUUGAAAGAAAAGAAAAUGAAUGGAAAAAUCAGAGAUUGAAGAGAAGGAGAAAAGGAAAGAAACGUAAAAAGAAGAAGAGUAGAAACAAUAUCUCAACUCCCCCAUUAUCCCACUACCAAACCGCCCAACUAUCUCACAACUUUAGAGUUUCGGCUCCACCGAACCUCUAUCAUAUAACCGAAGCAAAAUUAUAACCCACACUUAUGCAGGGAUUCAAACAAAAGACCUCCAACACAAUAACUCCUUACUACUCAAACCAGCAGACUCAUUCUGAUAUAAGUUUACAAACAAUAUUCUAUAAACCCACCUAACAAGGAUAAGGCUAAGACAAAAAAAUAACAAAAUUUUCAAAUGUGAGACUUGAAUCCCAAACCUCAAACACAAACCCAAAACAUUUAGCCACUAAAGCAAAUACAUAUUUAUAUUAAGAUUUACAGAAACAAAAAUAAAUUAUUCAAGGCGUUACAGGUAUGGGACUACUCCUUUUCUGCCAUUUUCACUACCCAUUGCAUUCAUUUUCUCUACCCUACUACUCCUCUGCACUGCACUGUCCAAUGCAUUUAAAGACAAGGUAUACAUAUAGAUUGUAAAUUUUCUUGUCUGGAAGCUCACUGUAAGCCAAAAUCAAAACAAACUUUUGAUGGUUUAAUUGUUUUUUAGCCCUUGAAUUUCAGGUGCUAUGAGAAAUGGAUUACAACCUCAUCUUGUUUUAGAACGAGUCCAAAAUUAAUAAUGAAUUUGAAGGUUCAAAAUACAAUUUUAUUAUUAUAUUAAUUUAUAAUUUCAUAAAUUUUAAAAAGGAUUAAAUGAUGAAGUUACUAAUUUAAGAAGACAAUAGGGAUGGUAAAAUCUAAUUGAACCUAUCUACGUUCGGAUCGGGAUGGAUUUUUUUAAUUUAAUAAAUUAAAUAGAUUGAAUCGAAAAUCUAGGAGUUACAAAAUUCUCAUAAAUAACAAGAGUUUACAAAAAGAACACUUACUUGGUUGAUGUAUGGUAUAGUAAGUCUGCAAAGCACUAAGAAGAAGUGCAGCAAUGGCACCCACAAAUGCCAAAAACGUCCAAGGACUCCUAAAAUAAGUAUGAUAACCUUGAGCUGCAUGCUUAAUCCACAUAUUCUUACAAUGAUUAUGUAUUAUCGGACUAGGAACCAAAUCAGUGUUCAUCUUAUUGAAAAGCUUAGCCACUUCUUCAUCACUCCCAAAUCUAUGGUAUAGUAUGCCGGCGUCUCUCAGUUUCUUAACAUCUUCGGCUUCAUCGAUCAAUGAAUCAAGGAAACCCAUAUAUGAAGUAACGGUGAAAUUGUUGUAGAAAUCCGGACACAUUUCGUAAGCUAUUAAGUUCAUGGUUGAAUCAUCGACGGUGAUCGGCGGUAACUGUAAUUUUUCGAGGAAUAAGAAACGGUUGAAACUGACGUCCUUUAAACAACUUGUUUCACUUGCUUUUAACCAUACCCCGGCGUUUUUAAGCUCUUUUAUGUUACAAAUGGUGUGUGAAUGGUGCCAUUUUGUUCUUGUUGGGUUGCUGCGAUUUAUCAAGUACAUGAAAAGUCGAGUGCAAAACCUACAAACCCGCCAUUGUUUUUCUUUUUCUUCUUUUUUGAAAAGGAGUCUUACUCGUAGUAGAUGCAAUAAGUGAAUUGGCUCUUCUUUUUUUUUCAUCUGCUGCCACCAUUCACUAGAGCAAAAUCUGUGUUAGUCGGGAGCCAGCUAAAAUUAAGGUUUUCAACGGUUGAAUCCAUAAGAUCAUUUAUUUAUAAGUUAAAUUUAUCCGAUUUGAAUAAAAAAUUUAAUUCUUUUAAAAAUUAUUAAAUUAUAAAUUUUUAUAUAUAAUAAAAUUAUACUUUUUACUCCUUAAAAUGAAUAAAAAAUUGUUUAACUCUUUUGAAAAAUGAUAAAAUCAUAAAUUAAUACAUGAAAAAGAAUCCAAGAAUCAAAUUAAAUUUGUCAGUUGGCCUGGUUCAAUAGAGAAUCAAACAAGGUAUUGAUCUAGAAUAAUGAGUUAGACCGGUUGAAUUGAGUGAUCAAAUAUAAAUUUUUUUAUAUUUUUAAUAUUUUAAUAUUUUAUUUAAUUAAAUUGAAUUAUCUAAUGAACCGAAAAUGAGACUCUAAUCGAUUCUAUCACUUAUUUUACAUUUAUAAACUCCACAAAAUGAUACUUUUGUAAAUUCCUUAAAUUACCUGUCCUGCUGAUGUGAUUGUGGCUCUUUAACAGUGCUGUCGAUGAACCUUAUGAUUGCCUCCAUGAACUUUUUGCCAUCGUUCGAUCUCGUAAGCAAUUCAAGAACACGAAAAGGUAAUUGGUUUUCCAACAAGAACAGAUCCGAGUACACAAAUGUUAGCAAUUCGUUUUUAAUAACCAAUUCGUUCGACGCACUAUCAUAAUCUUGGCGGCGGUAACGCAUAUAGACUGCUUGUAAAAUUGCGCAGCCGUCAACGAAGAACAUCCAAGCCAGUUUCUCGUUAUCGUCGCUAUACUUCUCUAAUCCCUUUGGAUCAUAGCAUUUCUUCAAGCCAUCGAUCUCUGUCUUCAAGUUGUUGUACAAGGUAUCCUUAUCGACGCCAAUGUUUUUGACGAAAAGUGCUGCUAAUUUGAGUUUGAACUUCUCGAAUUCAUGGAGGGUGGGAUCAUCGUGGUGGAGUGGGCCGAUUGAGAUCACUUUCGGAUUGAAAUACUUCCUGAAAUCUUCGUGACGGCUAAGGGUUGAUGGGACUCUUUGUAUCAAUGUUUUGGCAUUGGGGUCGAGUUCGUCGCCGUCGAAAGCUACGUCUAAUGACCGGAGAUUCCGUAAUUCGCUAUUGCUGCGAGUGAAGUUCGUACCUUGCAUUGGAAUGAUCGUCUCUAGGGGAUUGUUGUUGGUGUUGUUCUUGAUGAUUGUUUGAUCAGUGGAAACUGCUCCGACGGCGCCGCCUCCUCCCUCCGUGGACGACAUUUUCAGUCUGAGCGGUUCGAAGUAAUUAACUAGGUGAUUUUGUAGACUGUUUUUGGCUGAGUGAGUGAUGUUGGAAAAAAGGUGGCAAAAUGGCUACGAUAACGACAAAUGUUUCUAUAGCUUAUAUAAUAAACUUAAGGAAAAUAUUUUUGGUGUAAUAUCAAAUUUCGCUUCUAAUUUUUAUUAUUUUCAAUUUGAUUUUUAUUUUUUUAGUAAAAUUUAGCUUUUUACUUUUGAAAGAGUUAAAUUGAUUAUCAAUCCUUAAACUGAAUUAAUUUUUUUCAAAAAUAAUGACUAAAAUAUUAAAUUUUAAACAUGAUCACUCAUAUGACAAUUCACGUGUACAUGUUUUUUUUUAUUUUAAAAUUAUUUAUUGACAUGGCAUAUUAGAAAAGGACUAUUAUGUUAGCAUGAAGUGCAUAUAGAUUGUUACAUGAGUUGUAACACCAACACCGUAAAAAUUUAAUAUUUUAGUCAAUAUUUCUGUAAAAGAAAAGCAAUUUGACUUUUUUUUGAAAGGUUAAUAGAUAAAUUUAGCUCAAAUCAUAAUAAUAAUAAUAAAAGAAAAAGGUUUUUUUAACAAAAAAAUUGUAAAUGUCGAGGACUAACUUUAUUAUUAUAUCAUUUUUUCAAGUUUCACUUAUAAAAAUACAAUAUAGGUCCAAGUACAAAUAUAUGUCUGGAUUAAUCUAGAAAGAAUUAGACAAAAUCCACACAUGAUAUACGAAUAUGAUGAGAGUGAGACCCAUUUUAUAUCUACAACACUUCUUGAAUUUCAUACUCUUAAUACUAGCUUUUUUGUUUCUUUUUUUUUUUUUUGCUUCAUUUGAUCUGUUUUGUUGUAAAAAACAAACAGAAAAAUAUUCAAAAGUUUAACAUUAUAACAUUCCAAAAGAAACACAUUCAAUCACUAACAAAUCUACGUUUACAUCAAAGCAAUAGCUCACUAUCAAGCUUUGAACAUUUCCUCACGAUUUACCCCUGCAAUCGCCAAGGAAGAUACCAUUUCGUUUCCAUUCUUUUUUGCCAUAAAAAAACAACAUUUCCUUCAAAUACAUUUGUUUUCAUUUUUAUCAUUUAAGUUAUUUUGAAUUACUUUAGUAUUUAAAUUAUCAUUCUGUUAUACGAUUUAUUUCAAAUAUUUAACAGCAUUAAGAAAUUUAAGGACUAAAUUAAUCCAUUUAAUAGUAAAAGAAGUAAUCAAAUCAAUCCUAUAAUCUUAAAAUUACUUUUAUUUUUUGGAAAUACAGAGAGAAUAAAGAUGGUGCAUCUAAUUCAACCUUCUAAAAUUGACAAUUGUACUUUGCCAAGUUACGAAGUUUGGUAUUUGAUCUUACUUUUCUUUUUCUCUAGUAGGAGCCACUCUCAUGACUUUAUCAAAGGAUUUUGUUCCAACUGGCUGGCCACUUUAAUUUAAUUUUUUUAAAAAAUUAUAAAAAUAUUAAUUAAUACAAUAAUGAAAUUGCGUUUUAAGUAUUAUCAAAAUUUAUAACUUAAUUCCGAUCUUUCAAAAAAAUAUCUGACUUCGCCUUUAUUUCCGUACUAAUAAAAAUUCUAAUCUAUAUCAAUAGCACUGAGGGAACAUUGUGUCUUGAUUAAUAUAUGAAUGAUAUAUAUAUAUAUAUAAAUACUUCUUUUUCCAACUUUAAACUUUUAACUAAAUUAAAGUAGAAACUUUAAUAUUUUAAGUAGAAAAUAAAAUAAAUAAAUAAAAAUUAUUUAACGAGCACACAUUCACGUGUAUGCUUUUAUUAAACUUCAAUAUGGGAUCAUUUAUGGAUUUUUUAAAGUAAUAUUAUGGAUAACUUUUUGUUUAAUGUAUUGGUUGGGUUUAUUUAUUUAUUUAUUUUGAAUUGAUAAAUUUUAUUUGUGAAAUUUAUUGAUAAGUGUUUAUUUAAUUGAUUAAUAUUUUUAUAUUUAAAAUUUAUUUAACCUUAUUCACUUAAUGAUUUUAAAUAUUUCAAAAUUUUAUAUUGAUAAUUUUGAAAGGAUAUACCCAUUCAAAACAAUUUACGUGAAGGACUAUCUGUAAUAGAACAUAUCAUUUCUAGCUACGGAGCCCGAAAAGGGGUUGUCGAUACCGCCGUACGAAAAUAAGAUACUGAAUAUCUUAUGUGCAGACUUAUUAAAGUAGUUCAACACUGAACAUUUCUUAACCAUAAGAUCGAUCACAAGAAUUCUUCUUUGAUGAUUUUGUCUUUGCCACGAAAUCCAACAUGCAGUGUCAACAAAAACAUGUGCAUAAAUUUUGCUUUCUUUAAAAUGGUGGUAGUGUCUAUAAUUCACUCUACUUUAUUUGAAAGCUAUAGUUACAUUACCCUUGCUUUUUUUACGUAUAUUAAUUGCAUUUUUUGUUGUUGUACCUAACUCAUGAAAAAUAGACAACCAAUCAUUUUUUUGUCUUUUUGGUGUAAUUAUGGUAAAAUAAUUUUGAUUAUCUUUCAUAAAUUCAAUCUAGAACAUAAAAAGUUUAUCAAAUACUAUUUUUAAAACGUUGUUCAGAAGUUGUUUAAUUAUAAAAAAGUUACAAAAUGAUCAUUCAUCUAUUAGUAAAUUUUUAUUUUUGGUCAUCCAACUAUUUAAUUAUUUGUCUUUUUUUGUCGCCAGCCAGUUAACAUAAAAAUAAAAAUACCCAAAAAUCCAAGAUAGUUGAGUGACAAAAAAGAUAAAAUUAAAUAGUUGAAUUACUAUUUUGUAACUUUUUAUAGUGAAAUGACAAAAAAAGAGAAGAAAAAAAGUCAUAGUUUACUUUUGCAAGGAUAAUUAAGAAGAAAAUGUUAUCCCAACAAGACAGGUAGCAACAGUUAUUGAAGAAUCUAUACAAGGAAAAGGGCCUUAGGAUUAAUUUGCUAGUGCCACAAUAAAAAUUUCAAGCAUACAACAACAGCCAGCGAAAUCUAAGAAAGGUAUGCACUAAUAAAUUGUUUUUAAGGUCAAGAUACAAUUCUACCAUAUAUUAACAUGUAAAGUAAAAAUUUUUAAAAAGACCCAAAGUAUAAAUUCCCAUUUUAGGGACCAGAGUCUUGCCUACCCUUUUGCCACCCUCCUUAGUAAUUUAUCUAUUUUGGUUUUAAAUUUUUUUUUGUCUAAAUUAAUCCAUAGUUUUUCUUAAAUUAGUCUUUGAACUUUUGUCAAUGCUGCAUCAUUACUUGGAUUUAUUCUUUUUAGAUUUUAUGUAAGUUUUUUCAAAUGAUUACAUGGCUUUAAUAGAAUUCAAGUUUAAUGACUUAAUUAAAAAAAUUUGUUAAGUUCAAAGAUUAAAUAUUGUUUUAUCCCUAAUAUUUGUUACCGUGUUUUAAAAGUUCAUUGAAUUUCUUGCCUGCUAAAAACUAGUCCAUGCAUGUCAGCGUAAGGUACACGUGGCGCAUCAUUUGUCAUUUUUUAGUUAUUUCGUUAGCCACACUAAUUUUUAACAUUACAAAUAGAUAAAGGUUUUAACAGAAAUAACCAAUUUACUUUUUAAUCUAAACAUAUAAAGACUAAUUUACUCAUUUAUUAAAAUAAGAAACAAAAUACAAUCCAACGCUUAAUAUAAAUACUUCCAUAACACUUUCAUCCAUUUUCACAUUAUUUUAUCAUAUAUAUAUAUAUAUUUACCAUACGCCUAUCAAUUGUCAAUUAAUGUUCAAAUUGUCUGGUCUUGCUUGGCAUCAUUGAUUUCAUUUGUCAAUUAAUGAUUGUAGAUUGACAACAUUGAUCUUUCUAUGCACGGGGAGGGGACUACUCCUUUUCUGCCAUUUUCACUACCCAUUGCAUUCAUUUUCUCUGCCCUACUGCUCCUCUGCGCACUGCACUCUCCAAUUGUAUUUAAAGACAAUAUGUACAUAUAGAUUGUAAAUUUUCUUGGCUGGAAGCUCACUGGAAGCCAAAAUCAAAACAAACUUUUGAUGGUUUAAUUGUUUUUAAGCCCUUCAGUUUCAGGUGCUAUGAGAAAUGGAUUACAAUUUAGUUUUGAAAUAUAUAUUUUUAUUGAAGUGAAAAUGUAAUUUAAUUAUAUUGAUUUGUAAUUUUACAUUUUUUAAAGGGACUAGAUCAAAUUUUUAUUAUUUUGGAGAUCAAUAUGCAAUUUCACAUGUAAAAUUACAACUUUCAAGAAGACUCAAAGCAUAAAUUACCAUUUUAGGGGACCAAGGUCUUGCCUACCCCUUGUCGCCACCCCUCAUUGGUAAAUUUUCUACUUCGGCCUUUGAAUUUUUUGUCUAAAUUUAUCUUGAAAUUUGAUAGUUUUUCCUAAUUUAGUCCUUGAACAUUGGUCUAUGUUACAUUUUGGAAUUUUUUUUAAAAAAAAUUUUAAAAUUUCAAAUGAUGACAUGAUUCUUUAACAAAAUUCAAGUUCAAGGAUUAAAUUUUAAAAAAAUUGUUAAGUUCAAAGACUAAAUAUUACAUUAUCCUUAAUAUUUGUUAACCUGUUUUAGAAGUUCAUUGAAUUUCUUGCCUGCUUACUUUUGUUAUUAACCAUUGCAUUGUUCUUCUUUGUUUAAUUUUAGGCCCCAUAAUAAAAAAAAACGGAUGAGAAAUUCCUAAAAUCAUUAGAAACAAGAAAAUAUGAUCUCAAAUCCAAUGAAUUAUCUAAUCAAGUUACAGAGACUUAGGCCUGGCUAUGGUGAAUUCAUACCCUACAUUUUAGUAGGCACAGGUGGAUUUUAAGAACACAAACAAUUAAAUUGGCUAAAUUUACUUAUAUCCACCAAAUUAGGACAGACAUUGGAUGAAACCACAAGGGAAAUUACAAACAACCAACCCCUUUUUUUUUAUUGAAGUUAUUAUACUUAUAAGCUUUCACAUGUAACCAUGCUUCUUGUAACACAUUUCAUUGGAUCCGAUUGUUGGGUCCGAUCUAUAGGAUGCUACAGUCAUUGUCAAAGCAACUACAGUCAGAAUUACGAUAAGAUAAUUUUCAUUUAAACAUCAAUCACGCUUCAAUUACAGCAAUACAUUAAUUAUGAGCUUUAAUCGAGCUUACGAAAGCUUUUUUGGCAGUCUGAACAAGAAUUAGGACCAAACUGUAAAUUGGCUAAAUUUACUUAUAUCCACCAAAUUAUUAAAAUUUUAAAAUAUAUUCAAAAAAUUAGGACAAACAUUGGAUGAAACCACAAGGGAAAUUACAAACAGGAUCAAAUUGAAAGAAAAGCAAAAUGACAUGGAAGGAGUAAAAGAAGAGAUGGCUAAAUUGCCUGAAAAUUUAGCACCUAUGUUAAGCAACAUUGAUGAUAAAACACAUAGGAUGGAACCUAACUCAUGAAAAAUCUCAAAUUUGCAACCCCAUAUUAUUCACAUGCCAACCAACCAAUUUUUUUUUUUUGCCCUUUUUGGUGUAAUUAAGGUAAAAUAAAUCUGGGCCAACCAACCAACCAAUUUAUUUUUUUGUCCUUUUUGGUGUAAUAAAGGGACUACAAGACAGGUAGCAACAGUUAUUGAAGAAUUAGUCACGUUUUAAAUAUUUUCUUCUAAGUAAGCACAACGACAUUAAGAAAUUUACUUUAAAAGAGUCUAUAUAAGGAAAGGGCCUUAGGAUUUGCUACUGCCUCACUCGCUUCAGCAACAAUCGCUUCUAAUUUUCAGUCUGAGCGGUUCGAAGUAAUUAACUAGGUGAUUUUGUAGACUGUUUUUGGCUGAGUGAGUGAUGUUGGAAAAAAGGUGGCAAAAUGGCUACGAUAACGACAAAUGUUUCUAUAGCUUAUAUAAUAAACUUAAGGAAAAUAUUUUUGGUGUAAUAUCAAAUUUCGCUUCUUAUAUUUAUUAUUUUCAAUUUUAUUUUUAUUUUUUUAAGUAAAAUUUAGCUUUUUACUUUUGAAAGAGUCAAAUUGAUUAUCAAUCCUUCAAAAAAAGAGUCGAAUUAAAUUUUUUUAAAAUAAUGACUAAAAUAUUAAAUUUUAAACAUGAUCACUCAUAUGACAAUUCAUGUGUACAUUUUUUAUUAUUAUUUUAAAAUUAUUUAUUGACAUGGCAUAUAAGAAAAUGGCUAUUAUGUUAGCAUGAAGUGCACAUGGAUUGUCACACGAGUUGUAACACCAACAACAUAAAAAAAAUUAAUAUUUUAAUCAAUAUUUCUGUUAAAGAAAAGCAAUUUGACUUUUUUUUGAAAGGUUCAUAGCUAAAUUUAGCUUAAAUAAUAAUAAUAAUGAUAAAAAAAUAAAAGUCAAUUUGACAGAAAAUGUAAAUGUGGAGGACUAAAUUUAUUAUUAUGUCAUUUUUCUAAGUUUCACUUAUAAAAAUACAAUAUAGGUCCAAGUACAAAUAUGUGUCUGGAUUAAUCUAGAAAGAACUAGACAAAAUCUAUACAUGAUAUACGCAUAGAUGAGAGUGAGACCCAUUUUUAUAUCUACAACACUUCUUGAAUUUCAUACUCUUAAUACUAGCUUUUUUGUUGUUUGUUUUGCUUCAUUUGAUCUGUUUUGUUGUAAAAAACAUAAAGAAAAACAUUCAAAAGUUUAACAUUAUAACAUUUCAAAAGAAAACACAUUCAAUAAGUAACAUAUCUUGUAUUCUUGUAUUCUUUGAUCAAAUAGUGCAAGUGUAUUUAUACAGACUUUUGGAGGGUAACUACUGAACUGCUACUAACAACUUUUUAGCAGAAAGUUUAACAACUUAACCACCUAACAGAUUGCAUUUACCUAUGCUCUAAGAUUCUGUAAUGCGAAAUCAUACUUCAAAUUGUAAUUAUUACUUCAUAACAAUACAAGAUUUUCGUUACAAUGCUAGGAUUACUUAUAAACCCCAACCAUAAAUGAGAGGAUAAAGAUACUUUAAUAAGUUCGAAUCUUUGUCCUUUUGUAUUGACAAUAAUACUGAUAUCAAUCGAACUAAAAUUCAGUAUAACAAUGGUUAAAUGAAUUUUAAGUACACAUAUUACUCUUAUGAUGUAAGUAUUUAGGAUAAAUCACCCUCCAUGGUCAAACAAAUGGACCCAGGCUAUAAUUUGUAUAUAAAAAAAAAUUAAAAAGCAUUAGUAAAAUGUAUAUAAAAUUUAUUAACUUUCAAUAUUUAUAAUAAAUUAAACACAAAUAUAAUAUAAAAGCCUUGAUGCCUUGAAUCCUUUAGGGCUCUUCAACCUGCCUUUAAUUUUUGUGUUUGGAUGAUCCUUGGCUGCCACAAAUUGAAGAAAGAAAAUAUAAAAGCAUUUCCAAACAAAUACACACAACAAAACACUUCAGCAUGUAAGAAAUUUAUAUUAUAAAGGUUUUGGUUUUUGGAUUGUAUCAUUAAGAAUAAAAUUAUUUUAGGUAAAAGAUUGUUUCGGGUUAAUGUUAAAUGAGUUUGAAUUGUUAACUUUUUAUGGUAAAAUUGAAUUGAGUAAUUAAAAUUUUAAAUUCAUGCAUUUAGUUGAAAAUAUUUAAAGAAUAAAAAAGAAAUCAAUAAAUUUUAGAAAAUUAUCAUUAAAUCUUUCAAAAUUUUGACAUUUGUACUUAGAAAUCUUAAUUUAAAAAAAAAAAAUCCUAAUUAAGCCUUGUUGAAAAUUUCAAAAGUUAACCAUUAAUUUUAUCAUAAAUUUUGAUUAAAGCUCUUAAAUUUUAUUUUUAAAAGAAAAUUUCAUUAAAACUCCAAAAAUUAAAUAAAUUGAAUCGAAAAUCCAGGAGUUACAAAAUCAUCAUAAAUAACAAGAGUUUACAAAAAGACAAGUAAAGAACACUUACUUUUGUUAAUGCAUGGCAUAAUAAGUCUGCAAAGCACUAAGACUAAGUGCAGCAAUGGCACCCAAAAAUGCCAGAAACGUCCAAGGACACCUAAAAUAAGUAUCAUAACCUUUAGCUGCAUGAUUAAUCCACAUAUUCUUACAAUGAUUAUGUAUUUUCUCUUUAACCCCACUGUAAAUCAUCGGACAAGAAACCAAAUCAGUGUUUAUCUUAUUGAAAAGCUUAGCCACUUCUUCAUCACUUUCGAGAGAGCUUUCGGACCGGACCAGGUGGCCCGGCACACUAACAACAAGGCAGGUUCCAACAGUUAUUGAAGAAUCUAUAUAAGGAAAAGGGCCUUAGUUUUUGGUAGUGACACACUCACUUUAGCAACAAUCACUUAAAAUUUUCAAGCAUACAACACCUGCAGCAGCAGCAGCCAGAUAAAUCUAAGAAAGGUAUGCACUAAUCAAUUGUUUUUAAGUGCUAAUAUUUAGGGAUAAAAGUAGAGGUGAUCAUGGGUUGGACUACCCGACCCGGCCUAAUGGCCCACCCGAAAAAUGAGAGGGCUCGGGUAAAAAUAUAGGCCCAAAAUAUGAGUUUGGGCAAAAAAAAGAGGUCCGUUUAGAAAACGGGCCGGGCCUCGGGUAAGACCUUUUUGGCCCAAGCCCGACCCAAAUUAUAUAUUAAAUAUAUAUAUUUUUAUUUUAUUUUUAAUCAAAUAUACUUUUUAUUAACUAUAUAUAUUUUUUGGACUUUUAAUCCGAAUUAUAUAUUAAAUAUAUAUUUUUAAUUUUAAUCAAAUAUGGGCCAGGCCGGGCUCAGGCUUAGCAAUUUUCUUUCGGGCCGGGCCCAAAAUGGGCCUAAAUUUUUUGUCUAGGCCCGGCCCGGCUCAAACCUGACCCGACCCGGCCCAUGAUCACCUCUAGAUAAAAGUAAUGUCUAAUUAUCUAAAUUUGAUAAUAGGAACGAAGUUAAAAAAGGUUUUACAAGUUUAAGUUUUUAAAUAUAUAUUUUUAUGAAAGUUAAAAUGUAAUUUAAUCAUAUCAGUUUGUAAUUUUACUUUUUUUUCUUAAAGGGACUAGAUCAAAUUUUUAUCAUUUUGGAGGUCAAUAUGCAAUUUUACCAUGCAUUAACAUGUAAAAUUACAACUUUAAAAGAGACCCAAAGCAAAAAUUUUCAUUUUAGAGGACCAAGGCCUUGCCUACUCCUCAUUGGCAAUUUAUCUACUUUGGUCUUUGAACUUUUUUUUUUUGUCUAAAUUAAUCUUGAAAUUUGAUAUUUUUUUUUUAAUUUAGUCAUUGAACAUUGGUCAAUGCUACAUCAUUACUUGGAAGUUUUUUUAAAAAAAUUCUUUUUAUUCUUUUUAGAUUUUAGGUAAGUUAUUUAAAAUUUCCAAAUAAUGACAUGGUUGUUUAACAGAAUUCAAGUUCAAGGACUAGAUUAAAAAAAUUGUUAAGUUCAAAGACUAAAUAUUGGUUUAUCCCUAAUAUUCGUUACCCUAUUUUAGAAGUUCAUUGAAUUUCUUGCCUGCUUACUUUUGUUAUUAACCAUUGCUUUGUUCUUCUUUUUUUAAUUUUCGGUCCCAUAAUCGAAAAAAAUGGAUGAGAAAUAUCUAAAAUCAUUAGAAACAAGAAAAAUAUGAUCUCAAAUCCAAUGAUUUACCCAUAUCAAGUUACAGAGACUUAGGCCCUGGCUAUGGUGAAUUCAUCCCCUACAUUUUAGGCCUAGGUGAAUUCCAAGAACACAAACAAUUAAAUUGGCUAAAUUUAUUCAUAUCCACCAAAUUAUUAGAAUUUUCAAAUAUAUUCAAAAAAAAUAGGAGAGACAUUGGAUGAAACCACAAGGUAAAUGACAAACAGGAUAAAAUUGAAAGAAAAGCAAAAUGACAUAGAAGGAAUAAAAGAAGGGAGGGCUAAAUUGCCUGAAAAAUUAGCAUGUGUGUUAAGCAACAUUGAUGAUAAAACACAUAGGAUAGAGCAUAUGGAAUGUAGCAUGGAAGAGAACAUGUAUAAGAUCGGGCAAAUUAAAAUUAUAGAAGAAUUGAGGGGCCUGAAAAGGGAAAUAAAAGAGUUAGAGGAGGAUGUGAAAGAAAUUAAAAUAAAAGUUAGUAUGAAAGAAAGAUAAGGGUAUUCUUUUGCUAGUCAUGGAUGUAAUAACGAAGAUCAAUUUUCGUCGGUGUUGUAUGGAAGAAUUGAAGAUGGAGUGAACGAGUUUUUAAGAUUUUUAAAGUUUAAUAUCGAAGGAUUGUUUAUGUGGGUAUGUGAGUGUGUUUCUAUUGUAAGGAAUGGUGUAAAACAAUUUACGAUUUAAGGUUUUGUUAUAUAAGGAAGGAAAGCGCCUUUUAAGAUUAUUAGAGGUACUUAUUCUCGUGUUGUAUUUUGUAUUAAGUUGUACUUUUUUUAGUGUAUGCAUUAUGGACCUUUUGAUGUGGUACAAGUUUAGUUCUUUUGAGUGUGUCUUGUGAUGUUAAGUAUGUUUUGUUGGGGCUCUUAGGCUCCUAUAUUUCAAUGAUAAUAAAAUAUAUUUUAAGUAUAGCGUAUUUGUAUAUUUAGAAUUUAAUAUUAUACUUUUAUUUUAAGAUAAUCUCUCUACUACAACAAUGUUUAAUGUAAAUAUGAACUCAUGUUGUGAUUUACUAUUAUCAUCUGAUUGGAAUUAGACCUGAUCAUGGCCUGACUCAGUCCAAAGGCCCGCUCGAAAUGUGAGAAGGUUUGGGCAAAAAUAUAUGCCCGAAAAAUAGGUUUGGACAAAAAAGUAAGGUCCGUUUAAAAAAUGGGCCGAGCCUCAGGUAAGGCAUUUUUGUCCUGAGCCCUGCUCGAAUCCACUAAAGGACAAAAAAAUAUGUUUUUUUAUAUAUUAUUUUCUUGUUGUUUUCUCCCUAUUUUCUCCCUAUUUUACUAUUAUGUUGCUACUAUUUUGUUAUUAUUAUUUGGAUAUUGUAUAAAACUUAUUUUAUUAUUAAUUUUGUUAUUAUUUUAAAGACAUUUGUUAAUUUUGUUAUUAUUUUAGAGACAUUUGCUUGUUAAAUUGCAUCAAUCUUAGUGUUAUUUAAGUAUAUAUAUAUUUAAUUUUUUUUCAAUUUGUUGAGAAAGAUUUAUUUUGAUAUUUUUAGUAUUUUUGAUGUAUUAUGUAUUUUUUAAAAUUAUAUAAAAAAUAUUAUAAAAAAUAAUAUGGUCGGCCGGGUCGGGCCUGAGUUUUAGCAUUUUUAUCCAGGUCGAGCUUGGGUAAAAUUUUAGGCCCAUUUUUUGGGUCGGGCCCGGGCCUAGCAAACGGGACUAAUUUUUUAGUUGAGCUCGGCCCGAACCUUGCCCGGCUCGGCCCAUGCUCACUUCUAAUUGGAAUGCAACAUAUAUUUAAACUUCGACAUGAAACUAAAUUCCUCCAUAAAUUAGAAAAAUAUCAUUAGUUCUUCUAUAAAUUCAGCAUUUGAUUGUUUUUCUAGUUUGGUAAUUUAUCAACUCAAUCUCGAUUAUAACCAACUUUUUUGACAUUUUUUCACACCUUUAACCUAAUCACCAUUACAACCUCUUGAAGACCUCUUGAUUGGUGUGUCAUAUCAUUUUAUAGUGGUGGAGAUUUGAUUUUCAAGCAAGCCUAUGGAAAUGACAUUUCUUGUUCGACGGUUGAGUGCAAAUUUCUUGAACCUUAAACACUUUGAGUGCUUUAAGUGAAUCUUUAGUGAGGAUGUCAAUAUUUGUUGAUUUUGAAUUAAAGAUAAUUAUUUAAAUAAGGGGAGACACCUAUGUUUUCGCACGUUAAAAUUUCGAUUUGAAUUGUUUGGAUCUUUAGUGUCCUUUUAGUUGAAUUGUCAAUGCAUGAUUGUUUGCGAAUUAUUUGAAGGAGUAUUGAUGAGAAUUACGAAUUGAGAAAUGUUAACUUUAAUGUGGGUUGAGGAUUUUUCUUUAGGAUAAGCAAACACUUAAGUGUGGGGUAUUUGAUAAGUGAUAGAAGUAACAUAUUUUAAUCUAGUUCUUAAUGCAUUUUUGGAUGAUUAUUUAUGUAAAUUGGUGAAUUUUAUGCUCCUAAUCUUUUAAAUUCUUGUUUCUAUACUUAGGAGAGCAUUCGGGAGCAAAAAAAGCGAAAAACAAGCGAAAAUCGAACAAAUAGAGCAAAUUUCAAGAGCCACAUGGCCUUGUGCUAGAUAUGUUGAAUAUUUCAUAAUUCAUGUCCCAAACACACGGAAAAACGUAAUUUUUAGGCUUUUUGGGUAUUCUAAACCCUAUAAAUACCAAAUAGAGGAAGAGAAUAGGGGGUGAUCAGAGAGUAUUGAAGAAAACAACUUGGAGAAUACCAUUAAAGCCAACUCUGAAGCAGAUUUCCAUCAAGAUUGAAGACCUCCUUUUAAUUUCUUUGAAGUUUUUAUGAGUUUUUUUAUUUAUUUCUUGUGGUUAUUAUACUGUCUUUGAGAUAUUUUUAUCUACAAUUAUGAAUUAAUUCUUUAGAUACCUAGGGGAGAUGAACCCUAUGAUGAAUUCUAUUAUUUAGUUUAUGUUUUACACGAUAAAUACUUGAAUCUUGUUUUUAAUUAUGUGUACUUAUCUCUUAUUUUAAUAUUUCAUGAAUAUUAAUUCAUGUUUAAUGUGCUUAAAUCAGAUGACGAAAAGUCCCUGUUUACGAGUAGAUCUAGUUUAAUUGAGUGGAGUUGCAUGCAAUACUAAAAAUAGGACGACAUAAAUCUACUGGAUUGGAGUCAAAUCUAAUAGGGGAAUUCAUAUAUCGAGUUAAUGCAAUAAUAGGAGUUUUAAUUAGAAAGAAAUUUCAAUUAAUCAACCUAGAGUCAAUUGCUCUUAGUCUAAAAAAGAAUUCACUUAGACUUCGUCUAUCAUUAUGAAUCUGAAUUAAAUGAUUUAUUCACUUAGUAUUUUGAUCCGUAGAAAUCCAAAUACUUAGGGAGAUGAACACUAUGAUAAAUUCUAUUAUUUGAUUUCUGUUUUACACGAUAAAUACUUGAAUCUUGUUAUUAGUUAUGUGUGUUUAUAUCUUAUUUUAAUAUUUCUGAAUAUUUUAAUAUAAAUACUAUUUCUUUUACCAACUUUAAACUUUAACUAGUUAUUUAACAAAUAAUCCAAAGACUGUUUAAGAAGACAAAAGGGAUGCAACUUAUCUGCGUUCGGAUCGGGAUGGAUUCUUUUUUAUUUUUUUAAAAAAAUUCUCCUAAACAAAUUAAAUAGAUUAAUCGAAAACCCAGAAGUUACAAAUUUCUCAUAAUUAAAAAGAGUUUACAAAAAGAAAAGUAAAGAACACUUACUUUUGUUGAUGUAUGGUAUAAUAAGUCUGCAAAGCACUAAGAAAAAGUGAAGCAAUGGCACCCACAAAUGCCAAAAACGUCCAACGAACUCUAAAAUAAGUAUCAUAUGCUUGAGCUGCAUGAUUAAUCCACAUUUUCUUACAAUGAUUAUGUAUUUGCCGUUUAACCUCACUGUAAGUCAUCACACUAGGAACCAAAAUAGUGUUCAUCUUAUUGAAAAGCUUAGCCACUUCUCCAUCAGUCCCCAAUUCAUUGUGCAGUAUGCCGGCGUCGCUCAGUUCUCUAACAUCUUCGGCUCCAUCGAUCAAUGAAUCAAGGAAACACAUAUAUGAAGUGACGGUGAAAUCGUUGUUGAAAUCCGGACACAUUUCUUAAGCUAUUAAGUUCAUGGUUGGAUCAUCAAGGGUGAUCCGCGGUAACCGUAAUUUCCCGACAAAGAAGAUUUGUUUGAAACUGAUGUCGGUUAAACAACUUGUUUCGCUUGCUUUUAACCAUAUCCAGGCCUUUUUAAGCUCUUUUACGUUACAAAUGGUGUGUGAAUGGUGCCGUUUGCUUCUUGCUUCAGAGGAAAAACAAAAAUUCCACCACAUGGUUUAGGGUUUAAGCUCUUGAAUGAUUUUUCUUUUCUGAAAAGGAGUCUUUCUCGUAGUAGAUGCAAUAAGUGAAUUCGCUCUCCUUUUUGCUGCUCCCACCACCAUUCACAUGAAACAGUCCAUCUUGCGCAACACGAGACUGCCGAUUUUCAUACUCAAGAAGCACAUCAAUAAGCCGAGGCAGAGGAAGAGGUUCCGCCGAGAAGGAAGCCAGAGUGAGGACGUCACCGUACUCCGGAGGGAGAUCGACAAGGAUAAUUUCAACGCGAUCGACCUCCGAGACCCGAGAUCCAGAAGGCUCAAUCAGUGCAGAGGUAUUGUUAAUUUUUGCGAUAUAUUCCUUCAUUGUCAUGGCCCCCUUCUUGAUCGAGUGGAGCUCACGUCAAAUACGCGACAAUUUGGCGCCGGUGGCGGCGGCGAACAAGCGAGUCGCGGUAGUCCAUACAUCACACGCGGAUCUGGCAUUCGUGAAGUAGGAAAGGAGAGGACUACUAACAGUAGAAAGUAACCAUGACGCAAGAAGCUUAUCUUGCUGGUGAAACAACGAAGCCUCUGGAUUCGGAACCGGAGGACCCUCCUGAGAUUGGAUGAACCUCGGCGGAGCAGGUAAAGUACCAUCAAGAAAACCAGUUAAUUCAUAGCCUUCAACAAUUAAACUUAUGUGAUGCUGCCAUUGCACAAAAUUAGACUCGUCUAAUUUGACAGCAUCAUGCCUAGGAAAGCUUUGUAUUAAACGAGAAUUUGCAGGUUGGAAAUUGGACGGAUUACCAGUGUUAGUAGAAACAGAGUCGUUUGACGUAGCCAUGAAGUCGAGCAGCACAAGCAGGUCACCAGAUCGUAGGCGACUGAUACCAUGUAAGCAUAUGUACUUUCUUGAAUGAAACAGAAAAUUACUACAGAGUAAUCUGAAACUUUUAGCUAUUAUCUUGUAUUCUUUGCUCAAAUAGUGCAAGUGUAUUUAUACAGACUUUUGGAGGGUAACUACUGAACUGCUACUAACAACUUUUUAACAGAAAGUUUAACAACUUAACCACCUAACAGAUUGCAUUUACCUAUGCUCUAACAUUGUGUAAUGCGAAAUCAUGCUUCAAUUGUAAUUAUUACUUGAUAACGGUACAAGAUUUUCAUUACAAUGCAUAGAAUUACUUAUAAUUCCCAACCAUUAAAUAAGAGGAUAAAGGCACUUUAGCAAGCUCGAAUCUACAUCUUUUUGUAUUGACAACAAUACUAUAUCAAUUGAACUAAAACUCAGUAUAAUAAUGGUUAAUUGAAUUUUAAGUACACAUAUUACUCUUAUGAUGUAAGUAUUUAGGAUAAAUCACCCUCCAUGGUCAAACAAAUGGACCCAAGCUAUAAAUUGUAUAUAAAAAAAAAUUAAAAAGCAUUAGUAAAAUGUAUAUAAAAUUUAUUAACUUUCAAUAUUUAUAAUAAAUUAAACACAAAUAUAAUAUACAAAGCCUUGAUGCCUUGAAUCCUUUAGGGUUCUUCAACUAGCCUUUAAUUUUUGUGGUUGGAUGAUCCUUGGCUGCCACAAAUUGAAGACAAAAAAAAUAUAAAAGCAUUUCAAAACAAAUACACACAACAAAACACUUCAGCACGUAAGAAAUUUAUAUUAUAAAGGUUUUGGUUUUUGGAUUGUAUCAUUAACAAUAAAAUUAUUUUAGGUAAAAGAUGGUUUCGGGGUUAAUGUUAAACGAGUUUGAAUUGUUAACUUUUUAUGGUCAAAUUGGAUUGAUUAGUUAAAAUUUUUAGCUCAUGCAUUUAGUUGAAAAUAUUUAAAUAAUAAAAAAAAAUCAAUAAAUCGACCGGUUCAACCUAAGGACAAAAUGUAAGAUGAGAGCCUUCAAAAUUUUAGAAAAUUAUCAUUAAAUCUUUCAAAAUUUUGACAUUUUUACUUAGAAAUCUUAAUUUUUAGAAAAUCCUAAUUAAGCCUUGUUGAAAAUUUUAAAAGUUAACCAUUAAUUUUAUUAUAAAUUUUGAUUAAAGCUCUUAAAUUUUAUUUUUAAAAGAAAAUUUUCAUUAAAACACCAAAAAUUAAAUAGAUUGAAUUGAAAAUCCAAGAGUUCCAAAAUUAUCAUAAAUAACAAGAGUUUACAAAAAGACUAGUAAAGAACACUUACUUUUGUUGAUGCAUGGCAUAAUAAGUCUGCAAAGCACUAAGAGUAAGUGCAGCAAUGGCACCCAAAACUGCCAAAAACGUCCAAGGACUCCUAAAAUAAGUAUGAUAACCUUGAGCUGCAUGAUUAAUCCACAUAUUCUUACAAUGAUUAUGUAUUUUCUCUUUAACCCCACUGUAAAUCGUCGGACUAGGAACCAAAUCAGUGUUCAUCUUAUUGAAAAGUUUAGCCACCACUUCAUCACUCCCCAAUCUAUUGUAUAGUAUGCCGGCGUCUCUCAGGUCUUUAACAUCUUCGGCUUCAUCGAUCAAUAAAUCAAGGAAACACAUAUAAGAAGUGACGGUGAAAUUGUUGUCGAAAUCCGGACACAUUUCGUAAGCUAUUAAGUUUAUGGUUGAAUCAUCAACGGUGAUCGGCGGUAACCGUAAUUUUCCGAAGAAGAAGAUAUGGUUGAAACUGAUGUCGGUUAAACAACUUGUUUCGCUUGCUUUUAACAUUAUGCCGGCCUUUUUAAGCUCUUUUACGGUACCAAUGGUGCGUGAAUGGUACCGUUUUGUUCUUGCUUUGUUGAUAAAUCUGCUUUCAAUGAAACGCCACCACCAUGGUUUUUCUCGUAGUCGAUGCAAAAAGUAAAAUCGUACUUUUCUGAAAAGGAGUCUUUCUCGUAGUAGAUGCAAUAAGUGAAUUCGCUCUCCUUUUUGCCGCUCCCACCACCAUUCACUACACCAAAAUCUGUGUUAGUCGGGAGCCAACCUAUAAUUUCCUUUUUUUUUUUUUGUUGUUGUUGGAUUUGGAAUUGUUAAUUUUUAUGAAGCUAAAAUUAAGAUUUUCAAAAUAGAUAAUCUAACGAUUAAAUUAUUGAUUUAUAAAUCUCAAUUUAUUUGAUUUAAUUAAAUAAAUUAUUAAAAAUUUCGAUUUAAUAACGUGGUUUAAUUAAAAUAUUUUACCCUAUUCAUAUAGAUUUUUAAGUUAGUUGGUCUAACAAUUUUCUCCAAAUAUCAACUCAAUUAAUUUUCAAACCAAAUCGAUUCAACCAAUAUCAGCUAAAAUACAAUUUUUAUUUUUGUAUUAAUGCAAAAAUCUUACCAUUUUUAAGAUAUUAAACUUUUCCAUUUUGAAAAGUUGGAUUUGAAAUCAUAAUUUUUCAUUUCUAAAAACUGUACACUCAACAGGAUCAAUGCAAACAGACAGGCAGGGGUCGUUCCCAAGAAAUGAAAAUUUACAUUUUAAUCUUUUUAAAAAUUAUUAAAUUAUAAUAAGCCCUUAAAUUAAAAAAUAAUUAUUCAAUUUUAAAAAAAAAAGAUAAAAUUAUAAAUUAAUACAUGAAAAUAUUAAAGGAUCAGACUAUACUUGUUAAUUAGGUUGGUUGAAUAAAAAAUCGAAUAAAAUUAGAGUUAGACCAAUUGAAUCAAAGAAUCGAAUCAAUUUCUUUUAUAUUUUAAUAUUUUCAAAAAAUUAUAUAAUUAAUAACCAAAAAUGAGAGUCUAAUAGAUUCCAUCACCCAUCUAGUUAUAAAAACCAUUUAACAUUUAUAAACUCCACAAAAAUGAUUCUUUAUUUAUUUCCCUAAAUUACCUGUCCCCGCCUGGGUUGAUAACAGUGUCGUCGAUGAACCUUUUGAUUGCAUUCAUGAACUUUUCGCCAUUUUUGCUCGAGCUUGUAAGCAAUUCCAGAACACGAAAAGGUAUUUGGUUUUCCAACAAGAACAGAUCCGAGUACACAAAUCUCAGCAAAUCGUUUUUAAUAAACAGUUUACCAUCAUCAUCAUCAUUAUCGUAACGCAUGUAAACUGCUUGUAAAAUUGCGCAGCCGUCAACGAAGAACAUCCAAGCCAGUUCCUUGUUAUCGUCGCUAUAUUUCUCUAAUUCCUGUGGAUCAUAGCAUUUCCUCAAGCCAUCCAUCUCUUUCUUAAUGUUGCUGUACAAGGAUUCCCCAUCGACACCAACUUUUUUGACGAAAUGUGCUGCUAAUUUGAGCUUGAGCUCCUUGGAUUCAAUGAGGGUGAGAUCAUCGUGGUGGAGUGGGCCGAUUGAGAUCACUUUCGGCCAGAAAUACUUCUUGAAAUCUUCGUUACGUCGGAGGGCUGAUGGGACUUUUCGUAUUAAUGGUUUGGCAGUGAAGUUGGGUUGGCCGGCGUAGAAAGCUUCGUAUAAUGACCGGAGAUUCGCUACUUCGCCAUCGCUGAGAGGGACGUCCGUGAACAGCAUAUCAAUUCUCACGUAAUCGUUGUUGGUGUUGUUGUCGAUGAUUGUUUGAUCAGUGGAAACUGCUCCGACGGCGCCACCACCUUCCUCCGUGGACGACAUUUUCAGGCUGACCGGCUCGAAGUAAUUAACAAGGUGAUUUUGAAAACUAGUUUUGGCUGAUUGAGUGAUGUUGGAAAAAAGGUGGCAAAAUGGCUACGAUGAUGACAAAUGUUUCUAUAGCUUACAUACAGAGGCGAAUCUAGGGAAAUGUAAAAUUGUUAUUUAGGACCUUAAAUAUUUUUAAAAAUUUUAAAUUAAUAAAGGUAAAAUUACACAUUGACCUCAUAAAAUUAUAAAAAUUUAAUUUAAUCCUUUAAAAAUUAUAAAGAUAUAGACUACAAAAAAUUAAAAUUUCAUUCGAUCCACCCUAAAAAAUUAUUCGGGCUUCGCCACUGCUUACAUAAUAAACAUAUGGAAAAUACUUUUGGUGUAAUUCAAAUUUACCCCUUAUAGUCAAUUUAAUUUUCAUUUUUUUAAUUUAAUUUUCUAUCUUUUGGAAGAGUCGAAUUUAACUAUCAAUUUAAAUUAAUAUUUUUUAACGAAAAUAGUGACUAAAAUAUUAAAAUAUUAAACAUGACAACUCAAACGACAAUCCACAUCUAUAUGUUUUUUUAUUUAUUUCUUAUUUUUAAAUUAUUUAUUGACGUGACAUAUAAUAAAAGUAUUAUUAUAUUAGCAUGAAGUACACAUGGAUAGCCACACGAGUUGUGACACCAAUAUCGUUAAAAAAUUAAUAUUUUAGUUAGCAUAUUUGUUAAAGAAAAGCAAAUUCACUCUUUUUUCAAAUGUUAAUGGCUAAAUUUAGCUCAAAUGAAAAAAAAAUAAAGGCCAAUUUGAUAAAAAAAGGUAAAUGUCAAGAGUUAAGUUUAACAUUUAUACAAGUACAAAUAUAUGUCUGGAUUAAUCUAGAAAGAACAAGACAAACUCUACAGGUGAUAUACAAAUGUGAUGAGAGUGAAACCUGCACAUCACAAUUGAGAAUAAUAUUAUAGAACCUAAAUACUCAAAAACCUAAAACCUUCCCCUUAACCAAGAAGCUAAGACACUAUGGAUAAUUUUAUAUCUACAACACUUCAUGAAUUUCAUAUGCUUAAUAAAAGUUUACAAAAAGACUAGUAAAGAACACUUACUUUGGUUGAUGUAUGGUAUAAUAAGUCUGCAAAGCACUAAGAGUAAGUGCAGCAAUGGCACCCAAAAAUGCCAAAAACGUCCAAGGACUCCUAAAAUAAGUAUGAUAACCUUGAGCUGCAUGAUUAAUCCACAUAUUUUUACAAUGAUUAUGUAUUUUCUCUUUAACCCCACUGUAAAUCGUCGGACUAGGAACCAAAUCAGUGUUCAUCUUAUUGAAAAGCUUAGCCAUUUCUUCAUCACUUCCCAAUCCAUUGUAUAGGAUGCCGGAGUCUCUAAGGUCUUUGACAUCUUCAGCUUCAUCGAUCAAUAAAUCAAGGAAACACAUAUAUGAAGUGACGGUGAAAUCGUUGUCGAAAUCCGGACACAUUUCGUAAGCUAUUAAGUUCAUGGUUGCAUCAUCGACGGAGAUCGGCGGUAACCGUAAUUUUUCGAAGAAGAAGAUAUGGUUGAAACUGAUGUCGGUUAAAUUACUUGUUUCGCUGGCUUCUAACCAUAUCCCGGCCUUUUUAAGCUCUUUUACGUUACCAAUGGUGCGUGAAUGGUACCGUUUUGUUGUUUUUGUUCUUGCUGCUGAUUUGCCAAAUCCGUGUCGAGUGAAUUCCCAAAGAAAACACCAGCACCGUAUUCGUACUUUUCUGAGAAGGAGUCUUUCUCGUAGUAGAUGCAAUUGUUAAAUAUUGGCAAUAUCCCACAUUAGGAAAAGAUAGAAAGGGAGGGGGUUUGGUUUGUUAUAUAUAGAACCCCUCCCCCUUUGGUUGUAUCAUCCCAAAAUCUUCUCCUUUGUAAUAUUUCUAGAAGAAAUAUUAAUUUGGUAGUGUCCGAGGACGUAAGCUAAAUUGGCCGAACCUCGUUAAAUCUCUGGUAUUUUAUUUCUUAUUUGUUUGCUUAUAUUUAAUAGCUUUAUGUUGGUUAUAUUUAUUUAGUUAUUAUUGCUAUAAAUAUCUAAGUGAGUUCUGUCUAGUUGUUGGGUUUUAAGCGGGACCAUUUGUGACCCCUCCAAUUUAACUGGGAAUUUUCUUAGUAUAAUUGUUGGCAUAAUAAUUAUCUAAAUAUUUCUGAUAAUAUUGUUAUUAAUAUUAUCGUCGCUUCCGCAACAAUUGGUAUCAGAGCCAAGGUUUUGUAGUAUGCUCUGUGUUUGCAGCUUAGUCUGAUCUUACACAUCAGAAACAUUUCCUAAAGCUUGUGGGUAUUCUGCAUUUGGUGGCUAUUAAGUAGAAGCUAUGGCAAAAAUGACAGAAGAAAAACCAUCCAUAUCAACAACUUCCACUUCGUACAUUAUGCCGAGGAUUGGAACUGCAAAUACGAGAUUUGUAGUGGAAAUUUUUGAUGGAACAGGUCAUUUUGGCAUGUGGCAAAGUGAGCUUCUAGAUGCCCUCUUUCAACAGGGUCUAGAUAUUGCCAUUGAGGAAGAAAAACCAGAAGGGGUUGAUGAUAAAGAAUGGAAGACCAUCAACCGAUUGGCAUGUGGUACAAUUCGAUCAUGUCUUUCCAGAGAGCAGAAGUAUACAUUCAGUAAAGAGACUUCUGCAAGUAAAUUGUGGAAAGCAUUGGAGGAGAAAUUCUUGAAGAAGAACAGUCAAAAUAAGUUGCAUAUGAAGAAAAGACUGUUUCGUUUCAAUUAUGUUCCUGGUACCACGAUGAACGAGCACAUUACCAAUUUUAAUCAGCUGGUGGCUGAUUUGUUGAAUUUGGAUGUGACUUUUGAAGACGAAGACUUGGCGUUAAUGUUGUUGGGAUCGCUUCCUGAGGAGUUUGAGUACCUUGAAACUACUCUACUUCAUGGAAAAUCGGAAGUAACUUUCAAUGAAGUAACUGCUGCAUUGUAUAGCUAUGAAUUACGCCGAAAGGAUAAGUUGAAAGGUUCAGGUGAAGCAGCAGUGGAAGCAUUGGUAACAAGAGGUCGUCAGCAAAGUCAGUCUAAUGGGAAGAGAAGAAAGUCCAAAGGUCGAGCUGUUGCCAAAGAUGAAUGUUCCUUUUGCAAAGAAAAAGGACAUUGGAAGAAAGAUUGUCCAAAAUUGAAGAAAAAAGGGAAGACUCCGCAAGAUGCAAAUGUUGCAGAAUGCAAUAGUGAAGCAGAGUCAGACUUUUCUCUUAGUAUGACAUCUUCAACAUUAUAUGCAGAUGAGUGGAUCAUGGAUUCUGGUUGUUCCUAUCAUAUGUGUCCCAUUCGGGAAUGGUUCUUUGAAUUUCAAAAACUAGAUGAAGGGGUUGUUUACAUGGGUAAUGAUAACACAUGUAAAAUAGCCGGGAUAGGUUCAAUUAAACUGAGGAGUCAUGAUGGAUCUACUAGAAUUUUGCGGGAUGUACGAUAUGUCCCAAAGUUGAAGAAGAAUCUCAUCUCUUUGGGGUCGUUAGAAUCUAAAGGCCUAGUUGUGACAAUACGAGAUGGAGUUCUUAAAGCAACUUCAGGAGAAUUGGUGAUGUUGAAAGGCAUAAGAAAGAACAAUCUGUAUUACUACCAAGGUAGUACAGUGGUCGGGACAACAGCAGCAGCAAUUUCGAGUACCAAGAAGGACGCUGAGGCAACACAGCUGUGGCAUAUGCGUUUGGGCCAUGCUGGUGAAAAAUCCUUGCAAACUCUAGCCAAGCAAGGAUUAUUGAAAGGUACAAAGACUUGCAAACUUGAAUUUUGCGAGCAUUGUGUUCUGGGAAAACAACGAAGGGUGAAAUUUGGCACUGGGAUUCACAAUACUAAAGGUAUUCUGGAUUAUGUGCAUUCUGAUGUAUGGGGACCGUCCAAGUCUCCAUCACUUGGAGGAAGACGUUAUUUUGUCACCUUUAUUGAUGAUUUUUCCAGACGAGUUUGGGUGUUUCCUAUGAAGAACAAAGAUGAGGUGCUUGAAGUUUUCCUUAAGUGGAAAACUAAAGUUGAAAAUCAGACAGGAAGGAAGAUUAAGGUUCUCCGAUCAGACAACGGUGGAGAAUAUAAAAGCGAUCCAUUCAUGAAGAUAUGCCAAGAUUGUGGCAUAGUAAGGCACUUCACCGUAGGUGGAACACCGCAACAGAAUGGGGUGGCAGAGCGUAUGAAUCGAACGCUUGUGGAGAAAGUUCGAUGUAUGUUAUCUAAUGCUGGAUUAGAUAGAAAGUUUUGGACUGAGGCUGUGACGUACGCUCAACAUCUCAUCAAUCAUUUGCCAUCAUCUGCUAUAAAUGGCAAGACUCCUUUAGAGAAAUGGUAUGGAAAACCUGCUACUGAUUAUGACACCUUGCGCAUUUUUGGUUCUAUUGCAUAUUAUCAUGUGAAAGAAUCAAAGUUAGAUCCAAGAGCAAAGAAGGCUCUAUUCAUGGGCUUCAAUGCUGGUGUUAAGGGAUAUCGUUUGUGGUGUCUAGAGGCAAAGAAGACGAUAAUCAGUAGGGAUGUUACCUUUCAUGAAUCUGCCAUGUUGAAUAAGGUAAAUCCAGAAGGAGUGAGUAGUACUUCGCAGCAGGUGGAGUGUACUCCGCAGCAGGUGGAGUUUGAGCAGAGUGUGGUAAUUCCAGCAGAAGGUACCACUAGUGAUUCUUCAUUGGCAGAUGCAGAGUCAGAUGAGGAAGAGGUUUCUACCCAAGAACCUCAACAGCAAUCAGAGCCAAUUGCAGUCAGAAGGCAGAGACGAGAAAUUCAGAAACCAGCUCGUUUCACUGACAUGGUAGCUUAUGCACUUCCAGUUGUUGAUAAUAUUCCAUCCACUUACACCGAAGCCAUUCAGAGUUUAGAGAAUAAUAGAUGGUUAGGUGCAAUGGAAGAGGAAAUGCAAUCUCUAGAGAAAAACAAGACGUGGAAGCUGGCACAACUACCAAAAGGGAAGAAGGCGAUUGGUUGCAAAUUUGAAGACACUAUUGAAGUUAGUGUUAUGAGAAGAUGUUCGAAGAUGUGGAAUAUCGCCAAGGUGGAGAUUUGUUAAAUAUUGGCAAUAUCCCACAUUAGGAAAAGAUAGAAAGGGAGGGGGUUUGGUUUGUUAUAUAUAGAACCCCUCCCCCUUUGGUUGUAUCAUCCCAAAAUCUUCUCCUUUGUAAUAUUUCUAGAAGAAAUAUUAAUUUGGUAGUGUCCGAGGACGUAAGCUAAAUUGGCCGAACCUCGUUAAAUCUCUGGUAUUUUAUUUCUUAUUUGUUUGCUUAUAUUUAAUAGCUUUAUGUUGGUUAUAUUUAUUUAGUUAUUAUUGCUAUAAAUAUCUAAGUGAGUUCUGUCUAGUUGUUGGGUUUUAAGCGGGACCAUUUGUGACCCCUCCAAUUUAACUGGGAAUUUUCUUAGUAUAAUUGUUGGCAUAAUAAUUAUCUAAAUAUUUCUGAUAAUAUUGUUAUUAAUAUUAUCGUCGCUUCCGCAACAGCAAUAAGUGAAUUCGCUCUCCUUCUUUUUGCUGCUUCCACCACCAUUCCCUACACCAAAAUCUGUGUUAAUCGGAAGCCAAGCUACAAUUUCUCUUUUCUCUUUUCUCUUUUCUUUUUUUCUUUUUUGUUGUUGGAUUUGGAAUUGUUAAUUUAUAUGAAGCUAAAAUUAAGAUUUUCAAAAUAAAUAAUCCAACGAUUAAGUUAUUCAAUUUACUUAAUUUAAUUGAAUAAAUUAUUAAAAAUUUCGAUUCGAUAGCACGGUUUAAUUAAUUUUUUUACCCUGUUUAUAUAAAGUUUUAAAUCGGUUAAUCUACUCCGAAUUGAUAAUUCAAUUAAUUUUCAAUCCAAACCAAUUCAAACAAUAUUAACUAAAAUACAAUUUUUAUUGUUGUAUUAAUGCAAAAAUCUUACCAGUUUUAAAACAUUAAACUUUUCCAUUCUGAAAAGUUGGAUUUGAAAUCAUAAUUUUUAAUUUCUAAAAAUGAACACUCAAGGAUAAAUGUAAAACGACAGGCAGGGGUCGUUCCCAAGAAAUGAAAAUUUACACUUUAAUCUCUUUUAAAUUUAUUAAAUUAUAAUAAGUCCUCAAAUUAAAAUAUAAUAAUUGUUCAAUUUUUUUAAAAAAAUAAAAUCAUAAAUUAAUACAAAAAAAUUAAAAAUCAAACAGGUUGAAUAAAAAAUUAAAUAAAAUUGAAGUUACACCAAUUGAAUUAAAGAAUGGAAUAAAUUUCUUUUUAUAUUUUUAAUAUUUUUAAAAAAUUAUAUAAUUAAAUUGAAUAAACUAAUCAACCAGAAAUGAGAGUUUAAUAGAUUCCAUCACUCAUCUAGUUAUAAAAACCUUUUAACAUUUAUUUAAUUCCCUAAAUUACCUGUCCUCGCCUGGGAUGAUAACAGUUUCGUCGAUGAACCUUUGGAUUGCAUUCAUGAACUUUUCGCCAUUUUUUCUCGGCCUUGUAAGCAAUUCAAGAACACGAAAAGGUAAUUGGUUUUCCAACAAGAACAGAUCUGAGUACACAAAUGUCAGCAAAUCGUCUUUAAUAAACAAUUUACCAUCAUUAUCAUCACCAUUAUCAUCAUCACCGUAACGCCUGUAAACUGCUUGUAAAAUUGCGCAGCCGUCAACGAAGAACAUCCAAGCCAGUUUCUCGUUAUCGUUGCUAUACUUCUCUAAUCCCUUUGGAUCAUAGCAUUUCUUUAAGUCAUCAAUCUCUUUCUUCAUGUUGUUGUACAACGUAUCCUUAUCGACGCCAAUUUUUUUGACGAAAAGUGCUGCUAAUUUGAGCUUGAGCUUCUCGGAUUUCCGGAGGGUGGGAUCAUCGUGGUGGAGUGGGCCGAUUGAGAUCACUUUCGGCUUGAAAUACUUCCUGAAAUCUUGGUGACGACCAAGGGUUGAUGGGACUCUUUGUAUCAAUGGUUUGGCACCGAGGUUGAUUUCGUCGCCGUCGAAAGCUUCGUCUAAUGACCGGAGAUUCGCUACUUCUCCAUCUCUAAGAGGGACGUCCAUAUCAAUGCUCACGGAAUCGUUGUUGUCGGUGAUUGCUUGAUCAGUGGAAACUGCUCCGACGGCGCCGCCUCCUUCCUCCGUGGAGAACAUUUUCAGGCUGAGCGGUUGGAAGUAAUAAAGAAGGUGAUUUUGUAAACUGCUUUUGGGUGAGUGAGUGAUGUUGGAGAAAAGGUGGCAAAGUGGAUACGAUGAUGGGAAAUAUUUUAUAGCUUACACGAUACACAUAUAUAUAUGGGAAAUACUUACACCGUGUUUGGUUUAGUGUAAUAGCUAAUCCAUUACGCCCCGAUUACGUGCCUAUUACAUUACUGAUCUAUUCCGGCGUUUGGUUCGCUGUAAUAGGUAUUACGCGCCUAUUACAAUACCGACCUAAGCCCCAAAUUCUCUGCUUUUCUAUUCCCUUCCCAAAUCCCAGAUUACCUAUUACGUCCGGCUUCCCUUCCCAAGUCUCUGUUUUACCCUCCCUCCCUACCCGAAAUCGACCUCCACCCUCUCCUUUUUCUGUCCUCAUCAUUUCUCCUCCCAUUUCACACUGCUUCAUUUUUUUCUCUCGGAGCACGUUUGGUUUUUGAAUAUUGAGGUAUGAAUCAACGUUUGGUUAAAAUGUUUAUGAUUUACUUGUUUAAAGUUUUCUAGAUCUUUUUCUAUAUCUAUAGUUUCUGCUAGUUCUAUUUCUUUGUUUUUCUUUUUGGUGCUAAAUACUCGCUCGAAUUAUUUUUUGAUUUGGAAUUAGGGUGUUUUCCGAUUAUAAUCUUACUAUUCUGAAAUCUUACUAAUGCUAUAUCGGUUACCCACAAUUUGUUCGUAACGAAAAACAUGGUUGGUAUUUUUUCCAGAUUUUCUGUUGGCAGGUCUGCCCAUCGACGCUCCAAGAGUGCCUUUGUAAGUUUCUAUAGCUUACAUAAAGAGGCGAAUAUAAGGGAAUGUAAAAUUGUUAUUUAGGCCCUUAACUUUAUUAAAAUUUCAAAUUAGUAAAGGUAAAAUUAUACUUUGGCCUCAUAAAAUUAUAAAAAUUCAAUUUAAUCUUUUAAAAAUUAUAAAGAUAUAGACUACAAAAAAUUAAAAUUUCAUUCUAUCCACCCUAAAAAAUUAUUCGGGCUUUGCUGCUACUUACAUAAUAAACAUAUGGAAAAUACUUUUGGUGUAAUUCAAAUUUACCCCUUAUAGUCAAUUUAAUUUUCAUUUUUUUUAAUUUAAUUUUCUAUCUUUUGGAAGAGUCGAACUUAACUAUCAAUUUAAAUUUAUGUUUUUUUAACGAAAAUAGUGACUAAAAUAUUAAAAUGUUAAACAUGACAACUCAAACGGCAAUCCACAUCUAUAUUUUUAUAUUCAUUUCUUAUUUUUUAAAUUAUUUAUUGACGUGACAUAUAAUAAAAGUAUUGUUAUGUUAGCAUGAAGUACACAUGAAUUGCCACACUAGUUGUGACACCAAUAUCGUUAAAAAAUUAAUAUUUCAGUUAGCAUAUUUGUUAAAGAAAAGUAAAUUGGUUCUUUUUUGAAAGGUUAAUGGUUAAAUUUAGCUCAAAUGAAAAAAAAUAAAGGCCAAUUUGAUAAAAAAAGGUAAAUGUCAAAAGUUAAGUUUAUCAUUUAUACAAGUAUAAAUAUAUGUCUGGAUUAAUCUAGAAAGAACCAGACAAACUCUACACGUGAUAUUCAAAUGUGACGAGAGGGAAAUCUACACAUCACAAUUGAGAAUAAUAUUAUAGAAAUACUCAAAAACCUAAAACCUUCCCCUUAACCAAGAAGCUAAGACGCUAUGGAUAAUUUUAUAUCUACAACACUUCAUGAAUUUCAUAUGCUUAAUAAGAGUUCUUUAAAUAUAUUCGAUUUUUAUUUUAUUAUUUAUAUUAUUUUGACUCAGUAUUUAAAUUAUCAUUAUGUUACAUGAUUUAUUUCAAAUAUUUUAUAUAUUUUUAUAACGAAAUUUGAAUUAAAAAAAUAUCAAUUUUAUUAUUAAAUUAUAAUUUGAUAUAUUUUGAGAUAAUGCAAUUUUAAGUAUUUCAAUUUAUUUAAUCAUUAUUUUUAAACUCGUUUUUUGUUUUGUUAGUAUUGCAUAAUUUUAACGUGUAUAUAUAUAUAUAUAUUUAAAGUUCUACUUAUUUUUAAGUUAUGUCAAAUAAUUGACAACUUUAUUAAAGUAUGCAUUUGAAUUUAUAAAUUUUUUUAGGUUGAAAUUAAAUUGUAUACUUUUACGAUAGUAAAAAUAUAAUUUUAUCAUUUUAAUUGCCUAUAUCGUUAUAAAUUUUAAAAUAUUAAAUCAAAUUUAUAUCAUUUUUGGAGGGUAAAGUAUAAUUUUAUCAUUACUAAUUUAAAAUUUUAUAAAUUAUAAAGGGGUCUAAAUAAUUUUUUUUUCAUUUUAAAGGAGACCAAGACUCUACAACCCUUGAAUUCGCCUCUAUCCAUAUAUUAUAUUUUAUUAAUCGAUUAUACAUGUAAACAUAUUUGUUUUUACUAAUACAUUUUAUUAAUCAAAUGGCUUUUUUUUUUUUACUGUUAAGUUAUCUUUUUUUAACUCCAUACAACAAAAUUUAUUUGCUCACAGUUUAACAUAUUUUUUUAUUAUUUCAGCAAUAAUAUUUUAUACUUAUCUAUAUAUCAAAUAUCAUGAUUCUCUAACAUUAUUAAGAUUAAAUAAAUAAAAUAUGUAUAUAUAUAAAUAAUGUUUUUUUACAAAAUUUUAAUUGUUUAAUCUCAAUAAUUUUCUUUUGCAACAUUAAAUCAUAUAAUACAUUUAGAAUAUUAAAAAUGUAUCAGAUUUUUAUUAAUAUAUACAUACAAUAAAUUUGUGUAUAGCAUGAGUAAACAAAUUAAUUAUUAAACUAUAAUUUGGCUCAAACUAAGUUAACCUUAACUUAAAAUUAGGUUAAAGUACUUGGGAUUUGGGACUUGGGAGGUUGGACUGGAUUAAAUUAGUCCUUCUGUUAUUAAAUGGAUCGAUUUAGUCCUUAUAUUAUUAAAAAGAAUCAAAUAAGUUCAAACUGAAAUAGAGUUAACAUUUACUGUAUAAAAAAUGUCUCGGCAAUUGCAAUUCAAUUCCAAACAGAAUGGUUCAUGUAUAUAACCAUAAGAACUUUUUAAAUAUUCACUUGUUAGACAAUAAUAGUAUAGGACUAAAUUGAUCCAUAUAUAUAUUAUUAAUAGAAAUGAGAAUUGUGCUUGGCCAAGUUUCUAAGUUUGGUAUUUGUUCUUACUUUCCUUCUUCAACCGUAGGAGCCACUCUCAUGACUUUUAUUUACUUUGCCAAGUUACUAAGUCAUGACUUUAGUAAAAGAUUUAGUUCCAUUUGUCGCUCCAACAUAACUUUUUUUUAACGAAGAUUCCAGUUAUAUCGAUAGGUAUACAUUGUUUCAAUAAUAAUUCGAAACAAUCAAUUUUAUUUUUUGCACAACGGUGGCGGGAGGUGGCAAGCAGGGGUAAAUGUAUAAGAUUAUAAAUUUCAAAGGUAAGAUUGUAAUUUGGCCCCAAAAAAUCAUAAGGCUUUAAUUUAGUUCUUUAAAAAAUUAUAAUGGUAUUAGCUAAUACAAUGAUGAAACUGUGUUUUAACCCUUAUCGAAAUUUAUAAUUUAAUUUCGGUCCCUCAAAUAAAAUUUUUGACUUCGUCCUUAUUUCCGCACUAGUAAAAAUUCUAAUCUAUAUCAUCUGCAACGGCCAAUACUAUAACAGUCUGAUUUUCAAUGGUAUCGGAAAAGAUGGUUUUGAAACCCCAUUUUCAUUGUCUGAGUCCAUAAAUAUUAAUAUUUAAUAUUUACAAGGCUAGUAUAAAAGUUUAUUGCAGUUUGGUCCAGCAAUUUUGUCUAAUUGAUAGUUAAAUAAGGUACAUGAACUAAAUUAUAAAAGUCCAAUCAAUAUAGGUUUUUAAUUAGCAAAGGACCAAAAGGGCUAUUAAACCAUCUUUUAUUAUAUGAUAGUGGAUAUAAACAAAUAUUAAAUUUAGUUAAUUAAACUUGAUUAUGAUUAAUUAAUCCAGUUUAAUUAAAUUCUAAUUAGACAAUAUAUACAAAUUAAGUGGAAAAAAUGAAAACAUUUUUCAUCUUCAUCAUCUUUGCUGAAUUUGAGAGACAGAAAAACCUAGAAAGCUUUCAUACAUUCGGUCCUCAAUUUCUAAGGCGAUUUAAGUUUUUUUCUUGUAACUUUUAUAUAUUUGAGGUUAUGGACGCUUCAUUUAUUUAGCUCAUGUAAUAAUUUGUAAAAUUGUUAAAGUUUUUGAAAGUUGCCGUUUUUAGUUUCUUGAAUAAAUAAAUAUUAAAUUAAUAGAUUUUAAGGUUAGAUGUGAAAAAGAAUUAAAUUAUAAAAUUUAAAUUGAUAAUUUUAAGCAAAAGGAUAAAAUUGUAUAAAUUGAAAAUUUGACGCUAGUUUUUUUAUAGUUUUAGAUAAUAGAGAGUUCUAAAAGAAUGUGAUUGAAAUUGAUUUCUGAUUUAGAGAUUAAAUUAAAUAAAAUAUGAAAUUUUAAAAAUAUCAUAAAAAUAAAAUUUAACUGACUCAUGCAUGCAUAUAACAAAAACUAAAAUUUUAAGGACACACCUUCAUGCAUUUCACUUCAUUAAUAACGAAAGAAGCAUGGCUACCUAGCUUUCUGCUUCAUCCAAAAUUGUUGAACUUUGGCCUAUAAUGCAAUAGUAGAGAAGCAAUGAAGCUCAACCAGUACAACAGCAACAUUUUGUUCAUAUGCAACUAGCUUUAGUUCUUUUGUAAUUUGUAUUUAAAGUUAGUAAGAUUAGUUGAUGAUUUGAAUAAUGUCUAAUGUGAUGUAAUAGUUGAUAUGCCAACUACAUUUUGUGUGUAAUUUAAGCUUUGUUUUAGUCAAGUUAUUAGUGGGAGCAGUUGUGUAUUAGGAAACUCUCAUGUAACUUAUAUGUUUAUCUUAAUGAAAAAUGCAUAUGAAAUUAGUUUUCAAGUUUCAUUUUUGUUCAAUUCUCUUUGUAUUCGUUUCUUGCUACUUUUCUCCUUUGUUUUCUAUCAAAACAUCAACAAAUGGUAUACAGAGCCUGUCAUUUUUGAGGGACUUUAUUGUUGGUAGUUGUUUUUGUGAGAAACCUUGAAGAAAAAGAAACUGAGGUUGUUGUUUUUAUUGUUGCUGCAAAAUGAGUUUUACACCACCACCACUACCACCUCUUUUUGCUGGUGAAAACUACCACAUUUGGGUAGUAAAGAUGAAGACUUACCUGCAAGCACAUGACUUGUGGAAUGUGGUUGAGAAUGACACAGAACCAGCUCCAUUGAGGGCCAAUCCCACUAUUGUAGAAAUUAGACAACAUUGUGUAAAGUGUGCUAAGAAGCACAAAUCUAUGUCAUGCUUAAAAAAUAGUGUCUGAUGUGAUCUUCACUCGAAUAAUGGCUUGUGACACUCCAAAGUAAGCCUCAGAGAAGCUGAAGGAAGAGUUUCUCGGGCCAGACAAGACUAGGCAGUAGCAGUUGAUCAACCUUAGGAAGGACUUUAAGAACUUGAAGAUGAGAGAGUCUAAAACAAUCAAGCAGUACUCUGAUAGGAUAAUGGCCACAGUCAACAACAUCAGGCUCCUUAGAGAUGAAUUCAGUGAGAGUAGAAUUGUUAAGAAAGUCAUUACAACCCUUCUUGAAAAAUUUAAAGCAAAAAUCUCCUCAUUAGAAGACUCGAGAGAUUUAUCAACCAUCUCACUAUCUGAGUUGAUAAAUGCUCUAUAUGCAUUAGAGCAAAGAAGGGCCAAUAGGAUGGAAGAGCAUCCUGAAGGAGCUUUCCAACUAGAAACCAAGGAAAGCUCAGGUUCAAGCUAUAAAGGAAAGAAACCAUGGCUUAACAAAAGGGAGAAACCAAAGAGGGAUGCAGGGAAGAAAAUGUUCCCACCAUGUAUUCACUGCAAAAGGUCCACACACUUGGAGAGGUAUUGCUGGUACAGACCUGAUAUUCAGUGUAAGAGCUGCAAGUAGUUUGGUCACAUUGAAAAGGUUUGCAAGAACAAAGGAACGACAUAAGCUCAACAGCAAAAUCAAGCUCAAGCUGCUGAGGAUAUUCAAGCUCAAGAGGAGCAUGUUUUCACUGCAUCCUAUUUUGCAACCUCAAGAAAAUUCAGAAGAGACUAGUUAGUAAACAGUGGCUGCACUCAUCAUAUGGCAUCUGAUGAAGGGUUAUUCAGAGAUCUUAACAAAAGAUUUGUUUCCAAAGUUAAGAUUGGAAAUAGAAACCUUAUUGAGGCCAGAGGCAAAAGCAAUGUUGUGAUCAACACACAUUCAGGUAACAAAAUAAUUUCAGAUGUUCUUUUUGUACUUGACAUAGACCAAAAUCUGCUUAGUGUUGGUCAAUUAAUAUAAAAGGGUUAUUCACUCAAUUUUAAGAACAACUCCUGUGUUAUUGGAGAUUCACUUGGUGAAGAAUUAGUUACAGUUGCUAUGACUGAGAGAUGCUUUAUGUUGGAUGUGAACCAGUUUGAAAUGAAGGCCUAUACUAGUCUUGCUGAUAAAGCUAGUUUAUGGCAUAAAAGGUUAGGCCAUGUCAAUUAUAAAUCACUCAGUUUGUUGCACAAACUCAAUUUGGUUGAAGACAUGUCCAAGGUUGAAGUCAAAGACAAAGUUUGUAAAAUUUGUCAGCUUGGGAAGCAAGUGAGAUUGCCUUUUCCAGUUAACAAGGCAUGGAGAGCUCGAGACAAGCUUCAAUUGGCCCAUACUGACAUUUGUGGACCAAUGAAGACCUUUUCUUUGAAUGAUAGCAGAUACUUUGUGCUAUUCAUAAAUGAUUAUACAAGGUUCUACUGGGUAAUUUUCUAAGACAAAAGUCAAAAGUACCUGAAGUAUUCAGCAAGUUCAAAGCCUUAGCUGAGAAUUAAUGAGGCUGUAAGCUUAAGGCCUUGAGAUUCAGUAAUUUGAUGAGGAAAAUGUAUGGAACUGGAAUGUUACAGAUGCAAACUUGAGUGAGGAAGGUCAACAAGAUAAUAAUCUGUAACCAGCUGAAGAAGAAGAGCCAAUUGCUGAUGAUUUUGAUGAUGUACCUGUGAAAGACACAAGAACCAUUACUGACAUCUAUCAAAGAUGUGAUGUUGCAAUACUGGACCUACAAAUUUGAUGAGGCUGCCAGAGAAUAGUGUUGGAAAAGGGCCAUGGAAGUUGAAAUGGAGAUGAUACACAAGAACAACAUUGGGAACUGGUUGACAGACCAGACCAAAAGAGAGUUAUUGGUCUGAAGUGGGUGUUUAUGGUUAAGUACAAUAUUGAUGGGUCUCUAAACAAACACAAGGCAAGACUUGUGGUGAAGGGAUACAGCCAACAGUAUGGCAUCGAUUUCAUAGAAACAUUUGCUCCAGUUGCAAGGUUAGUUACUAUAAGGCACUUGUUUUCCUUAGCUGCUCAAAAGAAAUGGAGAGUGAAUCAAUUGGAUGUUAAGUCUGCUUUUCUGAAUGGCUUCCUUAAGGAAGAAAUCUUCAUUGAACAACCAUAUGGGUUCAAGAUUCCUCAUGAAGAGAAUAAGGUCUACAAGCUGAAAAAGGCUUUGUAUGGUUUGAAGCAAGCACUAAGGGCCUGGUAUGACAGAGUUGGUGCAUAUCUGUCUAGGCUCAGUUUUGAGAAGAGUAUCAGUGAGCCUACUCUCUAUGUGAAGAAAUCAAAAAAUGAAACCCUGUUGAUUAUGUCACUUUAUGUAGAUGAUCUACUAGUAAUUGGAAGCGAGGGGAAGCUGAUUGAAGAGUUUAAAAUAUAGAUGCAAGAUGUCUUUGAAAUGAGUGACUUGGGGGAAAUGACUUACUUUCUUGGCAUGAAAGUGAAUCAGUUUGAUCAUGCCAUCUUCAUAAGUUAGCAAGCUUUUGCCAUAAAUAUUUUAAACAAAUUUUGCAUGUCAAAAUACAAAAUUUUUAGCACACCAGUGGCUCAAGGUGAAAAAGUAACCAACCUUGGCAACCAUGAAAGAGUUGAUGAGAAGGUGUAUAGAAGCCUUGUAGGUUGUCUACUCUACUUGACAGCUACAAGGCUUGAUAUCAUGUUUGUUGUUAGCCUUCUGUCCAGAUUCAUCCAUUGUCGCAAUGUUGUUCAUUUUAAGGCAGCCAAAAGAGUUCUUAGAUAUGUGAAAGGGACUUUGGAUUAUUGAGUGAAAUUUGGGAAGACAAACGAACUCAAGUUGAUAGGGUAUUCUGAUAGUGAUUGGGCAGGUCCAUUGAUGACAUGAAGAGCACAUCUGACUAUUUCUUCACUCUUGGCUAAGGUGUUUUUUGUUGGAGUUCAAAGAAACAACAAAUAGUUGCUUAAUCAAUAGCAGAAGCAGAGUGCAUUGCAGCUGCUGUAGCUGUUAAUCAAGCCAUUGGUUUAGGAAGCUCUUAUGUAAUUUGAAUGAAGAUCAAGUUGAAGCUACUAAUAUUAGAGUUGACAAUAAGUCAGCUGUUGCCAUAGCAAAAAAUUCAGUAUUUCAUGGCAAAACUAAGCAUUUUAAGAUUAAAUUUUAUUUUGUUAGAGAGGUUGAACAAUCAAAAGAAGUUAAUUCAAUUCAUUGCAGCUCAAAAAACCAGCUUGCCGAUAUUCUAACUAAGUCUCUCGGUGCUAUAAGAUUUGAGAACUUAAGAAGAAGUAUUGGUGUUUGUUGCAUAUAGUCCAAGGAGGAGUGUUGAACUUUGGCCUGCAAUGCAACAGCAGAGAAGCAUUGAAGCUCAACCAGCACAGCAGCAACAUUUUGUUCAUAUGCAACUAGCUUUAGUUCUUUUGUAAUUUGUAUUUAAAGUUAGUAAGAUUAGCAGAACUGGAUAUUGUCGUAUUUGAUUAUAAAAAGGUGUCGGCUGGAAUUUAAUUCUCAUUGAGUGUUUUUUUAUAAAAUAACUUGAAAAUUUUUAUUAAUUAUAAAAAUGAUAUUUUUUAUUAGGUAAUAAAUAAUAAAACUGAGUGAAAUUAAAGAGAUUAGUGCCACAUCAACCAAUCAUUAACUGUUAAAAUUAAAAAAAUUAUUUUUUGAAUGAAGCCAACCCAUAUCGCAUCAUUGCGGCAGAAAGCAAUAAAGUAUGCACUAAUCAAUUGUUUUUAAUUGCUAAUAUUUAGUGAUAAAAUAAUAUUUAAUUAUCGAAAUUUGAUAAUAGUAACGAAGUUGAAAAAGGUUUUACAAUUUAGUUUUGAAAUAUAUAUUUUUAUUGAAGUUAAACUGUAAUUUAAUUAUAUUGAUUUGUAAUUUUACAUUGUUUAAAGGGACUAGAUCAAUUUUUUAUUAUUUUGGAGGUCAAUAUGCAAUUUAACAUGUAAAAUUUCAACUUUCAAGGAGACUCAAAGCAUAAAUUAACAUUUUAGGGGACCAAGGUCUUGCCUACCCCUUGUCGCCACCCCUCAUUGGUAAUUUAACUACUUCGGCCUUUGAAUUUUUUUGUCUAAAUUUAUCCUGAAAUUUGAUAGUUUUUCCUAAUGUAGUCCUUGAACAUUGGUCUAUGCUACAUCUUAGAUUUUUUUUAAAAAAUUUUUUAAAUGAUGACAUGGUUUUUUAAUAGAAUUUAAGUUCAAGAAUUAAAUUUAAAAAAUUGUUAAGUUCAAAGGCUAAAUAUUACAUUAUCCUUAAUAUUUGUUACCCGGUUUUAGAAGUCCAUUGAAUUUCUUGCCUGUUUACUUUUGUUAUUAACCAUUGCUUUGUUCUUCUUUGUUUAAUUUUAGGUCCCAUAAUUGAAAAAAGAAUGGAUGAGAAAUUUCUAAAAUCAUUAGAAACAAGAAAAUAUGAUCUCAAAUCCAAUGAAGCAUUGAAGCUCAACUAGUACAGCAGCAACAUUUUGUUCAUAUGCAACUAGCUUUAGUUCUUUUGUAAUUUGUAUUUAAAGUUGGUAAGAUUAUUUGAUGAUGUGAAUGAUGUCCAAUGUGAUGUAAUAGCUGAUAUGUCAGCUACAUUUUUUGUGUAAUUUAAGCUUUGUUUUAGUCAAGUUAUUAGUGGGAGAAGUUGUGUAUUAAGAAACUGUCAUGUAACUUCUAUGUUUAUCUUAUUGAAAAAUGUAAAUGAAAUCAGUUUUCAGGUUUCAUUUUUGUUCAAUUCUCUUUGGAUCCGUUUCUUGCUUCUUUUCUCCUUUGUUUUCUGUCAAAACACCAACAAAAAUUCACAUGUAUACAAAUUAGGACAACGUAAGUGGUCACUGAACAGCCCUAUUUAAAGAAGAAUAUACCAAAAUAAGACAAACCUAAGACCUGAACACUGACCUCAUGUGCUGCAAAGCUAUAAGAUGUUCUGAAAUUACGAAAAUCUUGUUAACAUUAAUGGAAGACAAUUAAUAAUGGUUGCCAUUAACAUUAAUGGGAGACAAUCAAUAAUGACAACCACCAACUUUGGAAAAGUGGCAAGGGAUAAUUUUUUUUGGUCCUUGAGAUAAUGGGCUAUUUAUUGUUUGGUCCUUGAACCUCAACUAUAAAUAGGUCUUCUCAUUUCUCAUUUCAAUUCAUCCCAACCAAUCUUUCUCUCUUAGUUUUCUCUCUUCUCCCAUUUGAGAAUUCUUAAGGAAUUCUAUUUGUUUGUAAUACUUUGAAGAUAGUAAAGUUAUCAUCUGGUGUUAGUGCCCGAGGACGUAGGUAUAAUUUACCGAACCUCGUUAAAACUCUUGUGUUCUUUAUUGUCCUAUUUUUCUUUCAAUAUUUGAGGGUAUAAUAGUAGUAUUUAAUUGUGCUAUUAAAUUACUAUAGAAGGGAUAUUCUGUCUAAGGAAAGACUUGGUAUUUAAGAGAUCCAUGUGAUCCACCUCUCUUCCCUGGGAAUUGAACUUUGUGUGAUUUUUAGUACAAUAAUUUAUACGCUUCCAACCCUAUUGGAACUACAAGUGGUAUCAAGAGCCGAAGGUUAAUCGUAGUAUGCUCUGUGGUUGCAGUUUAAACUGAUCUUCCACAUCAGAAAAGAUUUCCUUAGGUAUAUUGAAAGAUUAUGGAGAAAACGGUCGGUGUAGGAGCUUCAACAUCGUCCAUGUGGACAAGACCGACAAUUGCAAAUGCAAGAUUGGCCGUAGAGAUCUUUGAUGGCACGGGCCAUUUUGGUAUGUGGCAAAGUGAGGUUCUAGAUGCCCUUUUUCAGCAGGGUCUAGACAUUGCCAUUGAUGAAGAGAAACCAGAUGAUGUACAGGAGAAAGAUUGGAAAGCGAUCAAUCGGUUGGCAUGUGGCACAAUUCGAUCAUGCCUUUCUCGAGAGCAGAGGUAUGCUUUUUCAAAAGAGACUUCUGUAAAUAAGUUGUGGGUGGCACUUGAAGAUAAUUUUUUGAAGAAAAACAGUCAAAAUAAGCUCCACUUGAAGAAAAGACUGUUUCGCUUCACAUACGUCCCAAGUACCACAAUGAAUGAUCACAUCACCAAAUUUAAUCAGUUAGUCACUGAUUUGCUGAAAAUGGAUGAGACAUUCAAAGAUGAAGAUUUGGCUUUGAUGCUGUUGGGGUCACUUCCUGAGGAGUUUGAGUUCCUAGAAACUACUCUACUUCAUGGCAGGAGUGAUAUAUCUCUGAGCGAAGUCUGUGCGGCCUUAUACAGUUACGAACAGAGAAAGAAGGACAAACAGAAAAACUCAAUCAGAGAUACAGAAGCUUUAGUAGUCCGAGGUCGUUCAUACACUCGGAAGAAAACUCAAAAUGGGAGAUCAAAGUUAAAGUCCAGACUCGGGAAAGAUGAAUGUGCUUUUUGUCAUGAGAAAGGCCACUGGAAGAAAAAUUGUCCAAAGCUGAAGAAUAAGGGAGAAGCUGCUGUAGAUGCUUGUGUUGCUAAGCAUGAUACUAGUGACUCUGAACUAUCACUGGUUGCAUCAUCAUCGUCAUUCCAUUCAGAUGAGUGGAUAUUGGAUUCGGGUUGUACCUAUCAUAUGUCCCCUAACCGGGAGUGGUUCUCUGAUUUAGUAGAACUAAAUGGAGGAGUUAUUUAUAUGAGCAAUGACAAUGCCUGUAAAACUGUUGGGAUAGGUUCAAUCCAAUUAAAGAAUCAAGAUGGAUCAACCAGAGUUCUGACUGAUGUUCGGUACGUUCCCAGUUUGAAGAAAAAUCUCAUCUCAUUGGGAGCCUUGGAAUCCAAUGGUUCAGUUGUUACUAUGAGAGAUGGGAUUUUGAAAGUGACAUCUGGCGCACUUGUGAUAUUGAAGGGCAUCAGGAAAAAUAACUUGUAUUACUACCAAGGUAGUACAGUUAUUGGAGCAGUCGCUACAGCUUCCGGUAACAAAGAAUUGGACUCAAUGCAGUUGUGGCAUAUGAAGUUGGGACAUGCCAGCAAAAAAUCCUUGCAAAUUCUGGCAAAGCAAGGAUUGUUGAAAGGUGCAAAGGCUUGCAAAUUAAAAUUUUGCGAGCAUUGUGUUCUGGGAAAGCAAAAGAGAGUGAAAUUCGGUACUGCUAUCCAUAAUACAAAAGGUAUUUUGGAAUAUGUUCACUCAGAUGUGUGGGGGCCUUCCAAGACACCUUCAUUGGGAGGAAAACACUACUUUGUUACUUUUGUUGAUGACUUUUCCAGAAGAGUUUGGGUGUAUACCAUGAGAACUAAGGAUGAAGUGCUUAGAGUUUUUUCUUAAAUGGAAAACUAUGAUCGAAAACCAGACUGGCAAGAAAAUCAAGCGGCUUAGGACGGACAAUGGAGGGGAAUAUAAAAGUGAUUCGUUCUUCGAUGUGUGCCAAGAGUAUAGUAUUGUUCGACACUUCACAGUUAGGGAUACACCACAACAGAAUGGAUUGGCAGAGCGUAUGAAUCGAACAUUGCUAGAGAAAGUUCGAUGUAUGUUGUCCAAUGCUGGGUUGGGCAAGCAAUUUUGGGCUGAGGCUGUGACAUACGCUGGCCAUCUUGUUAAUCGUUUGCCAUCAUCUGCAUUAGAAAGAAAAACUCCUAUAGAGGUAUGGUCUGGAAAACCGGCUACAGAUUAUGAUUCCUUACAUGUGUUUGGAACCACUGCAUAUUACCAUGUGAAGGAGUCAAAGUUAGAUCCGAGGGUAAAGAAAGCUCUCUUUAUGGGAAUCACUUCUAGAGUGAAGGGAUUUCGUCUUUGGUGCUUAAGCACAAAGAAAAUGAUCUGUAGCAGAGAUUUUACCUUUGAUGAAUCUGCCACAUUGAAAAAGGUAGCAGAUAAAGAUAUUCAGACGAGCAAUACUCCACAGCAGGUGGAGUGUACUCCAAAACAGGUGGAGUUUGAGCAGAUGAGGAUUUGCCCAGUUAAUAAGUCUAAUUCUCCAGCCACAAUAGAGGAAUUAGAGGUUGAAGAGGUUCUGACCCAAGAACCACUAAGUACACCAGAACCAGUUGCAGUUGCAAGGCCACGGAGAGAAAUUCGUAAACCUGCUCGAUUUACUGAUAUGGUGGCCUACGCCCUUCCCGUUGUUGAUGAUAUUCCUAUCACUUAUCAAGAAGCAAUGCAAAGCUUAGAAAGUGAUAAAUGGAAAAGCGCCAUGGAUGAAGAAAUGCAGUCUCUCCGAAAGAACAAUACUUGGGAGUUGGCGCAAUUACCGAAAGGUAAAAGGGCAAUCGGAUGCAAGUGGGUAUUCGCAAAGAGAGAUGGAUCUCCUAGCAAGAAGGAUAUUCGCUACAAGGCAAGAUUGGUAGCUAAAGGCUACGCUCAGAAGGAGGGAAUUGACUACAAUGAUGUAUUUUCCCCUGUUGUGAAGCAUUCCUCCAUUAGAAUUUUGUUGGCCUUGGUAGCACAGUUGAAUUUGGAGCUAGCUCAACUUGAUGUUAAGACGGCUUUCUUGCAUGGUGAGUUAGAAGAGGAGAUCUAUAUGACUCAGCCCGAAGGAUACACAGAUGCUGGUGGUAGAAAUUGGGUUUGUAAGCUUAACAAAUCGCUAUAUGGAUUGAAGCAAUCCCCGAGGCAGUGGUACAAGCGAUUUAAUAGCUUUAUGAGAAGGCAAAAGUACACAAGAAGCAAAUAUGACAAUUGUGUGUAUUUGCAGAAGCUGCAUGACGGAUCUUUCAUUUAUCUACUCUUGUAUGUUGAUGAUAUGUUAAUCGCUUCGAAGAGCCAAAAAGAGAUAGAUAAGCUGAAGGCUCAGUUGAAUCAAGAGUUCGAGAUGAAAGAUCUAGGUGAGGCCAAGAAGAUUCUCGGCAUGGAGAUAAGUAGAGAUAGACAGAGAGGCAAGCUUUGUUUGAAUCAGAAGCAAUAUCUGAAAAAGGUAUUACAAUGUUUUGGUGUAAAUGAAAACACAAAACAUGUAAGUACCCCACUUGUUUCUCAUUUGAAACUUAGUGCUCAAUUAUCUCCGAAAACUGAAGAAGAAAGAGAAUAUAUGGCAAAAGUCCCAUAUGCUAAUGCAGUUGGGAGUUUGAUGUAUGCGAUGGUGUGUACGCGGCCUGACAUUUCACAAGUUGUUGGAGUUGUGAGCAGGUAUAUGCAUGAUCCUGGAAAAGGACAUUGGCAAGCUGUGAAAUGGAUUCUACGGUAUCUUCGAAAAACCGUAGAUGUUGGUUUAAUUUUUGAACAGGAUGAAGCACUUGGUCAGUUUGUAGUUGGAUAUGUUGAUUUCGACUUUGCUGGUGAUUUAGAUAAACGUCGUUCAACUACGGGGUAUCUGUUUACUCUUGCGAAAGCCCUAGUGAGUUGGAAGUCUACCUUACAGUCUACAGUAGCUGUGUCUACUACAGAGGCAGAAUAUAUGGCAGUUACAGAAGCUGUUAAGGAGGCUAUUUGGCUUAAUGGAUUGUUGAAAGACUUAGGAGUUGUUCAAAGUCACAUAAGUUUAUAUUGUGACAGUCAGAGCGCUAUUCAUUUAGCGAAAAAUCAAGUCUAUCAUUCAAGAACCAAGCAUAUCGACGUAAGAUAUCACUUUGUGCGGAAAGUCUUUGAAAAAGGAAAAAUUCUACUUCAGAAGAUUCCGACAGCAGAUAAUCCCGCAGAUAUGAUGACCAAGGUGGUAACAACAAUCAAGUUUAAUCAUUGUUUGAACUUGAUUAACAUCCUGAGAAUUUGAGCACCUUCAGGUGUAUGGCGCUCGAGAGCGCAUUUGUAGGCACUACAAAAGAUAGCUUUAUCGAAUUUGGGGAGUUGAAGGAAGUGUGUGAAGAUGUGAUUAUCCUAAUCAAAUCUUCAAGGUGGAGAUUGUUAACAUUAAUGGAAGACAAUUAAUAAUGGUUGCCAUUAACAUUAAUGGGAGACAAUCAAUAAUGACAACCACCAACUUUGGAAAAGUGGCAAGGGAUAAUUUUUUUUGGUCCUUGAGAUAAUGGGCUAUUUAUUGUUUGGUCCUUGAACCUCAACUAUAAAUAGGCCUUCUCAUUUCUCAUUUCAAUUCAUCCCAACCAAUCUUUCUCUCUUAGUUUUCUCUCUUCUCCCAUUUGAGAAUUCUUAAGGAAUUCUAUUUGUUUGUAAUACUUUGAAGAUAGUAAAGUUAUCAUCUGGUGUUAGUGCCCGAGGACGUAGGUAUAAUUUACCGAACCUCGUUAAAACUCUUGUGUUCUUUCUUGUCCUAUUUUUCUUUCAAUAUUUGAGGGUAUAAUAGUAGUAUUUAAUUGUGCUAUUAAAUUACUAUAGAAGGGAUAUUCUGUCUAAGGAAAGACUUGGUAUUUAAGAGAUCCAUGUGAUCCACCUCUCUUCCCUGGGAAUUGAACUUUGUGUGAUUUUUAGUACAAUAAUUUACAUGCUUCCGACCCUAUUGGAACUACAAAUCUUUGUUCUUUCAUUGGGUUUCUUAUCUUCCUUUUACACAAUUAAAAACCCAUAUAUAAUUUUAAAAAUACUUUCAGGCUUCUUUGUCUUGCUAAUUUCUGUAGAAAAUUACUGGUCUAUCACUGCCCCAAAGGUUCCAGCAUUUGAAGCACAAGAUAUUGGCACAUCAUAUAAGUUCUAAAUUUGUCACCAACAACUGACAAAACUGAGUAGAAUUACAUUAAUUAUGCUUAACAUUACACUUCAGGCAUACAUGCAAUUAAAAGUAAAAUCGAAAUAACACUAAACAUACUCGGAGUCGGAGGUGAAGAGGCGGUUGAAAGAGCGCGGAUUAAAGAGAAGAGGACUGGCGAGGUGGCGGGUAUUGAGGGCAAUGGAUGAGUGUUUUGAGGUGGGUUUUGAAAGAGCGUCUGAGGGAAAGCGAUAGAAACAUGGUGGAAGAAAGGAAGAGUUAAUGGAAGGAAAAUUUUAGGGUUUUGUUCUUUGUAUGAGAUCAUUUCAUAGAAUUGAUUAAGAAAGGAAGCAUCUAAGGAAGGAAAGGAGCUUAUUAGUGUUGUUUUCCGGUUUGGAUGUUUGGUUUAUUUUAUUAUUCAAAAUUAAUUUUUUUAAAACAAUGAAACAAGUUAUUUGAACCAGAUGGGUUUGAGACUAGGUUUGAUUUUUCUUUCUAGAGUCAGAACAUAGGCUUGAUGUAUGAAUACUUUUAAUUACAAUUGUAUUUGAGCUGUGAUGAUAUUCAACUAAAGCCCUCUCAAUAAUAAUAACUCUAAAUUUAAACUUAAAAAUAACUUUGAGCUAAUCUUGAUCGAUUACUCCAAUCACACAACACGAAUAACUAAAGCUUCCUCAACCUCAACAAAUGUUAUAGUGUCAAGAUUGAACAAACUGUCUCCUAGUACCCUAUUGAUUAGGCAACUUUGAUGUUGAACAUCCCACAAAAACAUGAAAAAAAGAAAAGAAAAAGAAUCACAAUUAUAUUUAACUCAUGCAACAAGUUUCACCUUUUUUUUUGUGAGAAAAAGAUCAAGCCACUAUUAGGGAGUCUUGGGCUUCUAGUUGAAGCCUGUGAAUCAUUAGAAUAAGAAAAUUCAUGUAAUGCUUAUUGCCAAAUCACAAUCUCGUCAGAAUUGAGGUUUUUCAAAAACAAAACAAUUAACAAAUAUUUAUGGCCUGAAACCUUAACCUACCCUAAUAGAAAGGUAAAAGAACAAUGUGCUCAAUGGAUUUCACUUCUUCCCCACACCUCGGUCAAUGAGGAUCCACCUCCUUAAACAUUUUGGCAAUGUUUUGUUUAGUAGUAACACAUUGUGGCAAGACCUCCUAAGGAGAUUUUUGAUAUUUAUUAUCACAUUAAGCUCUCAUGAAUGAUUUAAACCUUUCUAAGACAAAUCAUUGUUAGCAUUUUAUCCGUUUGGGGCCGCAUAUGAGAGAGGUAGAGAAAAGAGUCACUCGUACCCAUAUCAAAUGUUGUAAGAUUCAUCUUCCGAAAAAUGCCACACAAAUUUAUCUCGCUUAGUAGGGGACCUAAUAAGGAUUUUCUCAAUAACCUUAUGUUUAUUUUGGCUAAAACAUUGUUGUAGUAAAUCGCUCUUCCAAAUCCACAAGUCCAGAUCAAUCAGGUCCUUAAACAAAAUAAGGCUUAUCUCAAAGGAGGAAAGGAUGGAAUAUAUUCAAAAAGAUUACAAGUCGAGGACCCAUUGAUCAUGUGAAACCAUAAUGUCCUAGUCACUUUUGAAUUCAAUUUGGUUGCAAGAUUUUUAGUUAAAUUAAUAAUUCAAAAUUUUAGUAGGUAUCUUUCAUGUCUGAUGUACGAUUUUUGAAGACUAAUCUUUUUAGGAUUCGUGGUUACCCCUUCCAACGAUAUUAUUAUAUCUAAGGUUUAAAUAUGAAUUUUUUUCUUAGGAAUACAAUAUGCCUCCCCUUCUCAAUUUUUGUUCAUUGUUAAUUGAUCAUUUAAAUAGGAAUGCAUUUGUUUUAAACCUUGGUAAUUAGUUGGGUCUAGUGAACUUUAGGAGCUUAUUCUAUGCAUGUAACUCCCAACAUCCAUUCUUAAGAAUUCGAUGAUUGAAAUAUUUGGUUUCAAAAUUACUUCAAUUGUAAUUAUUACUUGAUUGUGGUACAAAAUUUUUGUUACAAUGUUUAGAACUAUUUACAACUCCUCCUUAACAUUUAAUAAAAGGAUAAAGGCACUUUAGCACGCUUCAACCCACAUAUCCUUCUAUACUAACAACAAUGUUGAUACUAAAUUAAAACUCAAUUUAACAAUUGUACAUAUUUUUAGGUUAAAUAAAUUUUAAGUACACAUAUUGCUGUUGUGAUGUAAGUAUUUAGGAUAAAUCACUGCAUUGUUAGACAAAUUGACCCAGACUAUAAAUUGUAUAUACAAACAAAAUUAAAGAGCAUUGGUAAAAUGUACAAAAAAAAUUGAGUAACAUUCAAUAUUUAUAAUAAAUAAAACACAAAUAUAAUAUACAAAGCUUUGAUGCCUUGAAUCUUUAGGGCUCUUCAAGCAGCCUUUAAUUUUUGUGAUUGGAUGAGUCUUGGCUGCCGCAAAUUGAAGAAGAAAAAUAUAUAAAAGCAUUUCAGAACAAAUACACACAAAAUAAGCUUCUGCAUGUAAGAAACUUAUAUAAGUUCGUUUCGGGUUUCACAAGUUUAAUCUUUUUAAGUUUGAGAUUUUAAUUUUUGAAUUGCAUCAUUACUAAUAAAAUUAUUUUAAGUAUAAAUUAUUCAGAUUAUUUUGAAUUCAAAUAAAUGUUUUGUUUGAAUCAAUUUAUAUUUGGGCCAAUAAUAAAUGGGUUUAAAUAGCUGAUUUUUUAUGGUCAAAGUGAGUUAAUUAGUUAAAUUUUCGGAUUCAUGUUAGAAUUGACACAUUUAAUUAAAAAUAUUUAAGCAUUAAAAUAAUCAAAAAGUCCCUAAGUUCAACUUACGGACGAAAAUUUAUAUUUUUACUUAGACUUCCCGAUUUUUUCAAAUUCUUAAUUAAGCCUCACAAUAAGUAUUGAAAUUUUCAAAAUUUUCAAAAUUUUCAAAACUUGCCUUUAAUUUUCUCAAAAUUCUUGAUUAAAUCUCUUAAAUUUUAUUUUCGAAAAAAGAAUUUCAUUAAACACAAAAAAUUAAAUAGAUUGAAUCCAACAUCUAGGAGUUACAAAAUUCUCAUAAAUAACAAGAGUUUACAAAAAGACUAGUAAACAAAACUUACUUUUGUUGAUGUAUAGCAUAAUAAGUCUGCAAAGCACCAAGCAAAAGUGCAGUAAUGGCACCCACAAAUGCCAAAAACGUCCAAGGACUCCUAAAAUAAGUAUGAUAACCUUGAGCUGCAUGCUUAAUCCACGUAGUCUUACAAUGAUCAUGUAUUUUCCGUUUAACCCCACUGUAAAUCGGACUAGGAACCAAAUCAGUGUUCAUCUUAUUGAAAAGCUUAGCCACUUCUUCAUCACUCCCCAAUCUAUUGUAUAGUAUGCCGGCGUCUCUCAGGUCUUUAACAUCUUCGGCUUCAUCAAUCAAUAAAUCAAGGAAACACAUAUAUGAAGUGACGGUGAAAUCGUUGUCGAAAUCCGGACACAUUUCGUAAGCUAUUAAGUUCAUGGUUGAAUCAUCGACGGAGAUCGGCGGUAAACAUAAUUUUCCGACGAAUAAGAUACGGUUGAAACUGAUGUCGGUUAAACAACUUGUUUCGCUGGCUUUUAACGAUAUCCCGACUUUUUUAAGCUCUUUUACGUUAUGAAUGGUGUGUGAAUGGCACCAUUUUGUUCCUUCUUCUUUUCUACGUUCUUGUUCAUUUGAACACGGAAAACCCCACCGCCGUGGUUUUUCUUUUUUGAAAAGGAGUCUUACUCGUAGUAGAUGCAAUAAGUGAAUUCGCUCUCCUUGCUUCUACUUCCGCCACCAUUCAUCGGAGCAAAAUCUGUAUCAGUCGAAGCAAACCUAUAAAUUUUUUUGGGGUAAAUUACACUAACAGUCACUCAACUUUGGGGUAGCUAACAAAACAGUCACUCAAGUUUCAGUUCAGUCACUGAACUUCUAAAAAAUAACAAAAUAGACACUAAUGUUAUUGAAAAGUGAUAAAUCAGUCACUCAUUAACAAUUGUCAUCACAGGCUUAAUGUGGUCAAUUAACUAGUUGAUGUGACUAGUUAACUUGCCAUGUUGGACAAGUAGUCAAAGGGUCAAAAAGAAAAAAAGAUGAUUAGUUAAGGGUAAAAAGAAAAAUAAGAGAAAUGGAGAAGAAGAAGAAAAGGAGGAAGAAGGGAAAAUGGAAGUCAAAGGGUCAAAAAGAAAAGAAAAGAUGAUUGGUUAAGGGUAAAAAGGAAAAUAAGAGAAAUGGAAAAGAAGAAGAAAAGAAGAACAGGGUAGGAAGAAGGGAAAAUGGAAGGAGCUUCCAAGCUUCAUACCAACGAUUCCCAAGGGUCAAAAUCUGGGAAUUUGGAUUUUGAUCCUUGGGAAUUACUGUUACGAAGUCCUUCCAUUUUCUCCUCUUCUUCUUUUCUUCUUUUUCUCCAUUUCUUCUCUUAUUCUUCUUCUUUUUUUUGUUCUUCUACUGCCCAAACUUCUUAAAUGGGUUUGUUUAAAUGACAGCUAGCCUACCCUUAAAUGUCAUGUCACUUUUUCGUUACGUCUGUAACGAAAAAUGGUUAAAAAGACUGUUUUGUCAGCUACCCCAAAGUUGAGUGAUUAUUGCUAUAAUUUACCCUAUUUCUUAUUUGAAAUUGUAAAUUUUUAACCAGCUAAAUUUAAGGUUUUCAAAACCCAACUCGUUAAGUUAUCGAUUUAUAAUUCUAAUUGGUCUAAUGAAUUCAUCCGAUUAAUUAAAUUAAUUAUUAAAAAUUUUCCAUUUGAUUGCCCAAUUCAAUUAAUUUUUUUUGGUUCAACCUGUUCAUAUAGAUUCUCAAAUCAAUUGGUCCAAUGACUUCCUUCAGACUAAUACCUUAAUUAAUUUCCAAUCCAAAUCGAUUCAAAUAAUAUUGGCUAAAAUACAAUUUUUAUUAUUUUAUUAAUGCAAAAAUUUUACCAUUUUAAAGAUAUUAAAAUAUAAAAUUUCUAUUUUAAAAAGUUGGAUUUGAAAUCAUAAUUUUUUUUCUAAAGAAAUGUACACUCAACAGGACCAAAGGAAUUGGCAGGGAAAUUUUGUUUUAUGGACCGUUUUCAUCACAAAUGAUCUUAUCAAAUUAAAAGAGGAUAGAUCAUCUUUUUUUUCAUAUCAUAUAUACAUUGGGACUAAACUUCCAAAUAAAAAAUAAUGUGUCUUUUUUUAAUUGAGUGGGACCAUAGAUGAUGUGGUGAAAAUGGUCCAUUAAAUAAUUUAUCACAAGCAAGAGUAAUUCCAAAAAUAGAAAAUUACAUUUUAAUUCUUUAAAAAUUAUUAAAUUAUAAAUUUAUAUAUAAUAAAAUUACACUUUGACCCUCAAAAUGGAAAAAAUAUUUUGUUCAGUCUUUUUAAAAAAAUAUGAACUUAUAAAUCAAUACAUGAAAAAAUUUAAGGAUUCGACAAAACUUAUCGGUCAGGCUAGUUGUUGAGAAAAUUGAACAAGGUAUUGAUCCAGAAUAAGAGAUUAGAUUAGAUGAAUUGAGUCAUCGAAUGGAUUUUCUUUAUAUGUUUAAUAUAUCUUUAAUAUUUUCAAAAACUUAUAUAACUGAAUCGAAUAAACUAAUCAAUCAAAAUUAAGAGUAAUCAAUGUAAAAACCUUUUAACAUUUAUAACCUCGACAAAAUGAUUUUUUUAUUUAUUUUUAAAUUCCUUAAAUUACCUGUCCUCGGCUGGGGUGAUAACAGUGUCGUCGAUGAACCUUAUGAUUGCAUUCAUGAACUGUUCGCCAUCACUCGAGCUAGUAAGCAAUUCAAGAACACGAAAAGGUAUUUGGUUCUCCAACAAUAACAGAUCCGAGUACACAAAUGUAAGCAAAUCGUUUUUAAUAAACUGGCCAUAAAUUUUACAAAUAUCAUCACCGUAACGCAUAUAAACUGCUUGUAAAAUUGCGCAGCCGUCAACGAAGAACAUCCAAGCCAGUUUCUCGUCAUCGUCGCUAUACUUCUCUAAUUCCUGUGGAUCAUAGCAUUUCUUUAAGUCAUCGAUCGCUUUUUUCAUGUUGCUGUACAAGGAAUCCUUAUCGACCUUAAUGUUUUUGACGAAAUGUGCUGCUAAUUUGAGCUUGAGCUCCUUGGAUUCCUGGAGGGUGCGAUCAUCGUGGUGGAGUGGGCCGAUUGAGAUCACUUUCGGCCAGAAAUACUUCUUGAAAUCUUUGUUACGGCGAAGGGUUGAUGGGACUUUUCGGAUCAAUAGAUUGGAUUUGAAUUUGGGUUGGCCGCCCUCGAAAGCUUCGUCUAAUUUUUCGAGAUUCGCUAAUUCGCCACUGCUGAGUUGGACGUCGCCACUGCUGAGAGGGACGUCCGUGCACCGCAUAUCAAUGCUCACGGAAUCGUUGUUGGUGUUGUUGUUGAUGGUUGUUUGAUCAGUGGAAACUGCUCCGACGGCGCCGCCUCCUUCCUCCGUGGACGACAUUUUCAGGGUGAGCGGUUGGAAGUAAUAAACAAGGUGAUUUUGUAAACUGUUCUUGGCUGAGUGAGUGAUGUCGGAGAAAAGGUGGCAAAAUGGCUACGAUGAUGACAAAUAUUUUAUAGCUUACAUAAUAAACAAAUAUGGGAAAUACUUGAGGUGUAAUUUAAAUUUACCCCUUAGUGUUUAUAUUUUUACUAAUAUAAUUUUUAACUUUUAAUUUUUUAAUUAAAUUUAAUUUUCUUUUGAAAGAGUCAAUCUUAAAAAAGAAAAGUUAAAUUAAUGUUUUUUUAACAAAAAUAGUGACAAAUAUAAUAAUUGUCCUUAAGAAGCUAAGACCCUAUGAUUGGGACAUUUACAACACUUAAUAAAUUUCAUACACUUAAAAAUAGCUCCAUGCUUCUUUACAUAUAAUAAUUGCAUUUGUUAUUCUACCUAACUCUUGAAAAAUCUCAAAUUUGCAACCACAUAUUAUUCACAUGCCAACCAACCAAUUUAUUACCCACAUGCCAACCAUUUUUUUUAUUGAAGUUAUUGUACUUAUAACCUUUCACAUAUAACUAUGCUUCUUUAGAUAUGCUAAUUGCAUUUAUUGUUGUACCUCACUCGUGAAAAAUCUCAAACUUGCAACAAAAUAUUAUUCACAUGCCAACCAACCACUUUUUUUAUUGAAGUUAUUAUACUUAUAAGCUUUAUGCUUAUUGUAACACUCUAUGUUUGAUUCGAUCUACAGGACACUAUAGUUAUUGUCAGAGCAACUACAGUCAGAAUUACGAAAAGAUAAUUUGUAUUUAACAUCAAUCAUGAUGCAAUUACAGUAACACAUCAAUUAUGAGCUUUAAUCGAGCUUACGAAAGCUUUUUUGGCAGUUCGAGCAAGAAUUAGGACCAAACAGUAAAGAUUUGAAAAGUUUGGAGCGACUUCGUGACUUCAGCUUUUUCUCAUCGCAACAUGACCAUCUCAGUGUGUCACAUCAUAACGAAAAGCCUAUGCUCAUCACAACGAGACUCUCUGACUUGACAAUGUCACAAUGUCAAGAUUUGUAGUCGUGACGUGGACCCUAUAUUUGGCAAAAAUAUACAAUUUGGUACCUAAUUCAAUGCUCCAACUAAAAUCAUGCAAGAAAAAUACAUUACAUGCCAUUUCUAAAUAACUUAAAACUUACCUAAAACAUGCUAAGUAAGUUCAAACAUAUCAUUUCAAUUCCAUAGCAAUUCAUAUUACCAUUUCAUCAUUUAUAUUCAACUUUUCAAUAACUUACACUAAAUAUCAACAAGUUAUACAAACAUCUACCAUUACCUUUAUCAUGCCAUAAUGAAUCAUUCCAUUUCAAACAAUCAUCACAUUAGUUCUUUUAUUUUUCUUUUUUAGUCAACAUAUGAAAACCAACUUAGAUAGAUCACAUUCCAACUUUCCAAAUGCAUCAAAUAUUUCAUAUUCAUGUACUAACAAAGAUCAUGCCAAGAACCCACAUGCAAAGUCAUUAUAUACCACAUUUAACUCAACAAGACUUUUACACAACCAAAGAUUACUCCAAACGUUUAUAUGCAUGUCGCAAUCCUUGACUCAAAGAUAAUAAAAAAAACCGAAUUGACAAUAGAAUAGUGUAAGCUUCAAACGAUCCAACCGACAUGUUCCACAAUGUAACAACCUAAAAGGAAAAAGAAAACAAUGGGGUAAGCAUAUAAGAUGCUUAGUAACUCAUAUGUAAUCUAAACCUUACCUAGAUUAAUUGAACAUAAACAAUUACUCAAUAAGCUAUCAAAUUUAUUUUUCCAUGGCACUUAGAUAUCGUACAUGUAACAAUAUUUCAAGUCGAAAAUGUUAAAUACAAUGUUGAAUCAUUAUGUCUUCUUUUCGUAAGUUUCACUUAUAGAAAUACAAUAUAGGUUCAAGUACAAAUAUAUGUCUCGAUUAAUCUAGAAAGAACUAGACAAAAUCCACACAUGAUAAACGCAUAUAAUGAGUGUGAGACUCACACAUCACAAUUGAGAAUAAUAUUAUAGAACCAAAAUACUCAACAACCCAAAACCUUUGCGUUAACCAAGAAGCUAAGACCCUAUCAGAGGGAGAAUUUUAUAUCUACAACACUUAUUAAAUUUCAUUAGCUUAAUAAUAUAUAUUCAAAUAUUUAACAUUGUAACCAUGCUUCUUUUCAUAUAGUAAUUGCAUUUGUUAUUCUACCCAACUUAUGAAAAAUCUCAAAUAUAUAUUUUCAUUUUAUUACUUAAAUUAUUAUUACUUACUUUAAUAUUUAAAUUAUCAUUAUAUUACAUGAUUUGUUCCAAAUAUUUAACAUUGUAACGAUGCUUCUUUAAAUAUAGUAAUUGCAUUUGUUAUUCUACCUAACUCAUGAAAAAUCUCAAAUUUGCAACAUGUUAUUCACAUGCCAACCAACCAAUUUAUUAUUCACAUUCCAACUUUCUAAAUGCAUCAAAUAUUUCAUAUUCAUGUACUAACAAAGAUCAUGCCAAGAACCCACAUGCAGAGUCAUUAUAUACCACAUUUAACUCAACAAGACUUUUACACAACCAAAGAUUACUCCAAACGUUUAUAUGCAUGUCGCAAUCCUUGACUCAAAUGAUAAAAAAAACACCAAAUUGACAAUAAAAUAGUGUAAGCUUUGAACGAUCCAAUCGACAUGUUCCACAAUGUAACACCUAAAAGGAAAAAGAAAACAAUGGGGUAAGCAUAUAAGAUGCUUAGUAAACUCAUAUGUAAUCUAAAACUUACCUAGAUUAAUUGAACAUAAACAAUUACUCAAUAAGCUAUCAAAUUUAUUUUUCCAUGGCACGUAGAUAUCGUAUAUGUAACAACAUUUCAAGUCGAAAAUGUUAAAUACAAUGUUGAAUCAUUAUGUCUUCUUUUCUUAAGUUUCACUUAUAGAAAUACAAUAUAGGUUCAAGUACAAAUAUAUGUCUCGAUUAAUCUAGAAAGAACUAGACAAAAUUCACAUAUGAUAUAGGCAUAUAAUGAGUGUGAGACUCACACAUCACAAUUGAGAAUAAUGUUAUAGAAAACCUUUGCGUUAAGCAAGAAGCUAAGACCCUAUCGGAGGGAGAAUUUUAUAUCUACAACACUUCUUAAAUUUCAUUAGCUUAAUAAUAGCUAUUCAAAUAUUUAACAUUGUAACCAUGCUUCUUUUCAUAUAGUAAUUGCAUUUGUUAUUCUACCCAACUUAUGAAAAAUCUCAAAUUUGCAAUUUAUUAUUCACAUGCCAAACAACCAAUUUAUUAUUCCAACCAACCAAUUUAUUAUUCACGUGCCAACCAAUUUGUUUUAUCGAAGUUAUUAUACUUAUAAGCUUUCACAUAUAACCAUGCUUCUUUACAUAUAUUAAUUGCAUUUAUUGUUGUACCUCAUGAAAAUUUUCAAAUUUGCAACAACAUAUUAUUCGCAUGCCAACCAACCACUUUUUUUUAUUGAAGUUAUUAUACUUAUAAGCAUUCACAUUUAACCAUGCUUCUUGUAACACUUUUCAUUGGAUCCAAUCGUUGGGUCCGAUCUACAAGACGCUAUAGUCAUUGUCAAAGCAACUACAGUCGAAAUUACGAUAAGAUAAUUUUCAUUUAAACAUUAAGCAAGAUUCAACUACAGUAAUACAUUAAUUAUGAGUUUUAAUCGAGCUUACAAAAGCUUUUUUGGUAGUUCGAACAAGAAUUAGGACCAAACUAUAAAGAUUUGAAAAGUUUGGAGCGACGUCACAACUUCAGCUUUUCCUCAUCGCAACAUGACCAUCUCAGUAUGUCACAUCAUAUCGAAAAGCCUAUGCUCGUCGUGGCGAGACUCUUUGACUUGGCAAUGUCGCAAUGUCAAAAUUUGUAGCCGUUAUGUAAACCCUAUAUUUGACAAAAAUAUACAAUUUGGUACCUAAAUCAAAGCUCCAACUAAAAUCAUGCAAGAAAAAUACAUUACAUGCCAUUUCUAAAUGACUUAAAACUUACCUAAAACAUGCUAAGUAAGUUCAAACAUAUCAUUUCAAUUCCAUAGAAAUUCAUAAAACUUACCUAAAACAUGCUAAGUAAGUUCAAACAUAUCAUUUCAAUUCCAUAGCAAUUCAUAUUACCAUUUCAUCCAUUGUAUUCAACUUUUCAAUAACUUUAACUAAAUAUCAACAAGUUAUACAAACAUCUACCAUUACCUUUAUCAUGCCAUAAUGAAUCAUUUCAUUUCAAACAAUCAUCACAUUAGUUCUUUAAUUUUUCUUUUUUAGUCAACAUAUGCAAACCAACUUAAAUAGAUCACAUUCCAACUUUCCAAAUGCAUCAAAUAUUUCAUAUUCAUGUACUAACAAAGAUCAUGCCAAGAACCCACAUGCAAAGUCAUUAUAUACCAAAUUUAACUCAACAAGACUUUUACACAACCAAAGAUUACUCCAAAUGUUUAUAUGCAUGUCGCAAUCCUUGACUCAAAUGAUAAAAAAAAACUACCAAUUUGACGAUAAAAUAGUUUAAGCUUAAAACGAUCCAACUGACGUGUUUUUUUUUUUGCUCAAUCAAGAUAUUAUAGCUUUCAGCAUUUGUAGAAAUGCUAGCAUUCUACAAAUACAAGAUAACCCUUUCCCAAGAUCAGCAAACCGAGCACAAUCAAGUUGAGCCGACGUGUUCUGCAAGGUAACAACCUAAAAGAAAAAAAGAAACAACGGGAUACGCAUAUGAUAUGUUUAGUAAGCUCAUAUGGAAACUAAAACUUACCUAGAUCAAUUGAACAUAAAAAAUUACUCAAUAAGCUAUUGAAUUAAUUUUUCCUUGGCACUUAUAUACAUAUAGUACAUGUAACAACAUUUCUGUUAAAGAAAAGUAAUUUGACUUUUUUUCUGAAAAGUUAAUGGCUAAAUUUAGCUCAAAUAAAAAAGAAAAAACAAAAGCCAAUUUGGCAGAAAAUAUAAAUAUUGAGGAUAAAAUUUAUCAUUAUGUCUUUUUUUUUUAAGUAAUUAUUUGUGGUGGGCCAUCAUGUUUGACAAUGAUUUUUAAAUACUGUGUUAAUUGUAUAUAGCACAUCAUGUUUGACAAUAAUUUUUAAAGACUUUUAAACAUCGCGUUAAUUGUUUAUGGCCCAUUGCCCAUAUUGCUUUUAUUAAAUUUUGGGUAAACUUCAAGUUAAUCAUUUAAUUUUUAUAAAAUUUCACUUUGGUGAAAAAAAAAUUGUAUGGGAUGGGAGUCUCAGGAUAAAACAAAAAUUAGGAUAAAUGUAAUGCUGAAAUGAAUAUACUGGGAAUCUUUAAUGUUUAUGGCCAAACCCCACCUCUCCUAUCCUAUACUUCAUCUAUAAUAAUGGUUCUUGGCUUCUUCUAUUCUAUACCUCAAUUAUUUGGAUUAGAUUGAAAAACAAUUGACACUUGAUUUGAUUGUGAAAGAAGUUUUAGUUUAAUGAUAUGAUUGAGUUAAAAUUUAAAUUUAUAAUAUUUAACUUGAGUGUGAGUGAAUUUUUGACUUAAUUCAAAAUUUAAAAUAAUAAGUUCGAGUUUUAUUUAAUUAUGUGUGUAUAUCAUGUAUAAAUUUUAUUUAAAUUUAUUUUGAUUUAAUUCUCAUACUAUAUAUUCUUAAUUAAAUUCGGAAUAUAUUUUAAUUAUCAAUUUAAUUAUACAUUAUAACGAUGGAUUUGGAUAACAAAAUUCAGUUUACAAAAAGACAAAGUAAAGAACACUUACUUCGGUUGAUGUAUGGUAUAAUAAGUCUGCAAAGCACUAAGAGUAAGUGCAGCAAGGGCACCCAAAAAUGCCAAAAACGUCCAAGGCCUCCUAAAAUAAGUAUGAUAACCUUGAGCUGCAUGAUUAAUCCACAUAGUCUUACAAUGAUUAUGUAUUUUCUCUUUAACCCCACUGUAAAUCAUCUGACUAGGAACUAAAUCAGUGUUCAUCUUAUUGAAAAGUUUAGCCACCACUUCAUCACUCCCCAAUCUAUUGUAUAGUAUACCGGCGUCUCUUAGGUCUUUAACAUCUUCGGCUUCAUCGAUCAAUAAAUCAAGGAAACACAUAUAAGAAGUGACGGUGAAAUCGUUGUCGAAAUCCGGACACAUUUCGUAAGCUAUUAAGUUCAUGGUUGAAUCAUCAACGGUGAUUGGCGAUAACCGUAAUUUUCCAAAGAAGAUAUGGUUGAAACUGAUGUCGGUUAAACAACUUGUUUUGCUGCCUUUUAACAGUAUCCCGGCCUUUUUAAGCUCUUUUACGUUACCAAUGGUGUGUGAAUGGUGCCGUUUUGUUCUUGCUUCGUUGCUAGAUCCGUGUUCAGUGAUUGACCACAAACGGCACCACCACGGUUUUCCUUUUCCUACAAGGAGUCUUACUCGUAGUACAUUCAAUAAGUGAAUUCGCUCUCCUUGGUGCAGCUCCCACCACCAUUCACUACACCAAAAUCUGUGUUAGUCGGAAGCCAAGUUAUAAUUUAUCUUUUCAUUUUUUUCUUUUUGUUUGGAUUUGCAAUUGUUAAUUUUCAUGAAGCUAAAAUUAAUAUUUUCAAAAUAGAUAAUUCAACGAUUAAGUUAUUGAUUUAUAAAUUUCAAUUUAUUUGAUUUAAUUAAAUAAAUUAUUAAAAAUUUCGAUUCAAUAACACGGUUUAAAUAAAAAUUUUUACUCUAUUCAUAUAAAUUUUUAAAUCGGCCCGUCUAAUGACUUUCUCCUAAUUGAUGUCUCAAUUAAUUUUCAAUCCAAAUCGAUAUUAGCUAAAAUACAAUUUUUUAUUAUUGUAUUAAUGCAAAAAUCUUACCAUUUUUAAGAUAUUAAACUUUUCCAUUUUGGAAAGUUGGAUUUGAAAUCAUAAUUUUUCAUUUCUAAAUAAUGUACACUCAACAGGAUAAAUGCAAACCGACAGGCAGGGGUCGUUCCCAAGAAAUAAAAAUUUACACUUUAAUCCCUUUAAAAAUUAUUAAAUUAUAAUAAGUCAUCAAAUUAAAAAGAAAAAAAUUUAAGGAUCAGACUAUACUUGUUAAUCAGGUUAGUUAGAUAAAAAAUCGAGUAAAAUUAGAAUUAGACUAAUUGAAUCAAAGAAUCGAAUCACUUUUUUUAUAUUUUUAAUAAUUUCAAAAAAUUAUAUAAUUAAACUGAAUCAACUUAUAAUCCAGAAAAGAGAGUCUAAUAUUUUUAAUAAUUUCAAAGAUUCCAUCACCCAUCUAGUUAUAAAAACCUUUUAACAUUUAUAAACUCCACAAAAAUGAUUCUUUAAUUCCGUAAAUUGGCACAAGAUGCGCCCCAUGGAGGUCUAUCGAUUAGAUGGGGGACAUUUAGCCCACAAGAACUGGCCUGAUUCGGAGAGCUACUAAAGAAGCCUAUCAGAUUAAAGCCUGGUUGGCCCAAUGAUGAAGACAUGACAACUUAGGCAAUUUUGGUAACUAAUCUUAGAAGAUAGAAUAGAAUCAUAUCUUGUAAGAUUAGAUUAGAUUUGAUAUGGCAAAUCUUGUAAAUCCCUAAAAUCAAGGGAUAUAGUGAAUCUCAUCCGUCGAUGUACAUGUAUCUUGAUCGUCGGUUCUGGGGGAGCUCAACUAUAAAUAGAGAGCCUCCCCCUCACUUGUAAAUCAUCCAUUGUAGCUUGAAUUCUUAAGAGUAAUAGAAUUCUUGAGCAUUUACUCAAACACUUUGUGAGCUUUCUUUCUUUAGCUUUCUGUUGUUCUCUUGUGGCUUCUUUUGGCACAAUCGCUUCCGCUAUACAAAUUGGUGCCUUGGAGGAGUUCUAAAAGAAUCCUCUCUUUUGGGAGUUAAGGCUGACUUGGGCAAGUUUGGAUGAACGGAUCGCCUAAGGCCGUACGGAUUGCGAGACGAAAGGUCUAGCCCCGUGACAAGUGGUAUCCGAGCCAAGUUUUGAACCAAGUUAUAUUCGAGUGGUUCGAAGGCACUGUUGGGAUGUCGAAAGAAGUCGUCGGUCAGAGUGAACCAAUGGAGACCCGUGGGAGGGCUAGAAAAGCCAAUCACUCGAGGGAAAUGCUGACAGCUUUGGAGAACCGAGUGGUCAAUCUCGAGGAAUCCGUAGGAAAUGUGAAAGAGACGCUUGAAUUGGUCGAGGGACGCACAGAUGGGUUGGACUCAAUGGAGGAGCAACUCAGAGAUUUUGUGUUGGAUUCUCUUGGUGCAAAUAGGGAAAAGAUAACGGAAUUACUCGAGUCCACUGAGGUAAAGCUAGCAGAGAGGGAUGAAGCUCUCGAGGAUAUGGUGCUAGCCAUGCAAAAAGAAAUGGAGGAGCUUAAGGGGGAGCUCACGAUCUACAAAGCCGCUUUGAGUAAUGGGAUGUUGUCUUCAAGGCCGAAGCAACAAGCAAUGGAUGUGAAUCAAAAUUGGGAUGCUGAUGAUGAUCGUGGAAGGACACAGGAACGACAUCCUCGUGAUAAAUUUAAGGGUAGAUUGAAGUCUUCAAAUAGAGGUAAAACUUGUAACUUCUGCAAAAAGAAAAGACACGUUAAAUCUGAGUACUAUAAGCUACAUAACAAUAUCAAAAGGGGGGCUGUGAAUCAAAAUGGAAAACAACUAGAAAAUUUUGGUAAAGUUGAUGUUGUAGAAAACUACAACGAUGGUGAACUUCUAGUUGCUUCUGCCAACAAUUCUAAAGUUAGCGAGGAGUGGAUCCUUGAUUCGGGCUGCACCUUCCACAUAAGUCCCAAUUGGGAUUGGUUUACAACUUACAAAACAGUGUUUGAAGGUGUUGUUUUAAUGGGAAAUAAUACUUUAUGUUGAAUCAUAGGUGUUGGAAGAAUUAAAGUUAAGAUGUUUGAUGGAGUUGUCAGAACACUUAGUGACGUACGACAUGUUCCAAAAUUUAAGAGAAAUUUAAUUUCGUUGAGUACUCUUGACUCAAAAGGGUACAAAUAUACAGCUAGAAGUGGGGUUUUGAAGAUUUCCACAGGUUCCCUCGUUGUGAUGAAUGGGUAGAGAAAGACUACCAAGUUAUAUGUUUUGCAGGGUUUUACUGUUACUGGUGAUGCAACUGUCGCAUCCUCUUCUUUGUCAAAUGAUGAUAUUACUAAACUAUGGCAUAUGUACCUAGGGCAUAUGAGUAAGAAUGACAUGGUAGAAUUGAGCAAAAGAGGACUUCUUAAUGGGCAAGGAAUUUGCAAACUGAAAUUCUGUGAGCACUGCAUUUUUUGGAAGCAAAAGAGAGUUCGAUUCACUAGAGGAAUCCAUAACAUGAAAGGAAUGUUAGAGUAUAUUCAUUUUGAUUUUUGGGGGCCAUCUAGAGUGCAUUCGAGAGGUGGAGCUAAUUAUAUGCUAACUUUUAUUGAUGAUUUUUCCAGAAAAGUGUGGGUGUUCUACCUGAAGCAGAAAAGCGAUGUGUUUUUCACUUUUGAGUCUUGGAAAACUAUAAUUGAAAAACAGACGAGAAAACAAAUAAAAUACCUCCGCACAGAUAAUGGCUUAGAGUUCUAAUCUGAUGAGUUUAAUAAACUGUGUAAGUCAGAAGGGAUAGUGAGACACUUGACAGUUCGUCAUACUCCACAGUAAAAUGGUGUUGCAAAAUGAAUGAACAAAACUAUCAUGGAGAAGGUUCGAUAUAUGUUGUCAAAUGCCAACUUACCAAAGUCAUUUUGGGCCGAAGCAGCCUCUACUACAUGUUUUUUAAUCAACUGAUCUCCAUCUGUUGCCAUUAAGAAAAAGACUCCACAAUAGGUAUGGUUUGGUAUUCUUGCUAACUAUUCUGAUUUAAAGAUUUUUAGGUGUCCUGCAUAUGCUCAUGUUGAUAAUGGAAAAUUGGAAUCGAGAUUCAUUAAAUGUAUUUUUCUUGGUUAUAAAGCUGGUGUAAAAAGGUAUAAGUUAUGGUGUCCUGAAAAUAGAAAAGUUGUGAUUAGCAAAGAUGUUGUUUUUGAUGAAACUGCUAUGCUACCUAACUUAUCUCUUAAAGACUCUUCCAAUAAAAAAAAAUCAAAAGCAGGUGGAGCAUCAGAUUAAUCCAGAACCCACAACAGAGUCAACUCCUCAAGCCAGUACAAAAAUUCAAAAUAGAGUUGCUUCUUCACCAUAAUACUCAAUCGCCAAAAACAAAACUAGAAGAGAAAUUAAACCUUCAAAGAAGUAUGCCGAGGCUGAUUUAGUUGCUUAUGCUUUAAAUGUGGCUGAAGAUAUAGAUGCAAACUAAGAGCCAUCUAAUUAUUCUGAUGCUUAUGCUUUAAAUGUGACUGAAGAUAUAGAUGCUUUAAAUUUCGGGAGUGGACUUCACAGAUAUGUUUUCUCCAGUUGUGAAGUAUAGGUCUAUUCGAGCUUUUGUUGGUAUUGUGGCAAUGCAUGAUUUGGAGUUUUUACGUGUAAAAACUGCUAAUUUAUUUUCGUCCCCAAAACAUUUUUGGCUUAUACCUUGAAUGUGGAUCAAAAAAGAAAGUCUAGAGACUGAUAAGUGCUAAAAGUAACAUGUUUUAAUCUCAUUUUUAGUGUGUUUUUGGAUAAUUAUUCGAUUUAAAAUGGUGAAAUUUAUGCUCCUAAUCCUUUAAUUUAUGUUUCUAUACUUAGGAAAGGAUUUGGGAGCAAAAGGAACGAAAAUCGAAAAAUUGGAGCAAGUUUCAAGAGACAACUGGUUGGGCCAUUCUACAUGGCCAGGACACACGGCCGUGUGAGCUACACAGGCUUCCACACAGCCAAAUGCCAGACCAUGUGCAAAUCACAAAUCGCACUCCAAACCUACAGGAAAGCACAUUUUUUUAGGUAAGCAUAUUUUAUAGGUUUUUCAGGCAUUCUAAGACUUAUAUAUGAAAAAAAUAAGAAGAUGGGAGGGAACCGCCAUAGAAUAUUGAAGAAACAAAACUCAAAAAACACCAUUAAAGCUGACUCUGAAGCAGAUUUUCAUCAAGAUUGAAGAUCUCCUUUUGAUUUCUUUGAAGUUUAUUAUGAGUUCCUUUAUUUCUUGUGGUUAUCCUGUUUUUAGGAUGUUUUUAUUUGCUAUCAUGAACUAAUUUUCUAAAUACCUAUAGAGAUGAACCCUAGGAUGGAUUCUGUUAUUUGAUUUCUAUUUUUAUGCAAUAAAUACUUGAAUCUUGUUCUAAAUUUUGAGUGUUUAACUAUUGGUUUAAUAUUUCUAGGCUACUAGUCCAUGUUUGAUGUGCUUAAAUCAGAGGAUGGAUAGACCUAUUUAAGAGUAGAUCUAGCGUAAUUGAGUGAAGUUGCAUACAAUCUUAGAAAUAGGAUGGCAUAAAUAUACCAUAUUAGAGUCAAAUCUAAUAGGGGGAUCCAUAGAUCGAAUUAAUGUGAUAAUAGGAGUUUUAAUUAAAAAGAAAUUUCAAUUAAUCAGCCUAGAGUCAGUUGCUCUUAGUCUUGAAGAGAGAUAUUAUAAUAUUUAGGGAUUUCUAUGGAUCAAGCUACUAGUACUUUUACUAUGAAUCUCUUAGAAAAGAGUUGAAUUAAUAUUUUUUAACAAAAUAGUGACUGAAAUAUUAAAUUUUAAACAUGAUAACUCAUAUGACAAUCUACGUGUAUAUGUUUUCUUAUUUUAAAAUUAUUUGUUGACGUGGUAUAUAAGAAAAGUCAUGUUAUGUUAGCAUGAAAUGCACAUGGAUUGUCACACGAGUUGUAACACGAGCACUGUUAAAAAUUUAAUGUUUUAGUCAAUAUUUAUGUUAAAGAAAAGUAAGUUGACUAUUUUUUGAAAGGUUAAUGGCUAAAUUUAACUCAAAAUAAUAAUAAUAAAGAAUAGAGACUAAUUUCACAAAAAAUGUAAAUGUCAAAGGCUAAAUUUAAAAUUCUUAAAUGAUGACAUGACAUAAUCUCAAAGUGUCACGCUAUCACUCUUUGAUAGAAUUCAAGUUCAUGGACUAAAUCAAAAAAAAAUUGUUAAGUUCUGUUAUUAACCAUUUCUUUGUUCUUCAUUUUUUUCCUUUUGCUUUUUAGGUUCCAUAAUAAAAAAAUGGAUGGGAAAUUUCUAAAAUCAUUAGAAACAAGAAAAUAUGAUCUCAAAUCCAAUAAAUUACCCAAUCAAGUUACAGAGACUUAGGACCUGGCUAUGGGUGAAUUCAUCCCCUACAUUUUAGUAGGCACAGGUGGAUUUCAAGAACACAAAUAAUUAAAUUGGCUAAAUUUAUUCAUAUCCACCAAAUUAUUGGAAUUUUCAAAUAUAUUCAAAAAAUUAGAAGAGACAUUGGAUGAAACCACAAACAAAAUCAAAUUGAAAGAAAAGCAAAAUGACAUGGAAGGAGUAAAAGAAAAUAUGACUAAAUUGCCUGAAAAAUUAGCACGUAUGUUAAGCAACAUUAAUGAUAAAACACAUAGGAUACAACAACUACAUAUUUUUCACAUGCCAACCAACCAAUUUAUUUUUGUCCUUUUUGGUGUAAUUAAGGUAAAAUGAAUUUAAUUAUCUUUCAUAGAGUAAAUAAUCUUACCAACCAACCAACAACCAAUUUAUUAUUCACAUGCCAACCAACCUAUCUAUUUUUGUCCUUUUUGGUGUAAUUAAGGUAAAAUAAUCAGAUCCUAAGAGAUUGUUUGCAAGUCAAGUUAAACAAAAUAUAUCUUCUUUCUAGAAGAUUUAGUAUUUAUGAGUAUAAUAUAUUUAGCAUUUAUUAGCAUAAUAUAUUUGACUUUGAUUAGAAUUAGAUUUUUUUCAACCUAUAAAAGAUAUAAUCGAAACUCCUCUUGAAAUCAUUCGAAUUCGACAUAGUGAAUUUUCUUUUCCUCUGCCGGUGGUUUUUUACCCGAACGGGUUUCGACGUAAAAAUUUGUGUGCUUUUUAUUUUAUUUUUCUUUUCUUUGUGAUAUAUUAUCAUUGCUGACGUUCUAUUUUUUACAAAUUGGUAUCCGAGCUUCCAGGUUGUUCAUCUCAAUCAUGGUAAUGGCGUCUUUAAAGUUUGAAAUUUCACUGUUGGAUCGCAACACUAGAUUUGUGUUGUGGCAGAUAAAGAUGCAAGUAGUUCUUGCACAGAUGGACUUAGAGGAAGCCUUGCUGUGGUAGAUAAGAUGCCUUCAACAUUGACGGUGGAAGAGAAGAAGCGCAAGGAUCGAAAGGCGUUAACACAGUUACAUCUGCAUUUGUCUAACGAAAUUUUACAGGAUGUGAUAAAUGAGAAGACCGCCGCUGGAUUAUGGAAGAGGUUGGAACAAAUAUGUAUGUCGAAAACUCUAACUAGCAAGCUGCAUAUGGAGCAGCGUCUUUAUGCUCAUUGUUUGGAGGAAGGUGUAUCUGUGCAUGAACACUUAACAGUGUUUAAAGAAAUUCUCUCAAGCUUGGAGGCCAUGGAGAUUUAGUAUGAUAGGGAAGAUCUAAGGUUGAUUCUACUUUAUUCGUUGACCCCGUCUUAUUCAACCUUUAGAGAUAUGAUUUUAUAUAACCGCUAGUCUCUCACAGUUGAUAAGGUUUAUGAUUCUUUAACCUCGUAUCAUAAGAUUAAGUAUCUUGUUGUUAAAAUCAACUCUUAGGGAGAGGGUCUCAUGGUUCGUGAGAGACACAAUCGGGAUGUUGAUGAUGAUCGUGGAAGGACACAGGAAUGACAUCCUCGUGAUAAAUUUAAGGGUAGAUUGAAGUCUUCAAAUAGAUGUAAAACUUGUAACUUCUGCAAAAAGAAAAGACACGUUAAAUCUGAGUACUAUAAGUUACAUAACAAUAUCAAAAGGGGGGUUGUGAAUCAAAAUGGAAAACAACUAGAAAAUUUUGGUAAAGCUGAUGUUGUAGAAAACUACAACGAUGGUGAACUUCUAGUCGCUUCUGCCAACAAUUCUAAAGUUAGCGAGGAGUGGAUCCUUGAUUCGGGCUGCACCUUCCACAUAAGUCCCAAUUGGGAUUGGUUUACAACUUACGAAACAGUGUUUGAAGGUGUUGUUUUAAUGGGAAAUAAUACUUUAUGUUGAAUCAUAGGUAUUGGAAGAAUUAAAGUUAAGAUGUUUGAUGGAGUUGUCAGAACACUUAGUGACGUACGACAUGUUCCAAAAUUUAAGAGAAAUUUAAUUUCGUUGAGUACUCUUGACUCAAAAGGGUACAAAUACACAGCUAGAAGUGGGGUUUUGAAGAUUUCCACAGGUUCCCUCGUUGUGAUGAAUGGGUAGAGAAAGACUACCAAGUUAUAUGUUUUGCAGGGUUUUACUGUUACUGGUGAUGCAACUGUCGCAUCCUCUUCUUUGUCAAAUGAUGAUAUUACUAAACUAUGGCAUAUGUACCUAGGGCAUAUGAGUAAGAAUGACAUGGUAGAAUUGAGCAAAAGAGGACUUCUUGAUGGGCAAGGAAUUUGCAAACUGAAAUUCUGUGAGCACUGCAUUUUUUGGAAGCAAAAGAGAGUUCGAUUCACUAGAGGAAUCCAUAACAUGAAAAGAACGUUAGAGUAUAUUCAUUUUGAUUUGUGGGGGCCAUCUAGAGUGCCUUCGAGAGGUGGAGCUAAUUAUAUGCUAGUUUUUAUUAAUGAUUUUUCCAGAAAAGUGUGGGCGUUCUACCUGAAGCAGAAAAGCGAUGUAUUUUCGCUUUUGAGUCUUGGAAAACUAUGAUUAAAAAACAAAAGGAAAACAAAUAAAAUACCUCUGCUCAGAUAAUGGUUAGAGUUCUGCUCUGAUGAGUUUAAUAAACUGUGCAAGUCAGAAGGGAUAGUGAGACACUUGACAGUUCGUUAUACUCCACAGUAAAAUGCUGUUGCAGGAUGAAUGAACAAAACUAUCAUGGAGAAGGUUCGAUAUAUGUCGUCAAAUGCCAACUUACCAAAGUCAUUUUGGGCUGAAGCAGCCUCUACUACAUGUUUUUUAAUCAACCGAUCUCCAUCCGUUGCCAUUAAGAAAAAGACUCCACAAUAGGUAUGGUCUGGUAAUCUUGCUAACUAUUCUUAUUUAAAUAUUUUUGGGUGUCCUGUAUAUGCUCAUGUUGAUAAUGAAAAAUUGGAAUCGAGAUUCAUUAAAUUUAUUUUUCUUGGUUAUAAAGCUGGUGUAAAAAGGUAUAAGUUAUGGUGUCCUGAAAAUAGAACAGUUGUGAUUAGCAAAGAUGUUGUUUUUUUAUGAAACUGCUAUGCUACCUAACUUAUCUCUUAAAGACUCUUCCAAUAAAAAAAAUCAAAAACAGGUGGAGCAUCAGAUUAAUUUAGAAUCCACAACAAAGUCGACUCCUCAAGCCAGUACAAAAAUUCAAAAUAGAGUUGCUUCUUCACCAUAAUACUCUAUCGCCAAAAACAAAACUAGAAAAGAAAUUAAACCUCUAAAGAAGUAUGUCGAAGGCUGAUCUAGUUACUUAUUCUUUAAAUGUGACUGAAGAUAUAGAUGCAAACCAAGAGCCAUCUAAUUAUUCUGAUACGAUUAGCUUGAAGACUCAGAAAAGUGGAUGUUUGUUAUGUAAGAGGAGAUGAAAUCACUCCACAAAAAUCAAACAUUGGAUCUUAUGAAACUUUCUAAAAAUAAAAAGGUUGUUCGUUGUAAAUGGGUGUUUAAAAAGAAAGAGGGGACUCUAGGAGUUGAAGAACCCAGAUAUAAAGCAAGGCUUGUUGCAAAGGGUUAUAGUCAAAUUUCGGGAGUGGACUUCACAGAUAUGUUCUCUCCAGUUGUGAAGCAUAGGUCUAUUCGAGCUUUGCUUGGUAUUGUGGCAUUGCAUGAUUUCUUAAGCAGUUAGAUGUAAAAACUGCAUUUUUACAUGGAGAAUUUGAGGAGGAUAUUUACAUGCAACAACCAGAGGGUUUUACAAUCUCAGAAAAAGAGGACUAUGUUUGCUUGCUGAAACAGUCCAUUUACGAUUUGAAACAGUCAUCAAGACAGUGGUAAAAGAGGUUUGAUUCCUUUAUGACUUCUUAUGAUUUUAAAAGAAGUAGCUUUGAUAGUUGUGUUUACUUUAAGAAAAACAGUGAUGGUUCUUUUGUUUAUCUACUCCUUUAUGUUGAUGACAUGUUGAUAGUAGCGAAAGAUAAAUGAGAGAUAAGAAAUGUCAAAUUCUAAUUAAGUGAAGAAUUUGAGAUGAAAUAUUUGGGACUAGCAAAGAAGAUAUUUGGCAUGGAGAUUCUUAGAGAUAGAAAAGCAAGUAAAUUGUACCUAAGUCAGAAGGGGUAUAUUGAGAAAGUUCUUUGCAGAUUCAAUAUGCAGAAUACUAAGCCUGUUAGUACUCUUUUAGCAGCCCAUUUUAGAGUUUUAUCGACUUUGUCUCCACAAUCAGAUGAUGAGAUUGAGUACAUGUCACAUGUUCCAUACUCUAGUGUAAUGGGAUCUCUCAAGUAUGCUAUAGUUUGUCCACGUGUAGAUUUAUCAUAUGCAGUCAGUGCAGUUAGUAGAUACAUGGCGAAUCCCGAUAAAGAACAUUAGAAAGCAGUUCAGUGGAUUUUAAGAUACUUACGAGGUACUACUGAUAUUUGCUUAUAGUUUGGAAGAACUAGAGAUGGAGACAUUGGGUAUGUUGAUACUGAUUUUGCUGGAGACCUUGAUAGAAGAAGAUCUCUCACAGGUUAUGUAUUUACAAUCGAAGGUUGUGCAAUCAGUUGGAAAGCCACUUUGCAACCCACAGUUGCUUUGUCUACCAUUGAAGCUGAGUACAUGACGAUUACUGAUACUUGUAAAGAAGCUAUUUGGUUGAAGGGACUUUUUAGUGAACUCAAUGAAAACCUUCAAAUCAGUACAGUAUUUUGUGACAGUUAAAGUGCCAUCUUCCUUACAAAAGAUCAAAUGUUUCGUGAGAAAACAAAACACAUCGAUGUUCGGUAUUAUUUUGUUCGUGUUAUUAUUGCUCGUGUUGAAAUUGUUGUGACCACAAUUAGUACUCAUGAAAAUCCUACAGAGAUGAUGACUAAGUCAUUUCUUAUAACCAAUUUUGAGCAUUGCUUAGACUUGAUUGGUGUUCAUUGUUGAAAUUAAACCCUUAAGGGGUUUUAUGGAAGAGGUGGAGAACUUGUUCGUUGAGAGUUCGCGAUAAAGAACUUGUUCAUUGAGAAUUCGUGUCAAGGUGGAGAUUGUUAGAGUUUUGUGACCCAAAUUCUAAAAGAUUGCUUGCAAGUCAAGUUAAACAAAAUAUAUCUUCUUUCUAGAAAUUUUAGUAUUUAUGAGUAUAAUAUAUUUAGCAUUUAUUAGCAUAAUAUAUUCGACUUUGAUUAGAAUUAAGUUUUUUUCAACCUAUAAAUAGAUGUAGUUGAAACUCCUCUUGAAAUCAUUCGAAUUCGACAUAAUGAAUUUUCUUCUCCUCUGCCCAUGGUUUUUUUCCCGCAAGGGUUUCCACGUAAAAAUCUGUGUUCUUUAUUUUAUUUCUCUUUUCUUUGUGAUAUAUUGUCAUUGCCAAUGUUUUAUUUUUAACACAUAGAUUAAAUAAUCUUACCAACCAACCAAUUUAUUUUUGUCCUUUUUGGUGGGCUUUCGAGUCUACAAGACAGGUAGCAAUAGUUAUUGAGGAGCUAGUCACGUUUUAAAUAUUUUCUUCUAAGUAAGCACAACAACAUUAAGAAAUUUAUUUUUUAGAGUCUAUAUAAGGAAAAGGGCCUUAGGAUUUUCUAGUGCCACACUCACUUCAACAACAGACACUUCAAAUUUUCAAGCAUACAACAGCAGCAGCAGCCAGCGAACUAAUCAAUUGUUUUUAAGUACUAAUAUUUAGGGAUAAAGUAAUAGUUAAUUAUCUGAAUAUUUUAUAAUAGGGACGAAGUUAUAAAAGAAGUUGAAUUAGAUAUCUUUAUACAAGUUAAAAUACAAUUUAAUCAUAUUGGUUUGUAAUUUUACAUAUUUUAAAGGGAUUAGAUCAAAAUUUUAUCAUUUUGGAGGUUGAGAUGAAAUUUUACCGUGUAUUAACAUGUAAAAUUAUAACUUUUAAAGGCACCCAAAACAUAAAUUUCCAUUUUAGGUGGCCGAAGCCUUGGUUAUUUAUCUACUUUGAUCUUUGAACUUCUUUUUGUCUAAAUUAAUUCGAAAAUUUGAUAGUUUUUCCUAGUUUAGUCCUUGAACCUUGGGUUAUGCUACAUCAUCACUUGUAUUUUUUAUUAAAAAUAAUAAUAAUUUCUUUUUCAUUCUUUUUAGAUUUUAUUUAAGUUUUUUAAAAUUUUCAAAUGAUGACGUGACAAAAUCUUAAAGUGGCAUGCUAUCGCUCUUUAACGGAAUCCAAGUCCAUGGACUAAAUAAAAAAAUUGUUAAGUUCAAAGACUAAAUAUUAUUUUAUCCCUAAUAUUAGUUACCCUGUUUUAGAAGUUGAUUGAAUUUCUUGCUUGCUUACUUUUGUUAUUAACCGUUGCUUUGUUCUUCUUCUUCUUCUUCUUUUUAAUUUUAGGUCCCGUAAUUGAAAAAAGAUGCAUGAGAAAUUUCUAAAAUCAUUAGAAACAAGAAAAUAUGAUCUCAAAUCCAGUGAUUUACCCAUAUCAAGUUACAGAGACUUGGGCCCCGGCUAUGGUGAAUUCAUCCCCUACAUUUUAGCAGGCCAAGGUGGACUUCAAGAACACAAACAAUUAAAUUGGCUAAAUUUAUUCGUAUCCGCCAACUUAUUAGAAUUUUCAAAUAUAUUCAAAAAAUUAGGAGAAACAUUGGAUGAAACCACGACGGAAAUCACAAACAGGAUCAAAUUGAAAGAGAAGGAAAAUGACAUGGAAGGGAUAAAUGAAGAGAUGGCUAAAUUGCCUAAAAAUUUAGCACGUGUGUUAAGCAACAUUGAUGAUAAACCAUAUAGGAUACAACAUAUGGAGUGUAGCUUGGAAAAGAACAUGUAUAAGAUCAAUAAGGAUCAAAUUAAAAUUAUGAAAGAAUUGAGGGACUUGAAAAGGGAAAUAAAAGAGUUAAAGGAGGAUGUGAAAGAAGUUAAAAUAAAAAUUGAAAUUUUUAAAAAUUUCAAAAGUUUUCUUUGAUUUCUUAAAAUUUUUUAUUAAAUCUCUUAAAUUUUAUUUUCAAAAAAAAGAAUUUCAUUAAACACCAAAAAUGAAAUAGAUUGAAUCCAACAUCCAUGAGUUACAAAAUUAUCAUAUAUAACAAGAGCUUACAAAAAGACUAGUGUUACGGAAAAUGGCUUACGGAAAAUGACUUACUUUUCUGAAAAAGCUAAUAUUUUCUAGUGUUUGGAUAAAUCUGUGUAAAAUAUUUUCUUUUGUUUGGAGGUUCUUUAAAAAUAUUUUAUAAAAGUCAUUUUCAAUUAAACAAACAUACAUUUGAGAUUUUUUUUAUUUUUUUAUUUUUUCAUUGUUUAAUUGAGUUUAUUUUAUACCUAUAAUUUUAUAUUGUACAUUGUUUUUACAUAUAUUAAAAAUAUUUUGUUAAAUUUAGGUUCAUUGCAACAAUCAUUUUUUAGUUACAUGACUACCAAUUGAGUUUUUUUGUUUAAAAAUGUUACAUUAACAAAAUUGAUAAAAAAAUUAACAAUGUCAGCAGUUGGACUUGAUUUUCAAAUCUAGAAAGGAGAGGGACUAAAUUCUUGAAAAUAAAAGUACAGAAACUAAAUUGCAAAUUUGUGAAGAGUAUAUAAACUUAUGAUAUAUCUUAACAUUUAUACUACAAAACAAUUAUUAUUAAUAUAUUUAUAAUUGUAAUAAAUAUUUAGUAUUAAAGUAUUAAUAUUGAUAUUUUCAAUAAUAUGUGAAUAAUAUUAUUUAAAAUUACUAUUAAAAUAAAAUUUAAAUAUUAAAUAAUUUAUUAAAAAUAAUAAAUUAUAUUAAUAAUUUAUUAUAUGACUAAAUAUAAAUAAUUAAAUACGUAUUUUAAUAAUAUUAAAAAAUAUAAUAUUUUAUAUUAAUAUUUUAAAUAUUUUAAAAAUAAAAAUAAAAUUUAUUAUCAAUAUAAUAAUAUUAAACUUGAUUUAAGUUAAUUUUUAUAUAAAAGUAAAAUUAUCUAUUGAGGAGCUCUUUUCCGGAAAAUGACUUACGCUUUUCAAGAGGAUAAGUAAUUUUACAAGGAAAAAGGCUUAUUUCCAUUGACCUGUAAGUUAUUUUCCGUUGACCAAGCUGUUUUCUGUGAAACAAACACAGGAAAAUGCAGAAAAUAUUUUCCGUAAAACCUUUUACAUGUAAACAAAUGGACCCUUACUUUGGUUGAUGUAUGGUAUAAUAAGUCUGCAAAGCACCAAGCAAAAGUGCAGUAAUGGCACCCACAAAUGCCAAAAACGUCCGAGGACUCCUAAAUUAAGUAUGAUAACCUUGAGCUGCAUGAUUAAUCCACGUAGUCUUACAAUGAUUAUGUAUUUGCCCUUUAACCCUACUGUAAAUCAUCGGACCAGGAACCAAAUCAGUGUUCAUCAUGUAAAUGAUAUAAUGUCCAAAUUGUCUAGUGUUACUUCACAUGGUUGAUUUCAUUUGUGAAUUAAUGAUUGUGGAUUGACAACAUUGACUAUUCUAUGCACGGGGAGUGUAACACCUCAAACCCGGCCUAGACGUUAUGGUCGAAUCCUGGAGUGUUACAAAGAAGGGUUUUGAAAUCAGUGUUACUUCGAUAAAACUUUGUAUAGUCGUUCGAUAAAUCAUCCAAGUUUUAUAAUCCAUAUUCGUUUAUAUAACUAUUACUGAAAGCGUUAUACAAUUAAUUCAUUUGCCAAAACAUAAUUUACAGCGGAAGUCAUUUUCAUAAAUCGUUUUGACAAACCAAACAGGAUAGAAAACAAUCGAAACCAAAACCAACAGUUAAAAUCAUACAGUCCAGAGAGUCCCAAAAAUGACAAACUCUCAAAUAAAUUCAUAAUUUUAAUUAAAACCGUUAGUUAUUAAGUAAAAAUAGUUCUCAAUCGAGUGGUCAUCGCUGAGCCUCUGUCGUACUGACCUGCCGAAGUUUGUGGAUUACCUGAACAGAAUAGACAAAAAGAUGUGAGUUUUCAUAAACUUGGUGUGUAACCCAACAAAAAUAGUCAUGCAGCAUACACAGAAUCUCAUAUACAGUCAGAUACAGAUUCGGACCUAUGUCCAUGACAGAUACAGAUAGCAGAAUCAGAUAAGAAGAAUCAUACCCCCAUCCUCUACACACCAUCUCCGACUAUCCCAUCACACCAUGUGGGGUUAAAAACACCCACCCAACCCUACACACCAUAUAGAGUCAAUGCGACGCAUAACAGAUAAUAUGCAAUCAAUCUGCUAGAAUAAAGGCAAAGAAUCGCCAUACAAAUCACUUCCUCCACAUAUACAAUUCCCACCCCAAACACAGAUACAGAAUACAGAUGCAAAAAUAUCAGAGUAAACAUGCUUAACAUGCUCGUAUACAAAUGGAUACAUACUUAAACAGUACAGUCCGACAUACAUAUAGUAUCCUAAUCAAAUUAGUCUAUCAGAAUAUCAUAGCACAUAAAUUAGGGUUUUGGUUAGCCCUUACUGACCCUACGGCAGGUCCACAGUCGAUCGGAAUGACACCUGUGACCCUAGGGAAUAUUUCAGAAUUAUGGGCCCACAUGCCUAUAUGGGCCCACACGUCCAGAUUGGCCUUACCUGCAUGGGAACAUUAGAAGGUUCAAAAUACAAUUUUAUUAUUAUAUUAAUUUAUAAUUUCAUAAAUUUUAAAAGGAUUAAAUGAUAAAUUUACUAAUUUAAAAAGACAAUAGGGAUGGUAAAAUCUAAUUGAACCUAUCUGCGUUCGGAUCGGGAUGGAUUUUUUUUAAUUUAAAAAAUUAAAUAGAUUGAAUCGAAAAUCUAGGAGUUACAAAAUUCUCAUAAAUAACAAGAGUUUACAAAAAGAACACUUACUUGGUUGAUGUAUGGUAUAAUAAGCUUGCAAUCCACAUAUACAAUUCCCACCCCAAACAUGAAUAUAGAAUACAGAUGCGGGAAUAUCAGAGUAAACAUGCUUAAAAUGCUCGUAUACAGAUGGAUACAUACUUAAAUAGUGCAAUCAAACAUACAUAGGUCCACAAUCUAUUAGAAUAUCAUAGCACAUGGGUCCACAUGCCCGUGUGGGCCCACACGCCCAGAUUGGCGUUGCCCAUGUGGCCCACAUGGCCUGGCCCAAAACCCACACGGCCGUGUGGGCCUACAUGCCCAACUUGGCCUAGCCCGUGCGACCCACAAGGUCACACUCACACAAUCACACGACCAUGUCUUGUGCGCGGCCAUACCUUCGUCAGUCACAUGGCCGUGUCUCGCACAUGGCCAACCACAUGGCUUGGCUCACGCCCUUGUGGCAUUGACAGUGCCCUUUUUUAGCUUUUGUCGAACCUCAAUUUUUCAUGUUUAAGGUACACACAUGGUUCAUUUUAGAUGCCUAGCAAUCCUGAGCCCUCUGAAACCUAAGAAAUAGCAUCCCAUUGACCAAUUAGCAAUCAAUUUACGAAUCGACACUUAACCCGAAAUAACGCACAUAACUUACCGAAGACACGAAUUGGCACGAGCGCGAUCUAGGCUGUCGAAGUAAAAAUUCAUUGCUCACAACCUUCUCCUACACCACAAAUUUGCAGAAAUCAAACCCCCUAUCUAUGCUACUACGCUACCACGAAAAGAAAAUAAACUGAUAGCUUACCCAAAUCACAUAAAAAUGUCAAGUCCAGAGUGCAACGUGAAGAACAAAAGAUGAAAAAACAAGUUUGAAGGAAAAGAAAACGAACGAAAAAAUCAGAGAUUGAAGAGGAGAAAAAGGAAGAAAUGUAAAAGAAUAAAUAAAUAAAUAAAAAGAGUAGAAACUGACGUCAGAAUUUUUAGAGAGAGAGAACCUAAAUUUUGAAAAAUAAAAAUAAAAUAAGAUAAAAACAAUAUCACAACUCCCCCCACUCAAACCAGCAAAUUCAUUCUGAUAUAAUUAAAUUUACAAACAAUAUUCCAUAAACUUGCCUAAUAGGGAUAAGGCUAAGACCAAAAAAAUAACAGAAUUUUCAAAUGUGAGACUUGAAUACUAGACCUCAAACACAUACCGAAAACACUUAGCCACUAAAGUAAAAACAUAUUUAUAUUAGGAUUUACAGAAACAUAUUUAUAUCAAGAUUUACAGAAAUAGAAAUAAAUUAUUCAUGGCGUUACAGAUGGGUAGUACUCCUUUUUCUACCAUUUCACUACCCAUUGCAUUCAAUUUCUCUGCCCUACUACUCCUCUGCACUGCACUGUCCAAUUGCAUUUAAAGAUAAUGUAUACAUAUAGAUUGUAAAUUUUCUUGGCUGGAAGCUCACUGGAAGCCAAAAUCAAAACAAACUUUUGAUGGUUUAAUUGUUUUUUAGCCCUUGAAUUUCAGGUGCUAUGAGAAAUGAAUUACAACCUCAUCUUGUCAUUAUCCCAAAAUCAAAACAAGCAACUCUUGGUUGAAAGUUGAAACCAAGGGCCAAGUCAAAAUUGUUUUAGGACGAGUCCAAAAUGAACAAUGAUUUUGAAGGUUCAAAAUACAAUUUUAUUAUUAUAUUAAUUUAUAAUUUCAUAAAUUUUAAAAGAUUAAAUGAUAAAUUUACUAAUUUAAGAAGACAAUAGGGAUGGUAAAAUCUAAUUGAACCUAUCUGCGUUCGGAUCGGCAUGGAUUUUUUUAAUUUAAAAAAUUAAAUAGAUUGAAUCGAAAAUCUAGGAGUUACCAAAUUCUCAUAAAUAACAAGAGUUUACAAAAAGAACACUUACUUGGUUGAUGUAUGGUAUAAUAAGCCUGCAAAGCACCGAUAGAAAGUGCAGCAAUGGCACCCACAAAUGCGAAAAACGUCCAACGAGUCCUAAAACAAGUAUGAUAAACUUUAGCUGGAUAUUUACUCCACAUAUUCUCACGAUGAUUAUGUAUUUGCAGUUUAACAUGUCAUGUAAAUCAUCGGACUAGGAACCAAAUCAAUGUUCAUCUUCUUGAUAAGCUUAGCCACUUCUUUAUCACUCCCAAAUCUAUGGUAUAGUAUGCCGGCGCCUCUCAGUUCCUUAACAUCUUCGGCUUCAUCGAUCAAUGAAUCAAGGAAACCCAUAUAUGAAGUGACGGUGAAACUGUUGAAGAAAUCCGGACACAUUUCGUAAGCUAUUAAGUUCACUGUUAAAUCAUCGACGGUGAUCGGCGGUAACCAUAAAUUUCCGAGGAAGAAGAAAGGGCUGAAACUGAUGUCUGUUAAACAACUUGUUUCGCUUGCUUUUAACCUUAUCCCGGCUUUUUUAAGCUCUUUUACGUUCCUUAAGGUGUGUGAAUGGUGCCCUUCUAUUCUUGUUUGGUUGCUGCGAUUUUUCAAGUUCAUGAAAAAUCGAGUGCAAAACCUACAAUGCCGCCUUGGUUUUUCUUUUUCUUUUUUCUUUAUUGAAAGGAGUCUUACUCGUAGUAGAUGCAAUAAGUGAAUUCGCUCUCCUUGCUGCGGCCACCAUUCACUACAGCAAAAUCUGUGUUAGUCGGAAGCCAGCUAAAAUUAAGGUUUUCAACAGUUGAAUCUAUAAGAUCAUUGAUUUAUAAGUUCAAUUUAUCCGAUUUGAAUAAAAAAUUUAAUCCUUUUAAAAAUUAUUAAAUUAUAAUUUUUUAUAUAUAAUAAAAUUAUACUUUGACUCCUUAAAAAAUGAAGAAAAAAAUUGUUUAACUCUUUCGGAAAAUGAUAAAAUCAUAAAUUAAUGUAUAAAGAAAAUUUAAGAAUCAAACUAAAUUUAUCGGUGGGCCUGGUUAAACAGAGAAUCGUGCAAGGUAUUAAUCUAGAAUAAUGAGUUAGACUCAUUGAAUCGAGUGGUCGAAUAGAUUUUUUUAUAUUUUUAAUAUAUCUUUAAUAUUUUUAAAAUUUUAUAUAAUUGAAUCCAAUUAACUAAUCAACCAAAAAUAGACUCUAAUCGAUUCUAUCACCUAUUUUACAUUUAUACACUCCACAAAAUGAUUCUUUUGUACAUUCCUUAAAUUACCUGUCCUGCUGAUGUGAUUGUGGCCCUUUAACAGUGACGUCGAUGAACCUUAUGAUUGCCUUCAUGAACUUUUUGCCAUUAUUGCUCAAGCUUGUAAGCAAUUCAAGAACACGAAAAGGUAUUUGGUUCUCCAACAAUAACAGAUCCGAGUACACCAAUGUCAGCAAAUCGUUUUUAAUAACCAAUUGGCCAUAAACAGCAUAAAAAUCAUCAUUAGUACCGUAAUGCAUAUAAAUUAAUUGUAAAAUUGCGCAGCCGUCAACGAAGAACAUCCAAGCCAGUUUCUCGUUAUCGUUGCCAUACUCCUCUAAUUCCGUUGGAUCAUAGCAUUUCCUCAAGCCAUCGAUCUCUUUCUUCAUGUUUCUGUACAAGGAAUCCUUAUCGACGCCAAUGUUUUUGACGAAAUGUGCUGCUAAUUUGAGCUUGAGCUCCUUGGAUUCAUGGAGGGUGGGAUCAUCGUGGUGGAGUGGGCCGAUUGAGAUCACUUUCGGCUUGAAAUACUUCAUGAAAUCUUCGGUACGGCAAAGGGUUGAUGGUACUUUUCGUAUCAAUGGAUUGGCUGUGAAGUUGGGUUGGCCGCCGUCCAAAGCUUUGUCUAAUGACUGGAGAUUCGCUAAUUCGUCAUUGCUGAGAGGGACGUCCGUGCACCGCAUAUCAAUGCUCACGGAAUCGUUGUUGGUGUUGUUGUUGAUGGUUGUUUGAUCAGUGGAAACUGCUCCGACGGCGCCGCCUCCUUCCUCCGUGGACGACAUUUUCAGGGUGAGCGGUUGGAAGUAAUAAACAAGGUGAUUUUGUAAACUGUGCUUGGCUGAGUGAGUGAUGUUGGAGAAAAGGUGGCAAAAUGGCUACGAUGAUGGCAAAUAUUUUAUAGCUUACAUAAUAAACAUAUAUGGGAAAUACUUGAGGUGUAAUUUAAAUUUACCCCUUAGUGUUUAUAUUUUUACUAAUAUAAUUUUUAACUUUUAAUUUUUUAAUUAAAUUUAAUUUUCUUUUGAAAGAGUCAAUCUUAAAAAAGAAAAGUUAAAUUAAUGUUUUUUUAACAAAAAUAGUGACAAAUAUAAUAAUUGUCCUUAAGAAGUAAGACCCUAUGAUUGGGAGAAUUUUACAUUUUCAACACUUCUUAAAUUUCAUACACUUAAAAAUACCUCCAUGCUUCUUUACGUAUAAUAAUUGCAUUUGUUAUUCUACCUAACUCAUGAAAAAUCUCAAAUUUGCAACAAAAUAUUAUUCACAUGCCAACCAACCACUUUUUUUUUAUUGAAGUUAUUAUACUUAUAAGCUUUAUGCUUCUUGUAACAGAUUCGAUCUACAGGGCACUAUAGUUAUUGUCGGAGCAACUACAGUCAGAAUUACAAUAAGAUAAUUUUUAUUUAAACAUCAAUCAUGAUGCAAUUAAAGUAAUACAUCAAUUAUGAGCUUUAAUCGAGCUUACGAAAACUUUUUUGGCUGUCCGAGCAAGAAUUAGGACCAAACUGCAAAGUAAUUGCAUUUGUUAUUCUACCUAACUCAUGAAAUAUCUCAAAUUUGCCAACCAACCAAUAUAUCAUUCCAACCAACCAAUUUAUUAUUCACAUUCCAACUUUCUAAAUGCAUCAAAUAUUUCAUAUUCAUGUACUAACAAAGAUCAUGCCAAGAACCCACAUGCAGAGUCAUUAUAUACCACAUUUAACUCAACAAGACUUUUACACAACCAAAGAUUACUCCAAACGUUUAUAUGCAUGUCGCAAUCCUUGACUCAAAUGAUAAAAAAAAACACCAAAUUGACAAUAAAAUAGUGUAAGCUUCGAACGAUCCAAUCGACAUGUUCCACAAUGUAACACCUAAAAGGAAAAAGAAAACAAUGGGGUAAGCAUAUAAGAUGCUUAGGAAACUCAUAUGUAAUCUAAAACUUACCUAGAUUAAUUGAACAUAAACAAUUACUCAAUAAGCUAUCAAAUUUAUUUUUCCAUGGCACGUAGAUAUCGUAUAUGUAACAACAUUUCAAGUCAAAAAUGUUAAAUACAAUGUUGAAUCAUUAUGUCUUCUUUUCUUAAGUUUCACUUAUAGAAAUACAAUAUAGGUUCAAGUACAAAUAUAUGUCUCGAUUAAUCUAGAAAGAACUAGACAAAAUUCACAUAUGAUAUAGGCAUAUAAUGAGUGUGAGACUCACACAUCACAAUUGAGAAUAAUGUUAUAGAAAACCUUUGCGUUAAGCAAGAAGCUAAGACCCUAUCGGAGGGAGAAUUUUAUAUCUACAACACUUAUUAAAUUUCAUUAGCUUAAUAAUAGCUAUUCAAAUAUUUAACAUUGUAACCAUGCUUGUUUACAUAUCGUAAGCGCAUUUGUUAUUCUACCCAACUUAUGAAAAAUCUCAAAUUUGCAAUUUAUUAUUCACAUGCCAAACAACCAAUUUAUUAUUCACGUGCCAACCAAUUUGUUUUAUCGAAGUUAUUAUACUUAUAAGCUUUCACAUAUAACCAUGCUUCUUUACAUAUAUUAAUUGCAUUUAUUGUUGUACCUCAUGAAAAUUUUCAAAUUUGCAACAACAUAUUAUUCGCAUGCCAACCAACCACUUUUUUUUUAUUGAAGUUAUUAUACUUAUAAGCAUUCACAUUUAACCAUGCUUCUUGUAACACUUUUCAUUGGAUCCAAUCGUUGGGUCCGAUCUACAAGACGCUAUAGUCAUUGUCAAAGCAACUACAGUCGAAAUUACGAUAAGAUAAUUUUCAUUUAAACAUUAAGCAAGAUUCAACUACAGUAAUACAUUAAUUAUGAGUUUUAAUCGAGCUUACAAAAGCUUUUUUGGUAGUUCGAACAAGAAUUAGGACCAAACUAUAAAGAUUUGAAAAGUUUGGAGCGACGUCACAACUUCAGCUUUUCCUCAUCGCAACAUGACCAUCUCAGUAUGUCACAUCAUAUCGAAAAGCCUAUGCUCGUCGCGGCGAGACUCUUUGACUUGGCAAUGUCGCAAUGUCAAAAUUUGUAGCCGUUAUGUAAACCCUAUAUUUGACAAAAAUAUACAAUUUGGUACCUAAAUCAAAGCUCCAACUAAAAUCAUGCAAGAAAAAUACAUUACAUGCCAUUUCUAAAUGACUUAAAACUUACCUAAAACAUGCUAAGUAAGUUCAAACGUAUCAUUUCAAUUCCAUAGAAAUUCAUAAAACUUACCUAAAACAUGCUAAGUAAGUUCAAACAUAUCAUUUCAAUUCCAUAGCAAUUCAUAUUACCAUUUCAUCCAUUGUAUUCAACUUUUCAAUAACUUUAACUAAAUAUCAACAAGUUAUACAAACAUCUACCAUUACCUUUAUCAUGCCAUAAUGAAUCAUUUCAUUUCAAACAAUCAUCACAUUAGUUCUUUAAUUUUUCUUUUUUAGUCAACAUAUGCAAACCAACUUAAAUAGAUCACAUUCCAGCAUAGUCAACAAGACUUUUACACAACCAAAGAUUACUCCAAAAAUGUUUAUAUGCAUGUCACAAUCCUUCACUGAAAAUGAUAAAAAAAUCUACUAAAUUGACAAUAAAAUAGUUUAAGCUUUGAACGAUCCAACCGACGUGUUCUACAAGGUAACAACCUAAAAGAAACAAAAGAAACAACAGGAUAUACAUAUAAUAUGUUUAGUAAACUCAUAUGGAAACUAAAACUUACCUAGAUCAAUUGAACAUAAAAAAAUUACUCAAUAAGCUAUCGAAUUAAUUUUUCCUUGGCACUUAUAUACAUAUAGUACAUGUAACAACAUUUCAAGUCAAAAGUGUUAGAUACAAUGUUGAAUCAUAAUCCCGUCAACAUUUAAAACAUAAUCACAUAGCAAUCUAUAUAUCAAAUUUCAUCAAUACCAAUUCAUUUUCAAUUCAAGAUUUAAUUCCAUUUUCAACCAUUUAAUCAUCCUCUGAUGGAACUAUAGUAAAAAAGGUGCAUGGGAAUAUUUUGCUGAACUGACUCACACAAGUUGACUUUAUAUUAGAAUUGUUCACACACGUUAACUUUGUAAUUUAUAUUAUGUAAAAUUUAAGAUUUUUAUAUUAUGUAAAUCAAAGCUUAAUUAGUAUAGAAUUUUCAAAAUAAUAUGGCUGUAUAAAGAUAAAAUUCUUGAUAUAAGUCUCAACAAGGGAAAAAUUAAGGAUAGAAAAAUUGUGGUGGAAAGGGGAUCAAUUUCUCCUAAACAGGUGGAGAGCCGGAGAAUGAUAAGUGAAGGAAGAUGGUUGAUGUGAAGGCUAAGAGUAAUUGUUAAAGGUUACUAACAGGGGAAGAUCCCUUUCUCAUGAAGAUGAUUUUUAAACACCAUGUUAAUUGUUUAUGGGCCAUCAUGUUUGACGAUAAUUUUUAAAUACCUUGUUAAUUGUAUAUAGUACAUCAUGUUUGGCAAUGAUUUUUAAAGACUUUUAAACGUCACAUUAAUUGUUUAAUUGUUUAUGGCCCAUUGCCCAUGUUACUUUUAUUAAAUUUUGGGUAAACUACAAUUUAAUCACUUAAUUUUUAUAAAAUUUCAUUUUGGUCAUAAAAAAAUUGUAUGGAAUGAGAGUCUCAGGAUAAAACAAAAAUUAGGAUAAAUGUAAUGCUGAAAUGAAUAUAGUGGGAAUCUUUAAUGUUUAUGGCCAAACCCCACCUCUCCUAUCCUAUACUUCAUCUAUAAUAAUGGUUCUUGGCUUCUUCUAUCCUAUACCUCAAUUAUUUGGAUUAGAUUGAAAAACAAUUGACACUUGAUUUGAUUGUGAAAGAAGUUUUAGUUUAAUGAUAUGAAUGAGUUAAAUUUUAAAUUUAUAAUAUUUAACUUGAGUGUGAAUGAAUUUUUGACUUAAUUGAAAAUUUAAAAUUUUAGCUUCGAGUCUUAUUUAAUUAUGUGAGUAUAUCAUAUAUAAAUUUUGUUUAAAUUUAUUUUGAUUUAAUUCUCAUACUAUAUAAACUUUAUUCUUAAUUAAAUUUAGAUAUAUUCUAAUUAUCAAUUUAAUCAUAUAUUGUAACGAUGAAUUAGGAUUAUAGUUAAUUAUAUAUUGAAACAAAAUAAUGAGUUUAAGGAAUUAAAAGAUAUUAUUAUAUUUUAUAAAAAUUGAAUAGAUUAAUAAUUAAUUCGAGAUUAAAAAAUUGUCUAUCUUUAUUUCGCCCCUCAGUUUAAUUUAUUAUUUUCCCUAAUUUUAAAUCCAAAUAAUAAGGAGAAGAAAAAGAUAAAAGCAAACCUUUUUUACGGUCUGAACUAAACCCCAUGGGGUGUGGAAAAUUGCAAGUUUCCAGAAUAACGAAGUUCAGUUUUCGUCGGUGUUUCUAUGUGACUGUGUUUCUAUGGUAAGGAAUGGUGUAAAAAAGUUUACGGUUUAAGGUUUUGUUAUAUACGGAAGGAAAGCGCCUUUCAAGAUUAUUAGUAGCACUUAUUCUCGUGUUGUGUUUUGUAUUGAGUUGUACCUUUUUUUAGUGUAUGUAUUGUGGACCUGUGGUACAAGUUUAGUUCUUUUGAGUGUCUUGUGAUGUUAAGUAUGUUUUGUUGGGGCUCUUGGCUCCUAUGAUAAUAAAAUAUAUUUCAAGCAUAGUACUUUUUUUAUAUUUAAAAUUUAAUAUUAUACUUUUAUUUUAAGGUAAUCUCUCUACUACAACAAUGUUUAAUAUUAAUAUGAACUCAUGUUGCGAUUUACUAUUACCAACUAAUUGGAAUGCAACAUCUAUUUAAACUUCAACAUGAAACUAAAUUCUUCUAUAUAAACUAGAAAAAUAUCAUUAGUUCUUAAGUAAUUUCACCUCAAUCCAAUGACCAUUGUAUAGUCUCAAUUUUAUUCGGCCCAAACAAAUAAAAAGUCCAUUAACAGUCGCGGCAAGACUCUCUGACUUGGCAAUGUCGCAAUGUCAAGAUUCGUAGCCGUGAUGUGAACCCUAUAUUUGACAAAAAUAUACAAUUUGGUACCUAAUUCAAAGCUCCAACUAAAAUCAUGUAAAUGACUUAAACUUACCUAAAACAUGCAAAGUAAGUUCAAACAUAUCAUUUCAAUUCCAAAGCAAUUCAUAUUACCAUUUCAUCAAUGAAUCAUUCCAUUUCAAACAAUCAUCACAUUAGUUCUUUCAUUUUUUCCAUUUUAGUCAACAUAUGCAAACCAACUUAAAUAGAUCACAUUCCAACUUUCCAAAUACCAAGCUAAGACCCUAUCAGAGGGAGAAUGUUACAGCUACAACACUUCUUAAAUUUCAUUAGCUUAAUAAUAGCUAUUCAAAUAGUUAACAUUGUAACCAUGCUUCUUUACAUGUAGUAAUUGCAUUUGUUAUUCUACCUAGCUUAUGAAAAAUCUCAAAUUUGCAAUUUAUUAUUCACAAGCCAAACAACCAAUUUAUUAUUCCAACCAACCAAUUUAUUAUUCACAUGCCAACCAAUUUGUUUUAUUGAAGUUAUUAUACUUAUAAGCUUUCACAUAUAACCAUGCUUCUUUACAUAUAUUAAUUGCAUUUAUUGUUGUACCUCAUGAAAGAUUUUCAAAUUUGCAACAUAUUAUUUGCAUACCAACCAACCACUUUUUUUUUAUUGAAGUUAUUAUACUUAUAAGCUUUCACAUGUAACCAUGCUUCUUGUAACACAUUUCAUUGGAUCCGAUUGUUGGGUCCGAACUAUAGGAUGCUACAGUCAUUGUCAAAGCAACUACAGUCAGAAUUAUGAUAAGAUAAUUUUCAUUUAAACAUCAAUCACGAUUCAAUUACAGCAAUACAUUAAUUAUGAGCUUUAAUCGAGCUUACGAAAGCUUUUUUGGCAGUCUGAACAAGAAUUAGGACCAAACUGUAAAUUGGCUAAAUUUACUUAUAUCCACCAAAUUAUUAAAAUUUUAAAAUAUAUUCAAAAAAUUAGGACAAACAUUGGAUGAAACCACAAGGGAAAUUACAAACAGGAUCAAAUUGAAAGAAAAGCAAAAUGACAUGGAAGGAGUAAAAGAAGAGAUGGCUAAAUUGCCUGAAAAUUUAGCACCUAUAUUAAGCAACAUUGAUGAUAAAACACAUAGGAUGGAACCUAACUCAUGAAAAAUCUCAAAUUUGCAACCCCAUAUUAUUCACAUGCCAACCAACCAAAUUUUUUUGUCCUUUUUAGGGUCUACAAGACAGGUAGCAACCAUUAUUGAAGAAUUAGUCACGUUUUAAAUAUUUUCUUCUAAGUAAGCACAACGACAUUAAGAAAUUUACUUUUUAGAGUCUGUAUAAGGAAAGGGCCUUAGGAUUUGCUACUGCCACACUCGCUUCAGCAACAAUCGCUUCUAAUUUUCAGUCUGAGCGGUUCGAAGUAAUUAACUAGGUGAUUUUGUAGACUGUUUUUGGCUGAGUGAGUGAUGUUGGAAAAAAGGUGGCAAAAUGGCUACGAUAACGACAAAUGUUUCUAUAGCUUAUAUAAUAAACAUAAGGAAAAUAUUUUUGGUGUAAUAUCAAAUUUCGCUUCUAAUUUUUAUUAUUUUCAAUUUGAUUUUUAUUUUUUAGUAAAAUUUAGCUUUUUACUUUUGAAAGAGUUAAAUUGAUUAUCAAUCCUUAAACUGAAUUAAUAUUUUUCAAAAAUAAUGACUAAAAUAUUAAAUUUUAAACAUGAUAACUCAUAUGACAAUUCACGUGUACAUUUUUUAUUAUUAUUUUAAAAUUAUUUAUUGACAUAGCAUAUAAGAAAAUGAUUAUUAUGUUAGCAUGAAGUGCAUAUGGAUUGUCACACGAGUUGUAACACCAACAACGUAAAAAAUUAAUAUUUUAAUCAAUAUUUCUGUUAAAGAAAAGCAAUUUGACUUUUUUUUUGAAAGGUUCAUAGCUAAAUUUAGCUUAAAUAAUAAUAAUAAUGAUAAAAAAUAAAAGUCAAUUUGACAGAAAAUGUAAAUGUGGAGGACUAAAUUUAUUAUUAUGUCAUUUUUCUAAGUUUCACUUAUAAAAAUACAAUAUAGGUCCAAGUACAAAUAUGUGUCUGGAUUAAUCUAGAAAGAACUAGACAAAAUCUAUACAUGAUAUACGCAUAGAUGAGAGUGAGACCCAUUUUUAUAUCUACAACACUUCUUGAAUUUCAUACUCUUAAUACUAGCUUUUUUGUUGUUUGUUUCGCUUCAUUUGAUCUGUUUUGUUGUAAAAAAACAUAAAGAAAAACAUUCAAAAGUUUAACGUUAUAACAUUCCAAAAGAAAACACAUUCAAUAACUAACAUAUCUUGUAUUCUUGUAUUCUUUGAUCAAAUAGUGCAAGUGUAUUUAUACAGACUUUUGGAGGGUAACUACUGAACUGCUACUAACAACUUUUUAGCAGAAAGUUUAACAACUUAACCACCUAACAGAUUGCAUUUACCUAUGCUCUAAGAUUCUGUAAUGCGAAAUCAUACUUCAAAUUGUAAUUAUUACUUCAUAACAAUACAAGAUUUUCGUUACAAUGCUAGGAUUACUUAUAAACCUCAACCAUUAAAUGAGAGGAUAAAGACACUUUAAUAAGUUCGAAUCUUCGUCCUUUUGUAUUGACAAUAAUACUGAUAUCAAUCGAACUAAAACUCAGUAUAACAAUGGUUAAAUGAAUUUUAAGUACACAUAUUACUCUUACUAUGUAAGUAUUUAGGAUAAAUCACCCUCCAUGGUCAAACAAAUGGACCCAGGCUAUAAUUUGUAUAUAAAAAAAAUUAAAAAGCAUUAGUAAAACAAAUGGACCCAGGCUAUAAUCACCCUCCACUCAUUAACAAUUGUCAUCACAGGCUUAAUGUGGCAUGUUAACUAAUUGAUGUGACUAGUUAACUUGCCACGUUGGACAAGUAGUCAAAGGGUCAAAAAGAAAAAAAGAUGAUUGGUUAAGGGUAAAAAGAAAAAUAAGAGAAAUGAAGAAGAAGAAGAAGAAGAAGAAAAGAAGAACAGGGAAGGAAGAAGGGAAAAUGGAAGUAAAAGGGUCAAAAAGAAAAGAAAAGAUGAUUGGUUAAGGGUAAAAAGAAAAAUAAGAGAAAUCGAGAAGAAGAAAAAAUGAAGAACAGGGGAGGAAGAAGGGAAAAUGGAAGGAGCUUCCAAGCUUCAUACCAACGAUUCCCAAGGGUCAAAAUCUGGGAACUUGGAUUUUGAUCCUUGGGAAUCACUGUUACGAAGUCCUUCCAUUUUCUCCUUUUCUUCUUUUUCUCCAUUUAUUCUCUUAUUCUUCUUUUUUUUUUGUUCUUCUACUGCCCAAACUUCUUAAAUGGGUUUGUUUAAAUGACAGCUAGCCUACCCUUAAAUGCCAUUCACUUUUUCGUUACGUUUUGUUAAAAAGAUUGUUUAAAUGACAGAAAAUGGUUAAAAAGAUUGUUUUGUUAGCUACCCCAAAAUUGAGUGAUUGUUGCUGUAAUUUACCCCAUUUCUUAUUUGAAAUUGUAAAUUUUUAACAAGCUAAAUUUAAGGUUUUCAAAAUUCAACUCAUUAAGUUAUCGAUUUAUAAGUCUAAUUGGUUUGACGAAUUCAUCCGAUUAAUUAAAUUAAUUAUUAAAAAUUUUUGAUUUGAUUGCCCAAUUCAAUUAGUUUUUUUUUGGUUCAACCUGUUCAUAUAGAUUCCCAAGUCGAUUGGUCCAAUGAUUUCCUUCGGACUAAUACCUUAAUUAAUUUCCAAUCCAAAUCGAUUCAAAUAAUAUUAACUAAAAUACAAUUUUUAUUAUUUUAUUAAUGCAAAAAUUUUACCAUUUUAAAGAUAUUAAAAUAUAAAAUUUCUAUUUUAAAAAGUUGGAUUUGAAAUCAUAAUUUUUUUCCUAAAGAAAUGUACACUCAACAGGACCAAAGGAAUUCACAGGGAAAUUUUGUUUUAUGGACAGUCUUCAUCACAAAUGAUCCUAUCAAAUUAAAAGAGGAUAUAUCACCUUUUUUUCAUAUCAUAUAUACAUUGGGACUAAACUUCUAAAUAAAAAAUGAUGUGUCUUUUUUUAAUUGAGUGGGACCAUAGAUGAUGUGGUGAAAAUGGUCCAUUAAAUAAUUUAUCACAAGCAAGAGUAAUUCCAAAAAUAGAAAACUACAUUUUAAUUCUUUAAAAAUUAUUAAAUUAUAAAUUUAUAUAUUAUAAAAUUACACUUUGAUCCUCAAAAUGGAAAAAAUAUUUUGUUCAGUCUUUGACCACACCUAAUAAAAAGGAUUGGUGGUGACUCCAUUUUCGUUUUUUAAAUAAAAAGUCAAUUCCCAAAAAAAAGAUUUCGACAACCAUCACUUGGAUAACUUUGGUUAUCAGCUCAUGACACUUAGAGCUAUACAAUAUAUUUGGUGUUUGGCACAAUAUGGCAUACAUAGUAGUUUUCACUACUAAAAGAUAUGGUGCCUUACUCAUUCUUCUCUUAUCUUCCAAAGUUUUAGGAUUCAUAUCAUUCGAGUGAUGUACACUGUCAAUACUAUUUUUUUUGUAAAAGAGGUCGACUUUUUGUUUAAAAAUGAAAAUGGAGUCACCACCAAUCCUUUUUAUUUAGGUGUGAUAGGAUCACCUCGUAAUUUAAUCAUUUUAAUAAAAGUUUAAAUUUACUAAAAAAAUAAGUAAGUUAGUUUCUAUACAUCAGAUCAAAGAGCAAAUUGAUCAUUUUAUUACAUUUUUAAUCUUUUUCUAUCAUUAAAAAUUGAUUCAUAUACAUAAGUUUGAGGUACAGUGUCACGUCACAUGUUAUGAUUUGGUUAUUCCGUUAGUCACACCAGUUUUUAACAUUACAAAUAGAUGAAAAUUUUAACAGAAAUGACCAAGUUACUUUUUGAUCUAACAUAUAGGGACUAAUUUACUCAUUUUUCAAUAUAGAGAGCAAAAUGUAAUUCAACUCAAUGUACAAGGACUGUUAUUUUUUUUUCCAAUUUCACAUUAUUUUAUCAUAUUAUAUAUAUUGUUAGGAUCGUCCCGAUUAAGCAACGAACAAGUAAAAAUAGUAGAAGAAAUUGAGAAGAUGAACACACAAAUUUAACGUGGAAAAACCCCUCAAAAGAGGAUAAAAAACCACGGGCAAAGAUAAUUUUACUAUAAUGGCAAAAGAAUGAAGAGUACAAAAGAUGGAGAUAAAAACUAAACCCCGAAAACUCGAAAAACAAAGAACCCUCAAACGUAAACACAAAAUUCUCUGAAUGUGUUAUGAGUUCUAAUCUAAUGGGUGUCUCUUUUUAAUUCUAAGAUUGUAAAGGAGCCUAUUUAUAGGCUAAAUUAGUAAGUCAAAUAAACUAUACUAAUAAAUGCUAAAUAUAUUAUACUAAUAAAUACUAAAUCUUCUAGAAAGAAAAUAUAUUUUUGUUUAACUUGACUUGCAAGCAAUCUCUUAGAAUUUGGGUCACACAAUUCUAACAAUCUCCACCUUGACACGAAUUCUUUCAAUGCCAUCUUUGCCAAAACCCGCCACGAGCCUAUCUUGAACUAUGCAGGGAAUUAACUGAGUCGAAUCUAUGCUUAGAAGCUAGAAGACUUCUAGCCUUCGACUUGUGCACUGCCAAAUCAAAACUAACCCGGGUCUGAUUUUCACGAAUACAGUGCCCUAACUUUUCAAAACCUGCAUCCAAAAGAGAACCUCUCUUCAACGAAACGGUCAUACCUUUUUCCCUCCUAUGACCAAGUUGCCUCCGCUUCAAAUGAGUUGACUUUGACUCCGUAACGGACGAGGGACGUCCGAUUUCACCGGUCACUGUAGAACCUUCCAGAAUAUAAAGACUGCCGGUUCUUUUACCUUUUAACAAAACGAGAGCUCCACGAGAUACUUUAAUGUCGCUCGACUCGAUGUUGAUUCUGCAUCCUUUCAAGUCUAAAAUACUCAAGGAGAUGAGAUUCUUUCGUAAAUCGGGUACAUACCUGACAUCUGAGAGUGUCCUAAUCGUCCCAUCGUGUAUCCUAAUUUUAACAGUACCAAUACCGAUUAUUUUACUAGAUGAAUCGUUUCCCAUGUGCACAACUCCACCUUCAACUGAACUGUAUGUGGAGAACCAUUCUCUAUUGGGACACAUGUGGAAAGAACAUCCUGAAUCUAGGAUCCACUCAGACGUAAGCUUGGAGUUAUCGCUCGUUGACACUAACAAGAAAUCAUCACCGCCUUCAUCGACCAAAUUAGCACCAGCUACAUCUUCCUCGUUACUCUCAGCAGCUCUUUUAUUUCGCAGUUUAAAACAAUCUGCUUUGACGUGACCUAACUUUUUGCAAUAGCGACACCUUUUGUCUCGUUUCUUUGAUGCUACCAAAACGGAAGCUUGUCUAUCUGCUUUGCUAUUCAAAUCAAACUCAUUGUCGAGUUUGUCUCUACUCAACAAAUAACCUUUCACAUCUUCAAACGAGAGUUUGUCUCUGCCAUAAAUCAGGGUCUCCCUGAAAGACUUGUAUGAAGAGGGUAAAGAGCACAAUAAUAGCAUAGCUUGAUCUUCAUCGUCAAUAUGAACCUCAACGUUCUUUAAAUCAUUUAAAAGAGUAAUGAAUUGAUUGAUGUGAUCUUUAAGAAGCUCACCUUCGUUCAUGCGAAACGUAAAUAGACGUUGUUUCAACACUAAACGGUUAGCCAGAGACUUAGUCGCAUAAAGAGUUUCUAACCUUUUCCACAAGGCGAAUGAGGUCUUCUCCAUCAAUACCUCCUGCAAUACUGUAUUCGCGAGACACAACUGGAUUGCAGACAAGGCCUUUUCAUCAAGCUCUUCCCAUUUUGUUUGAUUUAGAUUCUCAGGCUUUUUCCCUGUAACAACCUUUUUCAAGCCAUUUUGAACUAGAAUUGCCAUCAUCCGAACUUGCCACAGAUUGAAAUUUGUCUCACCAUCGAACUUCUCAAUUUCAAACCUUGUUGCUGCCAUCUCUGACCGGGCUGAUCUAUGAAAGUUAAACUAUCUCUGAUACCACUUGUUAAGAUCGUCCCGAUUAAGCAACGAACAAGUAAAAAUAGUAGAAGAAAUUGAGAAGAUGAACACACAAAUUUAACGUGGAAAAACCCCUCAAAAGAGGAUAAAAAACCACGGGCAAAGAUAAUUUUACUAUAAUGGCAAAAGAAUGAAGAGUACAAAAGAUGGAGAUAAAAACUAAACCCCGAAAACCCGAAAAACAAAGAACCCUCAAACGUAAACACAAAAUUCUCUGAAUGUGUUAUGAGUUCUAAUCUAAUGGGUGUCUCUUUUUAAUUCUAAGAUUGUAAAGGAGCCUAUUUAUAGGCUAAAUUAGUAAGUCAAAUAAACUAUACUAAUAAAUGCUAAAUAUAUUAUACUAAUAAAUACUAAAUCUUCUAGAAAGAAAAUAUAUUUUUGUUUAACUUGACUUGCAAGCAAUCUCUUAGAAUUUGGGUUACACAAUUCUAACAUAUAUAUAUUAGCAUACGCCUAUCAUGCAAAUGGUAUAAUGUCCAGAUUAUCUGGUCUUUGAUUUCAUUUGUCAAUUAAUGAUUGUGGAUUGACAAUAUUGACCAUUUUAUGCACGGGGACUACUCAUCUACUCCUCUUCUGCCAUUCUCACUACCCAUUUGCAUUCAUUUUCUCUGCCCUACUGCUCCUCUGCAGUGCACUCUCCAAUUGCAUUUAAAGACAAUAUAUACGUAUAGAUUGUAAAUUUUCUUGGCUGGAAGCUCACUGUAAGCCAAAAUCAAAACAAACUUUUGAUGGUUUAAUUGUUUUUUAGCCCUUCAAUUUCAGGUGCUAUGAGAAAUGGAUUACAACCUCAUCUUGUCAUUAUCCCAAAAUCAAAACAAGCAACUCUUGGUUGAAAGUUGAAACCAAGAGCCAAGUCAAAAUUGUUUUAGGAUGAGUCCAAAAUGAAUAAUGAAUUUGAAGGUUCAAAAUAAAAUUUUAUUAUUAUAUUAAUUUAUAAUUUCAUAAAUUUUAAAAGGAUUAAAUAAUAAAUUUACUAAUUUAAGAAGACAAUAGGGAUGAUCAAAUCUAAUUGAACCUAUCAGCGAUCGGAUCGGGAUGGAUUUUUUAAAUUUAAAAAAUUAAAUAGAUUGAAUCGAAAAUCUAGGAGUUACAAAAUUCUCAUAAAUAACAAGAGUUUACAAAAAGAACACUUACUUUGGUUGAUGUAUGGUAUAAUAAGUCUGCAAAGCACCGAUAAAAAGUGCAGCAAUGGCACCCACAAAUGCGAAAAACGUCCAACGAGUCCUAAAAAAAGUACGGUAAACUUGAGCUGGAUAUCUAAUCCACAGAUUGUUUUGAUGAUCAUGUAUUUUCCGUUUAACCCCACUGUAAAUCAUCGGACUAGGAACCAAACCAGUGUUCAUCUUGUUGAAAAGCUUAGCCACUUCUUUAUCACUCCCCAAUCUAUUGUAUAAUAUGCCGACGUCUCUCAGUUCCUUAACAUCUUCGGCUUCAUCGAUCAAUGAACCAAGGAAACACAUAUAUGAAGUGACGGCGAAAUCGUUCUGGAAAUCCGGACACAUUUCGUAAGCUAUUAAGUUCAUGGUUGAAUCAUCGACGGAGAUCGGCGGUAAACAUAAUUUUCCGACGAAUAAGAUACGGUUGAAACUGAUGUCGGUUAAAUAACUUGUUUCGCUUGCUUCUAACCAUAUCCCGGUGUUUUUAAGCUCUUUUACGUUAUGAAUGGUGUGUGAAUGGCACCGUUUUGUUCUUUCUUCUUUUCUAUCUUCGUGUUCAAUGCAAAACGGAAAACACCACCGCCGUAGUUUUUCUAUUUUGAAAAGGAGUCUUUUAUGAAUUCCCCACCCCCGUGGUUUUUCUUUUUUGAAAAGGAGUCUUACUCGUAGUAGAUGCAAUAAGUGAAUUGGCGUUCCUUCUUGCUGCGGCCACCAGUCACUAGAGCCAAAUCUGUGUUAGUCAGGAGCCAGCUAAAAUCAAGGUUUUCAAUGGUUGAAUCAAAUCAUUAUUAUUUUAAUAAAAAAUUAUUUAAAUUAUUAAAUUACAUUUUAAACCUUUUAAAAAUUAUUAAAUUAUAAAUUUAUAUACAAUAAAAUUAUACUUUGACUCCUCAAAAUGAAUAAAAAAUUGUUCAAACACUUUUGAAAAAUGAUGAAAUUAUAAAUUAAUACAUAAAAAAAAUCUAAGAAUCAAACCAAACUUGUGGAUCGGCCUAAUUAGAUAGAGAAUCGAGCAAGGUACUGAUCCAGAAUAAUAAGUUAAAUCCAUUGAAUCCAAUCAUCGAAUCGAUUUUUUAUAUAUUUUUAAUAUUUUUAAAAAUUUAUAUAUAUAAUUAAACUGAAUGAACUUAUCAACUAGAAAUGAGAGUCUAAUAGAUUCCAUCACCCAUCUAGUUAUAAAAACCUUUUAACUUUUAUAAACUCCACAAAAAUGGUUAAAAAGACUGUUUUGCCAGCUACCCCAAAGUUGAGUGAUUGUUGCUGUAAUUUACCCCAUUUCUUAUUUGAAAUUGUAAAUUUUUAACAAGCUAAAUUUAAGGUUUUCAAAAUUCAACUCGUUAAGUUAUCGAUUUAUAAGUCUAAUUGGUUUGACGAAUUCAUCCGAUUAAUUAAAUCAAUUAUUAAAAAUUUUCGAUUUGAUUGCCCAAUUCAAUUAGUUUUUUUUUUGGUUCAACCUGUUCAUAUAGAUUCCCAAGUCGAUUGGUCCAAUGAUUUCCUUCGGACUAAUACCUUAAUUAAUUUCCAAUCCAAAUCGAUUCAAAUAAUAUUGGCUAAAAUACAAUUUUUAUUAUUUUAUUAAUGCAAAAAUUUUACCAUUUUAAAGAUAUUAAAAUAUAAAAUUUCUAUUUUAAAAAGUUGGAUUUGAAAUCAUAAUUUUUUUUCUAAAGAAAUGUACACUCAACAGGACCAAAGGAAUUGGCAGGGAAAUUUUGUUUUAUGGACCGUUUUCAUCACAAAUGAUCUUAUCAAAUUAAAAGAGGAUAGAUCAUCUUUUUUUUCAUAUCAUAUAUACAUUGGGACUAAACUUCCAAAUAAAAAAUAAUGUGUCUUUUUUUAAUUGAGUGGGACCAUAGAUGAUGUGGUGAAAAUGGUCCAUUAAAUAAUUUAUCACAAGCAAGAGUAAUUCCAAAAAUAGAAAAUUACAUUUUAAUUCUUUAAAAAUUAUUAAAUUAUAAAUUUAUAUAUUAUAAAAUUACACUUUGAUCCUCAAAAUGGAAAAAAUAUUUUGUUCAGUCUUUUUUUUUUAAAAAAAUAUGAACUUAUAAAUCAAUACAUGAAAAAAUUUAAGCGUCAGGCUAGUUGGAAAGAAAAGAUGAUUGGUUAAGGGUAAAAAGGAAAAUAAGAGAAAUGGAAAAGAAGAAGAAAAGAAGAACAGGGGAGGAAGAAGGGAAAAUGGAAGGAGCUUCCAAGCUUCAUACCAACGAUUCCCAAGGGUCAAAAUCUGGGAAUUUGGAUUUUGAUCCUUGGGAAUUACUGUUACGAAGUCCUUCCAUUUUCUCCUCUUCUUCUUUUCUUCUUUUUCUCCAUUUCUUCUCUUAUUCUUCUUCUUUUUUUUUGUUCUUCUACUGCCCAAACUUCUUAAAUGGGUUUGUUUAAAUGACAGCUAGCCUACCCUUAAAUGUCAUGUCACUUUUUCGUUACGUCUGUAACGAAAAAUGGUUAAAAAGACUGUUUUGUCAGCUACCCCAAAGUUGAGUGAUUAUUGCUAUAAUUUACCCUAUUUCUUAUUUGAAAUUGUAAAUUUUUAACCAGCUAAAUUUAAGGUUUUCAAAACCCAACUCGUUAAGUUAUCGAUUUAUAAUUCUAAUUGGUCUAAUGAAUUCAUCCGAUUAAUUAAAUUAAUUAUUAAAAAUUUUCCAUUUGAUUGCCCAAUUCAAUUAAUUUUUUUUGGUUCAACCUGUUCAUAUAGAUUCCCAAAUCAAUUGGUCCAAUGACUUCCUUCAGACUAAUACCUUAAUUAAUUUCCAAUCCAAAUCGAUUCAAAUAAUAUUGGCUAAAAUACAAUUUUUAUUAUUUUAUUAAUGCAAAAAUUUUACCAUUUUAAAGAUAUUAAAAUAUAAAAUUUCUAUUUUAAAAAGUUGGAUUUGAAAUCAUAAUUUUUUUUCUAAAGAAAUGUACACUCAACAGGACCAAAGGAAUUGGCAGGGAAAUUUUGUUUUAUGGACCGUUUUCAUCACAAAUGAUCUUAUCAAAUUAAAAGAGGAUAGAUCAUCUUUUUUUUCAUAUCAUAUAUACAUUGGGACUAAACUUCCAAAUAAAAAAUAAUGUGUCUUUUUUUAAUUGAGUGGGACCAUAGAUGAUGUGGUGAAAAUGGUCCAUUAAAUAAUUUAUCACAAGCAAGAGUAAUUCCAAAAAUAGAAAAUUACAUUUUAAUUCUUUAAAAAUUAUUAAAUUAUAAAUUUAUAUAUAAUAAAAUUACACUUUGACCCUCAAAAUGGAAAAAAUAUUUUGUUCAAUCUUUUUAAAAAAAUAUGAACUUAUAAAUCAAUACAUGAAAAAAUUUAAGGAUUCGACAAAACUUAUCGGUCAGGCUAGUUGUUGAGAAAAUUGAACAAGAUAUUGAUCCAGAAUAAGAGAUUAGAUUAGAUGAAUUGAGUCAUCGAAUGGAUUUUCUUUAUAUGUUUAAUAUAUCUUUAAUAUUUUCAAAAACUUAUAUAACUGAAUCGAAUAAACUAAUCAAUCAAAAUUAAGAGUAAUCAAUGUAAAAACCUUUUAACAUUUAUAACCUCGACAAAAUGAUUUUUUUAUUUAUUUUUAAAUUCCUUAAAUUACCUGUCCUCGGCUGGGGUGAUAACAGUGUCGUCGAUGAACCUUUUGACUGCAUUCAUGAACUUUUCGCCAUCACUCGAGCUUGUAAGCAAUUCAAGAACACGAAAAGGUAUUUGGUUCUCCAACAAUAACAGAUCCGAGUACACAAAUGUCAGCAAAUCGUUUUUAAUAAACAACCGGUCAUAUUCAGAAGAAAUAUCAUCACCGUAACGCAUAUAAACUGCUUGUAAAAUUGCGCAGCCGUCAACGAAGAACAUCCAAGCCAGUUCCUCGUCAUCGUCGCUAUAGUUCGCUAAUUCCUGUGGAUCAUAGCAUUUCUUUAAGUCAUCGAUCUCUGCCUUCAUGUUGCUGUACUCCUCAUUGUCGUCAAUGUUUCUGACGAAAUGUGCUGCUAAUUUGAGCUUGAGAUCAUUGGAUUCUUGGAGGGUGCCAUCAUCGUGGUGGAGUGGGCCGAUUGAGAUCACUUUCGGCUUGAAAUACUUCUUGAAAUCUUCGUUACGGCUAAGGGUUGAUGGGACUUUUCGGAUCAAUGGAUUGCAUGUGCCGUUGGAAGCUUUGACUAAUGACGCGAGAUUCGCUAAUUCGCCCUUCCAGCGUAGCAAGUCAAUACGAAUGCUCACGAAAUCGUUGUUGUUGGUGAUUGUUUGAUCAGUGGAAACUGCUCCGACGGCGCCGCCUCCUUCCUCCGUGGACGGCAUUUUCAGGCUGAGCGGUUGGAAGUAAUAAAGAAGGUGAUUUUGUAAACUGUUUUUGGCUGAGUGAGUGAUGUUGGAGAAAAGGUGGCAAAAUGGCUACGAUGAUGACAAAUAUUUUAUAGCCUACAUGAUAAACAUAUAUGGGAAAUACUUAAGGUGUAAUUCAAAUUUACCCCUUAGUGUUUAUAUUUUUAUUAAUAUAAUUUUAAUUUUUUAAUUAAAUUUAAUUCUCUUUUGAAAGAGUCAAUGAUAAAAAAGAAAAGUUAAAUUAAUAUUUUUUAACAAAAAUAGUAAUAAAUAUUAAAAUUAAGAAUAAUAUUAUAGAACCUAAAUACUCAACACAACCCAAAACCUUCGCCUUAACCAAGAAACUAAUACUUCCUAAAUUUCAUUAGCUUAAUAAUAGCUAUUCAAAUAUAUUUUUUCAUUGUAUUACUUAAAUUAUUAUUACUUACUUUAACAUUUAAAUUAUCAUUAUAUUACAUGAUUAGUUCCAAAUAUUUAACAUUGUAACUAUGCUUCUUUAAAUAUAGUAAUUGCAUUUGUUAUUCACAUGUUAUUCACAUGCCAACCAACCAAUUUAUUAUUCACAUUCCUAACUUUCUAAAUGCAUCAAAUAUUUCAUAUUCAUGUACUAACAAAGAUCAUGCCAAGAACCCACAUGCAGAGUCAUUAUAUACCACAUUUAACUCAACAAGACUUUUACAUAACCAAAGAUUACUCCAAACGUUUAUACGCAUGUCGCAAUCCUUGACUCAAAUGAUAAAAAAAAAAACACCAAAUUGACAAUAAAAUAAUGUAAGCUUCGAACGAUCCAAUCGACAUGUUCCACAAUGUAACACCUAAAAGGAAAAAGAAAACAAUGGGGUAAGCAUAUAAGAUGCUUAGUAAACUCAUAUGUAAUCUAAAACUUACCUAGAUUAAUUGAACAUAAAAAUUACUGAAUAAUCUAUCAAAUUUAUUUUUCCAUGGCACGUAGAUAUCGUAUAUGUAACAACAUUUCAAGUCGAAAAUGUUAAAUACAAUGUUGAAUCAUUAUGUCUUCUUUUCUUAAGUUUCACUUAUAGAAAUAUAAUAUAGGUUCAAGUACAAAUAUAUGUCUCGAUUAAUCUAGAAAGAAUUAGACAAAAUUCACAUAUGAUAUACGCAUAUAAUGAGUGUGAGACUCACACAUCACAAUUGAGAAUAAUGUUAUAGAACCUAAAUACUCAACAACCCAAAACCUUUGCGUUAAGCAAGAAGCUAAGACCCUAUCGGAGGGAGAAUUUUAUAUCUACAACACUUCUUAAAUUUCAUUAGCUUAACAAUAGCUAUUCAAAUAUUUAACAUUGUAACCAUGCUUCUUUACAUAUAGUAAUUGCAUUUGUUAUUCUACCCAACUUAUGAAAAAUCUCAAAUUUGCAAUUUAUUAUUCACAUGCCAACCAACCAAUUUAUUAUUCACGUGCCAACCAAUUUGUUUUAUCGAAGUUAUUAUACUUAUAAGCUUUCACAUAUAACCAUGCUUCUUUACAUAUAUUAAUUGCAUUUAUUGUUGUACCUCAUGAAAAUUUUCAAAUUUGCAACAACAUAUUAUUCGCAUGCCAACCAACCUCUUUUUUUUUAUUGAAGUUAUUAUACUUAUAAGCAUUCACAUUUAACCAUGCUUCUUGUAACACUUUUCAUUGGACCCAAUCGUUGGGUCCGAUCUACAAGACUCUACAGUCAUUGUCAAAGCAACUACAGUCGAAAUUACGAUAAGAUAAUUUUCAUUUAAACAUCAAGCAAGAUUCAACUACAGUAAUACAUUAAUUAUGAGUUUUAAUCGAGCUUACAAAAGCUUUUUUGGUAGUCCGAACAAGAAUUAGGACCAAACUAUAAAGAUUUGAAAAGUUUGGAGCGACGUCGCAACUUCAGCUUUUCCUCAUCGCAACAUGACCAUCUCAGUAUGUCACAUCAUAUCGAAAAGCCUAUGCUCAUCGCAGCGAGACUCUCUGACUUGGCAAUGUCGCAAUGUCAAGAUUCGUAGCCGUGAUGUGAACUCUAUAUUUGACAAAAAUAUACAAUUUGGUACCUAAUUCAAAGCUCCAACUAAAAUCAUGCAAGAAAAAUACAUUACGUGCCAUUUCUAAAUGACUUAAAACUUACCUUAAACAUGCUAAGUAAGUUUAAACAUAUCAUUUCAAUUCCAUAGCAAUUCAUAUUACCAUUUCAUCAAUUGUAUUCAACUUUUCAAUAACUUGUAACCAUGCUUCUUUACAUAUAGUAAUUGCAUUUGUUAUUCUACCUAAUUUAUGAAAAAUCUCAAAUUCACAAUUUAUUAUUCACAAGCCAAACAACCAAUUUAUUAUUCCAACCAACCAAUUUAUUAUUCACAUGCCAACCAAUUUGCUUUAUUGAAGUUAUUAUACUUAUAAGCUUUCACAUAUAACCAUGCUUCUUUACAUAUAUUAAUUGCAUUUAUUGUUGUACCUCAUGAAAAUUUUCAAAUUUGCAACAACAUAUUAUUCGCAUGCCAACCAACCUCUUUUUUUUUAUUAUUGAAGUUAUUAUACUUAAAAGCUUUCACAUGUAACCAUGCUUCUUGUAACACUUUUCAUUGGAUCCGAUCAUUGGGUCCGAUCUACAGAACGCUACAGUCAUUAUCAAAGCAACUACAGUCAGAAUUACGAUAAGAUAAUUUUUAUUUAAACGUCAAUCACGAUUCAAUUACAGUAAUACAUUAAUUAUGAGCUUUAAUCGAGCUUACGAAAACUUUUUUGGCAGUCCGAACAAGAAUUAGGACCAAACUGUAAAGAUUUGAAAAGUUUAGAGCGAUACUGCGACUUCAGCUUUUCCUCAUCGCAACAUGACCAUCUCAGUAUGUCACAUCAUAUCAAAAAGCCUAUGCUCGUCGCGGCGAGACUCUCUGACUUGGCAAUGUCGCAAUGUCAAGAUUCGUAGCCGUGAUGUGAACCCUAUAUUUGACAAAAAUAAACAAUUUGGUAUCUAAUUCAAAGCUCCAACUAGAAUUAUGCAAGAAAAAUACAUUACGUGCCAUUUCUAAAUGACUUAAAACUUACCUUAAACAUGCUAAGUAAGUUUAAACAUAUCAUUUCAAUUCCAUAGCAAUUCAUAUUACCAUUUCAUCAAUUGUAUUCAACUUUUCAAUAACUUAAACUAAAUAUCAACAAGUUAUACAAACAUCUACCAUUACCUUUAUCAUGCCAUAAUGAAUCAUUCCAUUUCAAACAAUCAUCACAUUAGUUCUUUCAUUUUUCUUUUUUAGUCAUCAUAUGCAAACCAACUUAAAUAGAUCACAUUCCAACUUUCUAAAUGCAUCAAAUAUUUCAUAGCAAAGAUCAUGCCAAGAACCCACAUGCAAAGUCAUUAUAUACCACAUUAAACUCAACAAAACUUUUACACAACCAAAGUCUACUACAAAUGUUUAUAUACAUGUCGCAAUCCUUGACUCAAAAUGAUAAAAAAUAAACUACCAAAUUGAUGAGAAAAUAGUUUAAGCUUAGAACAAUCCAACCGACGUGUUCUGCAAGGUAACAACCUAAAAGAAAAAAAGAAACAACGGGAUAAGCAUAUGAUAUGCUUAGUAAGCUCAUAUGGAAACUAAAACUUACCUAGAUCCAUUGAACAUAAAAAAUUACUCAAUAAGCUAUUGAAUUAAUUUUUCCUUGGCACUUAUAUACAUAUAGUACAUGUAACAACAUUGCAAGUCAAAAGUGUUAGAUACAAUGUUGAAUCAUAAUCCCAUCAACCUUUAAAACAUAAUCACAUAGCAAUCUACAUAUCAAAUUUCAUCAAUUUAUUUUUCAAUUCAAGAUUUAAUUCCAUUUCCAACCAUUUAAUCAUCCUCUGAUAAAACUAUAGUAAAAAAGACCUAGGUACAUGGGACUAUUUUGCUGACACUUUAACGAACUUUCUCACACAAGUUGAUUUUAUAUUAGAAUUGUUCACACAAGUUGACUUUGUAAUAAUUGCUCACACAAGCUAACUUUAUAUAAUGGAAUUGUUCACACAUCCUGACUUUGUAAAAUGCUCACACAAGCUGACUUUGUAAUACUUCCAUACAACUAAUAUUUAUGAUUCAAUUAAAUUCAAGACAAUUGUGCUAAAUUCUAACAAUUAUAUAUAUAUAUAUAUCCUUUUUUUCGGGAUCAUUCCAAAAAAAACCGUUUUUAAUUUUUGGUGCGGAACAAAAAAAAAGUGAAUUGAAUUUAAAGUUGGAUCGAGUGAAUAAAUGGAUAGAGCUCCACGGCCCCAAUUAUAGGGAAACAAAAAGUAACAAGCUUCUGUUCUCAAUUUGAAUAAUUACCUAAUCUAAUUAAACUUUAAAAAAAAAAUUAGUGCCUAAUGUGGUAAAGGUUUUUCUCAUGAGUAAAUUAUCGGUUUUUUUUUUGAGUCCUAAUUAUUAUUAUUAGGCAUUCCCUUUAUGGGUUAGCCAUGAAUGUGUAGAAGAAGCAGUAUAUUGAUAAAGAAAAUAACUUUUUUUCUAAAAUCAAAAGAGCGAUUGGGUUGAAAAAAUAAAGGAUUUCUAACCGUCAUAUAUGUUGAUUCAAAUAUAAUUCAUACCAAAAUAAAAUUGAUUAUUAAGUUAAAAUAAAAUUUAGGAUGUGAAAGAAGUUCAAAAAAAAAAUUAAUGCAAAAGAAAGAUAAGGGUAUUUUUUUUAGGUCAUGGAUGUAACAACGAAGCUCGGUUAUUGUUGGUGUUGUAUGGAAGAAUCGAAGAUGUAGUGAAUGAGUUUUUAGGGUUUUAAAGUUUAACAUUGAAAGAUUGUUGUUUGUGGGUAUGUGACUGUUUUCGAUGUAAGGAAUGGUAUAAAAAAAUUACGAUUUAGGGUUUUAUUAUAUAAAUAAAGAAAGCGCCUUUUAAGAUUGUUAGAGGCACCUAUCUUUGUUUUUAGUGUAUGUAUCAUGGUCCUGAUGAUGCGGUACAAGUUUAGUUCUUUUGAGUGUGUCUUGUGAUGUGAAGUCUGUUUUGUUGGGGCUCUUGGCUCCUAUGUUUCAAUGAUAAUAAAAUAUACGUCAAACAAAAUUCUCACAAAAAACAGAGUUUACAAAACGACUAGUAAACAACACUUACUUUGGUUGAUGUAUGGCAUAAUAAGUCUGCAAAGCACCAAGCAAAAGUGCAGUAAUGGCACCCACAAAUGCCAAAAACGUCCAAGGACUCCUAAAAUAAGUAUGAUAAGCUAGAGCUGCAUGCUUAAUCCGCAUAUUCUUACAAUGAUUAUGUAUUUUCCGUUUAACCCCACCGUAAAUCAUCGGACUAGGAACCAAAUCAGUGUUCAUCUUAUUGAAAAGGUUAGCCACUUCUUCAUCACUCCCCAAUCCGUUGUAUAGUAUGCCGGUGCCACUCAGGUCUUUAACAUCUUCGGCUUCAUCGAUCAAUAAAUCAAGGAAACACAUAUAUGAAGUGACAGUGAAAUCGUUUUUGAAAUCCGGGCACAUUUCGUAAGCUAUCAAGUUCAUGGUUGAAUCAUUGACGGCGAUUGGCGGUAAACAUAAUUUUCCAACGAAGAUACGGUUGAAACAGAUUCGUAGUAGAUUCAGUAGGUGAAUUGGACUUGCAGCUUCCACCAUUACCAUUUUCUAGAGCUAAAUCUGUGUCAAGUCAUCGAUUUAUAAGUUUAAUUGAUCCGAUGUAUUCAUAUUUGUUGAUUAAAUAAAUCAUUAAAAAUUUUGAUUUUAUUAUUUAGUUCAAUAAGUUUUUUUUUUUUUUUACAAUUCAACCUGAUUCUUAAGUCAAUCGAUCUAAUGACUUUCUUUAAACUCAUACCUCAAUUAAUUUUCAAUCCAAUAUAAUCCAAACAACAUUUCGUAAAAUAUAAUUUUAUUUUACCAUUUUGAAAAGUUGGAUUUGAAAAUGCACACUCAACAGGAUCAAUACAAAGGGACAGGCGAGGUCGUUCUCAAAAAUAGAAAAUUAUAUUUUCAUCCUUUUUAAAUUAUUAAAUUAUAAAUUUAUAUAAUAAAAUUACACUUUAACCUUUUAAAAUGAAAAAAAAAAUUGUUCAACCUUUUUAAAACUGAUGAAAUUAUAAAUUAAUAAAUGAAAAAAAAAGAGAAUGAGACGAAACUUGUUGAUCAAGCUAGUUGGAUAGAGAAUUAAGUAAAGGUGCUCAUGGGUAAGGUUGAACCCAAUAAAAGAUUUAUGCCUCAGCUUGGCCCACUCGUUUUAAUUUUUUUAAAUUUUUUUAAAUUUUUUUAAUAUAAUUUUUAAAUAUAUAUGAUACAUUAAAAAUACUAAAAAACAUUAAAAUAAAUAUUUCCCAACAAACUAAUUUUUUUUUAAAAAUAUGUAUACUUAAAUAACAUUAAAGUAGACACUGUAAAAUGGUAAUAAAAUAGGAAGAAAAUGACAAGAAACUAGCAUUAAAACAAUAAAAAAAUAACAUAUUUUUUUGUCCUUUUGUGAUUCGGGCUAGGGUUGGGCCAAAAAUGUCUUACCCGAGACUCGGCCUAUUUUCAAAACUAGAUUUUUUUUUGCCCAAGUCAAUUUUUUAGGUCUAUAUUUUUACUUAAACCCUUAUAUUUCUCGGACGAGCCAAAUGACCCAAUCUAUGAGUAAGUCUAGAAUCAAGCAAGAUACUGGUCCAGAAGAAAAGGAUAGACAAAUUGAAUCGAAUAGUAAAAUCGAUUUUUUUUAUAUUUUUAAUAUAACUUUAAUAUUUUUUAAGAUUCUAUAUAAUUUAAACGAAUGAACUAUUCAACCGAAAAUGAGGAUCUAAUCGAUUCCAUCACCUAGUUAUAAAAAUCUUUAACACUUAUAAACUCCACAAAAUAUUCUUUUUAAAAUUCCUUAAAUUACCUGUCCCGCUGAUGUGAUUGUGGCUCUUUUAUCUCGGCUGGGUUGACAACAGUGUCGUCGAUGAACCUUUUGAUUGAAUCCAUGAACUUUUUGCCAUCCCCCGAGCUUGUAAGCAAUUCAGGAACACGAAAAGGUGAUUGGUUUUCCAACAAGAACAGAUCCGAGUACACAAAUGUCAGCAAAUCGUUUUUAAUGAAAUUCGUUCGACUUACGAUCAUAAUCUUGGCCGUAACGCAUAUAAACUGCUUGUAAAAUUGCGCAGCCGUCAAUUCCUUUGGAUCAUAGCUUUUCUUCAAGCCAUCCGGCUCUGUCUUCAUGUUGUUGUACAAGGUAUCAUUAUCGAUGCCAAUUUUUUUAACGAAAUUUGCUGCUAAAUUGAGCUUGAGCUUCUCGGACUCGUGGAGGGUGGGAUCAUCGUGGUGGAGUGGGCCAAUUGAGAUCACUUUCGGCUUGAAAUAUUUCCGGAAAUCUUCGUCACGGCGAAGGGUUGCUGGGACUCUUUUGUCAAUAGUUUGGCUUUGGGGUCGAGAUGGUCCCCUUCGAAAGCUUCGUCUAAUGACCAGCAAUUCCGUGAUUCGCCAUUGCUGUGAGUGAAGUCUGUACCCGGUAUUGGAAUGAUCGUCUCUAGGGGAUUGUUGUUCGUGUUGUUAUUGAUGACUGUUUGAUCAGUGGAAACUACUCCACCGGGAGCUCUGACGGCGCCGCCUCCUUCUGUAACACCCCUAUACCAUGUUUGACUUAAGGAACCUAAUAUAAGAAUAUUACAUUUGAUGCCAAAGUAAUUCUUGGCUAAUUACUAUUAUAUUUGAACAUAAAAACAGACAAAUAAUAAAUUUAAAUAAUUUAUAUUUAAAUCCAUUACUACUACUUGGGACAUAAUUUUUUUUAAGUACAUGCCAUUCUAUUCAAAAUUUUAAAACAUACCCGUUGUUGCUUGAAGAUGUGAUGAGAUGAAAGCUUACAAUCUCAAAUUCGACUCUCAAAAAUUUAUGUACCUAAUUUGCGCAAGGAAACAAAUCGUACAAUGAGUAUACACCCAGUGUUAUUACUAUAAUUCAAAUACUUAAGGUAAAAACAAUAUAUAUACACAUUAAAUCUUACCACUAUUUUACCUUCAAUAAAUCAUUCAUGCAUUUAAACUUUAAAUUUAUUCUAAUAAUAUGUAUCUUAAAUAGCUUUUCUUUAUUUUAAUUUAUAUAUCUACUUAUUAUAUCAAUAUUCAUUUCAUGCAUUUCAUCAAUAACCAUUUCAUAAAACUAUUAUUUCAUAUAUUUCAUUUCUAUAUCCUAAUUCAAUAAUUUAUUCUAUUCCAUAUCUAAAACCUUACAACAUUAGUCUUUCAAUAAUUAUUUAAACCAACAUUUUUCAAUAAAAAUAAUUAUAAUUAAUUCAUAAGAUUAUAUCCAACUAACUCAUACACUAUUUCAUUAUUUCCUAUUCAUUCUAUUUUCACUUCUUAUUUCGAUAUCUCAAUUUCAAUUCACAUUUCAAUUCAUAAUUUCACUUUCUCAUACUUUCAAUAGCUCAAUCCAUCAAUUCAUUUGAUUUUUUCAUUUCAUUUAUUCAACUGAUUUCAAAAUCAAUAAUUCGAUAUUUUAGCAAAUUCAUGAACCUUAUGUUCAUGCUUCAAAUCUCGCAUCUUAAUGCCGUUCACAAUUCAACUCAUAAUUUCUUUCUCAUAUCUCUAAAAGUACGAUCAAUCAAAUUUAUUUAAUUUUCUCAUUUCAGUUAUUCACCUUAUUAACAAACCCGGACUUUGACGGAUACACGAAUUCCAACCCAAACACACCAGUACGGCAUAUUGUGCCUAAAACGGUACAUAGUACCUGAUCAGUAUACGACACAUAAGUGCCUGAAAUGACACACGAGGUGCCUAAUAUGACACACGAGGUGCCUGAAAUACGCAAAGCCGAUAUAUCCCGGACUCUUAUAAAUCCUAUGGCAUGCCAAUUAUAUCCGACUCAGCCCGACUAGAUAAUAGGGUAUUUCAAUUCUCAAUUCACUUUCAUUUCCAAUUCAAUAUCACUUUUCAAUUACAAUUUCUCAUUCAAAUCAAUAUACAAUUCAAUUGUACAUACACAUUCAUCAUUCAAUUCAAUUCUCAUUCAUUUCAAAAUCAAUUUUUCACUUUCUAAUCAAUAAACAAUUCAAUACCAAUACAUAUUUCAGAUAAUCACAUAUAAUCAUAUUUCGAUUCAAUUCAAACCACUUUUCAAUCAAUACACAAUUCACAUAUUCACACAUAUUCAUAAAUUAAUUCACUUUUAUUUAAUUCAUAUUUUUAAUUCAUUUUCCAAUCAAAUUCAAAUCACUAAUUACUUUUCAAUCAAUAUACAUUUCAAAUACUCACAUAUUUUCUUCAUUCAAUUCAAUUUGAUUCAAUUAAAAUCACUUUUAGUUUCCAAUCAAUAUAAUUUCAAAUAUUCACAUAAUUCGUAAUUCAAUUACUUAAAUCACUUUUAAUUUCCAAUUUGUUCACAUUCAAUUUCAAUAGCCAUAAACAUUUUUGAAUCAAUUUCAUUCAAAUCAAUAUCAUCAUUUCAAUUGCUUACCUAAUUUUAUUUGCCAUGCAUUUUAAUUCAAAUAUAACAAUUAAUAAUAAAUAGAUUUGAAUUAUAGUAGUACAAACCCGGAUUUGUUCGAUUACUCCUCGAUAACGUUUCCUUUCUUUUCGGUGCCGAUGCCUCGAUUUCUUUGGUAACUACAAAAAUAAUAAUAAUAAUUUACACUUAUUAAUAACAGCACUAAUUUAUAAUAAUGAUUGAAUUUCUAUUCAAUUUAUAUCCUAAUUCCAAUUUAAUCCUAAUUAACUCAUUUACUUUUAUAAUUCAAUUCAUACUUCAUUUCGAUUCAAUUUCCUUCCAUAUUUCACUUAACUAUCUAAUGUUCAUAAUAAAAUUAUAAUUUAAAAUUUCUUUCAAUUUAGUCCUUUCAACACAAAACUUAUAGCUUCUUUUACAAUUCAAUCCCUUACCAAAUAUAACUUGAAAUUCAUUCAAUUAAAUCCCUAAUUCAUCUUUUUGUUCAACAUGAACUAUACUUAUAAACCUAUGAACUUUCAAAGUAUCAACUUAAUUUCAUCAAAACCUUGUUCUAAAGCUUGUAAAACAUCAAAAUUAAGUAAAAAUGACUUAAUUGACUUACCUAUUAAAGUUUUAACCUUCAAACCCUAGUUUUUCCCCAUUUUCUUUUCUUUCCCUUUUCUUUCUUCUUGUUUUCGAAUGGCUUCUGCUAUUCUUUCUUUUGCUUUCUUUCUUUAUUUCAUUUCAUUUAUAUAUAUAUAUAUAAUAUUAGUUAAUAAUGAUAAUAAUGAUAAUAAUAAUUAUAAUAAAUAUCUUUUAAUAACACAUAUUUACAUUACAUUUGUCACCACUUAAUUUGUUUAUCGUACACAAAAAUCUUAUAAUAUAAUUAUUUAAUUAAUAACUAUCUUUUACUUAAUUUUCAAGUAAAUAAAUAAAUAUAAUACAAAUGUAUAUAUUUACAUUAUUUCAAUUGUCACUAUCCAAUUUUUUUAUUAGUUAUCUAAUAAAUAUCUUUUACUUAGUAAUAAUAAAUAAUAAAUAUCUAUUUACUAAUUAAAUAUAAGUAUUACAAAUGUACAUAUAUUUUUUUUACAAGUGUACAAUAUCAUCACCACCCAUUUGGCAAAAUUUUGAUUUAUUCAUAUAAUAUAAUAUAAUAUUUUUAAUUUAUAACUAAUAUAAAUUGCCAUAUAAUAAAAUAAUUAUAUACAUAAUAAUUUAAUAAUAAUUAAACAAUAAAAAUUUUAGAUUUUUAUCAACAUUUGCCGCCUCAUUUAUGGUGAAUGGUAUAUUUUCCAUUUUGGUCCCCCUUUCUUUUUAUUAAUCUAAUUUAGCCCUUAAUAUUUAUAAUUUUACCAAUUUGAUUUUUAUUCUUUUUAGUUAAAUUUAAUUCUCUACCUAGUGUCAAAUUUGACUAUUGAUCUUUUAGAAAAUUGUCGAAUUAAUGUUUUGUUCUUUGCUUUCAAUUUGGUUCUGUUCUUAAGCAAAUUUCUGCUUUGUUUCUUCUCCAAGUCACGAGUCUUGUUGUUCAAGUCAUAGCUGAACUAGCUUGCUUGUUGUUCAUAACACCAACAACCUGUUCUCGGCUGGGUUGAUAACAGUAUCAUCGAUGAACCUCCGGAUUGCAUUCAUGAACAUUUUGCCAUCACCCAAGCUUGUAAGCAAUUCAAGAACACGAAAAGGUAAUUGAUUUUCCAACAAGAACAGAUCCGAGUACAAAAAUGUCAGUAAAUCAUUUUUAAUUAACAAAUUACCAUCAUCAUCAUCAUUAUCGUAACGCAUGUCAACUGCUUGUAAAUUUGCGCAGCCGUCAACGAUGAACAUCCAAGCCAGUUCCUCGUUAUCGUCUCUAUACUUCUCUAAUUCCUGUGGAUCAUAGCAUUCCUUCAAGCUAUCCAUCUCUUUCUUAAUUUUUCUGUACAAGGAUUUCUUAUCGACGCCAAUUUUUUUGACGAAAUGUGCUGCUAAUUUGAGGUUGAGCCCCUUGGAUUCACGGAGGGUGAGAUCAUCGUGGUGGAGUGGGCCGAUUGAGAUCACUUUCAGCUUGAAAUACUUCUUGAAAUCUUCGUUACGGAGAAGGGUUGAUGGGACUUUUUGUAUUAAUGGUUUGUAUCUAAGGGUGGGUUGGCCACCAAAAGCUUUGUCUAAUGACUGGAGCUUCGCUACUUCGCCAUCGCUGAGAGGGACGUCGGUGAACCACAUAUCAAUUCCCACGUAAUCGUUGUUGGUGUUGUUGUCGAUGAUUGUUUGAUUAGUGGAAACUGCUCCGGCGGCGCUGCCUCCUUCCUCCAUGGACGACAUUUUCAGGCUGACCGGCUCGAAGUAAUUAACAAGGUGAUUUUGAAAACUUGUUUUGGCUGAUUGAGUGAUGUUGGAAAAAAGGUGGCAAAAUGGCUACGAUGAUAACAAAUCUUCUAUAGCUUACAUAAAGAGGCGAAUAUAGGGGAAUGUAAAAUUGUUAUUUAGGCCCUUAAUAUUUUUUAAAAUUUUAAAUUAGUAAAAGUGAAAUUACAUUUUGGCCUUAUAAAAUUAUAAAAAUUCAAUUUAAUCUUUUAAAAAUUAUAAAGAUAUAGACUACAAAAAAUUAAAAUCUCAUUCGAUCCACCCUAAAAAAUUAUUCGGGCUUCGCCACUGCUUACAUAAUAAACAUAUGGAAAAUACUUUUGGUGUAAUUCAAAUUUACCCCUUAUAGUCAAUUUAAUUUUCAUUUUUUUAAUUUAAUUUUCUAUCUUUUGGAAGAGUUGAAUUUAACUAUCAAUUUAAAUUAAUAUUUUUUAACGAAAAUAGUGACUAAAAUAUUAAAAUAUUAAACAUGACAACUCAAACGGCAAUCCACAUCUAUAUGUUUUUUUUAUUUAUUUCUUAUUUUUAAAUUAUUUAUUGAUGUGACAUAUAAUAAAAGUAUUGUUAUAUUAGCAUGAAGUACACAUGGAAGGCCACACGAGUUGUGACACCAAUAUCGUUAAAAAUUAAUAUUUUAGUUAGCAUAUCUGUUAAAGAAAAGCAAAUGAACUCUUUUUUCAAAGGUUAAUGGCUAAAUUUAGCUCAAAUGAAAAAAAAAAAAGGCCAAUUUGAUAAAAAAGGUAAAUGUCAAGAGUUAAGUUUAACAUUUAUACAAGUACAAAUAUAUGUCUGGAUUAAUCUAGAAAGAACAAGACAAACUCUACAGGUGAUAUACAAAUGUGAUGAGAGUGGAACCUGCACAUCACAAUUGAGAAUAAUAUUAUAGAACCUAAAUACUCAAAAACCUAAAACCUUCCCCUUAACCAAGAAGCUAAGACGCCAUGGAUAAUUUUAUAUCUACAACACUUAUGAAUUUCAUAUGCUUAAUAAUAGUUUACAAAAAGACAAGUAAAGAACACUUACUUCGGUUGAUGUAUGGUAUAAUAAGUCUGCAAAGCACUAAGAGUAAGUGCAGCAAUGGCACCCAAAAAUGCUAAAAACGUCCAAGGACUCCUAAAAUAAGUAUGAUAACCUUGAGCUGCAUGAUUAAUCCACAUAGUCUUACAAUGAUUAUGUAUUUUCUCUUUAACCCCACUGUAAAUUGUCGGACUAGGAACCAAAUCAGUGUUCAUCUUAUUGAAAAGCUUAGCCAUUUCUUCAUCACUGCCCAAUCCAUUGUAUAGUAUGCCGGAGUCUCUAAGGUCUUUAACAUCUUCGGCUUCAUCGAUCAAUAAAUCAAGGAAACACAUAUAUGAAGUGACGGUGAAAUCGUUGUCGAAAUCCGGACACAUUUCGUAAGCUAUUAAGUUCAUGGUUGAAUCAUCGACGGAGAUCGGCGGUAACCGUAAUUUUCCGAAGAAGAAGAUAUGGUUGAAACUGAUGUCGGUUAAAUUACUUGUUUCGCUGGCUUCUAACCAUAUCCCGGCCUUUUUAAGCUCUUUUACGUUACCAAUGGUGCGUGAAUGGUACCGUUUUGUUCUUUUUCUUCUUGCUGCUGCUUUGCCAAAUCCGUGUCGAGUGAAUUCCCAAAGAAAACACCAGCACCGUAUUCGUACUUUUCUGAGAAGGAGUCUUUCUCGUAGUAGAUGCAAUAAGUGAAUUCGCUCUCCUUCUUUUUGCUGCUUCCACCACCAUUCCCUACACCAAAAUCUGUGUUAGUCGGAAGCCAAGCUACAAUUUCUCUUUUCUCUUUUCUUUUUUUCUUUUUUGUUGUUAAUACAAAAAUAUUAAAAAUCAAUCUAUACUUGUUAAUCAAGUUGGUUGAAUAAAAAAUUAAAUAAAAUUGAAGUUAUACCAAUUGAAUUAAAGAAUGGAAUAAAUUUCUUUUUAUAUUUUUAAUAUUUUUAAAAAUUUAUAUAAUUAAACUGAAUUAACUAAUCAAAUGGAAAAGAGAGUCUAAUAGAUUCCAUCACCUAUGUAGUUAUAAAAACCUUUUAACAUUUAUAAACUCCACAAAAAUGAUUCUUUAUUUAAUUCCCUAAAUUACCUGUCCUCGCCUGGGUUGAUAACAGUUUCGUCGAUGAACCUUUGGAUUGCAUUCAUGAACUUUUUGCCAUCCCCCGAGCUUGUAAGCAAUUCAAGAACACGAAAAGGUAAUUGGUUUUCCAACAAGAACAGAUCCGAGUACACAAAUGUCAGCAAAUCGUCUUUAAUAAACAAUUUACCAUCAUCAUCAUCAUCAUCAUCAUCACCGUAACGCCUGUAAACUGCUUGUAAAAUUGCGCAGCCGUCAACGAAGAAAAUCCAAGCCAGUUUCUCGUUAUCGUUGCUAUAGUUCUCUAAUCCCUUUGGAUCAUAGCAUUUCUUUAACUCAUCGAUCUCUGUCUUCAUGUUGUUGUACAAGGUAUCCUUAUCGACGCCAAUUUUUUUGACGAAAAGUGCUGCUAAUUUGAGCUUGAGCUUCUCGGAUUUAUGGAAGGUGGGAUCAUCGUGGUGGAGUGGGCCGAUUGAGAUCACUUUCGGCUUGAAAUACUUACUGAAAUCUUCGUGACGACCAAGGGUUGAUGGGACUCUUUGUAUCAAUGGUUUGGCACGGAGGUCGAUUUCGUCGCCGUCGAAAGCUUCGUCUAAUGACCGGAGAUUCACUACUUCGCCAACGCUGAGAGGGACGUCCAUAUCAAUGCUCACGGAAUCGUUGUUGUCGGUGAUUGUUUGAUCAGUGGGAGCUGCUCCGACGGCGCCGCCUCCUUCCUCCGUGGAGGACAUUUUCAGGCUGAGCGGUUGGAAGUAAUAAACAAGGUGAUUUUGUAAACUGUUUUUGGCAGAGUGAGUGAUGUUGGAGAAAAGGUAGCAAAGUGGAUAAGAUGAUGACAAAUAUUUUGUAGCUUACAUGAUAAACAUAUAUGGGAAAUACUUAAGGCGUUAGUGUUUAUAUUUUUACUAAUAUAAACAAUGAUAAAAAAGAAAAGUUAAAUAGUGACAAAUACUAAAAUUGAGAAUAAUAUUAUGGAACCUAAAUACUCAACACUACUCAAAACCUUCGCCUUUAACCAAGAAACUAAGACCCUAUCUGAGGGAGAAUUUUAUAUCUACAACACUUCCUAAAUUUCAUUAGCUUAAUAAUAGCUAUUCAAAUAUAUUUUUUCAUUUUAUUACUGACUUUAAUAUUUAAAUUAUCAUUAUAUUGCAUGAUUUAUUCCAAAUAUUUACAUAUAGUAAUUGCAUUUGUAAUUCUACCUAACUAUGAAAAAUCUCAAAUUUGCAACAUGUUAUUCACAUGCCAACCAACCAAUAUAUUAUUCCUACCAACCAAUUUAUCAUUCACAUUCCAACUUUCUAAAUCCAUCAAAUAUUUCAUAUUCAUGUACUAACAAAGAUCAUGCCAAGAACCCACAUGCAAAGUCAUUGUAUAGUACCACAUUUAACUCAAUCGGACUUUUACACAACUAAAGAUUACUCCAAACGUUUAUAUGCAUGUCACAAUCCUUCACUCAAAAUGAUAAAAAAAACUAUUAAAUUGACGAUAAAAUAGUUUAAGCUUCGACCGAUUCAACCGACGUGUUCUAGCAUAUAAUAUGUUUAGUAAGCUCAUAUGGAAACUAAAACUUACCUAGAUCAAUUGAACAUAAAAAAUUACUCAAUAAGCUAUCGAAUUAAUUUUUCCCUGACACUUAUAUACAUAUAGUACAUCUAAUAAAAUUUCUGUUAAAGAAAAGCAAUUUGACUCUUUUUCUAAAAAGUUAAUAACUAAAUUUAGCUCAAAUAAAAAAAAAGAAUAAAAGUCAAUUUGAUAAAAAAUAUAAAUAUUAAAAAUUAAAUUUAUCAUUAUAUCUUUUUUAAGUAAUUAUUUGUGGUGAGCCAUCAUGUCUGACGAUGAUUUUUAAAUACUGUAUUAAUUAUAUAUAGCACAUCAUAUUUCACUAUAAUUUCUAUAGACUUUUUAAACAUGGGGUUAAUUGUUUAUGGCCCAUUGCCCAUGUUGCUUUUAUUAAAUUUUGGGUGAACUUCUCAUUUUGGUCAAAAAAAAAUUGUAUUCUCAGUAUAAAACAAAAAACUAAUCUUUAAUGUUUAUGGCCAAACCCCACCUCUCCUAUCCUAUAAUAAUGGUUCUUGGCUUCUUCUAUCCUACACCUCAAUUAUUUGGAUUAGAUUGAAAAACAAUUGACACUUGAUUUGAUUGUGAAAUAAAGUUAAAUUUUAAAUUUAUAAUAUUUAAUUUGAGUGUGAAUGAAUUUUUGACUUAAUUGAAAAUUUAAAAUUUUAAGUUCGAGUCGUAUUUAAUUAUGUGUGUAUAUCGUGUAUAAAUUUUGUUCAAAUUUAUUUUGAUUUAAUUUUCAUACUAUAUAUUCUUAAUUAAAUUCGGAAUAUAUUUUGAUUAUCAAUUUAACCAUACAUUGUAACGAUGGAUUAAAAUUAUAGUUAAUUAUAUAUUGAAACUAAAUAAUUAGUUUAAGGAAUUAAAAGAUAUUAUUAUAUUUUAUAAAAUUUGAAUAGAUUCAUAAUUAAUUCGAGAUUAAAAAAUGGGAGAAGAAAAGCUAAAACCAAACCUUUUUUACGGUUGGAACUAAACCCCAUGCGGUGUGGAAAAUUGCAAGUUUCCAGAAUAUACCUACACUUACUAAUUAUAAUAAAUAUCUUUUACUUAGUAAUAAUAAAUAAUAAAUAUAUAUUUACUAAUUAAAUAUAAAUAUUACAAAUGUACAUAUAUUUUGUUUACAAUUGUACAAUAUCAUCACCAUCCAUUUGGCAAAUUUGAUUUGUUCAUAUAAUGUUAAUUUAUAACUAAUAUAAAUUACCGUAUAAUAAAAUAAUUAUGUACAUUAUAAUUUAAUAAUAAUUAAACAAUAAAAAUCUUAGAUUUUUUAUCAACAUUUGCCGCCUCAUUUAUGGUGAAUGGUAUAUCUCCCAUUUUGGUCCCCCUUUCUUUUUAUUAAUUCUUUUUCCUAAUUUCUCCUAAUUAAGCUAAAUUCACUUAAUUAAAUCCUAAUUAAACACACAACUAGCCUCACAAAUAUUCUUAAUAAAACAUUUACAAACUCGGUUUACUAAGACAGAAGCCCUAUAACUCACUUUUUCGGUGCCCGUGAAUUUUGGGCCAUUACACAUUCUUCCGUGGAUAACAUUUUUAGGCUGAGCGGUUCGAAGUAAUUACCAAGGUGAUUUUGUAAACUGUUUUUGGCUAAGUGAGUGAUGUUGGUGAAAAGGUGGCAAAAUGGCUACAAUGUUUCUAUAGCUUAUAUAUAAUGAACAUACGGAAAAUAUUUUUGUGUAAUAUCAAAUUUAGCCCUUAAUAUUUAUAAUUUUACCAAUUUGAUUCUUAUUCUUUUUAGUUAAAUUUAAUUCUCUACCUUUUGAAAGUGUCAAAUUUUCUUGGCUGGAAGCUCACUGCAUGGAAGCCAAAAUCAAAACAAACUUUUGAUGGUUUAAUUGUUUUUGAGCCCUUCAAUUUCAGGUGCUAUGAGAAAUGGAUUACAACCUCAUCUUGUCGUUAUCCCAAAAUCAAAACAAGCAACUCUUGGUUGAAAGUUGAAACCAAGGGCCAAGUCAAAAUUGUUUUAGGAUGAGUCCAAAAUGAAUAAUGAAUUUGAAGGUUCAAAAUAAAAUUUUAUUAAUAUAUAAAUUUAUAAUUUCAUAAAUUUUAAAAGGAUUAAAUGAUAAAUUUACUAAUUUAAGAAGACAAUAGGGAUGGUCAAAUAUUCUAAUUGAACCUAUCUGCGAUCGGAUCGGGAUGGAUUUUUUUAAUUAAAAAAAUUAAAUAGAUUGAAUCGAAAUUCUAGGAGUUACAAAAUUCUCAUAAAUAACAAGAGUUUACAAAAAGUACACUUACUUUGGUUGAUGUAUGGUAUAAUAAGCCUGCAAAGCACCGAUAAAAAGUGCACCAAUGGCACCCACAAAUGCGAAAAACGUCCAACGAGUCCUAAAAAAAGUACGGUAAACUUGAGCUGGAUAUGUAAUCCACAUAUUGUUAUGAUGAUCAUGUAUUUGCAGUUUAACAUGUCUGUAAAUCAUCAGACUAGGAACCAAAUCCAUGUUCAUCUUCUUGAUAAGCUUAGCCACUUCUUUAUCACUCCCAAAUCCAUGGUAUAGUAUGCCUGCGUCUCUCAGUUCCUUAACAUCUUCGGCUUCAUCGAUCAAUGAAUCAAGGAAACCCAUAUAUGAAGUGACGGUGAAAUUGUUGUAGAAAUCCGGACAAUUUCGUAAGCUAUUAAGUUCAUGGUUGAAUCAUCGACGGUGAGAGGCGGUAACCGUAAUUUUCCGACGAAGAAGUAAUGGUUGAAACUGAUGUCGGUUAAACAACUUGUUUCGCUUGCUUCUAACCAUAUCCCGGCGUUUUUAAGCUCUUUUACGUUACGAAACGGGUGUGAAUGGUGAGGUUUUAUUCUUGUAUGGUUUCUGCGAUUUGUGAAGGAUAUGCAAAACCUAGAAGGCCAUGGUUUUUCUUUUUUGAAAAGGAGUCUUACUCGUAGUAGAUGCAAUAAGUGAAUUGGCUCUUUAUUUUUUUCUUGCAGCUGCUGCCACCAUUCACUAGAGCAAAAUCUGUGUUAGUCGGGAGCAAGCUAAAAUUAAGGUUUUCAAUGGUUGAAUCAAAUCAUUAUUAUUUAAUAAAAAAUUAUUUAAAUUAUUAAAUUACAUUUUAAUCCUUUUAAAAAUUAUUAAAUUAUAAAUUUGUAUACAAUAAAAUUAUAUUUUGACUCCUCAAAAUGAAUAAAAAAUUGUUUAAACACUUUUAAAAAAUGAUGACAUCAUAAAUUAAUGCAAAAAAAAAAUCUAAGAAUUAAACCAAACUUGUCUAUCGGCCUAAUUAAACAGAGAAUCAAGCAAGGUACUAAUCCAGAAUAAUAAAUUAAAUCCAUUGAAUCUAAUCAUCAAAUCGAUUUUUUUUAUAUUUUUAAUAUAUCUUUAAUAUUUUUAAAAUUUUAUAUAAUUGAAUCGAAUAAACUAAUCAACCAAAAAUGAGACUCUAAUGGAUUGUAUCACCUAUAUAUGUAGUUGUAAAAAUCCUUUUAACAUUUAUAAACUCCACAAAUUGAUUCAUUUAUAAAUUCCUUAAAUUACCUGUCCUGCUGAUGUGAUUGUGGGUCUUUAACAGUGCCGUUGAUGAACCUUAUGAUUGCCUCCAUGAAUUUUGUGCCAUCCUUCGAUCUUGUAAGCAAUUCAAGAACACGAAAAGGUAAUUGGUUUUCCAACAAGAACAGAUCCGAGUACACAAAUGUUAGCAAUUCGUUUUUAAUAGAAAAUUCGUUCGACGUACGACAACGAUCUUGGCCGUAAAGCAUAUAAACUGCUUGUAAAAUUGCGCAGCCGUCAACGAAGAACAUCCAAGCCAGUUUCUCGUUAUCGUUGCUAUAGUUCUCUAAUCCCUUUGGAUCAUAGCAUUUCUUUAAGCCAUCGAUCUCUGUCUUCAUGUUGUUGUACAAGGUAUCCUUAUCGACGCCAAUUUUUUUAACGAAAAGUGCUGCUAAUUUGAGCUUGAGCUUCUCGGAUUUAUGGAGGGUGGCAUCAUCGUGGUAGAAUGGGCCGAUUGAGAUCACUUUCGGCUUGAAAUACUUACUGAAAUCUUCGUGACGACCAAGGGUUGAUGGGACUCUUUGUAUCAAUGGUUUGGCACCGAGGUCGAUUUCGUCGCCGUCGAAAGCUUCGUCUAAUGACCGGAGAUUCACUACUUCGCCAACGCUGAGAGGGACGUCCAUAUCAAUGCUCACGGAAUCGUUGUUGUCGGUGAUUGUUUGAUCAGUGGAAACUGCUCCGACGGCGCCGCCUCCUUCCUCCGUGGAAGACAUUUUCAGGCUGAGCGGUUGGAAGUAAUAAAGAAGGUGAUUUUGUAAACUGCUUUUGGCUGAGUGAGUGAUGUUGGAGAAAAGGUGGCAAAGUGGAUAAGAUGAUGACAAAUGUUUUAUAGCUUACAUGAUAAACAUAUAUGGGAAAUACUUAAGGUGUAAUUCAAAUUUACCCUUAGUGUUUAUAUUUUUACUAUAAUUUUAAUUUUUUAAUUAAAUUUAUUUCUCUUUUGAAAGAGUCAAUGAUAAAAAAAGAAAAGAAAAGUUAAAUUAAUGUUUUUUAACAAAAAUAGUAACAAAUAUUAAAAUUGUGAAUAACAUUAUAGAACUUAAAUACUCAACGCAACUCAAGAAACUAAUGGUGGGUCUGGAUGGGCAGUGCGGUGCGGUGCGUUUAGCCUACUUUUUGUCUCAUACUACAGUGUUGCUACAGUAUCUAAUCUCACCGCCACCACUGUUUUUACACUAACCACAGGUAAACGCACCGUCCAUCCAAACUCACCCUAAGACCCUAUCAAAGGGAGAAUUUUAUAUCUACAACACUUCCUAAAUUUCAUUAGCUUAAUAAUAGCUAUUCAAUUUUUUUUUUCAUUUUUUUACUUAAAUUAUUUUUACUUACUUUAUAUUAGAUAAAUUAUUCCAAAUAUUUAAUAUUUUACAUAUAAUAAUUGCAUUUGUUAUUCUACCUAACUCAUGAAAAAUCUCAAUUUUGCAACAUCACAUGCCAACCAACCAAUUUAUUAUUCACAUUCCAACUUUCUAAAUGCAUCAAAUAUUUCAUAUUCAUGUACUAACAAAGAUCAUGCCAAGAACCCACAUGCAAAGUCAUUGUAUAGUACCACAUUUAACUCAAUCGGACUUUUACACAACUAAAGAUUACUCCAAACGUUUAUAUGCAUGUCACAAUCCUUCACUCAAAAUGAUAAAAAAAAAACUAUUAAAUUGACGAUAAAAUAGUUUAAGCUUCGACCGAUCCAACCGACGUGUUCUAGCAUAUAAUAUGUUUAGUAAGCUCAUAUGGAAACUAAAACUUACCUAGAUCAAUUGAACAUAAAAAAUUACUCAAUAAGCUAUCGAAUUAAUUUUUCCUUAGCACUUAUAUAUAUAUAAUACAUGUAACAACAUUUCAAGUCAAAAGUGUUAGAUACAAUGUUGAAUCAUAAUCCUGUCAACAUUUAAAACAUAAUCACAUAGCAAUCUAUAUACCAAAUUUCAUCAAUACCAGUUCAUUUUCAAUUCAAGAUUUAAUUCCAUUUCCAACCAUUUAAUCAUCCUCUGAUGGAACUACAGUAAAAAAGACCUAGGUACAUGGGAAUAUUUUGCUGACACUGUAACGAACUUACUCACAAAAGUUGACUUUAUAUUGGAAUUGUUCACACAAGUUAACUUUGUAAUUUAUAUAAUGUAAAAUUUAAGAUUUUUAUAUUAUGUAAAUCAAAGCUUAAUAUUGCAUAACUAAUUAGUUUUGAGUUUUCAAAAUAAUAUGGCUUUAUAAAGAUAUAGAAUUCUUGAUAUAAGUCUUAACAAGGGAAAAUUUAAGGAUAGGAAAAUUGUGGUGGAAAGGGGGUCAAUUUCUCCUAAACAGGUGGAGAGCUGGAGAAGGGUAAGAGAAGGAAGAUGGUUGAUGUGAAGGCUAAGAGUAAUUGUUAAAGGUUGCUAACAGGGAGGAUCCCUUUCUCAUGAAGAUGAUUUUUAAACACCGUGUUAAUUGUUUAUGGGCCAUCAUGUUUGACGAUAAUUUUUAAAUACUGUGUUAAUUGUAUAUAGCACAUCAUGUUUGACAAUAAAUUUUAAAGACUUUUAAACGUCGCAUUAAUUGUUUAUGGCCCAUUGCCCAUGUUGCUUUUAUUAAAUUUUGGGUAAACUAUAAGUUAAUCACUUAAUUUUUAUAAAAUUUCAUUUUGGUAAAAGAAAAUCUCAGGAUAAAACAAAAAUUAGGAUAAAUGUAAUGUUGAAAUGAAUAUAGUGGGAAUCUUUAAUGUUUAUGGCCAAACCCCACCUCUCCUAUCCUAUACUUCAUCUAUCAUAAUGAUUCUUGGCUUCUUCUACAAUUGCCUUCACAAAAUGAAGCUGACAUUUGAGGUUGUCCUUCAUUUACUUUUGUUUUCUUCCUAUGAUAUAAAUGCAAGUAGAAUAUAAAUUAUACAUUUGUAAUUCCUCAAUUAUUUGGAUUAAAUUGAAAAACAAUCUCAAUUAUUUGGAUUAGAUUGAAAAAUAAUUGACACUUGAUUUGAUUGUGAAAGAAGUUUUAGUUUAAUGAAAUGAAUGAGUUAAAUUUUAAAUUUAUAAUAUUUAACUUGAGUGUGAAUGAAUUUUUGACUUAAUUGAAAAUUGAAAAUUUUAUAAAUUUUGUUUAAAUUUAUUUUGAUUUAAUUCUCAUAUUGUAUAUUCUUAAUUAAAUUCGGAAUAUAUCAAUUUAGUCAUACAUUGUAACGAUGGAUUCGAAUUAUAGUUAAUUAUAUAUUGAAACUAAAAAUCUUAGAUUUUUAUCAACAUUUGCCGCCUCAUUUAUGGUGAAUGGUAUAUUUCCCAUUUGGUCCCCCUUUCUUUUUAUUAAUCUAUAAUUCUACUUCUACCCCCAUUCAAUUUAGCCCUUUUUCCUAAUUUCUCUUAAUUAAGCUAAAUUCACUUAAUUAAAGCCUAAUUAAACACACAACUAGCCUCACAAAUAUUCUUAAUAAAUACUUACGAACUCGGUUCACUAAGACGGAGGCCCUAUAACUCACUUUUCUAGUGCCCGUGAAUUUUGGAUCAUUACACCUUCUUCCGUGGACGACAUUUUUAGGCUGAGCGGUUCGAAGUAAUUAACAAGGUGAUUUUGUAAACUGUUUUUGGCUGAGUGAGUGAUGUUGGUGAAAAGGUGGCAAAAUGGCUACAAUGUUUCUAUAGCUUAUAAAAUGAACAUACGGAAAAUCUUUAAUUAAGAUUUAAAUGUAUAAAAGUAUAAAUUAUAAUAGUAAAAUUGUACUUUAAUCUUAUAAAUCGCAAUACUUUAAUUUAGUUAUUUAAAAAAUUAGAAAUAUAUUAGUUAAUAUAAUGAUAAAAUUACGUUUUAACUUUAUCAAAAUUUAUAACUUAAUUUCAAUCCAAAUUCUUACUUCACCCUUAUUUCUGCACUAAUAAAAGUUAUAAUCUGUGUUAAAUAUCGGAUUAGUAUAUGGAUGAUAUUAAAAAUAUAUAUAAAAAUAUAAAAUCUCUAAAAGCUUAAUCAACACACAUUCAGGUGUACGCUUUUAUUAAACUUUGAUUUUUUUAGUACGAGAUUAUCUGGAUUCUUUAAAAUAAUGUUAUGGAUAAGUUUUUGUUUAAUGUAUUGAUUGGUUUUUUUUUUCCUUUUAGAUUUGAUGAAUGAUAGAUUUUUGUUUGUGAAGUUUAUCUAUGAAUAUUUAUAUAAUUAUUAAUAAUUUUAUAUUUAAAAUUUAUUUAAUAUUUUAAAAUUUUAUCGAUAAUUUUGAAAGGAUAUAUAAAAACAAAUCGAUAUUGAUAUGUAUCAAUUUCUGUAGAAAAACGGUGCGUCCAUCAGUGCAAUACUAACUACCUUGGAUAAGAAAACAUUUAAUCCUUAAAUUUGGCAACUUUUCUCAACUUAGUCAUUAAACUUUUUUUUUAUCUACACUAGUCUUCUAACUUGACAACUUUUCUAAAUUUUGAUGCAUGUGAUGACAUCGCAUUCUGAUUUUGUAUCAUAGGGGUGUUCGAAUUUCGAUUAAAAUUGAAUUAACUGACCGAACCAAUCUAAUUCAGUUAAUCAGUCAGUUAAUCAAUCUAGUUCUAUCAGAGGUCGGUUAAAAGUUUUUUGGAAUUUCGGUUAACGGUUAAUUCGAUUCGAAAUUAGGUAAUUAACUGAAUUACCCAAACUUAAUAAAUUAGACUUGUAGGCUAGGAAGCACAGACACGGCUCAUCCCUCCUCGUACCGGUAUCGUACGUGUGUCCGACACAGACACUCGACGGACAUGCCUAGAUACGUAUGGAACAAGCUGGAAUAUGCCAAAAAUUUUUUUUUUUAUUGCCAUAUCUUGCUGUAUCCGUGUCCUUAUUUUCUAAAAAUUACCAUGUUGCUGUGUCUGUAUCAUGUCGUACCCGUAUUGCGUGUCUGUAUCCAUGCUCCAUAGCUUGUAGGUAAGGGCCGAACAAAGAAUCCAGUAAGGCAGUAGUCUAGAAUAAGGAGUUAGACCAAUUGAAUCGAGUUAAUGAAUUGAUUUUCUUUAUAUUUUUAAUAUAUCUUUAAUAUUUUUAAAAUUUUAUAUGAUUUAACCGAGUGGUUAAUCAAUAAAAAUUGAGAGUCUAAUAGAUUUAAAAAAAAAAACCUUUUUAACAUAUAUAAACUCCAAAAAAAUAUUCUUUUUUAAAUUCCUUAAAUUACCUGUCCUGCUGAUGUGAUUCUGGCUUUUUAACAGUAUUGUUGGUGAACCCUACGGUUGCCUCCAUGAACUUUUUGUCAUCGUUCGAUCUUGUAAGCAAUUCAAGAACACGAAAAGGUAAUUGGUUUUCCAACAAGAACAGAUCCGAGUACUCAAAUGUCAGCAGUUCGUUUUUAAUAGACAAUUCGUUCGACAUAUGCUCAUAAUCUUGGCCAUCAACAUCAUCAUUACCGUAACGAUAUAAACUGCUUGUAAAAUUGUGCAGCCGUCAACGAGGAACAUCCAAGCCAGAUUCUCGUUAUCGUUGGUAUACUUAUCUAAUUCCUUUGGAUCAUAGCAUUUCUUCAAGUCAUCGAUCUCUGUCUUAAUGUUGUUGUACAAGGUUCCCCUAUCGACGCCAAUGUUUUUGACGAAAAGUGUUGUUAAUUUGCACUUGAGCUUCUUGGAUUCAUGGAGGGUGGGAUCAGCGUGGUGAGUGGACCGAUUGAGAUCACUUUCGGCUUGAAAUACUUCCUGAAAUCUUCGUGACGGCCAAGGGUUGAUGGGAGUCUUCGUAUCAAUGGUUUGGCUUUGGGGUCGAGUUGUUUGCCGUCGAAAGCUUCGUCUAAUGACCGGAGAUUCUCUAAUUCGCCAUUGCUGAGAGUGAGCUCCGUACCCGGCAUUGGAAUGAUCGUCUCUUGGGGAUUGUUGGUGGUGGUGUUUUUGGUGAUUGUUUGAUCAGUGGAAACUGCUCCGCCGGGAGCUCCGACGGCGCGGCCUCCUUUCUCCGUGGACGACAUUUUCAGGCUGAGCGGUUCGAAAAAAGGUGAUUUGGGAAACUGUUUUUGGCUGAAUGAGUGAUGUUGGAAAAAAGGUGGCAAAAUGGCUACGAUGACGACAAGUGUUUCUAUAGCUUAUAUAAUAAACGUAUGGAAAAUAUUUUGGUGUAAUAUUAAAUUUAACCCUUAAUAUUUAUAUUUUUUUAAUUUGAUUCUUAUUCUUUUUAAUUAAAUUUAAUUCUCUACCUUUUGAAAGAGCCAAAUUUGAUUACCAAUCUUUUAGAAAAGAGUUGAAUCAAUAUUUUUUAAUGAAAACAGUGAUUAAAAUAUUAAAUUUGUAAACAUGACAACUCAUAUGGUAAUCCAUGUGUACAUAUUUUUUAUUUUUUAUUUUUAAAUAAUUUGUUGACGUGUGACAUAUAAGAAAAGCAGUGCUAUGUUAGCACGAAGUGCACAUGGAUUGCCACACGAGUUGUAACACCAACACCGUUAAAAAUUUAAUAUUUUAGUUAAUAUUUUUGUUAAAGAAAAACAAUUUAACUCUUUUUUGAAAGGUUAAUGACUAAAUUUAGCUCAAAUAAUAAUAAUAAAAGAACAGAGGCCAAUUUGACAGAAAAAUGUAAAUAUCGAGGACUAAAGGCCAAUUUGAUAGAAAAAUGUAAAUAUCGAGGACUAAAUUUAUCAUUAUGUCAUUCUUUUUAAGGUUAACUUAUAUGAAUACAAUAUAAGUUCAAGUACAAAUAUAUGUAUGGAUUAAUCUAGAAAGAACUAGACAAAAUCCACACAUGAUAUACGCAUAUGAUGAGAGUAAAACUCACACAUCACAAUUAAGAAUAAUAUUAUAAAACCUAAAUACUCAGAGACUUAAAACCUUCGCAUUAACCAAAAAGUGAAGACCCCAUCAUAUGGAGAAUUUUAUAUCUACAUACGACAAUAUUUCUCGGAUUUCAUACGCUUAAUACUAGCUCUUCAAAUAUAUUCAUUUUUCAUUUUAUUACUUAAAAGUUAUUUUGAUUUACUUUAUAUUGAUUUCAAUCAUAUUGAUCCGUAGAUAUUGUUUCAAUAAGAAAUCGAAUUUUUUUUUUUUAAAUGAGAUGAUUUUGUUGUGGGUUUUUUAAAAUAGUGUUACGGAUAACUUUUUUGUUUAAUGUUUUGGUUGGCUUUUUUUUUUCUUUUUUUCGAAUUUUUGAAUGAUGAAUUUUGCAUGUAAAGAUUAUUGAUGAAUAUUUAUAUUUAUUUAAUUUCAUUCAUUUAAUGUUUUUAAAUCUUUUUUAUAUAUUAAAUAUUUUAGAAAUUUAUCGAUAAUUUCGAAAAGAUAUACAAAAACAGGCCAGUACUAAUAUGUAUCCGUUUUUGUAAAAAAAAUGUGCGUCCAUUAGUGUAGUACUAACUACCUUAGAUAAAAAACUGUUUAGUCCUUAAAUUUGGUAACUUUCCUCAACUUAGCACUUAAGCUUUUAUUUUAUCUACAUUAGUCUUCUAACUUUGACAGCUUUUCUCAAUUUCGAUGCAUGUGAUGACACAACACUAUGAUAUUGAGAUGCUAUCAUCUAAAAAUUAUAUUUUUAAUAAAAAUUAGGUGUUAACAUGGGAGAAAUAUUAUUAUAAUAACCAAAAAUGAGAAAAGUUGUCAAUUUUCAUGAUUGAUGUGGACAGUGGUGAAGAUAAGGGGCUGGUAGGGGCAGAAAUUUUUUUUUCAUUUACGUCCUUUUAUAAUUUAUAAAAUUUUAAAUUAUUAGUGGUAAAAUUAUAUUUUGUCACCCAAAAAUAAAAAAAAAUUAAUUUAAUCCUUUAAAAUGAUAAAGUUAUAGACUAUUAAAAUGGUAAAAUUACAUUUUUAUUAUCAUAAAAAUAUACAACUUAAUUCCGGCCCCUCCCAAAAAAAAUUUUGGCUUCGCCCCUGAAUGUGGACCAAAAAAGAAAGUCUAGAGACCAAAUUGAAAAAUUUUGUCAAAUUUAAGGAUUAAAUGUUGUCUUAUUAUUUUAUUUAACAAAAAGUGUGCUAUAUACACCAAAGUCUCGUAAUUGAAUAAUAAAAUUUUGAUGUUUUUAAGUAAAUCUUGAAUUUAAAUCUUAUGAAUAAAGAAAAUAAUACUAAAUAAAUUUUACUAUCUACUUACGAAUUCAACUCAAUUUCAAAUUUAACUACCAAAUAUCAAAGCUCUUAUAAAAAAAAAAAGGUAUUGUAAACUUUGUUGUAGUGUAUUUUAUUUUGAUCCAAAAUAGUGAAAAGGAAAUGCAUCCUAAAUUUAUUCAAACCAAAUUAUUAACUUUAAGUGUAAAUUGGGUAAGUGUAACAUAAUUGUUCUCUUUUUUUUUUUUAAUUUAGUCCUUUUCCUAAAUACAACAUAUAUUUUAUAAUAGAUAAUUGAAUUAAUUAAACCAUCAGUUCAUCGCUCAGUUCAACCUAAUGACGGAACGUAAGAGGAGAUUCCCUUCAAAAUUUUAGAAAAUUAUCACUAAAUUCUUCAAAAUAAUUUACAUUUUUACUUUUUACUUAGGACUCCUAAUUUUUUAAAAAUCCUAAUUAAGCCUCGCAAAAAGUGUUGAAAUUUUCAAAAAUUUCAAAACUUCUCGUUAAUUUUUUUUAAAAAUUUUGAUUAAGCCUCUUAAAUUUUAUUUUUUUUAAAAAAUCUCAUUAAACACUAAAAAUUAAUUUAAAUAGAUUGAAUCGAAAAUCCAGAAUUACAAAAUUCUCAUAAAUAACCAGAGUUUACAAUGAGAAUAGUAAACAACAAUUACUUUGGUUGAUGUAUGGUAUAAUAAGUCUGCAAAGCAGCAAUAAAAAGCCAGCAAUGGCACCCACAAAUGCGAAAAACGUCCAACGAGUCCUAAAAUAAGCAUGAUAAGCUUGAGCUAGAUAUUGAAUCCACAUAUUCUUACAAUGAUUAUGUAUUUUCUGUUUAACAUAACUGUAACUAGGAACCAAAUCAGUGUUCAUAUUCUUGAUAAGCUUAGCCACUUCUUCAUCACUCCUCAAUCUAUUGUAUAGUAUACCGGCGUCUCUCAGUUCCUUAACAUCUUCGACUUCAUCGAUCAAUGAAUCAAGGACACCCAAAUAUGAAGUGACGGUGAAAUCGUUUUUGAAAUCCAGACACAUUUCGUAAGCUAUUAAGUUCAUGGUUGAAUCAUCGACGGUGAUCGGCGGAAACCAUAAUUUCCCGACAAAGAACACAUGGUUGAAAUUUAUGUCGGUUAAACAACUUGCUUCGCUUGCUUUUAACCAUAUCCCGGCCUUUUUAAGCUCUUUUACGUUACGAAAGGUGUGUGAAUGGUGCAGUUUUGUUCUUGUUUGGCUGCUGCGAUUUAACGUGCACAUGAAACGAGUGCAAAACCUAUAAUGCCGCCAUGGUUUUUCUUUUUUUCCUUUUUUGAAAAGAAGUCUUUCUCGUAGUAGAUUCAAUAGGUGAAUUCGCUGCAGCCUCCAUUCACUAGAGUAAAAACUGUGUUAGUCGGAAGCCAAGCUACAAUUUCUUUUCUUUAUUUUAUUUUAUUUGGAAUUGUAAAUUUUUAUCAAAACUAAAAUUAAGGUUUUUAAAAUGGAUAGUAAAACCAGUCAAAACAUCUAUUUAUAAGUUUAAUUUAUCCGAUCAAUUCAUCCAAUUUGAUUAAAUAAAUUAUUUCAAAUUUCAAUUCGAUUGUCCGGCUUAAUUAAUUUAUUUUCCCGAUUCAACCUGUUCAUAUAGGUUCCCAAAUCAAUUAGUCUAAUAACUUUCUUUGGACUGAUACCUCAAUUAAAUUCCAAUCCAAUCCGAUUCAAACAACUUUAGCUAAAAUACAAUUUUUAUUAUUGUAUUAAUGCAAAAAUUUUACCAUUUUUAAAGAUAUAAUUUUUCCUUUUUGAAAAGGUGGAUUUGAACUAAUAAUUUGUUGGCUUAAGCGUCUAAAAUCCCUCGUUUGAAAAAGCAAUUAAACCUUCUUCUUCUUUUUUCAUUCAUUUGGGUGCUUGAACUUUUAAAAUACAUCAAAAAGGUCCUUAAACCUUUUUUUAAAUAAAAAAAAGCAAUUAAGCCUCUACUUUUUUUUGCACACAAUUGGGUACUUUGACUUUCAAAAUGCAUCAAAAAGACCCUCAAAUUUUUUCAAAAAAAAAAAGUUAAGCCCCUGCUUUUUAUUAAAAAUUAGAAAAAAUUUAUAAAAAGUUAAAAUUAAUAAAAGCUAUAAAUCUUGUCGAAACCGAUUUUUUGAAAAAAACAAAAUUUUUAGGUUGUCGACUUAAAAAAAAGAAAAUUGGGAGUCGCCACCAAUCUUUUAUUGAGGUGUGAUUGGAUCACCUAAAACGACUUUGGUUUACGAAUUUUAGAAAAACGGGUUCGGAAGUCGGUUACGUAUGAGGAAGGAUUAGCACCCUCAUUACGCCCAAAAAUUGGUACCUCGUUAAUUAAUUAAUGUCUUAAGGUCAAAAAUUUUAAAAAUAUAAUCUUUAAAAACUUAAAACGUUGCAUAUUAAGACCCUUUUCAAUUCAGAGAAGCAAAAAUGCUACACCCAAUACGUUAGGGAACAACAUUCUAAUUUCCCCCAAAAUGAAUUAGGUCAGAAUAUUUAUACAAUAAAACUUUAAAAGAACAUCCACUCAUCCAAGAUUUAAGAAAUCACACCCAAUACGUUAGGGCACGAUUCCUUUAGAAUCCCAAACUCGGAAUAUUUCCUUUACUUUAAAAGAACAUCCACUUAUCCAAGAUUUAAGAAAUCACACCCAAUACGUUAGGGCACAAUUCCUUUAGAAUCUCAAACUCGGAAUAUUUCCUUCAUGAUUUUUUUUUAAAAAAAUCUUCAUUUCGAGAAAUCAAUGCGUCACAUCCAAUACGUUAGGACACAACGUGUUGAAUUCCCAAUAAUGAGUUUUUAUUUUUUUGAUUGAAGAGAAAUGCUCGAUUGUCGGAUUUAACAAAAAAAAUCAGAACCCAAUACGUUAGGGCUCAAUUCCCUUGAAAAUCCUAAAUACGAAUAUUAUCUCAAUUUAAAAAAAUUUCUAUCUUUAAAUUUGAGUAAAAAAAUGAUGUAACAUGAUUUUAUACAUACAAAUGCUAUAAUAAUAAUAACAAUAAUAAAUACAUCAUCGACAUAAAAAUAAUAUAAACAAAUGAAUAAACAAAAUAAUAAAAAAAGGUAAUCCAUGACAUGCAAAAUAUUAAAUGUAAACACAAUCAUACAAUGGAUGGGAUAGCAUUUACAAAUAUACAUAUAAUUUACAAAUAAAAUUUUGGGUUAUAGAAUUUAUAUAUAAAUACAAUACAUAAUAUACUUAUGCAAAUAAAGAAAAAAUAUAAUUAUACGUACAUAUAUAAAAUAAUAAAAAAUAGGUAUAUUUUAAAAAAAGAAAAAGUGAGUAUUUAAUCAUUAAAAAACGUAAAUAUAUACAUAUAAAUAUGAAAAUAUUCAUUAAAAAAUAUAGGAUAAUAUUCGUUUUAAAAAAUAUAUAUACAUGUACAUAUAAAAGGAAUAUACAUGGAUAAAAAAAUUAAAUAAUGAGUACAUUAUCAAAAUUAAUUUUUUUAAAAAAAUAAAUAUACAUAUAUAUACAUAUAUAAAUGUGAGAAAAAUAUAAGUUAAAAAUAUGUGCAUAAAAUAUACAUGUAUAGAUUUUUAAAAAAAUAAAAAUAAAAAAUGAUUAUGUUAUUAAUUAAUAAAAUAAAUGAAAAGAACAAAAAAGGAAAAGAAAAACUAAAUUGAAUUGCAAUAAAAAAAACUGGGGUAAAUCCGCAAAUAAAUAAAAGUAAAAGGAUUAAUUUGAACGCGUGAAUUACAUAGAGGGGCUAGAAGGGAAAUUUUCCCUUCUCCUCUAAAACGACGCCGUUCAACUUAGACCCAAUUGAAAUAAAAAUAAAUAAAAGGGUAAAUCAAGAAAAAUAAAAAAAACUUAAUUACAAAAACAUUAAAAGGCGGAAGGGCUAAAUAAAAUAAAUAAAAUUCGCAGUGGUAUCACCUUCUCCCUCUUUAAAUUCAUAAAUAAGUAAAAUAAUCGAAAAAAAAAUAUAGUAAGCCACCUUUAAAAAAUUGCCAAUCGUUCUCUUUUUUAUUCCUCUUCCUCCUUUUUUUACAUUACAUUCAGUGGCUUUAUAUAGCCAUUCUAAAAAAAUCAUAUAAAGAAGAAACAAAUCUCUUUUAUUUGAUUUGUGAAUCUUUGAUUUCAUUUCCUUUUUUGCUCUUGCUUGAUAUGCUUGAUUUGAUUUUGCAAUCCUUGAUUUUCUUUCCUUUCUUGUUUGUUUCCUUGUAGGUGAAGAUCGAUGACGCUCGUGACUGCGGCGCAAAGUCUUCUUAGAAACCCUAGGGUUUCUGCAAAUGAUUUGAGUCACUGAAUUUGGGCCAUUUUCGAAAUUGGGCCACCGUUUUAAAUUGGUUUUGGGCCUUAUGGCCUGUUUGUAAUUUUAGGCCUUUUACCCGGGCCAAAAUCGGGUAUUACAGCUGCCCCUCUUUGCUCGUUGUCGUGUAACAAGAACAGAGCAAAGACUCAACACAACCCAAGAAAUUAAGACCCAAUAGGUUGUAAAUGAAUGAUGAAAUCAAUAGUUUGAAAUGAUGUGUAUUUGUAGUUUUAAUUUCUAUAUUAAGAAUAUGCAUGUUAGACUUUUUUAUGAAAAAUGCAAUAGAAUUUAUAUUUAGGUAAAGAGUUACAAAGAAUUUGUUACUAAAGUAAAAAUUAGAACAGUUAGAGAUUAUCGAUUAGAUAGGGAAACAUAUGGAUUUGAUGAUUAUUUUAGUUUUUAUAUUUUCAAAUGAAUAAUUGGAUGUAUUAGUUGAGAUGUACUAAAUGAUUUAAAUACAAUUUAUAAAUUUUGCUAAAAAACUUUAUUUGAUCAUGUUUUUUUUUUCCUAUCAUGCAAAUGGUAUGAUGUCCAGAUUAUCUGGUCUUUGACUUCAUUUGUCAAUUAAUGAUUGUGGAUUGACAACAUUGACCAUUCUAUGCACGGGGACUACUCAUGAUCUACACAUUUUCUGCCAUUCUCACUACCCAUUGCCAUUCAUUCUCACUACCUAAAUACUCAACACAACCCAAGAAAUUAAGACCCUAUCAGAGGGAGAAUUUUAUAUCUACAACACUUCCUAAAUUUCAUUAAGUUAAUAAUAGCUAUUCAAUUUUUUUUUCAUUUUUUUUACUUAAAUUAUUUUUACUUACUUUAGCAUUUAAAUUAGAUAAAUUAUUCCAAAUAUUUAACAUUGUAACCAUGCUGCUGUACAUAUAGUAAUUGCAUUUGUAAUUCUACCUAACUCAUGAAAAAUCUCAAAUUCGCAACAUGUUAUUCACAUGCCAACCAAAUCUACAAUUUGCCUCCAAGUAAUUAACAAGCUGAUUUUGUAAACUGCUUUUGUCUGAUUUGAGUGAUGUUGGAAAAAAGGUCGCAAUCUUCUAUGAAAGCUUUAAACGCGUGGCAAUUUUCAUCUCUUAUUUUAUUUUGUGUGGUACUUGUAGAUCAGAGUGUUGAUUAUAUCACUGCCUGACACAACACGUACGUGGAGGACAACGAUUUGAGGGGAAAUAGAGAGAUUAUCUUACGAAUAGCAGAACCGGAUAUUGUCGUAUUUGAUUAUAAAAAGGUGUCGGGGCUUUUUUUAUAAAAUAACUUGAAAUUUUUAUUAAUUAUAAAAAUGAUAUUUUGUUUAUCAUGUACGUAAAUAAUAAAUAGUAAAAAUGAUUGGCGUGACCUUUUUAUCACGUUAGCUAAUCAUUAACUAUUAAAAUUAAAAAAUUACUUUUUUAAUGAACCUAUUUCGCGUCACAUGCGGUAGAAAAUCAUCUAAGAAAGGCAUGCACUAAUCAAUUGUUUUUAAGUACUAAUAUUUAGGGAUAAGGUAAUAUUUAAUUAUCUGAAUAUUUUAUAAUAGGGACGAAAUUAUAAAAAAGUUUAAAAGUUGAAGUUGAAUUAUGUAUUUUUAUAUAAGUUAAAAUACAAUUUAAUCAUAUUAGUUUGUAAUUUUACAUAUUUUAAAGAGAUUAGAUUAAAAUUUUAUCAUUUUGAAGGAUGAGAUGCAAUUUUAUUUUAUGUAUUAAGAUGUAGAAUUAUAAUCUUUAAAGGCACCCAAAACAUAAUUUUUUCCUAAAUCAAUUGAACAUAAAAAAUUACUCAAUAAUCUAUGGAAUUAAUUUUUUCUUGGCACUUAUAUGCAUAUGGUACAUGUAACAACAUUUCUAUUAAAGAAAAGCAACUUGAACCUGCACUAUAGGGAAGCAACAGAAAUUUAUUGUGACAAUCAAUUUGCUGUUACAAUCGCAUAGAAUCUAGUGUUCCAUGGGAGAACAAAACACUUCAAGAUUAAGUUCCAUUUUGUUAGGGAGAUGGAGCAAGCUCGAGAAGUAGAGCUGACUCAUUGCAAUUCUAAAGAACAAUUGGUAAACAUCUUGACAAAGCCCCUUAGUGUGUCAAAGUUCGAUAAAUUAAGGAAGCAAAUAGGAGUUUACAGCAUGGAAGACAAAGAGGAGUGUUGAAGUUGGCCUCCAAGCAGCUCAUGCAGCAAGGAGCAGCACAUCCAGUCUGAGCCAAGCUUGCAGCAGCUGAAGCACGAUGCUACUGUUAAGUUUCAUUUUCAUUUUGUUACUCUAAUGAUCAUUUUGUAAUCAAGUUAGAUUUGAACUUAGUAACUCCUUCUUAAUGUAAUUAGGUGUUGAUUGGCUGAAAAUUCAGCAAAGCAACAUGUACAAGUUAAUUUAGCAAGUUUCAAUGUAAUUUAGUGGUGUUAGGUAGUUGUUUAGGUGAAAUCUUGUUUGUAUUGACCAGUUUGUCUGGUAUAUGUAAUGGCUUAAUGCCUUUGUUCAUAGUAGUUAAUGAAAAUCAAUUAGUUUUCAUCCAUAUACUCUCCAUUUUUCUUUGCUUUCAAUUCGGUUAUGUUCUCAAGCAAAUUUCUGCUUUGUUUCUUCUCCAAGGCACGAGUCUUGCUGUUCAAGUCACAGCUGAACUAGCUUGCUUGUUGUUCAUAAAACCAAUAACCUGUUCUCGGCUGCGUUGAUAACAAUAUCAUCGAUGAACCUCCGGAUUGCAUUCAUGAACAUUGUGCCAUCACCCAAGCUUGUAAGCAAUUCAAGAACACGAAAAGGUAAUUGGUUUUCCAACAAGAGCAGAUACGAGUACAGAAAUGUCAGCAAAUCAUUUUUAGUUAACAAAUUACCAUCAUUAUCGUAACGCAUGUAAACUGCUUGUAAAAUUGCGCAACCGUCAACGAUGAACAUCCAAGCCAGUUCCUCGUUAUCGUCUCUAUACUUCUCUAAUUCCUGUGGAUCAUAGCAUUCCUUCAAGCCAUCCAUCUCUUUCUUAAUUUUGCUGUACAAGGAUUUCUUAUCGACGCCAAUUUUUUUGACGAAAUGUGCUGCUAAUUUGAGCUUGAGCCCCUUGGAUUCACGUAGGGUGAGAUCAUCGUGGUGGAGUGGGCCGAUUGAGAUCACUUUUGGCUUGAAAUACUUCUUGAAAUCUUCGUUACGGAGAAGGGUUGAUGGGACUUUUCGUAUUAAUGGUUUGUAUCUGAGGGUGGGUUGGCCGCCGCCGAAAGCUUUGUCUAAUGACUGGAGCUUCGCUACUUCGCCAUCGCUGAGAGGGACGUCCGUGAACCGCAUAUCAAUUCCCACGUAAUCGUUGUUGGUGUUGUUGUCGAUGAUUGUUUGAUCAGUGGAAACUGCUCCGGCGGCGCCGCCUCCUUCCUCACUGGACGACAUUUUCAGGCUGACCGGCUCGAAGUAAUUAACAAGGUGAUUUUGAAACCGGGUUUUGGCUGAUUGAGUGAUGUUGGAAAAAAGGUGGCAAAAUGGCUACGAUGAUGACAAAUGUUUCUAUAGCUUACAUAAAGAGGCGAAUAUAGGGGAAUGUAAAAUUGUUAUUUAGGCCCUUAACGUUUUUUUAAAAUUUCAAAUUAGUAAAGGUAAAAUUACAUUUUAGCCUCAUAAAAUUAUAAAAAUUUAAUUUAAUCUUUAAAAAUUAUAAAGAUAUAGACUACAAAAUAUUAAAAUUUCAUUCGAUCCACCCUAAAAAAAUAUUCUGGCUUCGCCCCUACUUACAUAAUAAACAUAUGGAAAAUACUAAUUCAAAUUUACCCCCUUAUAGUCAAUUUAAUUUUCAUUUUUUAAUUUAAUUUUUUAUGUUUUGGAAGAGUCGAAUUUAACGAUCAAUUUAAAUUAAUAUUUUUUAACGAAAAUAGUGACUAAAAUGUUAAAAUAUUAAACAUCACAACUCAUACGCAAUCCACAUCUAUAUUUUUUUAUUUAUUUCUUAUUUUUAAAUUAUUUAUUAACGUGACAUAUAAUAAAAGUCUUGUUAUAUUAGCAUGAAGUACAUAUGAAUUGCCACACGAGUUGUGACACCAAUAUUAUUAAAAAAUUAAUAUUUUAGUUAGCAUAUCUAUUAAAGAAAAGCAAAUUACCUCUUUUUUGAAAGGUUAAUAGCUAAAUUUAGCUCAAAUGAAAAAUAAAUAAAGGCCAAUUUGAUAAAAAAAGGUAUAUGUCAAGAGUUAAGUUUAUCAUUUAUACAAAUACAAAUAUAUGUCUGGAUUAAUCUAGAAAGAACAAGACAAACUCUACACGUGAUAUACAAAUGUGAUGAGAGUGAAACCUACACAUCACAAUUGAGAAUAAUAUUAUAGAACCUAAAUACUCAAAAACCUAAAACCUUCCCCUUAACCAAGAAGCUAAGACGCUAUGGAUAAUUUUAUAUCUACAACACUUAAUCAAUUUCAUAUGCAAAGAACACUUACUUUGGUUGAUGUAUGGUAUAAUAAGUCUGCAAAGCACUAAGAGUAAGUGCAGCAAUGGCACCCAAAAAUGCCAAAAACGUCCAAGGACUCCUAAAAUAAGUAUGAUAACCUUGAGCUGCAUGAUUAAUCCACAUAGUCUUACAAUGAUUAUGUAUUUUCUCUUUAACCCCACUGUAAAUUGUCGGACUAGGAACCAAAUCAGUGUUCAUCUUAUUGAAAAGCUUAGCCAUUUCUUCAUCACUGCCCAAUCCAUUGUAUAGUAUGCCGGAGUCUCUAAGGUCUUUGACAUCUUCAGCUUCAUCGAUCAAUAAAUCAAGGAAACACAUAUAUGAAGUGACGGUGAAAUCGUUGUCGAAAUCCGGACACAUUUCGUAAGCUAUUAAGUUCAUGGUUGAAUCAUCGACGGAGAUCGGCGGUAACCGUAAUUUUCCGAAGAAGAAGAUAUGGUUGAAACUGAUGUCGGUUAAAUUACUUGUGUCGCUGGCUUCAAACCAUAUCCCGGCCUUUUUAAGCUCUUUUACGUUACCAAUGGUGCGUGAAUGGUACCGUUUUGUUGUUUUUGUUCUUGCUGCUGAUUUGCCAAAUCCGUGUCGAUUGAAUUCCCAAAGAAAACACCAGCACCGUAUUCGUACUUUUCUGAGAAGGAGUCUUUCUCGUAGUAGAUGUAAUAAGUGAAUUCGCUCUCCUUCUUUUUGCUGCUUCCACCACCAUUCCCUACACCAAAAUCUGUGUUAGUCGGAAGCCAAGCUACAAUUUCUCUUUUCUCUUUUCUUUUUUUCUUUUUUGUUGUUGGAUUUGGAAUUGUUAAUUUAUAUGAAGCUAAAAUUAAGAUUUUCAAAAUAAAUAAUCCAACGAUUAAGUUAUUCAAUUUACUUAAUUUAAUUGAAUAAAUUAUUAAAAACUUCGAUUCGAUAAUACGGUUUAAUUAAAUUUUUUUACCCUGUUUAUAUAAAGUUUUAAAUCGGUUAAUCUACUCCGAAUUGAUAAUUCAAUUAAUUUUCAAUCCAAACCAAUUCAAACAAUAUUAACUAAAAUACAAUUUUUAUUGUUGUAUUAAUGCAAAAAUCUUACCAGUUUUAAAACAUUAAACUUUUCCAUUCUGAAAAGUUGGAUUUGAAAUCAUAAUUUUUAAUUUCUAAAAAUGAACACUCAAGGAUAAAUGUAAAACGACAGGCAGGGGUCGUUCCCAAGAAAUGAAAAUUUACACUUUAAUCUCUUUUAAAUUUAUUAAAUUAUAAUAAGUCCUCAAAUUAAAAAAUAAUAAUUGUUCAAUUUUUUUAAAAAAAUAAAAUCAUAAAUUAAUACAAAAAAAUUAAAAAUCAAUCAGGUUGAAUAAAAAAUUAAAUAAAAUUGAAGUUACACCAAUUGAAUUAAAGAAUCAAAUAAAUUUCUUUUUAUAUUUUUAAUAUUUUUAAAAAAUUAUAUAAUUAAAUUGAAUAAACUAAUCAACCAGAAAUGAGAGUUUAAUAGAUUCCAUCACUCAUCUAGUUAUAAAAACCUUUUAACAUUUAUUUAAUUCCCUAAAUUACCUGUCCUCGCCUGGGAUGAUAACAGUUUCGUCGAUGAACCUUUGGAUUGCAUUCAUGAACUUUUCGCCAUUUUUUCUCGGCCUUGUAAGCAAUUCAAGAACACGAAAAGGUAAUUGGUUUUCCAACAAGAACAGAUCCGAGUACACAAAUGUCAGCAAAUCGUCUUUAAUAAACAAUUUACCAUCAUUAUCAUCACCAUUAUCAUCAUCACCGUAACGCCUGUAAACUGCUUGUAAAAUUGCGCAGCCGUCAACGAAGAACAUCCAAGCCAGUUUCUCGUUAUCGUUGCUAUACUUCUCUAAUCCCUUUGGAUCAUAGCAUUUCUUUAAGUCAUCAAUCUCUUUCUUCAUGUUGUUGUACAACGUAUCCUUAUCGACGCCAAUUUUUUUGACGAAAAGUGCUGCUAAUUUGAGCUUGAGCUUCUCGGAUUUCCGGAGGGUGGGAUCAUCGUGGUGGAGUGGGCCGAUUGAGAUCACUUUCGGCUUGAAAUACUUCCUGAAAUCUUGGUGACGACCAAGGGUUGAUGGGACUCUUUGUAUCAAUGGUUUGGCACCGAGGUUGAUUUCGUCGCCGUCGAAAGCUUCGUCUAAUAACCGGAGAUUCGCUACUUCUCCAUCUCUAAGAGGGACGUCCAUAUCAAUGCUCACGGAAUCGUUGUUGUCGGUGAUUGCUUGAUCAGUGGAAACUGCUCCGACGGCGCCGCCUCCUUCCUCCGUGGAGAACAUUUUCAGGCUGAGUGGUUGGUAGUAAUAAACAAGGUGAUUUUGUAAACUGCUUUUGGCUGAGUGAGUGAUGUUGGAGAAAAGGUGGCAAAGUGGAUACGAUGAUGGGAAAUAUUUUAUAGCUUACACGAUACACAUAUAUAUAUGGGAAAUACUUAAGGUGUAAUUCAAAUUUACCCUGUUUAUAUUUUUACUAAUAUAAUUUUAAUUUUUUAAUUAAAUUUAAUUCUCUUUUGAAAGAGUCAAUGAUAAAAAAGAAAUUAGGAAAUUAGGAAAAUGUGUAUAUAGAUGUACAUAUAUAAAAAAAUUGCAAAAAUAUAUUUACAAUAAUUUUGAAGGGCGUACGUGUAUAUCAAUAUCUAUUUAUGUAUAUAUAUAUAUAUAUUAUAAAAUAUAAAAAAUAUAUAAAUAUAAUAGAAAUAUAAAUGUAUAUACGUAUAUAUGUAUAUAAAAGCUAAAAAAUAAAUAAUAACAAUAUAUAUAAAAAUAUGUAUAUGUAUUAGAGAAAUAUUUAAUAUAUAUAUAUCUAUUAGCAUACAUAUGCUUAUAUAUGUAAGUAUAAUUAUAAUACUAUAUAAUAUAAUAAUAAUAAUAAUAAUAAUAACAAAAACUAAAAAAUAAACUACAACAAAAAAACCUUAAAAAGGACCAUUAAGGAUUAAACUGAGAGCUAAACGAAGUUAAAAGGCCAAAUUUAAAAAUAGAAAACACCAGGAAGGACCAAAUUGAUACGCGCGCCAUGAGAGGAGGACUUAAAAAGUAAUUUUCCCAAGUCACUCAAGCACUGCGCAGUGAUAUGGAUUAAAUCGUCACGCAAGCGAAAUAUUUGGGCUGAACUUAAAAGAAAAAAACUUGAUUAAACACAUCGCAAAAUGGGGAGGGCUAGAUGCGCAAUUUCCCCACUCAGGGCCAGAACGCGCGGAUCCCCCCUCCGAGUCGGGUCGACACGCUGGUCAUGGCACCCUAAACGGCGCCGUUUCGUCUUGUUUUAAAAACUCCUAAAUCUGACUUUCUUUGAUUUGAAACUGGAAAGAAAAAAAAAACCCUAGGGGUUUUGUUUUCUCCCCCGCGCCGCUUCCAAUCGAUCCGGCCGAUUCGAAUCUCGGCCCCAAAUCUGGCUCCGAUUAAGACGAAGCAGACAUGGUUUUCAAUGGCACAACCACGUAGGUAAUAUUCCUUUUUUUAUUUUUUUUGUUUAACACACAAAAAUCGGUAAAUAAAUUAAGCAAACAAAGAAGAGAAAACAAAACUAAGAAGAACGUCACCUCUUUUAUUUCACUCUUUUUUCGAUUUUCAGUAUUCCCCCCCCCCCCACUAUUUACAUAUUGAAGUUGGCCUUUUAUAGCCGAAAUGGAAAUGAAAACAUGAACAAAAUCAAAAAGAAAAAUUGUUGCCCGAUUUUUGCUAUUUUGUUUUGUUCUCUUUGUUGUGUUUUUGUUGCUGUAGGUAAUGCGUGCGGGGAAGGCGCGAGAUUCGCGGCGACGAGGAGCGCGAUGUGUGGGCGCGACGCACGGGAGUAGUUGCAGCACCAGUUACUGCGGCGCUGAAGCAGAAGCUUAUUUAAGGUUUGUGCAAUUUUGAUGUUUUUUGGGCUAGGGUCUGAAAAUUAGUUGUUGGGCGGCCUGUUAAUGGUUUGGGCCCGGGCAUUAUUGGGUUUUUAUAGCUGCCCCUCUUUGCUCAUUGUCGUGUAACGGAAAUAGAGCAAAGACUAAAAGCCCAAUUGUGCUCGGUCUUACUGAGCCUCGACUUCUUCAAUACUUUUCCUUCAAGUAGCCUCAUUCCCUCCUACUGCAUCUUCAGAGGUAUAGGAACUAGUGCUUCAAUCUACUCCGCUACAAUGUCAGAGAGAUAGAAUUCAUACUUUGUAGCUUCUCAAAAGAACAAAAGUUGUCAUCUUUUAUCUGUUUCACUGCAACUUCAGGGAGAUAAGACUUAUAGCUUCACCUUGUUCUGCUACUCCAUUGCAACUUCAAGGAGAUAGGAUUGGUUUUUUUUUCUGUCUGCUCCACUGCAACUUUAGGGAGAUAAGACUGAAUAUGAUCUACUCUCUGCAACUUCAGAGAGAUAAGAUCUGCUGUAUUUGAUCUACUUCACGCCAAUACAUGAAGACAAAAUCUAUUUUUUUUGACCUACUUCGCCACCUGUAUGGGAAGACAAGAUCUACCAUCUUUGACCUGCUUCACGCCAAUACAUGAAGACAAUAUCUGCUUUCUUCGGUCUACUUCGCCACCUGUAUGGGAAGACAAGAUCUGUUUUCCUCAAUCUACUUCAUGCCAAUACAUGAAGAUAAGAUCUGUUUUCUUUGACCUACUUCGCCACCUGUAUGGGAAGACAAGAUCUACCAUCUUUGACCUACUUCACGCCAAUACAUGAAGACAAGAUUUGCUUUCUUCCAACCUGCUCCACUAUUGUUCAGGGAGAUAAGGCCUUAUGAUUUCAUUGAUCUGCUCUCUGUGGAACAUGACCUGUAUGAUUCAUUUUAUGAGCCUAAUUAUGCCUAAUGAUUAGGAUGUCAUGAUCAGAAUGAAUCAAAUGCUCCUAACUAGACAUGUAUGAAUGACAUUUGAAUGAGUGCAGAAUGUCAUGAGAAUGAUAUUUUAACGCUUGAGUUAUUAUUACUCCAAGUUUAUUAACGUUAUCGCCAAUAUGCUCUAGCGCCUUAUUGCUCGGCUGGCGUCUCUAAAAAAAACUUGACCAGAUUGCCCCCACUAUAAACCUUCAAGUUUGAUCAACUGGGAUGCAAAAUUUGUACCAUUUUUCUCCUGUUGUAACCUAAGAGUAAAAGAUUUGACUUUUUCUCGAUCCUCUGUUAUCACAAUUCAAAGAUACAUGAUGUGAAACUUUUUGGUCUAUUACAUCAUUCUGAGGGUGUUGUACCAAAUGCUCAUGCACAAAUGAAGAAAUUUCUUCUCUAAGAAUAACUUCUUCUUAUUAUUCGGUGAUUACUUGAGUGACCUCAUUGAAGCUUUGUCACCAACACGACAUCUUCCCAUUUUGUUCAAUCAAUACUUCAGACAAGAAAAUUCAAAGGGAUAAUAUUAAUUUAGACUCUUCUUUAUCAAGUUUCCAACCUUUGAACCUGGUGCCUUCUAAAUAAUAGUCAUGUUUGAGGUUCCUAUAUUAUUUAAAAGCUUCUAGAGUAAUAAGCAAAACUUCCUUUGUGAAAUUUUUACUAGUCCAUUCAUCAUUAUUCUAAUGCAACAUGAUUGCAAAAGGAUCAUAAUAAUGGAUAAGAAUAGAGUUGGUCCUGAGCAUAGCUCGAAAUGAAUAAAUUAUCAAAAAUAAAGAUGGAUAGCAAAGAAAUUGAUUUAGGAAUGCGUAUCUUGGAAAUGAAGGAAGUGUUCCAAGAAUAACAAAAAUAGUAUAAGGAUGAGGUGCCCCAGAUAUCGCAGCUUGAACUUCUCUGUACAAACUUUUUGAAGACCAUUCUGAGUUUAACAUGUGUUUAGGAAAUCUAUAGUACUUUGUCGAUGCCCCCAAGAUGUCGCCUACCCCUUCCUGUUGAUUCAGGUAUAGCAAGACCACUGCAUGCCCCACUCUAAUCAGUAUUUGAGCUACUCUGAUAGCUUCUAGUGUCAUUUUGAUCAAUAUUCGAGCUACCCUUUUCGGGUUUUUAACUCAAAUCCCCUUUAGUUUAAGGUGCCCUUUGCGGGUUUUCACCUUAGCCUCUCCAUUUUAUUUUUUUCAUUCUUCAUUUUAUCAUUUUUUUUACGACUCAAAGUGCCCUUUGCGGGUUUUUACAUUGGUCAUCUCCUUCUUUAAGUAGAUUAUUUCCUGACUGAACUUGAGUUUACAGGACUUUGGAGGUUUAUCAUUUCACUCAAAAUCAAAACUCCUUUGGAAAAGACCUUCUUUAUAACAUAAGGUUCUUACCAAUUUGGCAUCCGUUAUUUUUUUUGUAGGGUGAGGAUCUUCUUCAGCAUUAGGCCACCAUCGUGGAAUUCUCUGGGACAAACCUUUUGCUAUUGGCUCGCAUCGUUCAUUUCUUGGUACAUCUGACCAUGAUGAAUAGUUUCUAGCCUUUUUCUUCAAUUAGGUUCGACCAAACGUAUCGGGAUUGGAUCUUCAUCCUACUUCAGCUCAGUCAAAAUCCAAAGAGAAAGAAUUUCAACUUCAAUGAAAAAAAUCGUGAAAAACUGAAAAGAGUGGCAUUGCCCCGAUUGAGUUUUCUCUGCACCAUUCAUGAUAUUCACCUUGAACAUACCGCAAAUUUAUGAUAUUGUGCUAUUGUUCAGAUUACAAUGACAGUGCUUAAAUUGGGCACAUCCUCGUAUGACCAUGCGAAGACAUCUUUGAACUCUUGAAGUAACUCAAUAACAUCUUGCUUUGUUUCUUCGGUCAUGCAUGUUCCCUCAAGGUCACAUUCUCCAUUGUCCCCUUAUGAGGUAAAUUUGUUUCUCUUAUUACUUUACCACCCUCAACAAGUCAGGAGAUAUGCUACAAUCUAUGACAUCUUCAAAGUCAUGAGAUCCCUCUAAACACAUGUCUCCCUUAACAAGAGAUUCAGAGUCCGUAGCAGUGCCAAUCAUGUCAUUGAUAUCCAGAGACCUAUUAUAAGUGCCAAAGAAUGUACAUAAUAUGAAUGAAUAAAAGAAUGGUUUGGCAGAAAAAUCUAAAAGAAUGAACGAAUCGUAAAGAAUGAAAGAACAUUUGCUCAAAAAUGAUUGCAAUAAUGUAUUUCAUUAAAAUAAUCAUGUUCGGACAUGAGCCAAUUUCACAAAGACGUUCUUAUUUCUUUUAGGCUAAAAGCAACAAGGGUGUUCUGAAUAUUACUCUAAUAGACCCUAAAUACUGUAGGGGUUUCCUCUGCAGUCCCAUUAUUUAUAACACCUCUCAGGCGAAUAUCUAACCAGAACCCUUUUAAUUGCGUCUGCACACAUGGCAUCGAUGUGCAAAUUUCUUACCACUUCUCUAUGCAUUGCAUUCCCUCCAUUAUCAAUCAUGAUUGGGUAAUGGAUUUUCUGCACUUGAUGAGUCACCAAACUUGACAACACCCAUGUCGAUGAGUCUUGCAACUUGCUUCUUGAAGGAAGUGCAAUUCUCAAUCGAGUGUCCCGUAAUUCCCGCAUGGUAUUCACAUUGUGUGUUCGCAUCAUACCAUUUGGGAUACAGAGGUUGUAGAGGCUUCACAGGAAAAGGAGAAACAACACGGGCAUCAAACAAAUUUUGAUACAGUUCCCUAUACGGUAUUGGGAUUGGUGUAAACUGGAACUUCUUAGUCUUUAUACCAGAAUCCUGCCUUGAUGAAUUUUUUUGAUUAGUAACCACCUUUCUUGGCUGACUCAUAGUAACUGAUUUAAAGUAACCCGUGUUGUUCACCUCAUUUUCUCUUCUCCUUGAGGCUGACCUCCUGUUACUCUCCUCUGCAUCGAUUUUUUCGCUCCUUAUAGCAUUUUUUAUCAUUUCACCGUUCAUAACUAUGUCAGAAAAGCUUUUUGUAGCACUUCCUAACAUAUGUGUGAUGAAUGGAACUUUUAAUGUAUUUAUAAAGAGCAUUGUCACUUCUCUUUCCAAGAGCAGUGGCUGAACUUGGACGGCAACUUUCCUCCAUCUCUGUGUGUACUGCCUAAAGCUUUCACUCAGCUUCUUCUCCAUGUUUUGAAGGGUGAUUCUAUUAAGAGUCAUGUUUUUCACAUGACUAUAUUGUUUCAUGAACGACUGUGCCAAAUCCCUCCAUGAACCAAUCGUGGUACAACUCAGUUGAUUGUACCACUUGGAUGCUGCCCCUACUAGGCUAUCCUGGAAACAGUGUACCAAAAGCUGGUCAUUGCUAACAUAUCCGACCAUGCGCCUGCAGAACAUGGUGAUAUGAGCUUCUAGGCAACUUGUCCCAUUGUACUUCUCAAAUUCUGGCAUCUUAAACUUGUGAGGAAAUACUAAAUCUGGGACCAAACUCAACUCUUUGGCGUCGAUUCCCCGAUAAUUUUCAGUGACCUCCAUCGCCUUGAACUUCUCCUCAAGCCAUUUGCACCUUUCUUCUAACUGUUUUGGUAACUCCUCCUUUAUUCUUUCCCUCUCGGCACUUCAUCAAAGUCAGAAUGACAGAGUUAAUAGGGUUGUUGCCGAGGUUAAAGCCCGAUCCGACUUGAAAGUUUGAAGCACUGGCUUGGAAUUGCUGAGGCCUGAUUGUAACAGUAGGUUUGUGCGAAUAUUCAGCUUGAGUUCGGGAAUAUAGUGGAGUAAAGCCUGGAGGAUGGAUAGUUUCAUCCUCAUUACCCUCUUCGAUAUCGGUCAUGGGACCCUUUCCCUUAUCACCUCCUUCAGUCAACAGUUGGGUUAGUUUUGCCAUCAUACUGUCCUGGGAUUUUUGUAUCUUUUCUGACAUAUCCUAUUGCAUCUUGUCCAACCGCUCUUGAAUUUUUAGCUGAAGUCUGUCUUCCAUCUCCUUCUGGUACUGUUCGAGCUUUUCCAAUCUCUGUCCAUAUCUUUAACGUUUGCUCGAGUGUCGUAACGGUGUUUGGUUGGUUGGUUGGUUUCCAGGUUAACUGAGCAAUGAUUUUAUCAAUUAGGCUGUUUUAGUGGAUUUUAAUGCAUACGAUGUCAUGUAAUGCAAAUGCAUGAAAUGAAGGCCUAAAGAGAUGUUAACUUUGAUUCUAUUACAUUUAAAAAACUUUACUAGAAGACAAAUUUCUUUACAUAAAACAGAUAUAUAUAUAUAUACGGCUUUGCCCUCAUAUUCCAGUCGAAGACAUCUUCUCCUUCAUCUGGAUGCUAGGAUAAACCUUGCGAAUUCUUCAAAAUGGACGUCUCUUCUAUCUCUUUUUGCUUGAUCCUGGUUGAUAUCCAUCAUCUACCCAUCUUUGUAAUGCUCCUCGGCUUCUUUUAGAUUGUCGAAAACUCUUGAAUAAUCAGCUUGAAUCCUCAGGCCAUAGAGUAAAGUCACGAACUCUUCUGUCGCUCUUCUUGUGUUUCUCAGAAUAUAUUCAGGCAACCGUAUUAUUUUCCAUUUUAUUAAGAAAUCCGUAUUCCAUUACAAGCUUUCUAAGUUAGUAAUCGAAUGUGAGUCAACACCUCUUUUCUAUAAUGAAAUGCUAUGAAGUCAAAAAAUGUCAUGCAGUCAAAACAAAACACAACAAGUUAGCAUCAGGUAUAAACAUUAAAUCCAAUACAAUCAAGAAAUAACAAAAACUCCUAGUCAGGUAUCUACUAAGGUUUAGAGUACUUCUACGUAGGGUAAGUUCCUAAAGCUCACUAUAUAAGGUUUAGUUUCUAGAGUAAGGGUACCCGAACCAGCAGAUUCCUCGAUCCUCAACCAUUAUAGGCUCAUGUGGAUCGAGUCCAGUUCAGGGGGAUACAUUUCCCUAUGGCUGCACGGAGAUGAAAUCUCACGAAGACAUAGGUACGGAUGUAUCCCGGAAGCGGUCCAUUACCCUGCACGGAGGUGAAAACCUCACAAAUGACUAGUUUCUCGCUCAAACUUAAGGGGUAAAAUGCAAAAUGCAAAUGCAAUGUUGCCAACAUACCAUGAUGAAAAAAAUCAAUAAGUACGAAGGGAACUCAUGAAUUUUAAAAACUUUUGAUUUUUGACACAAAGACAAAUAUAAUCAGUUUAUGGCUAGACUCUCUAACGUCCCCAGUGGAGUCGUCAAGCUGUCGAAACCGUCUUCUUGAAAACAAAAAUUUAGUUGUCGACUUUAAAAAGAAAACUGGAGUCGCCACCGAUCCUUUAUUAAGGUGUGAGCGGCCCACCUUAAAAAUUAUUUUGGUCUACAAGCUUUAAGAAAACAAGUUCGGGAGUCAGUUAUGCACGAGGAAGGGUUAGCACCCUCGUAACGCCCAAAAUCGGUACCAAAUCGAUUAUUUAAUGUCUUAGUGUCGUGGACUAGAAAGAAGUUAAAAAAAAACCAAAUGAUGAAAUCAGAAAAGGAUAAUCAAUUGUUCAAGACAUGUAAAGAAAUCGAUUCCCAAUACGUUAGGGUACAAUUUCUCAAAAUUCCCGAACUUUGAAUAUCACUUUUAUUUUAUGCGAAAAUAUUCAUUUUGAGAAAGUAACAUGCCACACCCAAUACGUUAGGACACGACAAGUUAAGUUCCAAAAAAUUAUUUUUAUACUCAUGCAUUUUGAAUAAAAAAUAUUCUCGAUUAUUUAAAAUUAACAAAGAAAAUCGGAACCCAAUACGUUAGGGCUCAAUUUUCUCAGAAUUCCAAAUACCGAAUUGUGCCUUUUAUUCGAAAAUUCUUACGAGAAGUCAAAAUAUCAUGACCAGUAAGUUAGGACCUGACAUUUUUGGAUUCCCGAGAACAAGCUUUUAUUUGAAAUUUGCAUGAAUUUAUUUCAAAAUGAAUACCUGGUUUUCUAAAUUCACCAAGAAAUAAUCGCAAUCCAGUAAGUUAGGAUACGGUUUUUCUCGAGAAUCAUGAAUGCCAGAUAUUUUGGAAUUUUAUAAAAUAUGAUGAUUUUAAUGCUUUGACAGAACCAAAAUAUAUUUUCUUUAAAAAGUGUAGAAAAAUGCUAAUGUAUCACAUAAAAUCAAUAUUUUAAUUUUAAAUUAUAUGCAAAUAUGUAUUUUCAAAAUAUAAGUAUGAUACAUAAAUAAAUUUUGAAAACAUGUAUAUACACAUAUUAAAACAAGUAUAUAUAAGUAUACAUAUAUAAAAUAAAAUAAUGAAUGAUAUAUGUAUAUCAAAAUAAAAAUUAUUAAAAUUUCUAAAAAAAAAUCAUGUAUGUAUAUACGUAAUGAAAAUUGUAAAAAUAAAAAUAAAAAAUAUGCAAAUGCGUAUAUAUUUACAAAAAAAAAAAUAUAAGUAUACAUGCUUUAGUAAAACAGAAAUAAUAAUAGUAUAUGAAGAAAUUAGGAAAAUGUGUAUAUAGAUGUAUAUAUAUAUAAAAAAAUUGUAAAAGUAUAUUUACAAUAAUUUUGAAGGGCGUACGUGUAUGUCAAUAUCUAUUUAUGCAUAUAUAUAUAUAUAUAUAUUAUAAAAAAUGAAAAAAUAUAUAAAUAUAAUAGAAAUAUAAAUGUAUAUACGUAUAUAUGUACAUAAAAGCUAAAAAAGAAAUAAUAACAAUAUAUAUAUAUAAAUAUGUAUAUGUAUUAGAGAAAUAUUUAAUAUAUAUAUAUCUAUUAGCAUACAUAUGCGUAUAUAUGUAAGUAUAAUUAUAAUACUAUAUAAUAUAAUAAUAAUAAUAGAAAUAAUAAUAAUAAUAACAAAAACUAAAAAAUAAACUACAAUAAGAACCUUAAAAAGGACCAUUAAGGAUUAAACUGAGAGCUAAACGAAGUUAAAAGGCCAAAUUUAAAAAUAGAAAACACCAGGAAGGACCAAAUUAAUACGCACGCCAUGAGAGGAGGACUUAAAAAGAAAUUUUCCCAAGUCACUCAAGCACUGCGCAGUGAUAUGGAUUAAAUCAUCAUGCGAGCGAAAUAUUUGGGCCGAAUUUAAAAGAAAAAAACUUGAUUAAACACAUCGCAAAAUGGGGAGGGCUAGAUGCGAAAUUUCCCCACUCAGGGCCAGAACGCGCGGAUCCCCCCUCCGGGUCGGGUCGACGCGCGGGUCAUGGCACCCUAAACGGCGCCGUUUCGUCUUGUUUUAAAAACUCCUAAAUCUGACUUUCUUUGAUUUGAAACUGGAAAGAAAAAAAAAACCCUAGGGGUUUUGUUUUCUCCCCCGAGCCGCUUCCAGUCGAUCCGGCCGAUCCGAAUCUCGGCCCCAAAUCCGGCUCCGAUUAAGACGAAGCAGACAUGGUUUUCAAUGGCGCAACCACGUAGGUAAUAUUCCUUUUUUUUAUUUUUUUUUGUUUAACACACAAAAAUCGGUAAAUAAAUUAAGCAAACAAAGAAGAGAAAACAAAACUAAGAAGAACGUUACCUCUUUUAUUUCACUCUUUUUUCGAUUUUCAGUAUUCCCCCCCCCCCCUAUUUACAUAUUGAAGUUGGCCUUUUAUAGCCAAAAUGGAAAUGAAAAGUUCUCUUUGUUGUGUUUUUGUUGCUGCAGGUAAUGCGUGCGGGGAAGGCGCGAGAUUCGUGGCGACGAGGAGCGCGAUGUGCGGGCGCGACGCGCGGGAGUAGUUGCAGCACCAGUUACUGCGGCGCUGAAGCAGAAGCUUGUUUAGGGUUUCUGCAAUUUUGAUGUUUUUUGGGCUAGGGUCUGAAAAUUAGUUGUUGAGCCUGUUAAUGGUUUGGGCCCGGGCAUUAUUGGGUUUUUACAAUUCCUCAAUUAUUUGGAUUAGAUUUAGAUUGAAAAACAAUCGACACUUGAUUUGAUUGUUUAAAUUUAUAAUAUUUAACUUGAGUGUGAAUGAAUUUUUUACUUAAUUAAAAUUUUAAAAUAGUAAGCUCGAGUCUUUUUUUUAAUUAUGUUUAUAUCAUGUAUAAAUUUUGUUCAAAUUUAUUUUGAUUUAAUUCUCAUACUAUAUAUUCUUAAUUAAAUUCGGAAUAUAUUCUGUUUAUCAAUUUAAUUAUACAUCGUAACAAUGGAUUUGGAUUAUAGUUAAUUAUAUAUUGAAACUAAAUAAUUAGUUUAAGGAAUUAAAAGAGAGAUUAUUAUAUUUUAUAAAAUUUGAAUAGAUUAAUAAUUAAUUCGAGAUUAAAAAAUUGUCUAUCUUUAUUUCCCCCGAGUUUAAUUUAUUAUUUUCCCUAAUUUUAAAUCCAAAUAAUUAGGAGAAGAAAAAGCUAAAACCAAACCUUUUUUACGGUUUGAACUAAACCCCAUGCGGUCUGGAAAAUUGCAAGUUUCCAGAAUACCUACUCUUACUAAUUAUAAGAAAAUUUAUAAACUGCUUUCCAUUUUAGAGGACGAAGGCCUUGCCUACCCCUCCUUCGUAAUUUUUUCUUUUGUCUAAAUUAAUCUUGAAAUUUGAUAGGUUUUUUUUGUUCUUUUAGUCAUUUAACAUUGGUUAAUGGUACAUCAUUACUUGGAUUUGUUUUAAAUAAAUUCUUUCUAUCCUUUUUAGAUUUUAUGUAAGUUGUUUGAAAUUUCCAAAUAAUGACAUGAUUGUUUAAUAUAAUUCAAGUUCAAGAACUAGAUUAAAAAAACUGUUAAGUUCAAUUCAAAGACUAAAAUAUUAAUUUAUCCCUAAUAUUCGUUACCCUGUUUUAAAAUUUCAUUGAAUUUCUUGCCCGCCUACUUUUGUUAUUGACCGUUGCUUUGUUCUUCGUUUUUUAAUUUGAAGUCCCAUAAUUGAAAAAAAAAAUUGGAUGAGAAAUAUCUAAAAUCAUUAGAAUCAUGAAAAAUAUAAUCUCAAAUCCAACGAAUUACCCAUAUCAAGUUACAGAGACUUAGGCCUGGCUAUGGUGAAUUCAUCCCCUACAUUUUAGCAGUCCCAGGUAAACAACACUUACUUUGGUUGGUGUAUGGUAUAAUGAGUCUGCAAAGAAGACACAAAAAAUGCAGCAAUGGCACCCACAAGUGCGAAAAACGUCCAACGAGUCCUAAAACAAGUAUGAUAAGCUUGAGCUGGAUAUUGAAUCCACAUAUUCUUACAAUGAUUAACCUCACUGUAAGUCGUCUGACUACGAACCACAUCAGUGUUCAUCUUCUUGAUAAGCUUAGCCACUUCUUCAUCACUCCCCAAUCUAUUGUAUAGUAUGCCAGCGCCUCUCAGUUCCUUAACAUCUUCGGCUUCAUGGAUCAAUGAAUCAAGGAAAUCCAUAUAUGAAGUCACGGUGAAAUCGUUUUUGAAAUCCGCACAUUUCGUAAGCUAUUAAGUUCAUGGUUGAAUCAUCGAAGGUGAUCGGCGGUAACCGUAAUUUGCCGACGAAGAAGAUAUGGUUGAAACUGAUGUCGGAUAAACAACUUGUUUUGCUUGCUUUGAAACAUAUACCGGCCUUUUUAAGCUCUUUUACAUUACGAAAGGUGUGUGAAUGGUGCGGUUUUGUUCUUGUUUGGCUGCUGCGAUUUAACGUGCACAUGAAAAAUCGAGUGCAAAACCUAAAAUACCGCCAUGGUUUUUCCUUUUUUCUUUUUCGAAAAGGAGUCUUACUCGUAGUAGAUUCAAUAGGUGAAUUCGCUCUCCUUUUUGCUGCUGCCACCAUUCACUAGAGCAAAAUCUGUGUUAGUCGGGAGCCAAGCUAUAUAUAUAUAGGAUUUGGAAUUGUAAAUUUUUAUCAUAACUAAAGUUAAAAGAUUUCAAAAUCGAUAGUCCAACCGGAUAAGUUUAAUUGGUACAAUCAAUUCAUCUAAUUUGAUUAAAUAAAUCAUUAAAAAUAUUAGUUCAAUUACUUGAUUUAAUUAAUUCUUUUUCCAGGUUCGACAUGUUUAUAUAGGUUCUCAAAUCAAAUAGUCUAAUGAUUUUAUUCAAAUUGAUACUUCAAUUUAUUUCCAAUCUAAUCCUAUUUAAACAACAUCAACUAAAAUAUAAUUUGUAUUAUUGUAUUAAUGCAAAAAUUUUACCAUUUUUAAAGAUGUUAAACUAUCAAUUUUCCAUUUUAAAAAGUUGGAUCGGAAACAUAAUUAUUUUCUAAAAAAAAAUGUACACUCAACAGCAACAAUACAAAAGGGACGAGUGGAUUUGAAAAAUGAAAUAUUACAUUUUAUUCGCUUUAAAAAUUAUAAAUUAUAAAAUUAUAUAAUAAUAAAGUUACGCUUUUUAACUCUUCAAAAUUAAAAAUAUUUAAUCCUUUUAGAAAAUGAUGAAAUCACACAUGAAAAAUUUAAGAAUUAAACCAUACUUGUCGGUCGAGUUGGUUGAAUAGAAAAUUGAGUAAGAUAUUGGUCUAGAAUAAGAGAUUAGACCAAUUGAAUCGAGUGAUAAAUUGAUUUUUUUAUAUUUUUAAUAUUUUCAAAAUUUUAUAUAAUUCAACUGGAAUGAACUAAUAAACCAGAAAUGAGAGUCUAAUCGAUUCAAUGACCCAUUUAAUAACAUUUAUAAACUCCACAAAAUGAUUCUGUUCUAAAUUCCUUGAAUUACCUGUCCUGCUGAUGUGAUUGUGGCUCUUUCAUGUAAGCUGGGGUGAUAACAGUGUCGUCGAUGUAUCUUUUGAUCGCCAUCAUGAACUUUUCGCCAUUUUUGCUCGAGCUUGUAAGCAAGAAGACGAAAAGGCAAUUAAUACACAAAAAAAAAAGAAAAAAGAAUCAAACCAGAAUUGUAGGCUAGGAAGCACAGACACGGCUCAUCUCUCCCCGUAUCGGUGUCGUACGUGUGUCCGAUACAGACACUCGACAGACAUACCCAAAUACGUACGGGACAAGCUGGAAUAUAUCAAAAAAAAAUUAUUGGCAUAUCUUACUAUAUCCGUGUCCUAUUUUUUAAAAAUUAUCAUGUUACCGUGUCUGUAUCAUAUCGUACCCGUAUUGCGUGUCUAUAUUCAUAUUCCAUAGCUUGUAGGUAAGGGCUGAACAAAGAAUUGAGUAAGGCACUAGGUCUAGAAUAAAGAAUUAGACCAAUUGAAUCGAAUUAUUGAAUUGAUUUUCUUUGUAUUUUUAAUAUAUCUUUAAUAAUUUUAAAAUUUUAUAUGAUUGGACCGAGUCGUUAAUCAAUAAAAAUUGAGGGUCUAAUAGAUUAAAAAAACACCUUUUUAACAUAUAUAAAACUCAAAAAAAAUAUUCUUUUUUAAAUUCCUUAACUUACCUGUCCUGCUGAUGUGAUUCUGGCUUUUUAACGGUGUUGUUGGUGAACCCUACGGUUGCCUCCAUGAACUUUCUGUCAUCGUUCGAUCUUGUAAGCAAUUCAAGAACACGAAAAGGUAAUUGGUUUUCCAACAAGAACAGAUCCGAGUACUCAAAUGUCAGCAGUUCGUUUUUAAUAGACAAUUCGUUCGACAGAUGCUCAUAAUCUUGGCCAUCAACAUCAUCAUUACCGUAACGCAUAUAAACUGCUUGUAAAAUUGAGCAGCCGUCAACGAAGAACAUCCAAGCCAGAUUCUCGUUAUCGUUGGUAUACUUAUCUAAUUCCUUUGGAUCAUAGCAUCUCUUCAAGUCAUCGAUCUCUGUCUUAAUGUUGUUGUACAAGGUUCCCCUAUCGACGCCAAUGUUUUUGACCAAAAGUGUUGUUAAUUUGCACUUGAGCUUCUUGGAUUCAUGGAGGGUGGGAUCAGCGUGGUGGAGUGGACCGAUUGAGAUCACUUUCGGCUUGAAAUACUUCCUGAAAUCUUCGUGACUGCCAAGGGUUGAUGGGACUCUUCGUAUCAAUGGUUUGGCUUUGGGGUCGAGUUGUUUGCCGUCGAAAGCUUCGUCUAAUGACCGGAAAUUCUCUAAUUCGCCAUUGCUGAGAGUGAGCUCCGUACCCGGCAUUGGAACGAUCGUCUCUUGGGGAUUGUUGGUGGUUUUGGUGAUUGUUUGAUCAGUAUAAUACUAAUGAUAAUUGUAGUAUGGUAUUUGAUCUUCCUUUUCUUUUUCUCUAGUAGGAGCCACUCUGGUGUCUUUUAUCAAAGGAUAUUUAGUUUCAUUGGCUGCUCCAACAUACUAUUUUCUUAAUGAGAUAAAUUAAUGUAGUUAAUUUUAUAUUGAUUUCAAUCAUAUUCAUCGCUAGAUAUUGUUUCAAUAAGAAAUCAAAACAAUCAAAUUUCAUUUUCUACACAAGAGCAAUGGGAUUGGAAAAUUACUUUUUUAUCUUUUAAAUGUAUACAAUUUUAAAUUAUAAUGGUAAAAUUAUACUUUGGUCCCUCAUAAAUCACAAGAUUUUAAUUUAGUUGUUUAAAAAAUUUAUAAAAAUAUUAGCUAAUACAAUGAUGAAAUUAGGUCUUAACUCUUACCAUAAUUUAUAAUUUAGUUUUGGUCCCUCAAAAAAAAAAAUUUUAACUUCACCCUUCUUUCCACACUAGCAAAAAUUUUACUUUAUAUCAAUUGCACUAAUCAGAACAUUGUACAUUAAUUAGUAUAUGACUAAUAUUAAAAAAUAUAUAAAAAUACUAUUUCUUUUAUCAACUUUAGAGUUUAACUAAAUAUAUAAAAUUUAUAUAAUCCCAUUCAUUUAAUGUUUUUAAAUAUUUUAAAAAUCUAUCGAUAAUUUUGAAAAGAUAUACAAAAACAGGCUAGUACUAAUAUGUAUCAAUUUUUGUGGAAAAAUAGUGCGUGUAGUACUAACUACCUUGGAAUAUAAAAAUCAUUUAGUUCUUUAGUUUGGCAACUUUCCUCAGCUUAGUCCUUAAACUUUUAUUUUAUCUACAUUAGUCUUCGAGCUUGACAAUUUUUUUUUAAUUUUGAUUAAUAUAAUGACACAUCAUUCUGAUAUUGUGUAAUGCCAUCACUUGAAAAUUAUAUUUUUAUUAAAAAAAUAGGUGCUGACAUGAUAAAACGUCACCAUAAUAAGCAAAAAUGAGAAAAAUUGUCAAAAUUCAUGACUGAUGUAAACAAUGGUGAAACCAGGGGAUGGCAAGGGCUCCGCCCCGUCCCCCAAAAUGAUUUUUUUUUUCAUUUAGGCCCAUUUAUAAUUUAUAAAAUUUUAAAUUCGUAAUGGUAAAAUUAUAUUUUACACCAAAAACGAUAAAAAUUGAUUUAACCAUUUAAAUAUUAUAAAAAUUGUAGAGUAUUAAAAUAGUAAAAUUAUAUUUUUAUUAUUACGAAAAUAUACAACUUAAUUUCGGCCCGCCCCAAAAGAAUAUUUGACUACACCCUUGAAUAUGGACAAAAAAAGAAAGUCUAGAGAUCGAAUUGAAAAAAGUUACAAAAUUUAAUGAUUAAAUGUUGUCUUACUAUUUUAUUUAACUAAAAGUGUGUCAUAGACACCAAAGUCUUGUAAUUGAGUAAUAAAAAUUUGAUGCUUUUAAGUAAAUCUUGAAUUUAAAUCUCAUAAAUAGAGAAAACAAUACUAAAAAAAUUUUACUUCCCACUUAAGAAUCCAACCCAACUCAAUUUCAAAUUUAUUGCAUAAAAUACGAGCAUGCAUGGAAUAUAUUGUCUCUAACCUUCUCUUUCACUUACUUUUUUAGAUAUUCAAACUUAAAUGAGUUCUAUGAUUAAACAUUUUUUGACCACAAAAUCAAUCACUUUGUCAUGAAAUUAUCAUUACCCAUAUUCUCAAACUUGAUAUUUUUAGGAACAUCAAAUUUUUUUAUUGAAGUUAUUAUACUUGAUUGUUUGCGCAUAUAUUAAUUGCAUUUCUCGUUCUACCUAACUCAUGAAAAAUCUCAACUUGCAACCACAUAUUAUUCACAUGACAAUCAACCAAUUCUUUUUGUUUUUCUUUUUUUUUGUGUAAUUAAGGUAAAAUAAUUUUGAUUGUCUUUCAUGGAUUGAAUAAUCUAGAACAUAAAAAGUUAACAAAAUUAUAUUUUUAAAGUAUGAUUCAAUAUUUAAGUUAAAUUGUAAUUUUUUUAGAUAAAAUGUGACAAAGGUUAUUCAAUUAUAAAAAGUUAUAAAAUAGUCAUUUAAUUAUUAGUAAAUUUUUAUUUUAGUUGUACAACUAUUUAAUUUUGUCACUAGCUGGCUAACAUAAAAAUAAAAGCACCCAAAAAUCUAAGAUAAUUGGGUGAUAAAAAAAUAAAAUUGAAUAAUUGAGUGACUAUUUUGUAACUUUUCAUAAUAAAAUGACAAGAAAUCAUAAUUUAGUUUUGCAAGGAUAAGUAAGAAGAAGAGCUUAUCCCUACAAGACAGGUAGCAACAGUUAUUGAAGAAUUAUUCACGUUUUAGAUUUUUUCUUCUAUGUAAAUACAAUGAUGUUAAGAAAUUGACUAGUGCCAAGCUCACUUUAGCAACGAUCACUUCAAAUUUUCAAGCAUACAACAGCAGCAGCAGCAGGCAGCGAACGUAUGCACUAAUAUUUACUAAUUUAAGAAGACAAUAGGGAUGGUCAAAUAUUCUAAUUGAACCUAUCUGCGAUCGGAUCGGGAUGGAUUUUUUAAAUUUAAAAAAUUAAAUAGAUUUAAUCGAAAUUCUAGGAGUUACAAAAUUCUCAUAAAUAACAAGAUUUUACAAAAAGUACACUUACUUUGGUUGAUGUAUGGUAUAAUAAGCCUGCAAAACACCGAUAAAAAGUGCACCAAUGGCACCCACAAAUGCGAAAAACGUCCAACGAGUCCUAAAAAAAGUACGGUAAACUUGAGCUGGAUAUCUAAUCCACAUAUUGUUAUGAUGAUCAUGUAUUUGCAGUUUAACAUGUCUGUAAAUCAUCAGACUGGGAACCAAAUCCAUGUUCAUCUUCUUGAUAAGCUUAGCCACUUCUUUAUCACUCCCCAAUCUAUUGUAUAGUAUGCCGGAGUCUCUCAGUUCCUUAACAUCUUCGGCUUCAUCGAUCAAUGAAUCAAGGAAACCCAUAUAUGAAGUGACGGCGAAAUUGUUGUUGUAGAAAUCCGGACACAUUUCGUAAGCUAUUAAAUUCAUGGUUGAAUCAUCGAUGGUGAUCGGCGGUAACCGUAAUUUUCCGACGAAGAAGUAACGGUUGAAACUGAUGUCGGCUAAACAACUUGUUUCGCUUGCUUCUAACCAUAUCCCGGCGUUUUUAAGCCCAUUUACGUUACGAAAAGGGUGUGAAUGGUGCGGUUUUGUUCUUGUGUGGUCGCUGCGAUUUGUGAAGGAUAUGCAAAACCUAGAAUCAGCUGGUUUUUCUUUAUUGAAAAGGAGUCUUACUCGUAGUAGAUGCAAUAAGUGAAUUCGCUCUCCUUGCUGCGGCCACCAUUCACUAGACCGAAAUCUGUGUUAAUCGGGAGCCAGCUAAAAUUAAGGUUUUCAAUGGUUGAAUCAAAUCAUUAUUAUUUUAAUAAAACAUUAUUUAAAUUAUUAAAUUACAUUUUAAUCCUUUUAAAAAUUAUUAAAUUAUAAAUUUAUAUACAAUAAAAUUAUACUUUGACUCCUCAAAAUGAAUAAAAAUUUGUUCAAACACUUUUGAAAAAUGAUUGAAAUCAUAAAUUAAUACAUAAAAAAAAAUACAAGAACCAAACCAAACUUAUCGAUCGGCCUAAUUAGACAGAAAAUCGAGCAAGGUACUAGUCCAGAAUAAUAAAUUAAAUCCAUUGAAUCCAAUCAUCGAAUGGAUUUUUUUUUAUAUCUUUAAUAUAUCUUUAAUAUUUUUAAAAUUUUAUAUAAUUGAAUCGAAUAAACUAAUCAAACGAAAAUGAGACUCUAAUCGAUUCUAUCACCUAUAUAUGUAGUUGUAAAAUCCUUUAACAUUUAUAAACUCCACAAAAUAAUUCUUUUAUAAAUUCCUUAAAUUACCUGUCCUGCUAUGUGAUUGUGGGUUUUUAACAGUGCCGUUGAUGAACCUUAUGAUUGAAUCCAUGAACUUUUUGCCAUCCCCCGAGCUUGUAAGCAAUUCAAGAACAUGAAAAGGUAAUUGGUUUUCCAACAAGAACAGAUCCGAGUACACAAAUGUUAGCAAUUCGUUUUUAAUAAGAAAUUCGUUGGGCGUACGACAAUAGUCUGGGCCGUAAAGCAUAUAAACUGCUUGUAAAUUUGCGCAGCCGUCAACGAAGAACAUCCAAGCCAGUUUCGCGUUGUCGUAGCUACACUUCUCUAAUGCCUUUGGAUCAUAGCAUUUCUUCAAGCCAUCGAUCUCUGUCUUCAUGUUGUUGUACAAGGUAUGCUUAUCGAUGCCAAUUUUUUUGAAGAAAAGUGCUGCUAAUUCGAGCUUGAGCUUCUCGGAUUUAUGGAGGGUGGGAUCAGCGUGGUGGAGUGGGCCGAUUGAGAUCACUUUCGGCUUGAAAUACUUCCUGAAAUCUUCGUGAUGGCCAAGGGAUGGUGGGACUCUUUGUAUCAAUGGUUUGGCACGGAGGUCGACUUGGUCGCCGUCUUUGCCUAAUGACCGGAGAUUCUCUAAUUCGCCAUUGCUGACAGUGAAGUCCGUAUCCGUAAUUGGAAUGAUCGUCUCUAGGGGAUUGGUGUCGGUGGUGAUUGUUUGAUCGGUGGAAACUGCUCCGCCGGGAGCUCCGACGGGGCCGCCUCUUUCCUCCGUGGAGGACAUUUUCAGGGUGAGCGGUUGGAAGUAAUAAACAAGGUGAUUUUGUAAACUGUUUUUGGCUGAGUGAGUGAUGCUGGAGAAAAGGUGGCAAAAUGGCUACGAUGAUGAUAAAUGUUUUAUAGCUGACAUAAUAAACAUAUAUGGGGAAUAAUUAAGGCGUUAGUGUUUAUUUUUACUAAUAUAAUUUUAAUAUUUUAAUUAAAUUUAAUUCUCUUUUGAAGGAGUCAAUCUUAAAAAAGAAAAGUUAAAUUAAUGUUUUUUUAACAAAAAUAGUGACAAAUAUUAAAAUUGAGGAUAACAUUAUAGAACUUAAUACUCAACACAACCUAAAACCUUCGCCUUAACCAAGAAACUAAGACCCUAUCAGAGGGAGAAUUUUAUAUCUACAACACUUCCUAAAUUUCACUAGCUUAAUAAUAGCUAUUCAAAAUUUUUAAUGAACCUAUUUCGCGUCACAUGCGGUAGAAAAUAAUCUAAGAAAGGCAUGCACUAGUCAAUUGUUUUUAAGUACUAAUAUUUAGGGAUAAAGUAAUAUAAAAAUGAGAUUUUGUUUAUCAGUUAUCUUCUUGCUGCUCCCACCACCAUUCACUACACCAAAAUCUGUGUUAGUCGGGAGCCAAGAUAUAAUUUCUCUCUCUUUUCCUUUUUUUUUAGUGAACUUGGAACUGUUAAUUUUAUGAAGCUAAAAUUAAGAUUUCCAAAAUAGAUAAUCCAACCGAUUAAGUUAUUAAUUAAUAAAUAUUAAUUUAUUUGAUUUAAUUAAAUAAAUUAUUAAAAAUUUCGAUUCGAUAACACUAUUCAAUUAAAUUUUGGUUAAUAAAAAUGUUAAAUUUACUAAAAUGAUAAUUUUUUAUUUACAAAAUCCAGGAAAUGGGUUCGGGAGUCGGUUACGCAUAAGGUAAAUUGAGAUUUAUUUGAUUUAUUAAUAAAAAUGUUAAAUUUACUAAAAUGAUGCUUUUUGGUCUACAAAAUCCAAGAAAUGGGUUCGGGAGUCGGUUACGCAUGAGGAAGGAUUAGCACUCUCAUAACGCCCAAAAUUGGUACCUAGUUGAUUACUUGAUGUCUUAGUGUCUAGAAUUGAGAAUUCAAAGAAAAUUUAAAGCACAAUCCCCUAAUUGCAUGAUUUUAUUAAAAUAUCGCAAACUAAAUUAAAUUUUAUGGAAAUAGCCAUCUUAUUUCGAGUCAAUAGAGAAAAAGGAUCAUGUAUCGUAAGUUUGGGCUUGAUAUCUCAAAUCCUCAAAACUUAAGUAUAUUUGCACAGACAAUGGCUUAGAGUUCUGUUCUAAUGAGUUUAAUAAACUAUAUAAGUCAGAAGAGAUUGCAAGACACUUGACAGUUCGCCAUACUCCAUAGCAAAAUGGCAUUACAGAACAAAUGAACAGAAUGAUCAUGGAGAAGGUUUGAUGUAUGUUGUCAAAUGCCAACUUACCAAAGUCAUUUUGGGUUGAAGCAGCCUCUACUGCAUAUAAUCUGAAAAAGGGUUGUUUUGGUUCUUUGGAUUAGGUGAAAAUCCAGUAGCGGUAGGUGCUUUUGCAGAGAUUUGAACGUUUGAGUUUUCGGUUCGUUGCCAGUAAGUGUUUAGGUUCGCUAUCAAUUUUGAUGUAGACGAUUUUCAGUUGUGAGUUUUCGUUAGUGAUCUAACUUGGGCUCUAGUUAUUUAUUUUUAGGUCUUGGAGUGCUUGGGAGUGUAUUUGCAGCUAAACAAUACCAGGUGUGUACCUGAAAUGCAAAAAUAAGGGAUUCGGCGAAAAGACAAAAUUGCUUGCUGUUUGGACAGUAGCAGUAAGCUAAAUUUGAAAAAUCACUAUAAAUUGUGAAAAUCGAAUUAGAGGAUGAAAAAUAUAUGGAAUUAAAUAUAUUUGAAUCUAGUUUCUCAUAGAAGAAACGAAGUAAGUAAAAGAGUUUCAUAUUAUGAGAUAUUUGAAUUUUAGUGAGAUAGGGUCAGAAUGAUUUUAGAAUCCCCUAUCCUAAUUUUAGAAAAUUAUUAAAAAUUGUAUAAAAAUAAUUAUGGGUUAGAAUUUAUAUGUUUAAAAUCAUGAAUGAGUAUAUUUUUAAGAAAAACAAACGAGAAUAUCAUAUGAAUUCUUUACGAGAAGAUAAUUAAUUUUUAGUGUAGAAAGGUCGAAACUGUCAAACAAUAGAUCAAGGGAAAAUUUAAAGAAUAAACUGUACUUAUUGGCUAAACAAAAAAUUCUGAAAAUUUUAUGGUAAGAAGAUAACUGAGUCUAGUUUCAUGAAAAAUUUUCAGAUCUUAAUCGGAAUUCUGUAGCUUACGAUACAAAUAAUUUAGUAACAGUGACUCAAGUAGAUAGCUUUAAGGAUAAUAUAAGUAAAUAGUGGAAACACAUAUGAAUAAUUAACUAGCACGAGUUACAUUAAAAUAGAUCACGAGGCCAAGGUCAAUUUGGGUCAAGUGGGUCACACGGGCGUGUGGGCCCACACAUUUGAACAUCAUGGGCUUGUGGGCCCAUUUUUACUGUUUGACUGAUAAGGUUGCACGGGUCACCCAAGUCGACUGUGAACCUACUGUAGGGUAGGUAAGUUUACCUAGACCCCUAGUUGACUGAAAUGACUGUAUGACUGAUAUGACUAAACCUGAUGAUGUCCCAUUGAUUUGAUAUUGUAUGCCCUGUUUAAAUGCAUGAUAUUAUGUUAUAGCAUGUCAUAUCUGUAUAUUGCAUUGCAUUGCAUUGGGUUGGGUUGGGGGAUUAUAAUGUUUGGAGGAAGUGUACUGAAAGGCCUCAAGCCUAGUUUACUGGCAGCUCAGCUACAAACUACUAUCUAGUACUGCAUCCGGUACUACUUGGAGUGUAGGGAUGGGUGGGUUGAUUAUAUCCCCACAUGGAGUGUAGGGUUAGACGGAGAUGGUGUGUAGAGGCUGGAUGGGUAGGAUUUUUGUGACUGCAUAGCUGUUACUGCUACUGAUACUGUGAUGGGCUAAAGCCCUACUGCAUAACUGUUUUUGUAUUGAGAUGGGCUAAGGCCCAAACUAGAAUGAUACUGAUACUGAAAAGGGCUUAAGCCCAGACUGUGAUUAUCUGUUUACUGCCUGUACAUUUGUAUGGGGAUUACAUACUGAGUUUACAUAAAUUUACCCCUUCUGUUUAAUCUGUACAGGUAAUGCCCAGAUAUAGGCGGAUCGGCGCAGCGGAGGACUUAGUGGUGGUCACACGAUUUCUUUUACACUGUUUACUACCUAUUCAUGAUUUUACUUUUAUUUAGGAGUAUUUUGCUGUAAUUAUGGCAUUUACGAAUUUUGAUUUAAAAUUUGGAUUUUAUACGAUUUUAUGAUUUAAAUCUACUAACGGUUUUUCAAAUAAAAUUAAUGUUUUAUCAAAAAUACCACGAAUAAGCAAACUGUUUAAAAGCUUCUGCAAUAGAAGUAAAAAAAAUGUUUUGAAAUUGAAUAACAAUUUGUAAAUGAAAACGUUUUGAAAACGAACGACACGAUUUGAAGUUAACAUAAGAUAAUAAAAAAUGGUUAAAUAGAAAAGAGGAUUUAGCGACGACAUAUUUUUCAAAAAGCACUACCAUGUGACGCCGUCAGAUUCAGCCAUAACAUCUAGGCUGGGUUUGGGGUGUUACAUUGAUGUUCGGUAUCAUUUUGUUCGUGAUAUUAUUGUUCGUGGUGAUAUUGUUGUGAGCAAAAUUAGUACUCAUGAAAAUCCUGCAGAUAUGAUGAUUAAGUCAUUUCCUAUAACCAAGUUGAGCAUUGCUGAGACUUGAUUGGUGUUUAUUGUUGAAGUUAAACCCUUAAGGACUUUUAUGGAAGAGGCAGAGAACUUGUUCGUUGAGAAUUCGCGAUGAAGAACUUGUUUAUUGAGAAUUUGUGUCAAGGUGCAGAUUGUUAGAGUUGUGUAACUCAAAUUCUAUAAGAUUGCUUGCAAGUCAAGUUAAACAAAGUAUAUAUUCUUUCUGAAAGAUUUAGUAUUUAUGAGUAUAAUAUAUUUAGCAUUUAUUAGCAUAAUAUUUUCGACUUUGAUUAGAAUUAGGUUUCUUCAACCUAUAAAUAGAUGUAGUCGAAACUUCUCUUGUAACCAUUCGAAUUCGACAUAGUGAAUUUUCUUCUCCUUUGCCCGCGGUUUUUUCCGAAAAGGUUUCCAUGUAAAAAUAUAUGUUCUUCAUUUUUAUUUCUCUUUUCUUUGCGAUAUAUUGUCGUUACCGACGUUCUAUUUUUACACUUAAUUUUUUUAAACUCUAAUUAAAUACUAAAAGUUAAAUUAAAUAGAUUAAAUUGAAAAUCCAAAAAUUACAAAAUUCUUAUAAAUAACAAGAGUUUACAAAAAGUAUAGUAAACAACACUUACUUUGGUUGAUGUAUGGUAUAAUGAGUCCACAAAGAAGACAUAAAAAGUGCAGCAAUGGCACCCACAAAUGCGAAAAAUGUCCAACCAGUAUGAUAAGCUUGAGCUGGAUAUUGAAUCCACAUAUUCUUACAAUGAUUAUGUAUUUGCUGUUUAACCUCACUGUAAGUCGUCUGACUACGAACCACAUCAGUGUUCAUCUUCUUGAUAACCUUAGCCACUUCUUCAUCACUCCCCAAUCUAUUGUAUAGUAUGCCAGCGUCUCUCAGUUCCUUAACAUCUUUGGCUUCAUCGAUUAAUGAAUCAAGGAAACCCAUAUAUGAAGUGACGGUGAAAUUGUUGUAGAGAUCCGGACACAUUUCGUAAGCUAUUAAGUUCAUGGUUGAAUCAUCGACGGUGAUCGGCGGUAACCGUAAUUUUUCGACGAAGAAGAUAUGGUUGAAACUGAUGUCGAAUAAACAACUUGUUUUGCUUGCUUUUAAUCAUAUCUCGGCCUUUUUAAGCUCUUUUACAUUACGAAAGGUGUGUGAAUGGUGUCGUUUUGUUCUUGUUUGGUUGCUGCGAUUACAUGAAAAAUCGAGUGCAAAACCUACGAUGCCGCCAUGGUUUUAAUUUGGUCCUUUAAAAAAUUAUAAAUAUAUUAACUAAUACUAUGAUGAAAUUGAGUCUUAACUCUUAUCAAAAUUUAUAACUUAAUUUUGGUUCUUCAAAAAUAAUUUUCUGGCUUCACCCUUAUUUCUGCAUUAGUAAAAAGUCUAAUCUAUAUCAAUUGCACUGAUCAAAAUAUUAUACAUUGAUUGGUAUAUAAAAGAUAUUAAAAAUAUAUAUAAAAAUGCUAUUUCUUUUACCAAUUUUAAACUUUAGCUAAAUUAAAGUAGAAACUUUAAUAUUUUAAGUAGAAAACAAAAAAAAAAAACAAAUAAGCCAAUGAAAAGAAAAAGUGGAAAUAUAAAUUUUAUUAAACUUUAAUUUUCUUAGUAUGAGAUGAUGAUGAUGUUGUGAAUUUUUUAAAAUAAUGUUAUGGUUAAUUCAACCUUUAACAUGUCUUUAAGUAUAAUGUAUAUUUUUAUAAUACUAAUGAUAAUUGUACUUUGCCAAGUCACCAAGUAUGGUAUUUGAUCUUACUUUUCUUUUUCUCUAGUAGGAGCCACUCUCAUGUCUUUUACCAAAGGAUUUACUUUCCUUGGCUGCUCCAACAUACAAUUUUCUUUGUGAGAUAAAUUAAUGUAGUUAAUUUUAUAUUGAUUUCAAUCAUAUUGAUCCGUAGAUAUUGUUUCAAUAAGAAAUUGAAACCAUCAAUUUCAUUUUCUGCACAAGAGCAGGUAAGGAUUGAAAAUUUGCUUUUUAUCUUUUAAAUAUAUAGAAUUUUAAAUUAUAAUAGUAAAAUUGUAUUUUGGCCCCUCAUAAAAGCUCGAACCUGGGUGAGUUCUAUCACUAAACAUCUCUUAACCACAAGGUGAAUCACAAGAGUCCUCUAGCUUGACAACUUUUUUCAAUUUUGGUGCAUGUAAUGACAUGAGACACUGAUAUUGUGUUAUGCGAAAUCAUACUUCAAUUGUAAUUAUUACUUGAUAGCGGUACAAGAUUUUCGUUACAAUGUCUAGAACUACUUAUAAUCUCCAACCAUUAAAUAAGAAGAUAAAUGUACUUUAGCGCGCUCGAACUGACGUUAUUUUGCAUUGACAACAAUCCUAAUGUCAACCAAACUAAAACUCAGUAUAACAAUGGUACAUUAGGUUAAAUGUCUUGAUGUUUUAUUUUCUAUUUUUUGCAAUUGCAAUUGAAUUCCAAACGAAGGUUUCGUUUACAGAACCAUAAAAGCUUUAAAAAUAUUAACUUUGUUAAACAAUAAAUGUUGUAUUUAUUUCAAUUUAAUUUUUUUAUUUUUUAAUAAUAUUAAGAAUUAAAUUAAUUAUUUAAUAGUAAAAAGACUAAUCUAAUUAGGUCCUAUAAUAUAGGGACCUCUCAAAUACAUUCCCUUAACAUUACUUUUUUCGAAAUACAGACAAAAUAAACUAGACUUAUGGGAUGGUGCAUCUAAUUCAACCUUGUAACAUGUCUUUAAGUAUAAUAUAUAAUAAUUGUACUUUGCCAAGUCACUAAGUAUGGUAUUUGAUCUUACUUUUCGUUUUUCUCCGGUAGGAGCCACUCUCAUGACUUUCUCGAAGGAUUUAGUUCCAUUGGCUGCUCCAACAUACUACUUUUUUUAUUGAGAGUAGUUGAUUUUGUAUCGAUCUCAAUCAUAUCAGUAGGUAGGUACACAUUGUUCCAAUAAGAAAUCGAAAUGAUCAAUUUCAUUUUUCGCACAAGAGCAGUGGAAAAUUGUUUUUUACAUAAAAUGUUAAUCUAAUUACAAGGUUUUAAUUUAGUUCUUUAAAAAUUAUAAAGAUAUUAGCUAAUACAAUGAUUUAAUUGAGUCUUAACUCUUACUAAAAUUUAUAACUUAAUUCUGGUCCCUCAAAAAUAUUUUCUAACUUCACCCUUAUUUCUACAGUAAUAAAAAUUCUAAUCUAUAUCAAUUGCACUAAUCAAAAUACUAUGCAUUGAUUAGUAUAUGAGUAAUAUUAAAAUAUUUCUUUUGCCAACUUUAAACUUUAACUAAAUUAAAGUAGAAAAUAAAAAAAUAAAAAGAUAAAGAAUUUAUUUAACAAAUAAGCCAAUGAAAAAAAAGUGGAAAUAUAAAAUCUCUAAAAGCUUAAUCAUCACACAUUGAGGAGUACACUUUUAUUAAGCUUUAAUAUUUUAAAUAUGAGAUGAUAUUAUGGAUAACUUUUUAUUUAAUGUAUUGCUUGGUUCUUUUUUUCUUUUGGAUUUGUUAAAUGAUGAAUUAUGGAUUUUAUUUGUGAAGUUUUUUAUGAAUAUAUAUAAUUAAUUAAUAUUUUUAUAUUUAAAAUUUAUUUAAUCUCAUUCAUUUAAUGUUUUUAAAUUUUUUAUAUAUUAAAUAUUUUAAAAUUUUAUCAAUAAUUUUGAUAAGAUGUACAAAAACAUGCUAGUACUAAUAUGUAUUAGUUUUUGUAGAAAAAUGGUCCGUCCAUUAAUGUAGUACUAACUACCUUGGAUAAAAAAUUAUUUUACCCUUGAAUUUAGCAACUUUCUUCAACUUAGUCCUUAAACUUUUAUUUAUCUACAUUAGUAUUAUAACUUGACAACUUUUCUCAAUUUUGAUGCAUGUGAUGACACAACACUCUGAUAUUGUGUCAUGCCAUCAUUUAAAAAUAAUAUUUUUAAUAAAAAUUAGGUGUUGACAUGGUAGAAACGUCACCAUAAUGACCAAAAUGAGAAAUGUUGUCAAAAUUCAUGACCGAUGUAGAUAGUGGGGAAGCAAGGGGGUUGAAAAGGGCUCUGCCCCCCCCCCCCCCCCGCCAAAUGAAAAAAAUUCAUUUAGUCCCCUUUAUAAUUUAUAAAAUUUUUAAUUAGUAAUGGUAAAAUUGCAUUUUGCCCCCUCAAAAUGAUAAAAAAUUGAUUUAAUCCUUUAAAAAUGAUAAAGAUAUAUGCCAUUAAAAUGGUGAAAUUACAUUGUUUAUUGUAAAAAUAUACAACUUAAUUUCAGUUCCUGCCCAAACAAUUUUUGGCUUCUCCCUUGAAUGUGGACCAAAAAAGAAAGUCUAGAGACUGAUAAGUGCUAAAAGUAAUAUGUUUUAAUCUCGUUUUUAAUGCAUUUUUGGAUGGUUAUUCAAUUUAAAAUGGUGAAUUUUAUGCUCCUAAUCCUUUAAAUUUAUGUUUCUAUACUUAGGAAAACAUUUGGGAGCAAAAAGAGUGAAAAUCGAAAAAUCGGAGCAAGUUUCAAGAGACACACUGGUUGGGCCAUUCUACAUGGGCAGAACACAUGGCAGUGUGAGCCACACAGGCUUCUACACGGCCAUAAGCUAGACCAUGAGGAAAUCACAAAUCGCACUCCAAACCUGCAAGAAAGCUCAUUUUUUGUAGAUUUUUCGGGAAUUCUAAGACCUAUAUAUGACAAAAAUAAGAAGAUGGGAGGGAGCCGUCAUAGAAUAUUGAAGAAAAAACUCAGAAAACACCAUUAAAGCCGACUCUGAAGCAGAUUUUCAUCAAGAUUGAAGAUCUCUUUUUGAUUUCUUUGAAGUUUAUUAUGAGUUCCUUUAUUUCUUGUGGUUAUACUGUCUUUAGGAUGUUUUUAUUUACUAUCACGAACUAAUUUUCUAAAUACCUAGGGAGAUGAACCCUAUGAUGGAUUAUGUUAUUUGAUUUCUAUUUUUAUGCAAUAAACACUUGAAUCUUGUUUUCAAUUCUGAGUGCUUAACUCUGGGUUUAAUAUUUCUAGGCUACUAAUCCAUGUUUGUGUGCUUAAAUCAUAGGAGGGAUAGACCUAUUUAAGAGUAGGUUUGGCGUAAUUGAGUGAAGUUGCAUACAAUCUUAGAAAUAGGAUAGCAUAAAUCUACCGGAUUAGAGUCAAAUCUAAUAGGGGGAUCCAUAGAUCGAAUUAAUGUGACAAUAGGGGUUUUAAUUAAAAAGAAAUUUUAAUUAAUCAACCUAGAUUGAGUUGCUCUUAGUCUUGAAGAGAGAUAUUAGCAUAAUUUAGGGAUUUCUAUGGAUCAAGAUACUAAGUGAAGAAAUUGCGUAAUUUAGAUUGAUAGAGACAGAUGAAGCCCAAGUGAAUUCUUUUCUGGGUAUUGUUUCGCUUCUUGGUUGCUUACUCGUUUAAUUUCUUAAAUUGUUCUUUGUUGCGUUCGUAGUUAAUCAAUCUUGUUGAUUUUAGUUUUCAAUCAAAUCAUUCAAAUUUGUUGCUUAAAUAAUAGAAAGACAGUAAUUACUAGUACUUCUAGUCUUCAUGGGAACGAUAUCUUUGCUCAUCGUAACUAGCUAUUAAUUGAUAGGUGCACUUGCCUUAGUCAUAUUUUUAAUUGGUUUACAAUUGUAAAUAGAGACCAAAUUGAAAAAAAAUUGUCUAAUUUAAGGAUUAAAUGUUAUCUUAUUAUUUUAUUUAACUAAAAGUGUGCCAUAUACACCAAAGUCUAGUAAUUGAGCAAUAAAAAUUAGAUGAUUUUAAGUAAAUCUUGAAUUUAAAUCUUAUGAAUAGAGAAAACAAUACUUUUUUUUUUACUUCCCACUUAAGAACUCAACUCAACAAAAAUAAAAAAAGGUGUUGUAAACUUUGUUGCAUUGUGUGUUAUCCUGAUCCAAAUUAGUGAAAAGGAACUGCAUCCUAAACUUAUUCAAACCAAAUGAUUUAAGUGUCAAUUGGGCAACACAUUUAAGAUGUGUAACAAAUUUGUUCUUCUUUUUUUAAUUUAAUCUUUUUUUCUAAAUACAAAAAAUAUUUUACUAAAUUGAUCUAUUUAAUGGUAAAUAGACUAAUUUGAUCAGAUCCUAUAAUAUAAGGAUCUCUCAAAUAUAUUUCCCAUAAAAUUACUUUUUUUUGUUACAGCUCGUGACACUUGGAGCUAUACCAACAAAUGGUAUACAGAACCUGUCAUCUUUGAGGGUCUUUAUUGUUGGUAGUUUUUUUUAUGAGAAACCUUGAAGAAAAAGAAACUCAGGCUAUUGUUUUUAUUGUUGCUACAAAAUGAAUUUUACACCACCACCACCACCUGUUUCUGCAGGUGAAAACUACCACAUUUGGGCAGUAAAGAUGAAGACUUACCUACAAGCACAUGACUUGUGGAAUGUGGUUGAGAAUGACACAGAACCAGGUCCAUUAAGGGUCAAUCCCACUAUUGCACAAAUUAGACAACAUAGUGAAUAGUGUGCUAAAAAGCACAAAGCUAUGUCAUGCUUACAAAAUGGAGUGUCUGAUGUGAUCUUCACUCGAAUAAUGGCUUGUGACACUCCAAAGCAAGCCUGGGAGAAGCUGAAGGAAGUGUUUUUAGGGUCAGGCAAGACUAGGCAACAGUAGUUGAUCAACCUCGGGAAGGACUUUGAGAACUUGAAGAUGAGAGAGUCUAAAACAAUCAUGCAGUACUCUAAAAGGAUAAUAGCCACAGUCAACAAAAUCAGGCUCCUUGAGAUGAAUUCAGUGAAAGCAGAAUUGUUGAGAAUGUCAAUACAACCCUUCCUGAAAAAUUUCAAGCAAAAAUCUCCUCAUUGGAGGACUCGAGAGAUUUAUCAACCAUCUCACUAUUUGAGUUGAUAAAUGCUCUAUAUGCAUUAGGGCAAAGAAGGGCCAAUAGGCUGAAGGAGCAUCCUGAAGGAGCUUUCUAACCAAAAACCAAGGAAAGCUCAGGUUCGAGCUACAAAGGAAAUUAACCAUGGCUUGACAAAAGGGAGAAACCAAAGAGAGAUGCAGGGAAGAAAAGGUUCCCACCAUGCAUUCAUUGCCAAAGGUCCACACACUUUGAGUUGUGAUAGAGCUAAUUGUCAACAUGUCAUAAUGUUCUAUUGAUAUUAAAGCUAAAGGAGCUUAUCCUUUAAUGCGUACAACUAGUAUUUGUUUUUUUUUUCCCGAAUUAUAUGGUCUUAUUCAUUGAAUAAAUUAAUAAAUUUCUCUUCAAAAAAUUGAUUCUCUUUCAUAGAUUGAAUAAUUUAGAACAUAGAAAGUUACUAAAAUAUUGUUUUUAAAAUGUUAAGUCAAUAUUUAAGGUAACUUGUAAUUCUUUUUUGGAUGAAUUAUAAUACACCCUAUCUAAUUAUGAAAAGUUAUAAAAUGAUUAUUUAAUUAUUAGUAUUUUUUUUACCCAAUUACAAAAAGUCAUAAAUUGGUAGAGGUGCUCAUGAGCCAAGUCAGGCCCAAUCAAAAUCUUAGGCUCGGGCCAAAAAAUGGGCCUAAAAUUUCACCCAAGCCUAGCCUGAAUAAAAAUACUAAAACCCGAGCCCGACCUGACCUUAUUAAAAUUUUUUAUAUUAUUUUUUAUAUAAUUUUUUAAAAAUAAAUAUAAUAUAUCAAAAAUACUAAAAAUUUGAAAAUAAAUUUAAAAAAUAUGUAUACUUAAAUAACACUAAGAUAGGUGCAACUUAACAAGCAAAUACCUCUAAAAUAGUAACAAAAUUAACAAUAAAACAAUAAUUAAUAUCCAAACAAUAACAACAAAAUAGUAGCAACAUUAUAGUGAAAUGAUAGCAAAAUAUUGAGAAAACAACAAAAAUAAUAGCAGCAAAACAGUUAAAAAAAAGCAAGAAAAAAACAACAUUUUUUUUGCAAAUUCAGGCCAGGCCAGGCUCAGGCCAAAAAAAGCCUUACUCAAGGCUCGAAACGGGCCUUAUUUUUUUACUCAAGCCCAUUUUCUAGACCUAUAUUUUUACUCAAACCCUCCAGUUUUCAAAUAGUCAUAAAAUAGUUAUCCAACUAUUCAAUUAUAUAUUUUUUGGUUACUAGUGGGCAAUAUAAAAAUAAAAGUACCCAAAAAUUCAGGAUAGUUGAGUGAUAAAAAUACAAAAUUGAAUAAUUAAAUAAUUCUUUUGUAACUUUUUAUAGUUAGAUGACGAGAAAAAAAUAAAAAUAAAAAUUAGGAGAUUACUAAAGUAAUUUAUUUUUGCAAGGGUUAUUGAAGAAUUAUUCGCAUUUUAAAUAUUUUCUUAUAUGUAAAUACAAUGAUGCUAAGCAAUUUACUUUUUGGAGUCUAUAUAAGGAAAUGGGCCUUAGGAUUUGCUAGUGCCACACUCACUUUAGCAACAAUCACUUCAAAUUUUCAGGCCCACAACAACAGCAACAGCCAGCGAAAUCUAAAAAAGGUAUGCACUAAUAAUUUGUUUUUAAGUACCAAUAGAUAUUUUGAUUUACUUUAGUAUUUAAAUAUCGUUAUGUUACAUGGUUUAUUCUGAUGCGUCGUUGAGAGCACCAAAAAUAUUUUAUUCCUAUAAAAUAACGAAAAGAAUAGUAUAAGGGAAAUAGGGUCAAAUUCUCAGGAACUGAAUUUGCACAAGUUCCUGAUCCUCGAGAUCUCGGGCAGAGUCGUGCUCAAGAAAAACGACGUACCUAGAAAAAAAUUUAAAAAAUAGAAUUAAAAGUAUGGAUGAAUUGAGAUUGCGUAAAAUGAAAUUGAAAUUGUAAAAAUAAACAGAGUUGAGGAAAGAGAAUCUUUAAUGGAGAGAUUUCAGCCUCUAGUUAUCUCGAUCCUCCUUGGGUUCAAUCCUAGGCUUUUAAAUGAUCCUUCUCCUAACAGAAUAAGCCAGUUAUAGUGAAAGAGAAAGCCUACGACCACCAGCUCCACUUAGAUUUUAGACUUACGAUAUAAAGAAACCUAACUCUAGCCAACCGUCACUUUUGUGGGACCGUCUUACACGAGAUCAUCACUUCUCAAUAACAAAUGCCAUGCCAUUUUGUCUCUUGGGCUCAACAACCACUGACAGUGACUCAUGUUUUAUGGGAAAAAUAAAUAAACUUAAUAAAAAUAGAAUUUUAUUGAAUAAAUAAAAGGAACAAAAGCUAGAGCUUUUUGGGAGAGUGAGCUUUUACAGAAAGAUGAGUCCAAUUUGUUCACUCCAUCCCCUACUUAUAAUACUUAGAAAAUCUAGUUUGUCCCUAUUUAAAUUCUAAAAGAUAAAUAAAGAUAAAAGCUGAAAUUAAAUCUAAACAAUAAUCCUAAUAUAAUUCAAAUUUAAAUAGUCUUCUGUUUAUAAAAUCUCUUCUUUGAACUUUUGCCCCCCCAAGUCUUCCACACUUUGCAUUUUCGGCACCACUUCUUUCCUAUUUCGCAUGUUGGCAUAUUUUAUCUUUAAAUUUAUGCUUUUUGCCCCUAAAUUUCCUUUUGCCUUCAAUUUAGUUCCUACAAGAUAAAAAAUCAUAAAUAGCUCAAAUUAGUAGGAUCAUACUCAAAAUAAACAUGUAAUUAAUACAUAAAAAUAUGUCAUUCCUGACUAUUAUCAUAUUCUAAAUACUUAACAUCAUCAAAAAAAAUAUUAAGUGGUACGUUUAAAAAAUAUUAUGUUUAAUAUUUGAGGUUAAUUGUGUGAUGAGAUGAUAAUUUAUAUAUCACAACGAAUUUAAAAUUUUAAAUAUUAUGAUUAAAAAAAACUUAAAUUCUAAAAUGAAAAAAAAGAGAAUAAUUUAAAAAUUAAAUUGAGUACAAAAUCAUUUUUUAAUUAUGAGUAAAAUAUAUUUUGAGACAAUGCAAUUUUAAGUAUUUCAAUUUAUUUAAUCAUUAUUUUAUACUUACCUAUUUAUCAUAUCAAAUAUCAUGAUUCUCUAACAUUAUUAAAAUUAAGCAAUCAAAAAAAAUUUAAUUAAGUCUCUUAAAUUUUAAUUUUUAAAAAAAAUUGAUUAAACACUAAAAAUUAAAUUAAAUAGAUUGAAUCGAAAAUCCAGAAAUUACAAAAUUCUCAUAAAUAACAAGAGUUUACAAAAAAGACUAGUAAACAGCGCUUACUUUGGUUGAUGUAUGGUAUAAUGAGUCUGCAAAGAAGACACAAAAAGUGCAGCAAUGGCACCCACAAAUGCGAAAAACGUCCAACGAGUCCUAAAACAAGUAUGAUAAGCUUGAGCUGGAUAUUGAAUCCACAUAUUCUUACAAUGAUUAUAUAUUUGCUGUUUAACCUCACUGUAAGUCGUCUGACUACGAACCACAUCAGUGUUCAUCUUCUUGAUAAGCUUAGCCACUUCUUCAUCACCCCCCAAUCUAUUGUAUAGUAUGCCAGCGCCUCUCAGUUCCUUAACAUCUUCGGCUUCAUGGAUCAAUGAAUCAAGGAAAUCCAUAUAUGAAGUGACGGUGAAAUCGUUUUUGAAAUCCGGACACAUUUCGUAAGCUAUUAAGUUCAUGGUUGAAUCAUCGAAGGUGAUCGGCGGUAACCGUAAUUUGCCGACGAAGAAGAUAUGGUUGAAACUGAUGUCGGAUAAACAACUUGUUUUGCUUGCUUUUAACCAUAUCCCGGCCUUUUUAAGCUCUUUUACGUUACGAAAGGUGUGUGAAUGGUGCGGUUUUGUUCUUGUUUGGCUGCUGCGAUUUAACGUGCACAUGAAAAAUCGAGUGCAAAACCUAAAAUGCCGCCAUGGUUUUUCUUUUUUUUUCUUUUUCGAAAAUGAGUCUUACUCGUAGUAGAUUCAAUAGGUGAAUUCGCUCUCCUUUUUGCUGCUGCCACCAUUCACUAGAGCAAAAUCUGUGUUAGUCGGGAGCCAAGCUAUAUAUAUAUAGGAUUUGGAAUUGUAAAUUUUUAUCAUAACUAAAGUUAAAGGAUUCAAAAUCGAUAGUCCAACCGGAUAAGUUGGUCCAAUCAAUUCAUCCAAUUUGAUUAAAUAAAUCAUUAAAAAUAUCAGUUCAAUCACUUGAUUUAAUUAAUUUUUUUCCAGCUCAACAUGUUUAUAUAGGUUCUCAAAUUAAAUAGUCUAAUGAUUUUAUUCGGACUGAUACCUCAAUUUAUUUCCAAUCUAAUCCUAUUUAAAUAACAUUGACUAAAAUAUAAUUUUUAUUAUUGUAUUAAUGCAAAAAUUUUACCAUUUUUAAAGAUGUUAGACUAUCAAUUUUCCAUUUUAAAAAGUUGGAUCGGAAACAUAAUUAUUUUCUAAAAAAAAAUGUACACUCAACAGCAACAAUGCAAAGGGACAGGGGUGGAUUUGAAAAAUGAAAAAUUACAUUUUAUUCUCUUUAAAAAUUAUAAAUUAUAAAAUUAUAUAAUAAUAAAAUUACGCUUUUAACUCUUCAAAAAAAAUUGUUCAACCCUUUUCCAAAAUGAUGAAAUCACGCAUGAAAAAAUUUAAGAAUCAAACCUCACUUGUCGGUCGAGUUGGUUGAACAGAAAAUUGAGUAAAAUAUUGGUCUAGAAUAAGAGAUUAGACCAAUUGAAUCGAGUGAUAAAUUGAUUUUUUUAUAUUUUUAAUAUUUUCAAAAGUUUAUAUAAUUCAACCGAAAUGAACUAAUAAACCAGAAAUGAGAGUCUAAUCGAUUCAAUGACCCACUUAAUAACAUCUAUAAACUCCAUUUAAUAACAUUUAAUAUACCUGUCCUGCUGAUGUGAUUGUAGCUCUUUCACGUAAGCUGGGGUGAUAACAGUGUCGUCGAUGAACCUUUUGAUUGCCAUCAUGAACUUUUCGCCAUUUUUUCUCGAGCUUGUAAGCAAGAACACGAAAAGGUAAUUAAUACACAAAAAAUAAUAACAAGAAUAAGAAUCAAACCAGACUUGUAGGCUAGGAAGCACAGACACGGCUCAUCCCUCCUCGUACUAGUGUCGUACGUGUGUCCGACACAGACACUCGACAGACAUACCUAGAUACGUAUGGGACAAGCUGGAAUAUGUCAAAAAAAUAUUUUUUUUAUUGCCAUAUCUUGCUAUAUCCGUGUCCUCCAUUUUUAAAAAUUAUCAUGUUGCCGUGUUUGUAUCGUGUCGUACCCGUAUUGCGUGUCUGUAUUCAUGCUUCACAGCUUGUAGGUAAGGGCUGAACAAAGAAUCGAGUAAGGCACUGGUCUAAAAUAAGGAGUUAGACCAAUUGAAUGCAGUUAUUGAAUCGAUUUUCUUUAUAUUUUUAAUAUAUCUUUAAUAUUUUUAAAAUUUUAUAUGAUUGAACCGAGUGGUUAAUCAAUAAAAAUUGAGAGUAUAAUCGAUUCAAAAAAAACCUUUUUAACAUAUAUAAACUCCAAAAAAAUAUUCUUUUUUAAAUUCCUUAACUUACCUGUCCUGCUGAUGUGAUUCUGGCUUUUUAACAGUGUUGUUGGUGAACCCUGCGGUUGCCUCCAUGAACUUUUUGUCAUCGUUCGAUCUUGUAAGCAAUUCAAGAACACGAAAAGGUAAUUGGUUUUCCAACAAGAACAGAUCCGAGUACUCAAAUGUCAGCAGUUCGUUUUUAAUAGACAAUUCGUUUGACACAUACUCAUAAUCUUGGCCAUCAACAUCAUCAUUACCGUAACGCAUAUAAACUGCUUGUAAAAUUGUGCAGCCGUCAACGAAGAACAUCCAAGCCAGAUUCUCGUUAUCGUUGGUAUAGUUAUCUAAUUCCUUUGGAUCAUAGCAUUUCUUCAAGUCAUCGAUCUCCGUCUUAAUGUUGUUGUACAAGGUUCCCCUAUCGACUCCAAUGUUUUUGACGAAAAGUGUUGUUAAUUUGCACUUGAGCUUCUUGGAUUCAUGGAGGGAGGGAUCAGCGUGGUGGAGUGGGCCGAUUGAGAUCACUUUCGGCUUGAAAUACUUCCUGAAAUCUUCGUGACGGCCAAGGGUUGAUGGGACUCUUCGAAUCAAUGGUUUGGCUUUGGGGUCGAGUUGGUUGCCGUCGAAAGCUUCGUCUAAUGACCGGAAAUUCUCUAAUUCGCCAUUGCUGAGAGUGAGCUCCGUACCCGGCAUUGGAAUGAUCGUCUCUUGGGGAUUGUUGGUGGUGGUGUUUUUGGUGAUUGUUUGAUCAGUGGAAACUGCUCCGCCGGGAACUCCGACGGCGCGGCCUCCUUUCUCCGUGGACGACAUUUUCAGGCUGAGGGGUUCCAAAAAAGGUGAUUUUGGAAACUGUUUUUCGCUGAGUGAGUGAUGUUGGAAAAAAGGUGGCAAAAUGGCUACGAUGACGACGAGUGUUUCAAUAGCUUAUAGAAUAAACGUAUGGAAAAUAUUUUGGUGUAAUAUUAAAUUUAGACUUAAUAUUUAUAUUUUUUUAAUUUGAUUUUUAUUCUUUUUAAUUAAAUUUAAUUCUCUACCUUUUGAAAGAGUCAAAUUUAAUUACCAAUCUUUUAGAAAAGAGUUGAAUUAAUGUUUUUUAACGAAAAUAGUGGUUAAAAUAUUAAUUUGUAAACAUGACAAUUCAUAUGGUAAUCCACGUGUACAUUUUUUUUUUAAUUAUUUGUUGACAUGUGACAUAUAAGAAAAGCAGUGUUAUGUUAGCACGAAGUGCACAUGGAUUGCCAGACGAGUUGUAACACCAACACUAUUAAAAAUUUAAAGUUUUAGUCAACAUUUUUGUUAAAGAAAAACAAUUUGACUCUUUUUCGAAAGGUUAAUGACUAAAUUUAGCUCAAAUAAUAAUAAUAAUAAUAAUAAUAAUAAUAAUAGAAUAGAGGCCAAUUUGACAAAAAAAUGUAAAUAUCGAGGACUAAAUUUAUCCCUAUGUCAUUCUUUUUAAGGUUAACUUAUAUGAAUACAAUAUAGGUUCAAGUACAAAUAUAUGUAUGGAUUAAUCUAGAAAGAACUGGACAAAAUCCACACAUGAUAUACGCAUAUAAUGAGAGUGAGAACCACACAUCACAAUUGAGAAUAAUAAUAUAGAACCUAAAUACUCAGAGACUUAAAACCUUCGCAUUAACCAAAAAGUUAAGAUCCCAUCAUAUGAAGAAUUUUAUAUCUACAUACUACAAUAUUUCUCGGAUUUCAUACGCUAAUACUAACUCUUCAAAUAUAUUCAUUUUUCAUUUUAUUGCUUAAAGUUAUUUUGAUUUACUUUAGUAUUUAAAUUAUCAUUCUGUUAUACGAUUUAUUCCAAACAUUUAACAUCAUCAAAAAAAUAUUAGGUGGUACGUUUAGUCAAUAAGAGCGUGACACAUUAUGUUAAAUAUUUGGGGUUAAUUGUGUGAUGAGAUGAUAAUUUAUAUAUCACAAUGAAUUUAAAAUUUAAAAUAUCAUUAUUAAAAAAAUUAAAUUUUAAAAAUUAAAUUGAGUACAAAAUCAUUUUAAAAUUAUGAGUAAAAAUAUAGUUUGAGAUAAUGCAAUUUUAAGUAUUUCAAUUUAUUUAAUCAUGAUUAUAUACUUACCUAUGUAUCAUAUCAAAUAUCAUGAUUCUCUAACAUUAUUAAAAUUAAACAAUUAAAGCAUGCAAAUAUAUAGAUAAUGUUUUUUUUUUAAAGUAUAAUGUAUAUAUUUGUAAUACUAAUGCUAAUUGUACUUUGCCAAGUCACUAGGUAUGGUAUUUGAUCUUACUUUUCUUUUUUCUCUAGUAGGGAGCCACUCUCAUGACUUUAUUAAAGGAUUUGGGUUACGUUGGCUGCUCCAACAUACUAUUCCUUUAAUGAGAUAAAUUAAUGUAGUUGAUUUUGUAUUAUUUCAAUCAUAUCGGUCCGUACAUAUUGUUUCAAUAAAAAAUCGAAACAUUCAAUUUUAUUUUCUGCACAAGAGCGACGGGAAAGGGGCAAGUAGGGAUUGGAAAAUUGCUUUUUAUUUUUCAAUGUAUAAAAUUUUAAAUUAUAAUGGUAAAAUUAUACUUUGGCCUCUAAUAAAUCACAAGAUUUUAAUUUAGUCUUUUAAAAAAUUAUAAAAAUAUUAAUUAAUACAAUGAUGAAAUUGGGUCUUAACUCUUAUCAAAAUUCAUAACUUAAUUUCAGUUCCUCAAAAAAAUUUUCUAACUUCACCCUUUUUUCUACACUAGUAAAAAUUCUAAUCUAUAUCAACUGCACUGAUCAAAACAUUGUACAUUGAUUGGUAUAUAAAAGAUAUUUAAUAUAUAUAUAUAAAUACUAUUUCUUUUACCAAUUUUAAACUUUAACUAAAUUAAAGUAGAAACUUUAAUAUUUUAAGUAGAAAACAAAAAAAAAAAAAGAGAUUUUAUUUAACAAAUAAGCCAAUGAAAAGAAAAAGUGGAAAUAUAAAUUUUAUUAAACUUUAACUUUUUAAAGUAUAUGAGUGAUAUUAAAAAUACAUAUAAAAAUAUUAUUUCUUUUACCAACUUUAAACUUUAACUAUUUUAACUAAAUUAAAGUACAAAAUAAAAAAAUAAAGAAUUUAUUUAAUAAAUAAGCCAAAGAAAAAAAGUGGAAAUAUAAAAUCUCUAAAAGCUUAAUCAACACACAUUGAGGUGUACACUUUUAUUAAGCUUUAAUUUUUUUAGUAUGAGAUGAUGUUGUUGUGGAUAUUUAAAAAUAAUAUUAUGGAUAACUUUUUAUUUAAUGUAUUGCUUGGUUCUUUUUUCUUUUAGAUUUGUUGAAUGAUGAAUGAUGAAUUUUAUUUCUGAAGUUUUUUAUGAAUAUAUACAAUUGAUUAAUAUUUUUUAUAUUUAAAGUUUAUUUAAUUUUUUAUAUAUUAAAUAUUUUAAAGUUUUAUCAAUAAUUUUGAAAAGAUGUAUAAAAACAGGCUAGUACUAAUAUGUAUUAGUUUUUGUAGAAAAAUUAUGCGCCAUUAAUGUAGUACUAACUACCUUGGAUAAAAAAUUAGUUUGCCCUUGAAUUUGGUAACUUUUCUCAACUUAGUCCUUAAACUUUUAUUUCAUCUACAUUAGUAUUAUAACUUGACAACUUUUCUUAAUUUUGAUGCAUGUGAUGACACAACACUCUGAUAUUGUGUCAUUCUUUAAAAACAAUAUUUUUAAUAAAAAUUAGGUGUUGACAUGCCAGAAAUGUCACCAUAAUGACCAAAAAUGAGAAAUAUUGUCAAAAUUCAUGACCGAUGUAGAUAGUGGGGAAGCCAGGGGGUUGAAAGGGCCCUAAAAAAAAUGAAAAAAAUUCAUUUAGGCCCUUUUAUAAUUUAUAAAAUUUUAAAUUAGUAAUGGUAAAAUUACAUUUUGCCCCUCAAAAAUGACAAAAAAAAUUGAUUUAAUCCUUUAAAAAUGAUAAAUAUAUAUACCAUUAAAAUGGUGAAAUUACAUUGUUAUUAUCGUAAAAAUAUACAACUUAAUUUCAAAGAUUCUUUAAUUCGCCAUUUCUGAGAGUGAAGUCCGUACCCGGCAUUGGAAUGAUCAUCUCUAGGAGAUUGGUGUUGGUGGUGAUUGUUUGAUCAGUGGAAACUACUCCGCCGGGAGAUCCGACGGCGCCGCCUCCUUCCUCCGUGGAUGACAUUUUCAGGCUGAGCAACAAGGUGAUUUUGAAAACUGUUUUUGGCUGAGUGAGUGAUGUUGGAAAAAAGGUGGCAAAAUGGCUACGAUGACGACAAAUGUUUCUAUAGCUUAUAUUAUAGAAAAUACUUUCGGUGUAAUAUCAAAUUUAUCCUUUAAUAUUUAUAUUUUUUUCCAAUUUGAUUCUUAUUAUCUCUAGUUAAAUUUAGUUCUCUACGAGUCAAAUUUGAUUACCAAUCUUUUAGAAAAGAGUCAAAUUAAUAUUUUUUAACUAAAAUAGUGACUAAAAUGUUAAAUUUCUAAAAACGACAACUCACAUAGCAAUCUACAUGUACAUGUUUUUAUAUUUUUUAUUAACGUGACAUAUAAGAAAAGCAAUAUUAUGUUAGCAUCAAGUGCACAUGAAUUGCCACACAUUUAAGAUGUUAGCUUAUAGUGUCAAUUAGGCAACGCAUUUAAGAUGUGUAACAAAAUUGUUCUUUUUUUUGUAAGUUAAUCCUUUUUCUAAAUAUAAAAAAUAUUUUACUAAAUUAAUCCAUUUAAUGGUAAAUUAAUUAAUUUAAUCAAAUCCAUAUAAUAUAAAGAUCUCUCAAAUAUAUCCUCAUAAAAUUACUUUCUUUGAAAUACAGACGGAAUAAACUAGACUUAUAGUUAUAUAUAUAAUAUAUAUAAUUUUAUAAUACUAAUGAGAAUUGAACUUUGCCAAGACAUUAAGUUUGGUAUUUGAUCUUACUCUACUUUUUCUCUAGUAGGAGCCACCCUCACGACUUUACCAAAGGAUUUAGUUCCAUUGGCCGCUCUUUUUAAUAUUAAGGAUUCAGUUUUUUGAAGAAAAAUGGUGCAUCCAUUAGUGUAGUACUAACUAAUUUUUAAUAAAAAUUUGGUGUUAAUAUGGGAGAAAUGUCACCAUAAUGACCAAAAAUGAGAAAAAUUACCAAAAUUCAUGAUUAAUGUGGACAAUAGGGAAGCCAGGGGCUGGCAAGAUCCCAAAAAUGACAAAAUUUUUAUUUAGGCUCUUUUAUAAUUUAUAAAACUUUAAAUUAAUAAUGAUAAAUUUAUAUUUUGUCUCUAAAAAUGAUAAAAAUUGAUUUAAUAAUUUAAAAAAUAGAAAGAUAUAGACUAUUAAAUGGUAAAAUUAUAUUUUUAUUAUUGUAAAAAUAUACAAUUUAAUUCCACCUAAAAAAAAUAUUUUUUGCCUUGACCCCUAAAUAUGGACAAAAAAAAGAAAGUCUACAGAUCAAAUUGAAAAAAGUUACCAAAUUUAAGGAUUAAAUGUUGUCUUAUUAUUUUAUUUAACUAAAAUUGUAUCAUAUACACCAAAGUCUCGUAAUUGAAUAAUAAAAAUUCAAUAUUUUUAAAGUAAAUCUUGAAUUCAAAUACUAUGAAUAGAGAAAAAUAUUAUAAAUUAACUAAUUCAAUAUUAUGAAUUGAGUAAUAAAAAUCGAGUGCAAAACCUACGAUGCCACCAUGGUUUUAGUUUAGUCAUUUAAAAAAUUAUAAAUAUAUUAACUAAUACAAUGAUGAAAUUGGGUCUUAACUCUUAUCAAAAUUUAUAACUUAAUUUCGAUUCCUCAAAUGAAUUUUUCGACUUCACCCUUAUUUCUGCAUUAGUAAAAAUUCUAAUCUAUAUCAAUUGCACUUAUCAAAAUAUUGUACAUUGACUGGUAUAUAAAAGAUAUUUAUAUAUAUAUAUAUAUAGGUUGUAAAUUUUCUUGGCUGGAAGCUCACUGGAAGCCAAAAUCAAAACAAACUUUUGAUGGUUUAAUUGUUUUUUAGCCCUUCAAUUUCAGGUGCUAUGAGAAAUGGAUUACAACCUUAUCUUGUCAUUGUCCCAAAAUCAAAACAAGCAACUCUUGGUUGAAAGUUGAAACCAAGGGCCCCCAAGUCAAAAUUGUUUUAGGAUAAGUCCAAAAUGAAUAAUGAAUUUGAAGGUUCAAAAUAAAAUUUUAUUAAUAUAUUAAUUUAUAAUUUCAUAAAUUUUAAAAGGAUUAAAUGAUAAAUUUACUAAUUUAAGAAGACAAUAGGGAUGGUCAAAUCUAAUUGAACCUAUCUGCGAUCGGAUCGGGAUGGAUUUUUUUAAUUUAAAAAAUUAAAUAGAUUUAUUCGAGAGUUACAAAAUUCUGAUAAAUAACAAGAGUUUACAAAAAGUACACUUACUUUGGUUGAUGUAUGGUCUAAUAAGCCUGCAAGCAGCAAUGGCACCCACAAAUGCGAAAAACGUCCAACGAGUCCUAAAAAAAGGACGGUAAACUUGAGCUGGAUAUCUAAUCCACAUAUUGUUAUGAUGAUCAUGUAUUUGCAGUUUAACAUGCCUGUAAAUCAUCGGGCUAGGAACCUAAUCAAUAUUCAUCUUCUUGAUAAGCUUAGCCACUUCUUUAUCACUCCCAAAUCUAUUGUAUAGUAUGCCGGCGUCUCUCAGUUCCUUAACAUCUUCGGCUUCAUCGAUCAAUGAAUCAAGGAAACCCAUAUAUGAAGUGACGGCGAAAUUGUUGUGGAAAUCUGGACACAUUUCGUAAGCUAUUAAGUUCAUGGUUGAAUCAUCGACGGUGAUCGGCGGUAACCGUAAUUUCCGGACGAAGAAGUAGCGACGUUUGAAACUGAUGUCGGUUAAACAACUUGUUUCACUUGCUUCUAACCAUAUCCCGGCGCUUUUAAGCUCUUUUACGUUACCAAAAGGGUGUGAAUGGUGCCGUUUUGUUCUUGUAUGGCCACUGCGAUUUGUGAAGGAUAUGAAAACCUACAAUCACCUGGUUUUUCUUUAUUGAAAAGGAGUCUUACUCGUAGUAGAUGCAAUAAGUGAAUUCCCUCUCCUUGCUGCGGCCACCAUUCACUAGUGCAAAAUAUGUGUUAGUCGGGAGCCAGCUAAAAUUAAGGUUUUCAAUGGUUGAAUCAAAUCAUUAUUAUUUUAAUAAAAAAUAUUUAAAUUAUUAAAUUAUAAAUUUAUAUACAAUAAAACUAUACUUUGACUCCUCAAGAUGAAUAAAAAAUUGUUCAAACACUUUUUAAAAAUAAUAAAAUCAUAAAUUAAUACAUAAAAAAAAUCUAAGAAUCAAACCAUACUUGUCGAUCGGCCUAAUUAGACAGAGGAUCGAGCAAGGUACUAAUCCAGAAUAAUAAGUUUAAUCCAUUGAAUUCAAUCAUCAAAUCGAUUUUUUUUUAUAUUUUUAAUAUACCUUUAAUAUUUUUUAAUAUUUUAUAUAAUUGAAUUGAAUCAACUAAUCAACCGAAAAUGAGACUCUAAUCGAUUCUAUCACCUAUAUAUGUAGUUGUAAAAUCCUUUUAACAUUUAUAAAUGAUUCUUUUAUAAAUUCCUUAAAUUACCUGUCCUGCUGAUGUGAUUGUGGCUCUUUAACAGUACCGUCGAUGAACCUUAUGACUGCCUCCAUGAAUUUUGUGCCAUCGUUCGAUCUUGUAAGCAAUUCAAGAACACGAAAAGGUAAUUGGUUUUCCAACAAGAACAGAACCGAGUACACAAAUGUUAGCAAUUCGUUUUUAAUAAAAAUUCGUUCGACGUACGACAACAAUCUUGGCCGUAAAGCAUAUAAACUGCUUGUAAAAUUGCGCAGCCGUCAACGAAGAACAUCCAAGCCAGUUUCACGUUAUCGUUGCUACACUUCUUUAAUCCCUUUGGAUCAUAGCAUUUCUUCAAGCCAUCGAUCUCUGUCUUCAUGUUGUUGUACAAGGUUUCCUUAUCGACGCCAAUUUUUUUGACGAAAAGUGCUGCUAAUUUGAGCUUGAGCUUCUUGGAUUUAUGGAGGGUGGAAUCAUUGUGGUGGAGUGGGCCGAUUGAGAUCACUUUCGGCUUGAAAUACUUCCUGAAAUCUUCGUGACGUCCAAGGGAUGAUGGGACUCUUUGUAUCAAUGGUUUGGCAUGGAGGUCGAGUUCGUCGCCGUCGAAAGCUACGUCUAAUGACCGGAGAUUCCGUAAUUCGCUAUUGCUGCGAGUGAAGUUCUCUAGGGGAUUGUUGUUGUUGUCGAUGAUUGCUUGAUCAGUGGAAACUGCUCCCACGGCGCCGCCUCCUUCCUCCGUGGAGGACAUUUUCAGGCUGAGCGGUUGGAGGUAAUAAACAAGGUGAUUUUGUAAACUGUUUUAGGCUGAGUGAGUGAUGUUGGAGAAAAGGUGGCAACAUGGCUACGAUGAUGACAAAUAUUUUAUAGCUUACAUAAUAAACAUAUAUGGGAAAUACUUAAGGCGUUAGUGUUUAUAUUUUUACUAAUAUAAUUUUAAUUUUUUAAUUAAAUUUAAUUCUCUUUUGAAAGAGUUAAUGAUAAAAAAGAAAAGUUAAAUUAAUGCUUUUUAACAAAAAUAGUGACAAAUAUUAAAAUUGAGAACAACAUUAUAGAACCUAAAUACUCAACACAACCCAAAACUUUCGCCUUAACCAAGAAAUUAAAAUCCUAUCUGAGGGAGAAUUUUAUAUCUGUAGCACUUCCUAAAUUUCAUUAGCUUAAUAAUAGCUAUUCAAAUAUAUUUUUUUCAUUUUAUUACUUAAAAAUUAUUAUUACUUACUUAAAUAUUUAAAUUAUCAUUAUAUUACAUGAUUUACUCCAAAUAUUUACAUAUAGUAAUUGCGUUUGUAAUUCUACCUAACUCAUGAAAAAUCUCAAAUUUGCAACAUGUUAUUCACAUGCCAACCAAAUCUACAAUUUCACCUUGUAAACUGUUUUUGGCCGAUUUGAGUGAUGUUGGAAAAAAAGUGGCAAAUUUCAUCUCUUAUUUUAUUUUGUGUGGUACUUGUAGAUCAGAGUGUUGAUUAUAUCACGAGUAUUCUGUGACAGAACACCUACGUGGAGGACAACGAUUCGACACUUACUGUCAUAUUUGUGUCGCCUGGAAUUUAAUUCUCAAUGGGCAGUUUUUUUUAUAAAAUAACUUGAAAUUUUUUAUUAAUUAUAAAAAUGAUAUUUUGUUUAUGUAAACAAUAAAUAGUAAAAAUGAAUGGAUUUAAAGAGAUUGGCGUGACCUUUUUAUCACGUUAACUAAUCAUUAACUAUUAAAAUUAAAAUUUUAUUUUUUUAAUGAACCUAUUUCGCGUCACAUGUGGUAGAAAAUAAUCUAAGAAAGGCAUGCACUAAUCAAUUGUUUUAAGUAUUAAUAUUUACGGAUAAAGUAAUAUUUAAUUAUCUGAAUAUUUUAUAUUAGGGACCAAGUUAUAAAAAGUUUAGAAGUUGAAGUUGAAUUAUGUAUUUUUAUACAAGUUAAAAUACAAUUUAAUCAUAUUAGUUUGUAAUUUUACAUAUUUUAAAGGGAUUAGAUUAAAAUUUUAUCAUUUUGAAGGCUGAGAUGCAAUUUUACUUUAUGUAUUAACAUGUGGAAUUAUAAUUUUUAAAGGCACCCAAAACAUAAAUUUUUCCUAGAAAAAUUACUCAAUAAGCUAUGGAAUUAAUUUUUCCUUGGCUACAUGUAACAACAUUUCUGUUAAAUAAAAGCAACUUUAAUCUGCACCAAAGGGAAGCAACAGAGAUCUAUUGUGACAACUAAUCUACGGUUGCAAUUGUAAAGAAUCCAGUGUUCUAUAGGAAGACAAAACUCUUCAAGAUUAAGUUCCAUUUUGUUAGGGAGAUGGAGCAAGCUCGAGAAGUAGAGCUGAUUCAUUGCAAUUCGAAAGAACAAUUGGCAAACAUCUUGACAAAGCCACUUAGUGUGUCAAGGUUCGACAAAUUAAGACAGCAAAUGGGAGUUUGCAGCAUGGAAGCCAAGGAGGAGUGUUGAAGUUGGCCUCCAUACAGCUCAUGCAGCAAGGAGCAGCAUAUGCAGUCGAGCCAAGCUUGCAGCAGCUGAAGCACGAUGCUACUGUUAAGUUUCAUUUUCAUUUUGUUACUCUAAUGAUCAUUUUUGAAUCAAAUUAGAUUUGAACUUAGUUGGUAACUCCUUCUUGAUGUAAUUAGGUGUUGAUUGACUGAAAAUUCAGCAAAGCAACAUGUACAAGUUAAUUUAGCAAGUUUCAAUGUAAUUUAGUGGUGUUAGGCAGUUGCUUAGGUGAAAACUUGUUUGUAUUGACCAGCUUGUCUGGUAUAUGUAAUGGCUUAAUGCCUUUGUUCAUGUUAGUUAAUGAAAAUCAAUUAGUUUUCAUCCAGCUACUCUCCAUUUUUCUUUGCUUUCAAUUCGGUUAUGUUCUUAAGCAAAUUUCUGCUUUGUUUCUUCUCUAAGUCACGAGUCUUGCUGUUCAAGUCAUAGCUGAACUAGCUUGCUUGUUGUUCAUAAUACCAACAACCUGCUCUCGGCUGGGUUGAUAACAGUAUCAUCGAUGAACCUCCGGAUUGCAUUCAUGAACAUUUUGCCAUCACCCAAGCUUGUAAGCAAUUCAAGAACACGAAAAGGUAAUAGGUUUUCCAACAAGAACAGAUCCGAGUACAGAAAUGUCAGCAAAUCUUUUUUAGUUAACAAAUUACCAUCAUCAUCAUCAUUAUCAUAACGCAUGUAAACUGCUUGUAAAACUGCGCAGCCGUCAACGAUGAACAUCCAAGCCAGUUCCUCGUUAUCGUCUCUAUACUUCUCUAAUUCCUGUGGAUCAUAGCAUUCCUUCAAGCCAUCCAUCUCUUUCUUAAUUUUGCUGUACAAGGAUUUCUUAUCGACGCCAAUUUUUUUGACGAAAUGUGCUGCUAAUUUGAGCUUGAGCCCCUUGGAUUCACGGAGGGUGAGAUCAUCGUGGUGGAGUGGGCCGAUUGAGAUCACUUUUGGCUUGAAAUACUUCUUGAAAUCUUCGUUACGGAGAAGGGUUGAUGGGACUUUUCAUAUUAAUGGUUUGUAUCUGAGGGUGGGUUGGCCGCCGCCGAAAGCUUUGUCUAAUGACUGGAGCUUCGCUACUUCGCCAUCGCUGAGAGGGACGUCCGUGAACCGCAAAUCAAUUCCCACGUAAUCGUUGUUGGUGUUGUUGUCGAUGAUUGUUUGAUCAGUGGAAACUGCUCCGGCGGCGCCGCCUCCUUCCUCCGUGGACGACAUUUUCAGGCUGACCGGCUCGAAGUAAUUAACAAGGUGAUUUUGAAAACUGGUUUUGGCUGAUUGAGUGAUGUUGGAAAAAAGUGGCAAAAUGGCUACGAUAAUGACAAAUGUUUCUAUAGCUUACAUAAAGAGGCGAAUAUAGGGAAAUGUAAAAUUGUUAUUUAGGCCCUUAACUUUUUUAAAAUUUCAAAUUAGUAAAGGUAAAAUUAUACUUUGGCCUCAUAAAAUUAUAAAAAUUCAAUUUAAUCUUUUAAAAAUUAUAAAGAUAUAGACUACAAAAAAUUAAAAUUUCAUUCGAUCCACCCUAAAAAAUUAUUCGGGCUUUGCCACUGCUUACAUAAUAAACAUAUGGAAAAUACUUUUGGUGUAAUUCAAAUUUACCCCUUAUUAUAGUCAAUUUAAUUUUCAUUUUUUAAAUUUAAUUUUCUAUCUUUUGGAAGAGUCGAAUUUAAUUAUCAAUUUAAAUUAAUGUUUUUUAACGAAAAUAGUGACUAAAAUAUUAAAAUGUUAAACAUGACAACUCAAACAGCAAUCCACAUCUAUAUUUUUAUUUUUAUUUUUUAUUUUUAAAUUAUUUAUUGAUGUGACAUAUAAUAAAAGUAUUGUUAUGUUAGCAUGAAGUACGCAUGAAUUGCCACACUAGUUGUGACACCAAUAUCGUUAAAAAAUUAAUAUUUCAAUUAGCAUAUCUGUUAAAGAAAACCAAAUUGACUCUUUUUUAAGAGGUUAAUGGCUAAAUUUAGCACAAAUGAAAAAAAAAUAAAGGCCAAUUUGAUAAUAAAAAAAAAGGUAAAUGUCAAAAGUUAAGUUUAUCAUUUAUACAAGUAUAAAUAUAUGUCUGGAUUAAUCUAGAAAGAACCAGACCAACUCUACACGUGAUAUACAAAUGUGACGAGAGUGAAAUCUACACAUCACAAUUGAGAAUAAUAUUAUAGAAAUACUCAAACCUUCCCCUUAACCAAGAAGGUAAGACGCUAUGGAUAAUUUUAUAUCUACAACACUUCAUGAAUUUUGUUGCGGAAAGGAUCGAUUCGAGAACUCCGAUAUGACUACAAGUAAAUUGACCGAAACGAAAAAUAAAGUGAACACAAGGAUUUACGUGGUUCGGCUUUAAUGCCUACGUCCACGGGCAGAGGCGAAAAGAAAUUUCACUAUAACAAGAUGAAGAUUACAAGUGUUUUACACUCAAGACACAACCCGAGAACCUCACAACUCUCAACCCCUAUAGAAAACCCGAAAGCUAAAAUCCUAGCUUUCAAAGAACAAGCUUUGCUCUCUCUUUGUUUGGGAUGAUCAAUAUGGCUAAUGAACCUCUCUAUUUAUAAGAGAGUUCAAGGACAUAAUUGUCCAAAACUUUGGCAAAGAUUUGUGGUUGAAAAUGGACACCAACAACCAUCCACUAAUCCACUACCACCAACAACCCACUACCAACAACAACAAUCCACUACCAAUUUUAAGCCAUUUCUUAACAAAUCUCCACCUUGGCUUGAAAUUUACCAAGCUGAACAUCAUAGUGAAUUCCUCGAACUGGAUCACCUCUUCCAAACGCCUCUCUGGCGCUAAUCAAUCCUGAAUACCUAUCAAGUCCAAGCAAUGCUUGAACUUAUAUGCAGGGAUCACCUUAGUUAACAUAUCUGCAGGAUUCUUCUCGGUAGCAACCUUGCUGAUAACAAUGUCACCUUGCGUAACAUGUUCCCGAACAAAAUGAUAUCUGACAUCAAUGUGUUUGGUCCGUUCAUGAAACAUCUGAUUUUUAGUCAGAUGUAUGGCACUCUGGCUAUCGCAAAAUACAACAGUGAAAUCCUGUUGUAAACCCAAACUGCUUACUAGACCUUUCAUCCACAAUGCUUCUUUCACUGCUUCUGCUAACGCCAUAUAUUCCGCCUCAGUCGUAGAUAAGGCUACGGUAGACUGUAACACAGCUUUCCAACUAAUGGCUCCUCCAGAAUAAGUGAAAACAUAACCCGUCAGAGAUCUUCUUUUGUCCAGAUCUCCAGCAUAAUCAGAGUCCACAUAGCCCGUGACACUGCUAGUGCAGUCACUCUGAUCAUAUACCAAGCAUAAAUCUGCAGAACCUCUCAAGUACCUGAGAAUCCAUUUCACGGCCUGCCAGUGUUCCUUGCCAGGACAACUCAUGUAUCUGCUGACCACACUAACUGCAUGUGAAAUGUCUGGACGAGUGCAAACCAUUGCAUACAUCACGCUUCCAACUGCACUCGAGUAUGGAAUGUGAGACAUUUGCUGCUUUUCUUCAUCAGAUUGUGGUGACAACUCUGCAGAGAGUUUGAAAUGUGGUGCCAACGGAGUACUCACAGUUUUCGCUUUAUCCAUGCCGAAGCGUUGAAGAACCUUUUCAAUGUAGUUCUUCUGCGACACACGAAGCUUGCCCGCCUUGCGAUCUCUGUGAAUAUCCAUGCCCAAAAUUUUCUUGGCAGCACCCAGAUCCUUCAUCUCGAACUCACCACUCAACUGCGACUUUAACUUGUUGAUUUCCGACAUGUUUUUGGAAGCAAUUAACAUGUCAUCAACAUACAGCAACAAAUAAAUGUGCGAACCAUCUGAGAGCUUCCGAUGAUAGACACAAGCAUCAUAGUCACAUCUUGUGUAACCAUGCUGAAUCAUGAAGCUAUCAAACCGCUUGUACCACUGCCUUGGGGAUUGUUUCAAUCCAUAUAAAGACUUCUUUAAUAGACAGACAUGGUCUUCUUUACCAGGAACUGUAAAACCCUCUGGUUGACGCAUGUAGAUUGUUUCCUCGAGCUCACCAUGCAAGAACGCCGUUUUUACGUCAAGCUGCUCAAGUUCUAGAUCAGACUUGGCCACCAUGGCAAGUAAUACACGAAUGGAAGAAUGCUUUACGACUGGGGAGAAAACUUCAUUGUAGUCAAUCCCCUCUUUCUGAGUGAAGCCUUUAGCAACCAAUCGUGCCUUGAAUCUAGUUGCUUCAACCCCUAGGAUGCCUUCCUUUUUCUUGAAGACCCAUUUGCAACCAACUAUCUUCUGGUUACUUGGCGGCUUAACCAACUCCCAAGUAUGGUUCUUGUGAAGAGAUUCUAUCUCCUCACUCAUAGCAAUUGCCCACUGUGCCGACUCAUCACACGUGACAGCCUCAUUAUAACUGGAAGGUUCUAUACCAAUGGACUCCGCCACACUGAGCGCGAAAGACACCAGAUUAGCGUAACGCGGAUUUGGUUUGAUUUGUCUCUUCGUUCUUCCAGUGGCAAUGCUAUAUGGUUUUUCUUGAGGUGACUCAUCUUCAUCGGAAUCUUGCACCUCAACUUGAUCAUCCUGGACUGAAGUACCUUCCGUAGGAAUUGGAGCGUCCACCUGACACUCCACCUGCUUCUCAACACCGUGAUCUCCCAUUCUAUCUGACUCCUCCUUUUCCCGGGAAUUUGUGGUGGAUCGAAGCAUGGAUGACUCAUCAAAAGUCACAUCUCUGCUGAUGAUGAACUUGGACGAAACCGGAUCAGGACACCACAACCUGUAUCCUUUCACCCCUUGGCCGUAUCCAAGAAAUAUGCAUUUCUUCGCCCUCGGUUUGAGUUUUCCCUCAUUUACAUGAGCAUACGCAGGGCAGCCAAACACUCUUAAACCAGAGUAAUCAGCAGGAGAACCAGACCAUACUUCCUCAGGAGUCUUCAGCUCAAUAGCUGUUGACGGAGAUCUGUUAACCAAAUAACAAGCAGUAUUAACAGCUUCAGCCCAAAAUUCUUCACCGAGCCCAGCAUUUGAUCGCAUGCAACGAGCUCGCUCCAAGAGAGUUCUAUUCAUGCGUUCUGCAACUCCAUUUUGUUGUGGUGUUCGACGAACAGUGCGGUGUCUCACUAUUCCUUCAUUUUUGCAGAACUCAUUGAAUUCACCUGAGCAAAACUCCAAGCCAUUAUCCGUCCGGAAUCGCUUGAUCUUCUUUCCUGUUUGAUUUUCGAUCAAAGCUUUAAAUUGCUUGAAGUUGAUGAGAACCUCAUACUUGCUCUUCAGAAAAUACACCCAAACCUUUCUCGAGUAAUCAUCGAUAAAGGUAAGCAGAUAUCUGUAACCACCUUUAGAAAUUGUCGGAGAAGGCCCCCAAAGGUCAGAAUGGAAGUAAUCCACUGUGCCUUUUGUCUUGUGAAUCCCAGUGCUGAACUUUACCCGAGUCUGCUUACCGAAGACGCAGUGCUCACAGAAAUUCAACUUUCCUGUACACUGCCCAGACAAUAAUCCUCGUUUGCUUAGCACCGAUAAGCCUCUCUCGCUCAUAUGCCCGAGCCGCAUAUGCCAUAACUUCGUGGUGUCAGAAUCUAGAUCAUCUGAUGAUGACACUCCCGCAACACCUGUAACCGAGGAACCAUCGAGGAAGUAAAGGCCCCGCUCCAAAUUACCACGUAUCACAGUCAAAGCACCCGAGAAUACCUUGAGAACUCCACCUUCAGCAGAGUACCGAAAGCCUUUCUUGUCCAACGUACUCAAAGAGAUCAAAUUUUUCUUCAUUUCUGGAAUGUGCCGAACAUCAGUUAGAGUUCUAACAAUACCGUCAAACAUCUUUAUACGAACUGUGCCAAUCCCCAUGACUUGACAUGCGUGGUCAUUUCCCAUUAGUACUGAACCAGAAUGCUUCUCGUAUGUUGAGAAUGCAUCUUUCGAAGUACUUAUAUGAAAUGUAGCUCCCGUAUCAAGAAUCCAUCUCCCACCAGCGUAAGAGUCGGAUACUGCAAGAACGAUCUCGGCACCACUUGAAGAAUCUGCAUCAGCUACAUUCGCACGAUCAUUUUGUUGCUCCUGUGAUUCUGAUUUCUCCUUCCUUUUCGGACAAUCUACCUUCAUGUGCCCGUACUUCUUACAGUAGUAGCACUGUAUUCUCUUCUUGGACUGCGAUCUAGGAUGGCUUUUACUUGAACUUCCACCCUUUGCCUUGGAUCUUCCUCGAGCAACCAAGCCUUCGCCUUCAUUGUUUUCGACCACCUUACCAGUGAUUUUCUUCCUCAACUCACUGGAACUUAAGGCAUUUUUCACCUCCUCUAGAGUCAGGUCAUCACGACCGUACAUCAUUGUAUCAACAAAAUUCUCAUACGAGGGAGGCAAAGAACACAAAACAAUUAUUGCUUGGUCCUCAUCAUCGAUUUUGUUAUCGAUAUUAUUCAAAUCCAUGAUAAUGGAAUUGAAUUUAUCCAGGUGCUGGGAAACAGGUGUACCUUCCUCCAUCUUCAGGGCAUAGAGUCUUUGCUUGAGGUAGAGCCGGUUCGUCAAUGACUUCGUCAUGUACUUGCUCUCUAACCGGAGCCACAAACCGGACGCGGUUUUCUCAUCCGCUACUUCUCGUAGCACUUCAUCUCCUAGACAUAGCAGAAUAGCACUAUGUGCUCUUUCUAGCAUGUCAUCCUUUUGCUCUUCCGAAAGCGUGCUUGGUAAUUUAUCUUUACCAGACAAUGCUUUUAGCAAUCCUUGUUGAACCAGCACUGCCCGCAUCUUGAUGCGCCAUAAACUGAAACUAUUUUUCCCGGUAAAUUUCUCGACAUCAUACUUAGUCGAUGAAACACUUGUAGCCAUAAUUUGGAACCUUUGAAUGAAUGAUAAUAUUUUCUUCCUGAUGUGAAAGAUCAGACAAAGCUGCAGUCACAGGGCAAUUCAGAAAAUAUUAUCACUCCUUCAACUACGCUCUGAUACCAAUUUGUUGCGGAAAGGAUCGAUUCGAGAACUCCGAUAUGACUACAAGUAAAUUGACCGAAACGAAAAAUAAAGUGAACACAAGGAUUUACGUGGUUCGGCUUUAAUGCCUACGUCCACGGGCAGAGGCGAAAAGAAAUUUCACUAUAACAAGAUGAAGAUUACAAGUGUUUUACACUCAAGACACAACCCGAGAACCUCACAACUCUCAACCCCUAUAGAAAACCCGAAAGCUAAAAUCCUAGCUUUCAAAGAACAAGCUUUGCUCUCUCUUUGUUUGGGAUGAUCAAUAUGGCUAAUGAACCUCUCUAUUUAUAAGAGAGUUCAAGGACAUAAUUGUCCAAAACUUUGGCAAAGAUUUGUGGUUGAAAAUGGACACCAACAACCAUCCACUAAUCCACUACCACCAACAACCCACUACCAACAACAACAAUCCACUACCAAUUUUAAGCCAUUUCUUAACAAAUUUCAUAUGCUUAAUAAUAGUUUACAAAAAGACUAGUAAAGAACACUUACUUUGGUUGAUGUAUGGUAUAAUAAGUCUGCAAAGCACUAAGAAGAAGUGCAGCAAUGGCACCCAAAAAUGCCAAAAACGUCCAAGGACUCCUAAAAUAAGUAUGAUAACCUUGAGCUGCAUGAUUAAUCCACAUAUUCUUACAAUGAUUAUGUAUUUUCUCUUUAACCCCACUGUAAAUCAUCGGACUAGGAACCAAAUCAGUGUUCAUCUUAUUGAAAAGCUUAGCCACCUCUUCAUCACUCCCCAAUCUAUUGUACAGUAUGCCGGCGUCUCUCAGGUCUUUAACAUCUUCGGCUUCAUCGAUCAAUAAAUCAAGGAAACACAUAUAAGAAGUGACGGUGAAAUCGUUGUCGAAAUCCGGACACAUUUCGUAAGCUAUUAAGUUUAUGGUUGAAUCAUCAACCGUGAUCGGCGGUAACCGUAAUUUUCCGGAGAAGAAGAUAUGGUUGAAACUGAUGUCGGUUAAACAACUUGUUUCGCUUGCUUUUAACGUUAUCCCGGCCUUUUUAAGCUCUUUUACGGUACCAAUGGUGCGUGAAUGGUACCGUUUUGUUGUUUUUGUUCUUGCUGCUGCUUCGCCAAAUCCGCGUUGAGCGAAUUCCCAAAGAAAACACCAGCACCGUAUUCGCACUUUUCUGAGAAGGAGUCUUUGUCGUAGUAGAUGCAAUAAGUGAAUUCGCUCUCCUUCUUUUUGCUGCUUCCACCACCAUUCCCUACACCAAAAUCUGUGUUAGUCGGAAGCCAAGCUAUAAUUUCUCUUUUCUUUUUUUUUUCUUUUUGUUGUUGGAUUUGGAAUUGUUAAUUUAUAUGAAGCUAAAAUUAAGAUUUUCAAAAUAGAUAACCCAACGAUUAAGUUAUUCAAUUUAUUUAAUUUAAUUGAAUAAAUUAAUGGAAUUGUUAAUUUACCGAUUUACUCCUUUAUUUGUCAUUUUUUGUAUCAUUUUUUUACAUUUUUUUAACUAUUAAUAGAAGAAAAUAAAAAGAGAAAAAGAAAAAGGAAAACUCACCGGGGCGUGGCUUCGAACGCCCAUUCUGGCGCUUCGUCGGCCGUCGGAUGCGGCGGCGUUGCGGCGAGCAGGGAGGCGGCGCAACAUGGGGCCUUAAAACCCCAAGAAUCAGAUUUUUAGAGAGAAAAAAAGGAGCUUUUUAGUUUUUUUUUAAAUAGUGGCUGAUAAGGGAUUUUUGGGGAAAAAAGGGGUUUAAAUACCUCAAACAAAAUGGCGCCGAUUAGUUAUUAGGGUCAAGAGCCAAAAUGACGCCAUUUUGGCCCUGACCCGCGCGGUGACCCGACCCUGGGGAAGGAUCCGCAUGUUUUCUUCAAAUGGGAUAUUUGCGUGCGCAGUCCCUACUAUUUUGCAGCGCAUUACAAUCUGGUCCUAUUUCGUUAUUUUCUUUUAUUUUGAUUUAGCCCUAAAAUUUUACUUUUGUUUCACUUUGGUCCACUGCAGCGUUGCGUUUUGGGGUCCUUGGUUUAUUUACCAUUUUGGUCCCCCCUCUUUCGGCGCGUGUCACAAUCUAGUCCUUUUUGUUUUUUUUCAUUUCGAAUUUGCCCAGUAUAUUAGUUUUUACUUCGAUUUAGUCCCUCUUUUAGUACUUUUAUUUUAUUUUUAUUUUUUCAUUAUUUUAAUGUUAUUAUCUUUUGUUACUAUUAUUAUUAUUAUUAUUAUUAUUAUGAUUAUUAUUAGUCCCUCAUUUAUAUAUAUAUUUAUAAUUUCCAAUUUUUCUACAUAUAUACAUGUGCGUGCAUACAUUUUCAUAUAUAUGUAUUUAUAAUUUAUCUAUUUAUAUAAAUAUACAUACUUAUAUAUAUAUAUAUAUUUUAUAAUCUAUAAUUUAUAUAUAUAUAUUUUAUAUACCUAUACGCGUAUAUUCACGCUUACAUAAAACUUUUAUAUUUAAUAAUUUUAAAUAUAUAUAUAUAUAUAUAUCCUUCAUAUUUUCAUAACUUACACAUAUUUUCUGUUUAUUAUAUACAUAUUUUUAUGUUUCACAUUUAUUUUUUAUAUUUUAGGUACAUAUAAUAUAUAUUCAUAUAUUUUAAUUCAUAUACACAUAUAUGUGUACAUAUAUAUAUAUACCCUUUUUACAUAUACAUGUUUUUUUUUUAAUUUUAAUUUUAAUUUUUAUAAGUAUAUAUAUUUAUAUGUAAGUACUUAUAUAUUUUGUAUAUUUUAAUUUGCAUAAACAUAUAUACACAUAUUUUCAAAAUAUUUUUAAACACAUACAUAAAUUAACAUAUUUAUUUGUAUAUAUAUAUGUAUAUUUUUAUUAUUUUUUAGACUUUAAUAUGUACAUACAUAUGUAUAUAGAUAAUUUUGUAACUUAUUUAUAUUUGUAUGUGUAUAUAUAUAAUUAUAUUUUUCUUAUAUAUUUUUAAUUAGCAUACAUAUCUAUAUGUAUUUUAUUUUCAUAAAUAUAUGUAUAUAUACUUACAUGUUCUUUAUAUCCUCAAAUAUGUAUGUUUUCUAUACUUUAUGAUUUAUGUUUAUACCUAUAUAUAUAUGUAUUUUAAUUUAGGUGCAUAUGCAUUUCUUUACAUAUAUAUUUUUUAAGUUUUAUAAUUCAUACAUGUACAUAUAUAUAUUUUUUAUCUAGCUUAAAACCAUUUAUAUAUAUCUAUAUGCAUUUUUAUAAAUACAUGUAUAUAAAAACAUACUUUUAUACAUCUUUUAUAAUAUAUAUAUACUGCAUUUGUGUAUGUAUUUGCUUGUUUUCAUGUUUAUUUACAAUAAUUUUAGAAUGUAUUCAUAUAUAUAUAUAUAUAUAUAUAUAUAUAUAUAUAUCUUUUUACAUUUACAUCAUCUUAUUUAUUUCUUUUGGUUUAUUUCUGUAUUUAUAUUCAUAUUAUUUACAAUGAAUGCUUUAAUAUCUUUGUUUGUAUGUUUACCAUGGUGUAUUAUAUUAGUUUGUCUUAUUAUUUAUUUCAUAGCCUUUGUUUUCAUUAUUUCACUUGCAUUAUCAUCUUUAUCAUUAUUUUUUUACAUCCAUUUUCACUAGGAUUUAUCAAAAAUGGAAAAUUUUAAAAUAAAAGUAACAUUCGGCAUUUGAGAUCUUCGAGAGAAUCGAGUUUUUUUUGUUGAAUCUAAAUAAUCGAAGUUACUCCUUUUUUGAAAGACAUAAAACUUAUUAUCGAGAAUUCAAUGCGUCGUGUCCUGAUGUAUUGAACACGAUACGUUGAUUUCUCGAGACGAGGAUUUUUCAAAAUAAAUGCAAUAUUCAAUGUUUAACAUUUGAAGAAAUUGUAUCCUAACGUAUUGGGUUGCAAUUUUUUUAUAUGACUUAAACAAUCGAACACCCUUUUAAACUUUUUUAUGCGAGUUUAGACUAGUUCAUUUCUAAAGAGGUAAAAUAUCGUACCCUAACGCAUUAGGUGUGACAUUUUCUCUUUCUGAAAUGAAAAAGUCUUAAUGAGUAGUUCGAUUUUUAUAAGUUUUCUUUCAAAAUAAGGAUCGUAUUUUAAAAUUCUUCAAAGUUUUCAAUUCUCGACAUAAAGACAUUAACUAAUCAACUAGGUACCAAUUUUGGGCGUUACGAGGGUGUUAAUCCUUCCUCGUAGUAACUGACUCCCGAACCCAUUUUCUAAAUUUCGUGGACCAAAAUCGUUGUUUUAAUAAAAUUAAACCAUUUAUUAAAAACCACCACUUUACGAGGUGAUCUAAUCACACCUCAUCAAAAAGAUUGGUGGCGACUCCCAUCUUUUUUAUUUUCGUUUUCAAAAUCCAAGUUGACCCCGUUUUCAUCAAAAAAAAUGGUGUCAACAUGAAUGAUCGUCUCUAGGGGAUUGUUGUUGUUGUUGUUGGUGGUGGUGGUGGUGAUGAUUGUCUGAUCAGUGGAAAUUGCUAUGCCGGGAGCUCUGACGGCGCCGCCUCCUUCUUCAGUGGACGACAUUUUCAGGCUGAGCAAUUCGAAGUAAUUAACAAGCUGAUUUUGUGAACUGUUUUUGGCUGAGUGAUGUUGGAAAAAGGUACGAUUACGACAAAUGUUUCUAUAGCUUAUAUAAUAAACACAUGGAAAAUAUUUUUGUUAUAAUAUCAAUUUCAGCCCUUAAUAUUUAUAUUCUUGUCAAUUCUUAUUCUUUUUAGUUGAAUUUAACUCUCUAUCUUUUGAAAGUGUCAAAUUUUACUACGAAUCUUUUAGAAAAGAGUUGAAUUAAUAUUUUUAACAAAAAUAGUGAUUAAAAUAUUAAAUUUUAAACUUGACAACUCAUAUGACAAUCUACAUAUAGAUGUUUUCUUAUUUUAAAAUUAUUUGUUGACGUGGUAUAUAAGAAAAGCCAUGUUAUGCUAGCAUGAAAUGCAUAUAGAUUGUCACACAAGUUGUAGCACGAGCACCAUUAAAAAGUUAAUGUUUUACUCAAUAUUUCUGUUAAAGAAAAGCAAUUUGACUCUUUUUUGAAAGGUUAAUGACUAAAUUUAACUCAAAAUAAUAAUAAUAAUAAUAAUAAUAAUAAUAAUAAAGAAUAAAAACUAAUUUGACAAAAAAAGUAAAUGUCGAGGGCUAAUUUAAUGAUUAUAUUUUUUUUAAAGUUCCACUUAUAUAAAUACAAUAUAGGUUAAGGUAUUUGGGAGGUCGUUAUAUUAUGAGGAUUGGAUCAAAUUAAUCUCUCUAUUAUUAAAUAGAUCAAUUUAGUUUCUAUACUCUUAAAAGAGAAUCAAAUAAUUCCAAAGUGCAAUAAAGUUAACAUUUACUAUAUCUUUACUCAGUAAUUACUAGUAAUUUUAGUACUCGUCUAUAUGAUAUCUUUACUCACCAUAGCUAUACUAUUUAUCGAUAGAUGCAUUUGUCUUUGUCGUAUUUUUAGUUAAUUUCGUGAUACAAUCAUUGAUCUUACUUUUCUUUUUCUCUAAUAGGAGCAACUCUUAUGACUUUAUCACCGAAUUUUGUUCCAUUGGUUGCUCCAACACACCCUUUGUUUAAUGAGAUAAAAUUAAUAUAGUCGAUUUUUUUAUUUUUUGCACAAAGACGGAAGGAAGGGGAAAACACGGUCUUGACUCCUCUAAAAUUGAAAUUUUUGUUUUUUUACCCUUUAAAUGUAUAGAAUUAUAAAUUAUAAUGGUAAAAUUGUACUCUUCCCCCUCCUAAAAAUAACAAGGCUUUAAUUUAGUCUUUUAAAAAAUUAUAAAAAUAUUAGCUAAUAUAGUGAUUAAAUUGCAUUUUAAUUCUUAUCAAAAUUUAUAAAUUAAUUCUGAUCCCUCAAACAAAUUUCUAACGUCACCCUUAUUUUCAUAUUAGUAGAAAUUCUAAUCCGGUAUAUAUAUAUAUAUAUAUAUAUAAUAUUUCUUUUACCAACUUUAAACUUUAACUAGUUAAAGUAGAAAAAAAAUUAUUUAACAAAUAAUCCAAAGAUUGUUUAAGAACAUAAAAGGGAUGCAACUUAUCUACGUUCGGAUCGGGAUGGAUUCUUUUUUAUUUUUUUAAAAAAAAUUCUCCUAAACAAAUUAAAUCGAUUAAUCUAAAAUCCAGAAGUUACAAAAUUCUCAUAAAUAACAAGAGUUUACAAAAAGACAAGUAAAGAACACUUACUUCGGUUGAUGUAUGGUAUAAUAAGCCUGCAAAGCACUAAGAGUAAGUGAAGCAAUGGCACCCAAAAAUGCCAAUAACGUCCAAGGACUCCUAAAAUAAGUAUGAUAGCCUUGAGCUGCAUGAUUAAUCCACAUAUUCUUACAAUGAUUAUGUAUUUUCUCUUUAACCCCACUGUAAAUCGUCGGACUAGGAACCAAAUCAGUGUUCAUCUUAUUGAAAAGUUUAGCCACCACUUCAUCACUCCCCAAUCUAUUGUAUAGUAUGCCGGCGUCUCUCAGGUCUUUAACAUCUUCGGCUUCAUCGAUCAAUAAAUCAAGGAAACACAUAUAAGAAGUGACGGUGAAAUUGUUCUCGAAAUCCGGACACAUUUCGUAAGCUAUUAAGUUUAUGGUUGAAUCAUCAACGGUGAUCGGCGGUAACCGUAAUUUUCCGAAGAAGAAGAUAUGGUUGAAACUGAUGUCGGUUAAACAACUUGUUUCGCUUGCUUUUAACAUUAUCCCGGCCUUUUUAAGCUCUUUUACGGUACCAAUGGUGCAUGAACGAUACCGUUUUCCUCUUGCUUCGUUGAUAAAUCUGCGUUCAAUGAAACGCCACCACCAUGGUUUUUCUUCUUCGGCAAGGAGUCUUUGUCGUAGUAGAUGCAAUAAGUGAAUUCGCUCUCCUUCUUUUUGCUGCUCCCACCACCAUUCCCUACACCAAAAUUUGUGUUAGUCGGAAGCCAAGCUAUAAUUUCUCUUUUCUUUUUUUUUCUUUUUGUUGUUGGAUUUGGAAUUGUUAAUUUAUAUGAAGCUAAAAUUAAGAUUUUCAAAAUAGAUAACCCAACGAUUAAGUUAUUCAAUUUAUUUAAUUUAAUUGAAUAAAUUAUUAAAAACUUCGAUUCGGUAACACGGUUUAAUUAAAUUUUUUUACCCUGUUCAUAUAAAUUUUUAAAUCGGUUGGUCUAAUGACUUUCUCCGAAUUGAUAAUUCAAUUAAUUUUCAAUCCAAACCGAUUCAAACAAUAUUAACUAAACUACAAUUUUUAUUAUUGUAUUAAUGCAAAAAUCUUACCAUUUUUAAAAUAUUAAACUUUUCCAUUCUGAAAAGUUGGAUUUUUGAAAUCAUAAUUUUUUAUUUCUAAAAAAUGUACACUCAACAGGAUAAAUGUAAAACGACAGGCAGGGAUCGUUCCCAAUAAAUGAAAAAUUACACUUUACUCUCUUUUAAAUUUAUUAAAUUAUAAUAAGUCCUCAAAUUAAAAAAUAAUAAUUGUUCAAUUUUUUUUAAAAAAAAGAUAAAAUCAUAAAUUAAUACAAAAAAAAUUAAAAAUCAAUCCAUACUUGUUAAUCAAGUUGGUUGAAUAAAAAAUCAAAUAAAAUUGAAGUUAUACCAAUUGAAUUAAAGAAUGGAAUAAAUUUCUUUUUAUAUUUUUAAUAAUUUUAAAAAUUUAUAUAAUUAAACUGAAUUAUCUAAUCAAAUGGAAAAGAGAGUCUAAUAGAUUCCAUCACCCAUGUAGUUAUAAAAACCUUUUAAAAAUGAUUAUUUAUUUAAUUCCCUAAAUUACCUGUCCUCGCCUGGGUUGAUAACAGUAUCGUCGAUGAACCUUUGGAUUGCAUUCAUAAACUUUUCGCCAUUUUUUCUCGGCCUUGUAAGCAGUUCAAGAACACGAAAAGGUAAUUGGUUUUCCAACAAUAACAGAUCCGAGUACACAAAUGUCAGCAAAUCGUCUUUAAUAAACAAUUUACCAUCAUCAUCAUCACCGUAACGCCUGUAAACUGCUUGUAAAAUUGCGCAGCCGUCAACGAAGAACAUCCAAGCCAGUUCCCUGUUAUCGUAGCCAGUCUUCUCUAAUUCCUGUGGAUCAUAGCAUUUCCUCAAGCCAUCGAUCUCUUUCUUCAUGUUUCUGUACAAGGAAUCCUUAUCGACUCCAAUGUUUUUGACGAAAUGUGCCGCUAAUUUGAGCUUGAUCUCUUCGGAUUGAUAGAGGGAGGGAUCACCGUAGUGGAAUGGGCCGAUUGAGAUCACUUUCGGCGUGAAAUACUUCUUGAAAUCUUCGUUACGGCGAAGGGCUGAUGGGACUUUUCGUAUUAAUGGUUUUGCAGUGAAGUUGGGUUGGCCGGCGUAGAAAGCUCCGUCUAAUGACCGGAGAUUCGCUACUUCGCCAUCGCUGAGAGGGACGUCCGUGAACCGCAUAUCAAUUCUCACGUAAUCGUUGUUGGUGUUGUUGUCGAUGAUUGUUUGAUCAGUGGAAACUGCUCCGACGGCGCCACCUCCUUCCUCCGUGGAGGACAUUUUCAGGCUGAGCGGUUGGGAGUAAUAAAGAAGGUGAUUUUGUAAACUGCUUUUGGGUGAGUGAGUGAUGUUGGAGAAAAGGUGGCGAAGUGGAUAAGAUGCUGACAAAUAUUUUAUAGCUUACAUGAUAAACAUAUAUGGGAAAUACUUAAGGCGUUAGUGUUUAUAUUUUUACUAAUAUAAUUUUAAUUUUUAAUUAAAUUUAUUUCUCUUUUGAAAGAGUCAAUGAUAAAAAAGAAAAGUUAAAUAGUGACAAAUAUUAAAAUUGAGAAUAAUAUUACAGAACUUAAAUAAACCUUGGCCUUAACCAAGAAACUAAGACCCUGUCAGAGGGAGAAUUUUAUAUCAUUUAAAUUAUUCCAAAUAUUUAACAUUGUAAACAUGCUUCUUUACAUAUAGUAAUUGCAUUUGUUACUCUACCUAACUCAUGAAAAAUCUCAAAUUUGCAACAUCACAUGCCAACCAACCAAUUUGUUAUUCACAUUCCAACUUUCUAAAUGCAUACAAAUAUUUCAUGUUCAUCUACUAACAAAGAUCAUGCCAAGAACCCACAUGCAAAGUCAUUAUUUACCACAUUUUAACUCAACAAGACUUUUCCACAACCAAAGCCUACAAACCUUUAUAUGCAUGUCACAAUCCUUCACUGAAAAUGAUAUUUUCAUCAAUACCAGUUCAUUUUCAGUUCAAGAUUUAAUUCCUUUUCCAACCAUUCCAUCAUCCUCGAAAGCUUCAUCUAAUGACCGGAGAUUCCGUAGUUCCUUAUUGCUGCGAGUGAAGUCCGUAUCCAGUAUUGGAAUGAUCGUCUCUAGGGGAUUGUUGUUGUUGUUGGUGGUGGUGGUGGUGGUGGUGAUGAUUGUCUGAUCAGUGGAAACUGCUCUGCCGGAAGCUCUGACGGCGCCGCCUCCUUCUUCAGUGGACGACAUUUUCAGGCUGAGCGAUUUGAAGUAAUUAACAAGCUGAUUUUGUGAACUUUUUUUGGCUGAGUGAUGUUGGAAAAAGGUACGAUGACGAAAAAUGUUUCUAUAGCUUAUAUAAUAAACACAUGGAAAAUAUUUUUGUUGUAAUAUCAAUUUCAGCCCUUAAUAUUUAUAUUCUUGUCAAUUCCUUUUCUUUUUAGUUGAAUUUAACUCUCUAUCUUUUGAAAGUGUCAAAUUUUACUACGAAUCUUUUAGAAAAGAGUCGAAUUAAUAUUUUUUAACAAAAAUAGUGAGUAAAAUAUUAAAUUUUAAACAUGACAACUUAUAUGAAAGUCUAUGUGUACUUGUUUUUUUAUUUUAAAAUUAUUUGUUGAUGUGGUAUAUAAGAACAGUCGUGUUAUGUUAGCAUGAAGUGCACAUGGAUUGUCACACGAGUUGUAACACAAGUAUCGUUAAAAAUUUAAUGUUUUAGUCAAUAUUUCUGUUAAAGAAAAGCAAUUUGACUCUUUUUUGAAAGGUUAAUGGCUAAAUUUAACUCAAAAUAAUAAUAAUAAUAAUAGUAAAGAAUAAAGACUAAUUUGACAAAAAUGCAAGUGUCGAGGGCUAAUUUAAUCAUUAUAUCUUUUUUUAAAAGUUCCAUUUAUAUAAAUAUCUGGGAGGUCCUUAUAUUAUGAGGAUUGGAUCAAAUUAAUCCCUCUAUUAUUAAAUAGAUCAAUUUAGUUCCUAUACUCUUAAAAGAGAAUCAAAUAAGUCCAAAGUGCAAUAAAGUUAACAUUUACUAUAUAAAAAAUGUCUUGAUUUUUUUUUCAAUUGUAAUUCAAUUCCAAAUAAAAUGUUUCAUUUUCAAAACCAUAAAAACUUUAAAAAUAUUAACUUUGUUAAACGAUAAAUGUUAUAUUUACUUCAAUUUAGUCUUAUUUAAUUUUUUUAAUAGUAUAAAGACUAAAUUGAUCCAUUUAAUAGUAAAAGGACUACUAAUAUAAUGACUUCUCAAAUACAAUCCACUUAAAAUAACUUUUUUUGGAAACACAGACAGAAUAAACUAGACUUACGGGAUGGUGCAUCUAAUUCAACCUUCUAACAUGUCUUGAAGUAUAAUAUAUAUUUUUAUAAUACUAAUGAUAAUUGGAUUUGUUGAAUGAUGAAUGAUAGAAUUAUGAAUUUUAUUUGUGAAGUUUUUUAUGAAUAUAUACAAUUGAUUAAUAUUUUUAUAUUUAAAGUUUAUUUAAUUAUUUUUAUAUAUUAAAUAUUUUAAAAUUUUAUCAAUAAUUUUGGAAAGAUAUACAAAAACAGUGUAGUACUAAUAUGUAUUAGUUUUUGUAGAAAAAUGGUGCGCCAUUAAUGUAGUACUAAUUAACUACCUUGGAUAAAAAAUCAUUUUGCCCCUUGAAUUUGGCAAUUUCCCUCAACUUAGUUCUUAAACUUUUAUAUUAUCUACAUUAGUAUUAUAACUUGACAACUUUUCUCAAUUUUGAUGCAUGUGAUGACACAACACUCUGAUAUUGUGUCAUCCCAUCAUUUAAAAAUAAUAUUUUUAAUAAAAAUUAGGUGUUACAUGGUAGAAACGUCACCAUAAUGACCAAAAAUGAGAAAUGUUGUCAAAAUUCAUGACCGAUGUGGAUAGUGGGGAAGCCAGGGGGUUGAAAAGGGCCCUGCCCCCCCCCCAGAAAAAGGAAAAAAAUUAUUUAGGUCUCUUUAUAAUUUAUAAAAUUUUAAAUUAGUAAAGGUAAAAUUGUAUUUUGCCCCUCAAAAAUGAUAAAAAAAUUGAUUUAAUCCUUUAAAAAUGAUAAAGAUAUAUACCAUUAAAAUGGUGAAAUUACAUUAUUAUUAUCGUAAAAAUAUACAACUUAAUUUUGGAGAUUCUUCAAUUCACCAUUGCUGAGAUGAAGUCUAUACCCGGCAUUGGAAUAAUCGUCUUUAGGGGAUUGGUGCUGGUGGUGAUUGUUUGAUCAGUGGAAAUUGCUCCGCCGGGAGAUCCAACGGCGCCGCCUCCUUCCUCCGUGGACGACAUUUUCAGGCUGAGCAACAAGGUGAUGUUGGAAAAAAAGGUGGCAAAAUGGCUAUGAUCGAUGACGACAAAUGUUUCUAUAGCUUAUAAUAUGGAAAAUACUUUUGGUGCAAUAUCAAUUUAUCCUUUAAUUUUUAUAUUUUUUUUCAAUUUGAUUCUAUUAUCUCUAGUUAAAUUCAAUUCUCUACGAGUCAAAUUUGAUUACCAAUCUUUUAGAAAAGAGUCAAAUUAAUAUUUUUUAACAAAAAUAGUGACUAAAAUGUUAAAUUUCUAAAAACGACAACUCACAUGACAAUCUACAUGUACAAAUGUUAGAAUGCAUUUUAUCUUAUUUACUCAAAAAAUAAGCAAGUUAGUUUCUAUACAUCAGAUCAAAGAGCAAAUUGAUCAUUUUAUUAAAUUUUUAAUCUUUUUCUAUUAUUAAAAAUUGAUUCAUAUACAUAAGUUUGAGGUACAAUGGCACGUCACAUGUUAUGAUUUGGUUAUUCCGUUAGUCACACCAGUUUUUAACAUUACAAAUAGAUGAAAAUUUUAACAGAAAUAGCUAAGUUACUUUUUGAUCUAACAUAUAGGACUACUUUACUCAUUUUUCAAUAUAGGAAGCAAAAUGUAAUCCAACUCAAUGUACAAGGACUUCCAUGUUAUUUUUUUUUCCAAUUUCACAUUAUUUUAUCAUAUUUUAUAUAUAGAUAUAGAUAUAGAUAUUUUAAGCAUACGCCUAUCAUGGAAAUGGUAUAAUGUCCAGAUUAUCUGGUCUUUGAUUUCAUUUGUCAAUUAAUGAUUGUGGAUUGACAACAUUGACCAUUAUUCUAUGCACGGGGACUACUCAUCUACUCCUUUUCUGCCAUUCUCACUACCCAUUGCAUUCAUUUUCUAUGCCCUACUGCUCCUCUGCCGUGCACUCUCCAAUUGUAUUUAAAGACAAUAUAUACAUAUAGAUUGUAAAUUUUCUUGGCUGGAAGCUCACUGCAUGGAAGCCAAAAUCAAAACAAACUUUUGAUGGUUUAAUUGUUUUUGAGCCCUUCAAUUUCAGGUGCUAUGAGAAGUGAAUUACAACCUCAUCUUGUCAUUAUCCCAAAAUCAAAACAAGCAACUCUUGGUUGAAAGUUGAAACCAAGGGCCAAGUCAAAAUUGUUUUAGGAUGAGUCCAAAAUGAAUAAUGAAUUUGAAGGUUCAAAAUAAAAUUUUAUUAUUAUAUUAAUUUAUAAUUUCAUAAAUUUUAAAAGGAUUAAAUGAUAAAUUUACUAAUUUAAGAAGACAAUAGGGAUGGUCAAAUAUUCUAAUUGAACCUAUCUGCGAUCGGAUCGGGAUGGAUUUUUUUAAUUUAAAAAAUUAAAUAGAUUUAAUCGAAAUUCUAGGAGUUACAAAAUUCUCAUAAAUAACAAGAGUUUAUAAAAAGUACACUUACUUUGGUUGAUGUAUGGUAUAAUAAGCCUGCAAAGCACCGAUAAAAAGUGCACCAAUGGCACCCACAAAUGCGAAAAACGUCCAACGAGUCCUAAAAAAAGGACGGUAAACUUGAGCUGGAUAUCUAAUCCACAUAUUUUUAUGAUGAUCAUGUAUUUGCAGUUUAACAUGUCUGUAAAUCAUCAGACUGGGAACCAAAACCAUGUUCAUCUUCUUGAUAAGCUUAGCCACUUCUUUAUCACUCCCCAAUCUAUUGUAUAGUAUGCCGGAGUGUCUCAGUUCCUUAACAUCUUCGGCUUCAUCGAUCAAUGAAUCAAGGAAACCCAUAUAUGAAGUGACGGUGAAAUUGUUGUUGUAGAAAUCCGGACACAUUUCGUAAGCUAUUAAAUUCAUGGUUGAAUCAUCGAUGGUGAUCGGCGGUAACCGUAAUUUUCCGACGAAGAAGUAACUGUUGAAACUGAUGUCGGCUAAACAACUUGUUUCGCUUGCUUCUAACCGUAUCCCGGUGUUUUUAAGCCCAUUUACGUUACGAAAAAGGUGUGAAUGGUGCGGUUUUGUUCUUGUGUGGUCGCUGCGAUUUGUGAAGGAUAUGCAAAACCUAGAAUCAGCUGGUUUUUCUUUAUUGAAAAGGAGUCUUACUCGUAGUAGAUGCAAUAAGUGAAUUCGCUCUCCUUGCUGCGGCCACCAUUCACUAGACCAAAAUCUGUGUUAGUCGGGAGCCAGCUAAAAUUAAGGUUUUCAAUGGUUGAAUCAAAUCAUUAUUAUUUUAAUAAAACAUUAUUUAAAUUAUUAAAUUACAUUUUAAUCCUUUUAAAAAUUAUUAAAUUAUAAAUUUAUAUACAAUAAAAUUAUACUUUGACUCCUCAAAAUGAAUAAAAAUUUGUUCAAACACUUUUGAAAAAUGAUUGAAAUCAUAAAUUAAUACAUAAAAAAAAAUACAAGAACCAAACCAAACUUAUCGAUCGGCCUAAUUAGACAGAAAAUCGAGCAAGGUACUAGUCCAGAAUAAUAAAUUAAAUCCAUUGAAUCCAAUCAUCGAAUGGAUUUUUUUUUAUAUCUUUAAUAUUUUUAAAAUUUUAUAUAAUUGAAUCGAAUAAACUAAUCAAACGAAAAUGAGACUCUAAUCGAUUCUAUCACGGUUUAAUUAAAUUUUUUUACCCUGUUCAUAUAAAUUUUUAAAUCGGUUGGUCUAAUGACUUUCUCCGAAUUGAUAAUUCAAUUAAUUUUCAAUCCAAACCGAUUCAAACAAUAUUAACUAAACUACAAUUUUUAUUAUUGUAUUAAUGCAAAAAUCUUACCAUUUUUAAAAUAUUAAACUUUUCCAUUCUGAAAAGUUGGAUUUUUGAAAUCAUAAUUUUUUAUUUCUAAAAAAUGUACACUCAACAGGAUAAAUGUAAAACGACAGGCAGGGAUCGUUCCCAAUAAAUGAAAAAUUACACUUUACUCUCUUUUAAAUUUAUUAAAUUAUAAUAAGUCCUCAAAUUAAAAAAUAAUAAUUGUUCAAUUUUUUUUAAAAAAAAAGAUAAAAUCAUAAAUUAAUACAAAAAAAAUUAAAAAUCAAUCCAUACUUGUUAAUCAAGUUGGUUGAAUAAAAAAUCAAAUAAAAUUGAAGUUAUACCAAUUGAAUUAAAGAAUGGAAUAAAUUUCUUUUUAUAUUUUUAAUAAUUUUAAAAAUUUAUAUAAUUAAACUGAAUUAUCUAAUCAAAUGGAAAAGAGAGUCUAAUAGAUUCCAUCACCCAUGUAGUUAUAAAAACCUUUUAAAAAUGAUUAUUUAUUUAAUUCCCUAAAUUACCUGUCCUCGCCUGGGUUGAUAACAGUAUCGUCGAUGAACCUUUGGAUUGCAUUCAUAAACUUUUCGCCAUUUUUUCUCGGCCUUGUAAGCAGUUCAAGAACACGAAAAGGUAAUUGGUUUUCCAACAAUAACAGAUCCGAGUACACAAAUGUCAGCAAAUCGUCUUUAAUAAACAAUUUACCAUCAUCAUCAUCACCGUAACGCCUGUAAACUGCUUGUAAAAUUGCGCAGCCGUCAACGAAGAACAUCCAAGCCAGUUCCUCGUUAUCGUAGCCAGUCUUCUCUAAUUCCUGUGGAUCAUAGCAUUUCCUCAAGCCAUCCAUCUCUUUCUUCAUGUUUCUGUACAAGGAUUCCCCAUCGACGCCAAUGUUUUUGACGAAAUGUGCUGCUAAUUUGAGCUUGAGCUCCUUGGAUUCAAUGAGGAUGGGAUCAUCGUAGUGGAAUGGGCCGAUUGAGAUCACUUUCGGCGUGAAAUACUUCUUGAAAUCUUCGUUACGGCGAAGGGCUGAUGGGACUUUUCGUAUUAAUGGUUUUGCAGUGAAGUUGGGUUGGCCGGCGUAGAAAGCUCCGUCUAAUGACCGGAGAUUCGCUACUUCGCCAUCGCUGAGAGGGACGUCCGUGAACCGCAUAUCAAUUCUCACGUAAUCGUUGUUGGUGUUGUUGUCGAUGAUUGUUUGAUCAGUGGAAACUGCUCCGACGGCGCCACCUCCUUCCUCCGUGGAGGACAUUUUCAGGCUGAGCGGUUGGGAGUAAUAAAGAAGGUGAUUUUGUAAACUGCUUUUGGGUGAGUGAGUGAUGUUGGAGAAAAGGUGGCGAAGUGGAUAAGAUGCUGACAAAUAUUUUAUAGCUUACAUGAUAAACAUAUAUGGGAAAUACUUAAGGCGUUAGUGUUUAUAUUUUUACUAAUAUAAUUUUAAUUUUUAAUUAAAUUUAUUUCUCUUUUGAAAGAGUCAAUGAUAAAAAAGAAAAGUUAAAUAGUGACAAAUAUUAAAAUUGAGAAUAAUAUUACAGAACUUAAAUAAACCUUGGCCUUAACCAAGAAACUAAGACCCUGUCAGAGGGAGAAUUUUAUAUCAUUUAAAUUAUUCCAAAUAUUUAACAUUGUAAACAUGCUUCUUUACAUAUAGUAAUUGCAUUUGUUACUCUACCUAACUCAUGAAAAAUCUCAAAUUUGCAACAUCACAUGCCAACCAACCAAUUUGUUAUUCACAUUCCAACUUUCUAAAUGCAUACAAAUAUUUCAUGUUCAUCUACUAACAAAGAUCAUGCCAAGAACCCACAUGCAAAGUCAUUAUUUACCACAUUUUAACUCAACAAGACUUUUCCACAACCAAAGCCUACAAACCUUUAUAUGCAUGUCACAAUCCUUCACUGAAAAUGAUAUUUUCAUCAAUACCAGUUCAUUUUCAGUUCAAGAUUUAAUUCCUUUUCCAACCAUUCCAUCAUCCUCUGAUGGAACUACAGCAAAAAAGACCUAGGUACAUGGGAAUAUUUUGCCGGCACUUUAACGAACUUUCUCACACACGUUGACUUUAUAUUAGAAUUGUUCACACAAGUUAACUUUGUAAUUUGUAUUAUGUAAAAUUUAAGAUUUUUAUAUUAUGUAAAUCAAAGCUUAAUAUUGCAUAACUAAUUAGUAUAGAAUUUUCAAAAUAAUAUGGCUAUAUAAAGAUAUAAAAUUCUUGAGAAAAAUUAAGGAUAGAAAAAUUGUGGUGGAAAGGGAAUCUAUUUCUCCUAAACAGGUGGAGAGCCGGAGAAGAAUAAGAGAAGGAAGAUAGUUGAUGUGAAGGCUAAGAGUAAUUGUUAAAAGGUAGCUAACGGGGGAAGGUCCCUUUCUCAUGAAGAUGAUUUUUAAACACCAUAUUAAUUGUUUAUGGGUCAUCAUGUUUGACGAUGAUUUUUAAAUACCAUGUUAAUUGUAUACAGUACAUCAUGUUUGACAAUAAUUUUUAAAGACUUUUAAACGUCGCAUAAAUUAUUUAUGGCCCAUUGCACAUGUUGCUUUUAUUAAAUUUUAGGUAAACUACAAGUUAAUAACUUAAUUUUUAUAAAAUUUCAUUUUGGUCAUAAAAAAAAAUUCUAUGGAAUGAGAGUCUCAGGAUAAAACAAAAAUUAGGACAAAUGUAAUGUUGAAAUGAAUAUAGUGGGAAUCUUUAAUGUUUAUGGCCAAACCCCACCUCUCCUAUCCUAUACUUCCUCUAUAACAAUGAUUCUUGGCUUCUUCUACAGUUGCCUUCACAAAAUGAAGCUGACAUUUGAGGUUGUCCUUCAUUUACUUUUGUUUUCUUCCUAUGAUGUAAAUUAUACACUUGUAAUUCCUUAAUUAUUUGGAUUAGAUUGAAAAACAAUUGGUUGGGAAAGAAGUUUUAGUUUAAUGAUGUGAUUGACUUAAAUUUUAAAUUUAUAAUAUUUAAUUUGAGUGUGAAUGAAUUUUUGACUUAAUUAAAAUUUUAAAAUAAUAAGUUCGAGUCUUAUUUAAUUAUGUGUGCAUAUCAUGUAUAAAUUUUGUUUAAAUUUAUUUUGAUUUAAUUCUCGUACUAUAUAUUCUUAAUUAAAUUCGGAAUAUAUUUUGAUUAUCAAUUUAAUUAUACAUUGUAACGAUGGAUUCCGAUUAUAAAUUAAAAGAUAUUAUUAUAUUUUAUAAAUUUUGAAUAGACUAAUAAUUAAUUCGAGAUUAAAAAAUUGUCUAUCUUUAUUUCGCCCCUUAGUUUAAUUUAUUAUUUUCCCUAAUUUUAAAUCCAAAAUAAACUGCUCUCCAUUUUAGGGGAUCAAGGGCUUGCCUACCCUUCCUUCGUAGUUUAUCUACUUUUGUCUUUGAAUUUUUUAUUUUGUCUAAAUUAAUCUUGAAAUUUGAUUUUUUUUUAUUUAGUCAUUGAACAUUGGUCAAUGCUACAUCAUUACUUGGAUUUUUUUAAAAUAAAUUCUUUCUAUUCUUUUUAGAUUUUAUGUAAGUUAUUUAAAAUUUCCAAAUAAUGACAUGAUUGUUUAAUAGAAUUUAAGUUCAAGAACUAGAUUAAAAAAUUGUUAAAUUCAAAGAUUAAAUAUUGAUUUAUUCGUUACCCUGUUUUAGAAUUUCAUUGAAUUUCUUGCCUGUUUACUUUUGUUAUUAAACAUUGCUUUGUUCUUCUUUUUUAAAUUUUCGGUCCAUAAUCGAAAAAAAUGGAUGAGAAAUAUCUAAAAUCAUUAGAAACAUGAAAAAUAUGAUCUCAAAUACAAUGAAUUACCCAUAUCAAGUUACAAAGACUUAGGCCCUGGCUAUGGUGAAUUCAUCCCCUACAUUUUAGCAGGCCCAGGUGGAUUUCAAGAACACAAACAAUUAAAUAGGCUAAAUUUAUUCAUAUCCACCAAAUUAUUAGAAUUUUCAAAUAUAUUCAAAAAAAGAAUAGGAGAGACAUUGGAUGAAACCACAAGGUAAAUCACAAACAGGAUCAAAUUGAAAGAAAAACAAAACGACAUAGAAGGAAUAAAAAAAGGGAGGGCUAAAUUGCUUGAAAAAUUAGCACGUGUGUUAAGCAACAUUGAUGAUAAAACACAUAGGAUAGAGCAUAUGGAAUGUAGCAUGGAAGAGAACAUGUAUAAGACCAAUAAGGGGCAAAUUAAAAUUAUAGAAGAAUUGAGGGGCUUGAAAAGUGAAAUAAAAGAGUUAAAGGGGGAUAUGAAAGAAAUUAAAAUAUAAUUUUGUAUGAAAGAAAGAUAAGGGUAUUAUUUUGCUAGUCAUGGAUGUAAUAACAAAGUUCAGUUUUUGUCGGUGUUGUAUGGAAGAAUCGAAGAUGGAGUGAACGAGUUUUUAAGAUUUUUAAAGUUUAAUAUCGAAGGAUUGUUGUAAGUGGGUAUGUCAAUGUGUUUCUAUAGUAGGGAAUGGUGUAAAAAAGUUUACGGUUUAAGGUUUUGUUAUAUAAGGAAGGAAUACGCCUUUUAAGACUAUUAGAAGCACUUAUUCUCGUGUUGUGUUUUGUAUUGAGUUGUACUUUUUUUUAGUGCAUGUAUUGUGGACCUAUGGUACAAGUUUUGUUCUUUUAAGUGUCUUGUGAUGUUAAGUAUGUUUUGUUAGGGCUCUUGGCUCCUAUGUUUCAAUGAUAAUAAAAUAUAUUUCAAGCAUAGUACUUUUGCAUAUUUAGAAUUUAAUAUUAUGCUUUUAUUUUAAGAUAAUCUCUAUACUACAACAAUGUUUAAUAUUAAUAUGAACUCAUGUUGCGAUUUAUUAUUAUCAUCUAAUUGGAAUGCAACAUCUAUUUAAACUUCGACAUGAAACUAAAUUCCUCUACAAACACUAGAAAAAUAUCAUUAGUUCUUCGUAAGUAAUUUCACCUCAAUCCAAUGACCAUUGUACAGGCACAAUUUUAUUCGGCCUAAACAAAUAAAUCAAAACCCAAAACAAAAACAAAUAAAAGUCCAUUAACAGUCCAAAUUUCAAACCCAAUAACCAAAUCCAUCUGCUAACCCUAAUACCCAAUAAUACAACUAUCCUAAACAACCAUAAACCCUAGUUUUCCCCUAAGCCUCUAGCAGCUGCUCCUUGCCACGUCAAUGGGCACAUUUCCCGAAGACACCUACGCCCUUAGGUCUGCUCCCUGCCAUCGUUUCACCAAAAUGGCUAAAGGGCACACCUUCCCUUAUCGUUGACCACCACCAUGACACCUGCAAAAUAAGAAACAGAGAGCAGAAACAAAGAAAAACAAAAAGAAAAGAACAAAAUAUUGUAUUUUGUUCGGUUAUAAAGGCUAAACCCUCUGUAUUUUUAAGAGGCAGAGAUCGAAUAAAAAAAUAAAAAAAACAACAAAGCUUAAAAAAAAGGUAGUUUAUUGAAUGUUCUUUUUAUUUUGAAAAAUAUAAAUAAAAAAACAAAACAAACGCUUGAUUUUUACCUGUGGCGCUUUGUCCCCUACUGUCAUGGGAGCCCUUCGUUGGACGAAUAUGUGCAGGGCCUUCUCUCUUCUUUUUUCUUUUUAUUUUAAAAAAAACCAAGAAAUCGAAAGGUUUCAUCCUUUUUUUGAACUUUGGGUUGUUUUUUCGAGCCUUUAUGACCAGACAAGAAGGAGUCUUAAAGAGAAAAGAAAGGAAAAAGAUUUUUGUUUUUAAAGCUGAUCCCAAAUGAUUUUUUUCUGAUUUUUUGCUUACAUAAGACGUACUAUACGACGUUGCUUUGGCUUAACUUUCAGACGCCCAAAAUGGUGUCAUUUUGAGGGCUAACCUGAUGACUCGAUCUAGAUUCCCUAGGAUCCACGUGUUUUCAAGGAAGCGGUCUAAUUGAUGCCCUAGUCCUUCCUCCUUUAAGUGCUUUUUAAUAUGGUCCUAAUUCUAUUCUUUUUUUCUUUUAAUAAAAUUGCACCACUUAAUUUUGAAUUGUUUGUAACACCCCUAACCCGUAUUCGAUGUCAGAAUAUGGUUAUGGAGCCUUACCAGACUUAUAGAUCAAACAAUCAUACAUUUCAUGUUCAAUUAUCAUUCAAAUUAAAAACCAUUCAAAUUCAUUCAUAUAGUCCCUAAUACGAGCUCUCGAGACCCAAAAUAGACAUUAAAAAUAGUUUUGGACUAAACCGAGUACUCAAGAAAUUUCUCAACAAAAUAUGGAAAAUUUUCAAAUGUGCAGGUGACACACGCCUGUGUGGGCAUUCGAAAUUGGGACAUAUGGUCGUGUCCUAGCCCGUGUCUGUACCAUUUAACUCACUGACUUGGGUCACACAACCAAACCACACGCCAGUGUGCCAAGCCGUGUACCCUUCGAAAUGGCUUCACACGCCCGUGUACUGGGCCGUGUGAUACUACUGACUUGUUUUCUAUAAAAGUAUCAGGGGACACACAGCCGUGUCACCUGGCCGUAUGUCACACACGACUGAGACAGACGCCCGUGUUGACAAAAAUAGGUCAUUUUCCAAGCCAUAUUUCUCACCCAAAUUGAUAUCAACCUAUACACAUCAAUUUGCAUAUAAACAUGGCAUAAAUAAGCAUUCAAAAGCAACCAAUAUCAAGCUUAUAACAUGUAAUAUCCACACAUACAACAUGAUGUCCAUAAGCACUUCAAUUGAACACAUAUAAUCAUGCAAUUUAUGUAUCUCAAACAUACUUAAAUGGUCAAAUACAUACACGCAUCAUUGUGCUUAAAACUUAACAUAUAUGUCACUCAUCAAUCUCAACCAUUUGGUACCCAAAAUAUCAAAUCACAAGCAAGGCAUUCACAUGGCAAUCAUACACCAUAUAUAAUAAGGCCACUUACAUAAAUACAUACAUCACAAAAUAUACCCCAAACAAGCCAAAUCAAAUGGCUAAAUACAUAACCAAAACAUAUAGGCUAACAUUAACUAAAAUAAACUAUACAUGCCAUUUAACCAAAAUAUAUUGUCAAAAGUACCAAAAUAACGUUUGAUAGUGUGAUGAGAUCUCCGAAAACUUCCAGUCUGAACGAGCUUCUGAUACACUAUAAAACACAGAAAAAUAAAUGGAGUAAGCAAUUAAGCUUAGUAAGUUUGUAUAACUAAAACUACAACUUACCAAUCAACCACAAAUUUAGGUAAGCAACAUUUAAGCCAUAAUACAACUCAAUUUGGCCCAAAAGCCUAACACAUAAUCAUCAACCUUGUUAGUCAUGUAUUCAUAUGUCAAAUAUAAACCACUUCUCGUAUUUCACAUAAAUAUCUAUACUAGUUCGUAUCAAACUCGUAUUACCUCGUAACAACACUGUGCUCGAUGAACCAUUUGGAAUAAUCGAAUACGCGGGUAUCUCGCACACUAAGUGCCAAUACAUGGUCAAAACCACCACUAUCUCAUGUCUUAUAUCAAUGCUCUCUCUCAAGCCAUAACUAGGUAUGUUCACACAAGUUGUCAGUCAAGACGUAGCUACACGGUGCUACUCACACAAUUUGUAAAGCAACUGCAACGCAUGCAGGAAACUUAGCCACCGGUAGGAUGUACGAGACCAACACCCAAAACACGAUAAUCCUAAAUGUCAUGUCAUUUGUAUCUUAUCUAUUCCUAAGGUUCAACCGGGAUUCAUACAUCGCCGAAACUUCGUCAAACAUUUCCGUAAAGUCGUAACAUCACAAAUAUAAUAAUAAAGCAAUUAAAACACAUAGAAUUUAAUACUUAUUAACAUACGAACUUACCUCAAAUUUGUACAAAAAAAUUGAUCGAUUAGUCCACUACUUUGUCUUUUCUCUGAUUUAAUUCCGAUAGUUACUUUUCUUGAUCUAUAUAAUCAAAUUUAACUAAUUUUAUCCUCAUUCUAUACAAUUCAAUCAAAAAUCAUGUUAUGGCAAAAUUACUAUUUUGCUCCUAUACUUUUGACUAUUUACAAAUUUAGUCCCUAAGCUCAUAAAAUGAAAUUCAUGAAAUUUCAUACACAUCUAAGCCUAUCUGAAUUUAAUGCAUGUCAUAGAAGCCCAUACAAUUCACAAUUUCACACAUUUAACACAUAAUUUUUACAUUUUUCAAUUUAACCCCUAAUUGACAUUUUCAUAAAAAAAAUCACUUAACAAAAUUUGUUUAACUCACAACAAAGAUUCAUUUUCUUCAAUUAAACUUCAAAACCCUAAUAUAUUCAUCAAUGGAAAAUCUCAAACUAUUCAAUAAUUUUGCAAAUUAGUCCCUUAGUUAGUAAGUUUAAACUACAACGAUCCUGAAAACAUAGAAACCAUCAAAAACAGGAUUGAUUUUCACUUACAUUAAGCUCCCAUGAAUGAUUCAAACCUUUCUAAGACGAAUCACUGUUAUCAUUUGAUCCAUUAGGGGCCGCAAAUAAGAGAGGUGGAGAAAAGAGCCACUAGUUCCCAUAUCAAAUGUUGUAAAAUUCAUCUUUCGAAAAAUGCCACACAAUAUCACUUGGUAAGGGACCUAAUAAAGAUUUUCUCAAUAACCUUCAGUUCAUUUUGGCUAAAAAAUUGUUGUAGUAAAUUGCUUAUCCAAAUCCUCAAGUCAAUAUCAAUUAGGUCCUUAAACAAAAGAGGGCCCAUCUCAAAGGAGGAAAGGGUGGAAUAUAUUCAAAAAGAUUACAAGUUGAGGACCCAUUGAUCAUGUGAAACCAUAAUGUCCUAGUCACUUUUGAAUUCAAAUUGGUUGCAAGAUUUUUAGUUAAAUUAAUAAUUCAAAAUUUUAGCAUGAUCAAGGUAUCUUUCAUGUCUGAUGUACGAUUUUUGAAAACUAAUCCUUUCAGGAUUCAUGGUAACCACUCCCAACAAUAUUAUUAUAUCUAAGGUUUAAAUAUGAAUUUUCUUCUUAGGAAUACAAUACGCCUUCCCUUCUCAAUUUUUGUUCAUGGUUAAUUGAUCAUUUAAAUAGAAACGCAUUUGUUUUAAACCUUGGUAAUUAGUUGGGUCUAGUGAACUUUAGGAUUUUAUUAUGUGCAUGUAACUCCCAACAUCAAUUCUUAAGAAUUCAAUGAUUGAAAUAUUUAGUUUCAAAAUUACUUUAAUUGUAAUUAUUACUUGAUUGUAGUACAAGAUGUUUAUUACAAUAUUUAGAACUAUUUAUAACUCCUCCCCAACAUUUAAUAGAAGGAUAAAGACACUUCAGCACGCUUCAACCCACAUCCUUCUAUACUAACAACAAUGUUGAUACUAACUAAAUUAAAACUCAAUUUAACAAUUGUAUAGAUUUUUAGGUUAAAUAAAUUUUAAGUACACAUAUUACUGUUGUGAUGUAAGUAUUUAGGAUAAAUCACCCUACAUUGUCAGACAAAUUGACUCACACUAUAAAUUGUAUAUACAAACAAAAUUAAAGAGCAUUGGUAAAUGUAUAAAAAUUUUAUUAACAUUCAAUAUUUAUAAUAAAUAAAACACAAAUAUAAUGUACAAAGCUUUAAUGCCUUGAAUCAUUUAGGGCUCUUCAAGCAGCCUUUAAUUAAUUUUUGUGAUUGGAUGAGUCUUGGCUGCCACAAAUUGAAGAAGAAAAAAAUAUAAAAGCAUUUCAGAACAAAUACACACAAAAUAAGCUUCUGCAUGUAAGACACUUACAUAAGUUCGUUUCGGGUUUCACAAGUUUAAUCGUUUUAAGUUUGGGAUUUUAAUUUUUGGAUCAAAUCAUUACGAAUAAAAUUAUUCUAAAUAUAAAUUCUUCAGAUUGUUUUGAAUUCGAAUGAAUGUUUUUUUUUAAUCAAUUUAUAUUUGGAUCAAUAAUAAACGGAUUUAAAUUGUUAAUUUUUUAUGUUCAAACUGAAUUAAUUAGUUAAAUUUUCGGAUUCAUGCUAAAAUUGACAUAUUUAAUUAAAAAUAUUUAAGCAUUAAAAUAAUCUAAAAGUCCCUAAGUUCAACUUACAGACUUCCGAUUUUUUCAAAUUCCUAAUUAAGCCUCACAAAAAGUAUUGAAAUUUUUAAAAUUUUCAAAAGUUGUCUUCGAUUUUCUCAAAUUUUUUGAUUAAAUCUCUUAAAUUUUAUUUUCAAAAAAAGAAUUUCAUUAGACACCAAAAAUUAAAUAGAUUGAAUCCAACAUGCAGGAGUUACAAAAUUAUCAUAAAUAACAAAGAGUUUACAAAAAGACUAGUAAACAACACUUACUUUGGUUGAUGUAUGGUAUAAUAAGUCUGCAAAGUACCAAGCAAAAGUGCAGUAAUGGCACCCACAAAUGCCAAAAACGUCCAAGGACUCCUAAAAUAAGUAUGAUAAGCUUGAGCUGCAUGGUUAAUCCACGUAGUCUUACAAUGAUUAUGUAUUUUCUGUUUAACCUCACUGUAAAUCAUUGAACUAGGAACCAAAUCAGUAUUCAUCUUAUUGAAAAUCUUAGCCACUUCUUCAUCACUCCCUAAUCCGUUGUUUAGUAUGCCGGCGGCUCUCAGGUCUUUAACAUCUUCGGCUUCAUCGAUCAAUAAAUCAAGGAAACACAUAUAUGAAGUAACGGUGAAAUCGUUGUCGAAAUCCGGACACAUUUCGUAAGCUAUUAAGUUCAUGGUUGAAUCAUCGACGGUCAUUGGCGGUGAACAUAAUUUUCCGACGAAGACUGAUGUCGGUUAAGCAACUUGUUUGGCUUGCUUUUAACCAUAUCCCAGCCUUUUUAAGCUCUUUUACGUUGCGAAAGGGGUAUGAAUGGCACCGUUUUGUUCUUGCUUCGUUGCUAAACCUGUGUUCAAUGUAAAACGGAAAACGGCACCACAAUUGAUUUUCUUUAUUGAAAAGGAGUCUUACUCGUAGUAGAUGCAAUAAGUGAAUUCGCUCUCCUCCUUGCUG
rnacentral:lncRNA from 1 species